GGAGGAAGAGGAGGAGGAGGAGGAGGAGGAUGUGGUGGAAUUUUGAAUGGAUAAGUCCUGUAUGUAGGAGCUAGCUGAUUCCAGCAGUCUCUGUCAAUACUAGCAGUGAUCAGCAGCUAGCAGGCUUGGGGGCUCGUAUAUAGCAGCAGACCAAAGGUGCUGUUGCGAUUUGCAUGGCUCAUAGAUGACGUAGGGUUCAUGGUUUCAGUGGGGUGUGGGGUGGGGGGGGGGGAAACGGUAAUAAUGGUAAAUGUAUGUCAAAUGAAAUUUGAGUGUAUUAUUGAGAGAUUUCUAGCAAUCUGUUAAUAAAAUUUAUUUUUAUCAAAAAAAGGAGUAAAAGAGCAUAAUAUUAUUAAGUUAUAAUAAAAUUUGAUGCAUAUAUCAAUAAAAGUAGAUAUUCUGUGCAUUUGAAUACAACAGUAUACUAUGAUUGUACCAUUGUCAGAUGUUUAACAAAUUUAUUAAUGGAUAUUAAAGUGUUAGAUUUUAUCUCAUAUUUUCCCAAUUUAUGACUCAGAUUUUAAAUUGAUUAACUCAUUAGAGAAUAAAAAACUCAUCCCGUUGCUAAACUGGACAAGUAACAAAUACUCAUGUCCAUAAUGGGGCUUUGCUUCUUAUUGAAAUUCUAUAAUGUGAACCAAACCCUAAAUCCCUCCAUCCUGAAAUAUAAACUAAACUACUCAAUAUUCAAAGCAAAUUCCGGUCAGUAAAAGUUUGUUCGAAUUUGAUUUGCAAACUAACUUAAUCAAGUUACAAUAAAAUUUUAUGUUUAAAAAAAUUUUAACUGCAGCUCGAGCAUAGCUCGAUAAUCAUAAAAUUGGAUUUUAUAGAUAAAAAUUACUCGAAUUGGACUCAAUAAAAAUUCUUUUGAACUUGCCUCAGUAAAUAAACGAGUCAAUCCUAAAUACUAUCUCAAAAUUCUUUAAAAUAAAUAAACAAGAUACUUGGUUUGAUUAGACACAUUCACAGCCCUAUUUUUCAUAUGCUCGAUAAUAACAUAUUUCUGCACUGGACCAGAUCAGGAAUAGGUAUCUAACUCGUUGAGUUUUGGGACAUGUUUAUCAUUUUUUAAAAUCUUUUUUUUAUUUCUUGUUUUUGUAGGAAAAAACUAAAGGAUGUGUUUGGAUUAGAGACCAAUGAACUUUUUUCCCCCUCGUGCCUAAUUGCAGAUUAAAAGGAAGAACUAGUUCUUAGAUAACGUUUCUAAGUACAACUCUAUUACUCAGAAAACUGGUCUACCUGACUGUGGGUUUUCCUUUAGUCAGGCCAUUUUGUCAUUAGUGAUGAUUGCUUCUUCUAAACCUUAGCUCACUGCACACGCCAAGCGUAUGAAAGCCAAACUUAAAUUGAACUCGUCAAGUUGCAAAAUAAGAAAAUUUGGGUUACGUUUGGUAUGAGUAGUAAGGGAAAAUUUAAUUCCUAUAUUUAUGAUUCUUGACUAAUGUGAUUGCUCAUCUAUGACCACGUAUCAGUUUUAUACCUUAUCUUCAUUUAAAUGUGACGAUUGUAGAAUUGAUGGCUGAAACUGAAAGGAAACUGAAAAAGAAAUGUCAUGUGAGUGCAUACGCAUGUUAAAACAAUACAAAUUAUAACCAAUUUGAUCCCUUGUUUUUAAGGUUUUGAUCGUUUUGGUUCCUUAGUAUCAUGACAAGCCAAUUUUGCCUCUUAAAUUUAAAAAUAUGGUUAGGGAGGUCCUUUUGAUAGAAAUUUGAGUCGCUAAUGAAGUGAAGAGACCCUUUAAUGCCUUUCGUGUCACAUCCGUCUCAACAGUAUAUUAAAGUUUCAAAAAAUCUCAAAUAAGUCAUAAAACUCAUAAAACUAAACCCAAAACUCUUUAUCGUGAAGAAAAUAAAUUUUUGUAACUUUAAAAUAAAUCAAACACAAAACUUUAAACAUAAUUAUGGAAUUUGUGCCAUUUCCGAGUUGAAAUAUCAUGAAAAAGAGUACCUAAAGGUGAAAGAAAAAAUGCAUAAAUUUAUGUUUGACAUAGUAUAAAAAACUUUUAUUUCAUUAUAUUGAAGGAGUUUAUAGUUUUAGGCUUUUGUUUGAAUGCUUGGUGUUUUCUGCAAGAUGGUACGAAGUACGCUCUAAGGUCUCUUAACUCCGUUAACAACUCUAAAUUAGCCUUGGCCAAAUUCUUAAAAUUUAAGAAAAAUUGGUUCGCCAUAAUACAAAGGGACUAUUUUGUUAAUACAUUGGAGAUAAGAACCCAGAUUAAUUAAUUUUUAUUCUUUGCCUAAUUCAAGUGAUUUCUCCGUUAGCUUCCCACAAUUUUGCUGCAUUAGUCUCUUUGAUGGAGAUAGAGCACUAAAUUUGUUGAUAUGACAGACCAUAUUGGCUGAGACUUCAAAGAUAGAUGACCAAAGCAACAACAUUUCCUAAGUAGUUCAUGAAUCAAUUUCAUUGUAUAGUUAGAUAUGAUAGAGAAGAUGUAUCUUUUUUAAAAAUGAAAGGAAAUAAUAUUAAGUUAUAGAUGAUUUCUUGAAUAAAAGGGCAAUAAUAUUAUUGUACUCACUUUUUUAUUAUUUUUAACUUAGAAUAGUUUUCAUGAGGGGUAAAAUAUACAUAUUUAAUGUUAAUGGGAGCAAAGUGUGAUUAUCCACUAAGUUUAGGGGACGCAAAGUGUUAUUAACCCUUUUUAUAACUCACAAUUGUAUUCGAACUUAACUUACGCUGUAACCGUUAGGAUUUUCUAAUAUUCAUUCGACAACUCAGUAACCAUCCUAUUGUAUAAUAACUAUGCUACACCUCAUCAAAGCCUGAUAAGAUGAAGAAAAUUUCUUUUCUGGCAUCUUAAUGCCUUAUAUCCAGUAUUGAGGGAAAAAAAUUAGUCGCAUUACAGUCUGAGAAUUUGAAUCCAGCAAUUUCAUGGUCUGAUGUAGUCACCCAAGUAGGUUCUCCUUAAAACAGGGUCUUGAGGCAAAAUACACAUCAAAUAGGUCAUCUGUCGAUCUUUGAUUAUGUCUACACGUUCAAAAGAUAGGCUUAAUCAUAUUAGUGGAAAUAACUCAUAGUUCAUCAUAUAUUAAUUUGCUAUUCAAUUUAGUUUGAAUACAUGAUCAAUGUUAUCGUAUGCCAAAAAAGAUUGAGGAUACUUUUGACCUAGUUCUUUGCACUAACUUGAAAUCUACCAAUUGUUCUUUCUUUGAUGCACUUGCAAAAUCUCCUGCAAAAGUAAAAUAACUCGGUGAAUUUUGGCUAACUGAGAGGCCCUAUCUUCUUUUUACUUCUUUAGCACAAGCGAAGAAUGAAUUUGUGCAUAAUAACCGUGUGAUUCUAAUGAGAUAUGAUUUUUUUGGUUUUGCAUGCUGGUUAAACAAUUGUUCAAGCUCUUAUCUCGGUUUUUGAUACUUCACCGGUAUGUGGAUGUUGCUGCUAAAGUAAUUUACAUUUGUCAUUAGACGAAUUUUCUAUUUUAUGACUGGCAAGUGAUUUGGUAUCUUAGCAGUUCAUCGAUUUUGGUGCUUUGUUUACAAUUUAAUUGGCUUCAAUGGUCCAUACAUAUAGGAACUUGGAAUUUACCCUUUUAUUUCCUUUUGCAUGAGCAAAGAUUAGUAAUUUUUAAUCAUAAUUUUCGAUUCCUCUAUUCUGGCCAUAGUGAAGAAUCUACCUUUUUGUACUUGUGUAUAUGCACACCAAACAUCAUUGGGCUGUCUACUUUUGACAUUAUUCUUGAAUUACUCAGUUUAGAAUGUGUAUUAGCUGCUGGAAGCAAAUGCAUCAUCGUUGGCAAUUACUAAACAGAAAAUAUGCAUGCCAUUACUAUUUUCACUGAAAUUAGCACCUAACUUAUAGUGAUCUAAUUAAAGGUUAACCACAUUGGUUUUGACUAGAACUAAGAGAUCACUAGCCCUCUUAUUUUUGGAUUUGCAUUAAUCCAGUAUCAUCAAACUUCUUCAAAUGGGCUCUUUAGCUACUAACCCCUUCAAAAAUAAUUUAGGCUUACGGUUCUGUUGAUGUCGCAAUUGCAGGAGGUUCAGAAGAUAACGAAAGGCUCAUCUAAGAUUUCUUAAGGUGUUUGGCGUAUAUUGCUAGAUUUACUUAGGGUCUGUUUGGAUUGUAAGUUAUUUGGGAUUAUUUGGAAUAUUUUUACUGUAGCACUUUUUGUGAUGUGAUGUAUGUGAGAUAAAAAGAUAUUGGAAAGAUAAAAAGGUGUAUUGGAAAUUGUAAAGAUGAUGUAAGCAAAUAAAAUUGGGGAAAUAUGAAGCAAUCCAAACAAACUUAAUCUAUUUUCAUUCUUCUCCGAUGUCAUUAUUGUUAAAGUUCAAUUCAUAAGUUCGUUGUGUUAGAAAAUUGGCUUAAUUUCUUUUUAGAUAGGUUUUUGUUUUGUGUAAAAGUAACUAGUUUCCUAAUUGAUUUUAGUUACUCGAAAUAGUAGCCAAGAAAUUUCUUAUUUUGUUUAGAAUUAGAAGUUAUUUCUUAUUUUCUACAAGUCUAGGAAUUAGAAUUAAUUUUCUGUUGUUAUUUGGAUUUUUUGACCAAAUAAUGUUUUUAUAAAUAGGUGGGUUGGCAUACUAUAAAAGAGACACAUAAAGGCACACAAGGACGACAUGUAACCUUAUACAUGGGUGGUGAGAGAGAGUUCUUAGGAGAUGAGAAAUGGUAUCAAAGGUUGUACUUGAAUUCGAGUUAUAUUCUUGUAUAAGGUUUUUCUUUCAUAAUAAAGAACAAGUUUCUCUCCGUGGACGUAGGUUCAAUGGAGUCAAACUACGUUAAAUAUUGUGUGUUGUUUAUCUUUCAUACUUGUGGCUUGUUUCUCAUUAAAUUAUUGUGUACUUGAUAUCUUAAUAGUUAUUUAUUUUGCAUUUAGUUCCUAACAAAUGGUAUCAGAACUUGGUUGCAAGAUUGGGCUGCUCACAAGCACUUGGAUCCCAACAAACUGAAUAGUUGGAUCAAGAGUUUGGUUGUUCAAGGUUGGAUCCUAAUUAACUAUUGAGAUCAAGUAGGUUGGUGACUGUUACCAAUUGAACAAUUUAAUGGGCGGUAUCCUUAUUUCAAGAGUUUGGCAAAAAUCAUUGACGGUGAAUGAUGAAAAGUCGAAAAGCAUGGAGAUACUUGACGAUGAAUCUAAGCAGGUGAUUCAAGAGUCAAGGAAAAGGUGGAAUCCAAUGUCGAUUUUGGACGUGAAUCGGUGGAGACUUUCUCACAAUUUCAACGGUUGAUACUUCAUCCCGGUGGUUUUUAGAUUUCGCUUAUGUUUUUUGAGUGGUACGGCACGUGUUCAAAGAUGGAGAUUUGUUAGGAAAUUGACUUAAUUUCUUUUCAGACAUGUUUUUGUUUUGUGUGGAAGUAACUAGUUUACUAAUUGGUAUUAGUUACAUGAAAUAGUAGCCAAGGAAUUUCUUAUUUUAUUUAGGAUUAGAAAUUAUUUCCUAUUCUGUACAAGUCUAGAAAUUAGAAUUGGUUGUCUAUUAUUAUUUAAUUUUUUGGCCAAAUAAUAUUCUCUAUAAAUAGGUGGAUUGGCAUACUACAAAGAGACACACAAAAGCACACAAGAGACGACAUGUAGCCUUAUACAUGGGUGGUGAGAGAGGAUUUUUAGGAGAUGAGAGAUGGUAUACAAAGGUUGAAUUGGGGUUCAAGUUGUGUUCUUGUAUAGAAUUUUUCUCUUAUAAUAAAGAAUGAGUUUUUCUCUGUGGAUAUAUGUUCAAUGGUGGAGUCGAACCACAUUAAAAAAUAGUGUGUCAUUUAUCUUUCAUGCUUGUGGCUUGUUUCUCAUUAAAUUGUAGUGUACUUGAUAUCUCAAUAGUUGUUUAUUCCACGCUUGGAUCCUAACAGACUGCUAAACCAAGAUUGAUGUAAUUGCAUCCUAUACUUGAGAUAAUAGAAAUAAUAAAAACAAGAGAGUUUGCAAUUCAAUUGAUUAAGGGAAGAACAGAGAAAAUCCCUGAAAAUAGGAAUUAAAGGAAACAAAGGAAACCCUAAAACUAGUUUCCAAGAACAAUUCUGUCGAAGACAGAAAACAAAGAAAAUAGUUUCAAAGGCUAUAUCGUUAUUUAGAAAACAAGAAGCACUUGAAGGUGAAUGUUGCAGAAAGUAGAAGAUCCCACUACAAUUUACUAAUUCAAGGAGCUGUAAUUAAGAAAGAAAGAAGACAACUCAGAGAAUUAGGGAUUGUUAUUGAUUGAUGAAUGAGUAGGAAGAAUGUAGAUGAAGAUGAUAAUCAAUUACAAGUAAUGGAAAUCGGAAAUCCAAGAACUGCCUUCAACUUACCACCCUCCUCUCUUUUAUUCAGCUACUACACUUGUCCAAGUCAGCUAAUUCAUUACAACCAACCGACAUACAAGAAUUAUAAGGAUUUAUUCAUUAAGUCCCUAUCAUACUUGCUUUAUUACAAAAAAAAAAAAAAAAACCCUAUCAAUAAAACUAAGGUAACAAAUACUUCCCCCUCAGAGAAUCCUUGUCCUCAAGGAUUAAAUUCAGGAAAUUGUUGUUUAAGGUCAAACCAGAAUUCCCAGAUAGCAUCUUCAAGAAAAGAAUUGCUUCACUAUGCCAAAACUUUUGUAGCAAGAGAGUUACCACAUUUCACCAAUUUCUGAUCAAGUAUGGCUAUAGGCUCCAUUAAUAAUUAUCCCUGUGUAUUGAUUGCAAAAGGAAUGUGUGAGGUAACUAGUGAGUGCCCACUUUCUUCUUUAGAAGAGAUACAUAAAAAAUAGAGUGUAUUUUUGCCAUAUUAGGCAGCUAAAGCUGAUAUGCAACAGGGUGUACUCUUUUGAUCACUUGGAAAGGUCCAAAAAACUUAGAAGCUAACUUCUGACAAGAGUGUACCUUCAAAGAGUGUUGCCUCUACAGUUGUAGUUUCACAUAUACCCAAUCUCUUGCUGAGUACUGUCUAUCAGACCUGUGUUGGUCAGCUUGUUGCUCCAUCCUAUUUUGUGCCUUAUGAAGGUUGUACUUUAAGUGAUGCAAAACUAUCUCCCUUGCUGCCAAGAUUCUAUCCACCACUUCCACUACUGAAUUCCCAAGUAGACAAGGCAUAUGCAGAGAUGGUGCAUGACCAUACACCACCUCAAAUUGGAUAACCUUAGUGGCAGCAUGAAAUUUGGUAUUGUACCAAUAUUCAGCCAAGGGUAACUAGAUAGACCACUGCUUUGGAAAAUCUCCACACAUGCACCUCAAAUAUUACUCCAAACACCUGUUUACCACCUCAGUUUGACCCUCUGACUGAGGGUGGUAGGUAGAAGAGGUAUUAAUCUGCACUUUUAGUAACUUAAAAAGUUCUUGCCAAAAAGUGCUAAUGAAGACCACAUCCUUGUCACUAACAAUGCUCUGAGACAGUCUAUAGAUCUGAUCCAGGAAUAUGUGCAAAUAUAAAUGCUGAAUAAGCAUGUGACAAUGCCAAGAAGUGUGCAUACUUACCUAACUUGUCAACCACCACCAAGAUGGCUUGUUUACCAUGUGCAUUAGGUAAACCUUCCAUAAAGUCCAUGGAAAUUCACUCCAAACCUUUUGAGGCACACGUAAAAGUCAUAAUAAACCGAAAUAAGCAGUAUUGUCAUAUUUGUUGCACUGACAGACAUCACAUGCAGCCACAUAGUUGACUAUGUCUUGAUACAUUCUUCUCUAAUAAACCACCGACUUCAACUUCUUUUAGGUAGCAUAAACUCCUGAAUGCCUCCAACAGCACUAAAAUGCCACAAGUGAAUUAUAUUAUUCUUGAAUUGGCCGUCAUUUUCUACCACUAGUCUCCCCAUCCUCCUUAACUGCUAGUUGCUCCAUGUGUAAUAAGGUGAGACCUUAGAAAGAUCAAAUUGUAAUUGAGUGAUGAAGGUCUAUAGCCUUAUAUCUAUUUGCCAUCCCUUUUUAAUCACUAUCAAAGAUCACUAUUAACAAUGAUGAUGGCAAGAGCUUCUCUUGGUUCUGCUAGUUUUCUAAAGAGAGUAUCUCUCACCAUAUUAUAUGCUUCUUUCCUGUAUUGAAGCUCAUAAUCAAAUCUUACUAGCUUAGCCAUCCAUUUCUGCUGCACAAGAGUGUUCAAUCUUUGUUCCAUCAUAUAUUCAAUGCUCUAAUGGUCAUUUUUAAUGAUAACGUACCUUCCAAGUAGAUAAUGUCUCCACGUCUAUACAGCAGCAACUAUGGCUAAUAUUUGCACUUUUCCAAUAUACUAUCAUAUGCUAUUUCCCCAUACACCUAAAUUUUACAUUAUCCCCAAAGUAAAAUAAAGAAUAAAAAAAAAGUAAUGGGGAUAACGAAACUUCCUGAUAACUGAGGGGGCCAUGGACAGCUACAGGUGAGGGGCGAAUGAUUGUAGAGCUCGACGUGUGUUGAUGGUUGGCGGCGGUGGAGUUCGGAUGGAGAAGGAUGGAAGAAAGAAAGAAAGAAGAAAGAAAAAGAAGAGAGAAAGAAAGAAAGAAAAAGAAAAGGAAAAAGAAAGGAAAAGGAAGAGAAAAGAAAAGGAAAAUGCGAAUGGGAAUUGCUCUAAUCCCAGCUGGUUUUAUGUACUACUACUUUGCUUCUUGUACGAAGCUUGAAAUGCAGCAAGCGCGGAAAAUUUUUUUUUUUUUACAUCUGGUUUUGAUUUUUUUUUCCUUUUCUGUAUUUCCUUUUCUUUUCUUUCUAUUUUUUCUGCAAAAACAAUCAAAUAAAAAUCAAAUGAGAUGGAGUGAUUUUUUUAAAAAGGUAAAAAUAUAAAUAGAGAUAAAUAAAUAUAAAUAAAUAAUAAUAGAUAUUAACAAAUCAUAAAAUGAUUUAUGAAAUUUUUUUGGUGUCUACAUAUAUACACAUACUAAUAAUUUUUAUAUUUAUAUAUUUUUUCUAUUUAAUCUUACCUAUAAUUCUUCCUUAUUUUAUUUACUUUCUUUAAUUAAUUUUAUAUUUUUAAAAAUAUAACAUCUAAAAAUAUAUAUUAACAAAGAGGGCAUUCGUUAGACAGGCCCUAUUUUAUGUAGCAUAUAUGUCACUACAUGGAAAAAACUUUUUUAAUAGGUAUCCCGUUUUUUGACAUGAAAAAUACCUUUUGACUACAUUCUGACUAGCGCCAAAAGCUAUCCACUUUUGACAUGUUGCCCAUGUGGGUCCUUGAUGAUUGGUGUCACAAUUUUAACACAUGGUCGUACUAGGUACAAUGUGGUCAAUAUUGGAUUAGGAGCACUAAUUCAAAAAAGUUGGUGUAAUUGUACGGUUGUUAUUUUUAUAUAAAAUUUGGCACAUAUUUGUAUAAAUGUUUAUAUAUUUUUAUACAUUUUCAAAAAAUAUUUUAUAUAUAUUUUUAAAAAUAUAUAAAUUUUUGUAUAUAUAUUUUAAAAAUUUUGGCAUUUAUAAGCAAAAUUCUUACAUACAAUAAAAUAAUAGCAUGAUAUGAGAUGAAUAAUAAUUGAAUAGUACUGCUGUUGCCCCAUUUACCGGUGAUGCUACUUGUAACUUGAUGUUCAAAAAGCACCACCAUAACUUUUGCUGAACUAAAUUUGAAAAAGCAUUUCAUCGAAUUUGAAUGGCAUCGAAUAUAAAAUAAUGUUCAAAGUUGAUUUGACAAGUUGGUGAACCAAAUCGAACGAGCUUUUACCGGAUUGAACUUAAUUCGAAUAUUAGUAAUUUGAUUCAUCUUUCGACCUUAAUACCGGCCAAAAAAAAAAAAUAAUCAAUUACCAAUCAAGUAUAAUGUCUUAUUUUUUUACCAAGUUUUUAAGGGUGUGCACACCAUUGUUCUCCCUUUUCCUUUGACAUGUAAGGCCACUUUUCCUGCUUCAUGUGUUGCCUAAUUUAAGUUUCGUUUUAUGUUGACUCCUAAUUUAGCGUCUUCUUGAAAGCUCCGACUAUUGCUCGGAAAAAAUAUAUUGCUGUUGAAAACAUCAUCACAUAUUUGGAAAGAUUUACUUGUUGCUUGGGAUUUUAGGUUUGAUCUUUUAUUUCAUAAAGCAUUUUGUUAGAUUUCAAUGGCUUAAAAAAAUGAUGACUUUUGUAAGAAUAUUGAGCUCUCAGACAUUCAGUGCAGGCCUAAUUUUUUUUAGUACUGAAUUUGUUUUGGAUACGUUAGUAUUUCUUGAAUUUUAGAAAAUGCUUCUCUUUAAUAAAUGUAAGUUCAUUUUAAUCUUGAUUCGCAAGCUUUUUCUUGAAAAUGGUUUGCCAUUUCUUAUUAGUUGUUACAGUAAAUUUAGCAUGCAUAUAUGUUUUUUGUCAAAAUUCAAUCAUUUCAAAAUCUAGAAGGGAACUUCUAAAAUACCUGCAUCCUCCUUUUUCUUUUUUAUUUUUCCCCCUCUUGGCUUUGUAUUCAGAAUCAGAUUGUGUUCAAUUAGUUGGAAUUUGGCUUUGGAGUUAAAAGGGAUUUCCAUUUUUUCCUAGGUAUUCCACAGCUUGCAUACCAAAAGCACAGAGGCGGAAGAAAACCUAUGAUUAAAUCAUCCAACAGGCUUGUAAGAAAAUGCCCACUUUGAAAAAAUGAAAAGUUGAAUUUCCUAUUUUCAAAUUUACAUGCAAAAAAUCAAAAAUGGCAUGCAAGAAAUAGUCUACUAUUUCGCCAUGUUUCAUAGUUUAUGAGAAAUAUAUUACAAAUAAAUCCACAUAAAUGGUGGGAAUAAUAACUCAAAUAUGGUGGGACAAAAAAACAUAUAGGGUGACCCCUGCCAGCUGAGAUAACUAGCUGGUUUAUUUAAUUUAAUACUUUGAAUACAAUAGUAAAUCAAUGCCGCCAUAGCUCAGAUACUGACUAAAUUUUUCUCCCUGAAGAAUUCAACAGCAUCUUUUAGGCUGACCUCCAAAGGAGUGAAUUGAACUCCCAGCCUUUUUGCCUUCUCAUUGGAGGCUCUGUAGUUUGGGCUGAUAAGGUUGGUAUUGUUUGACAUUCUGCUGUAUGCGGGACAAUACACAAUUAUGGCAAACAUAAAUAAAGCUUAGGUAAUGAAAAUGCAAAUGUAAAUUCAAAUGCUUGAAAAUCUACUGGACAAUUGCCUCAUAUCUACUGUAAAUUGUGCCUUUUUUACGAAGUUUCAAAAGACCUUUUAAAAGAUAACUUUAGUUGUGAUAUGAAUGAAAUUUAUUUUUUUCUAAAAAAAAGCCUAAAACGGAAUUUCUAUUUUGGAGACAAAGCCAAUUUGGUGAUAUAUCCUAGUCCAAAGAAGACCAUCUUCUAGAAAUCAACCUGAGAAAGAGCUCAUUUUUUAUGGAACAUGAGACCAAAAGAAAAAAAAAAAGAAGGCAGAAAAUUUAGGAUUUAGUGUCCUUUAAAAGAGAGUAUAAAAAUAUGUGAUACAUUUUGGACGUAUACAAGGCCAUCAGCAAAAGCCUGUAAAGACCUAAACAAGGAAAACAAGACUUACUUAUCAGGAAAUUGGUGAGUUGGGUAAUGCUCAUGCAAAAUCUUGAUGAUCUGAGAGGCAUUUGCACAUCUUUCAACCAGACAAUAUCUUCCACUUGCAGAAGGGGUUUCAAGGGCAAGAACAUGUGCAUAGGCAACAUCUCUAACAUCAACCCAGCUACAUGUUGCCUUAGGAAAUGGUUCAACCCCUGCAUUUGGCACCUAAGAUCUUUAAACACAUUUUUUUGCAGGCUCUUCAGCAAACAUAAGUGAAACUGUGCAUACAAUUAAAUACAAUUGGUUUGUUUGGAUCAGCAUGAUUUCAGAUAAAAUAAUUUGCUUCACAAAUUCCAAUCACCUUUUUAUCUUCCCAAUCACCUUUUUAUCUCACAUACAGCACAUCACAAAAAGUGUUACAGUAAUUAUCUCAAAUAAAUCAUCCAAAUAAACUUCUAUCCAAACAAACUCAAUGUUGUUUGCCAUGAAAAGAGUCAAAUUUAGAGGCCAUGGCCUGCCUUCCAGAAGAAAUGUGUGGUAUGUACUACUUUGUUCUGUUUUAGUAUCAGCAAAGCCACAGAGGGGAGGGAGAUGUGAGGAAUGAACUAGUUGAGACAAUUCAGAUAAUUGGUGAAUAAUAAGAAAGAUUAAUCCCAACAAUCUACUAGUUAAUCUGUCCCUGGAAUUUCACAGAUUUAGAGUUAGGUUUCUCUUUCAAAGGAUAGUUUAUUUAUUUUCUUCCAAAAAGGAUCAAUUACUAGACAAAAGAAUAAACUACAGGCAUGAUAAUACUAGUUGUCUCGUACUUAAGAGUUAAAUGGUGAGAGUUGAAGAAACUUGUCCCUUCACUCUCAUCCAGAUAGAAAAACAGAAUUUAUUCCUGUUGUUUUGUUCUAGAGAGUGAAAUAGUAAUCAAUUCCUGAAAUUUGUUUCUUGCCAUUGUUGUACAAAGUGGCUAUUUGGGUCGAAGGAGUCCUUGCGAAUUGAAAGAAUAAUAAACAUGCUUUAGCAAGUCUGUACAACAUAAACAGUGACUACUCCUAACAAAUUUUUCCUCACAAUUACCACCCAAAAAUUUCUUUUCCUUCCUGUUAAUCACAUAGAACCUCAAUGUUGUUGAAAGGAAGAUGCACACAACGUGAAUUUCAGAUGAAAGAUUGUACUGCAAACCUUUAAAACAUCAUAAGCUGGUCAGAGUUUAUAGCUUGAUAUAUCAGUUCACAUUCUGACCUAUGUCUGUCAAUCAUGUGAUUAGCCAGCAGUGCCUUGAAAUGUUAUUAGUCAUAAGUUUUUUGUUCUACUGUAACAAAGAAAGUUGUGGUGCAUAAUAAAGCUAUAAGUAACAUAGAUGGAAGAGUCAGUUAGACAAUGAUUACUAAGGUGAUUCAAUAAAUUUUGAAACAAACCCUUUAAUAGGUUGAGGAACAAAACAGCGCUCGAAUUAACAGAUGGCUGCAAGAGAGGACCAAUGACCAAUCCUGGAUGAAUUGUAAUCACGUCAAUGCCAUGCUCCUUUGCAAAUUUCCAUGCAGCAUUCUCGGCCAUGGUUUUUGAAAGUUCAUACCAAGACUAUCAACACCGAAAAAUCAGUAAAUGUUGGUAAGAUGGUAGCAGAAAGUAAUUAGAUUUGUAAACUUUAAGAAGUAACAUUAUAAAUUUCUACAAAUUUGACAAAACCAGCAACUUACAUCAGUUGAAACUAUUAUUGCUGUAGCUACAAAGCACAGAGUGAAAGUAUCCACAUUUCCCAGGACAAGCAAUGCUAUAAGUGAAUAAGUAGAUUUCUCAAGGAUCCUAGGAAUGGUGUAAACUUUCUAUAUUCAAGGAAUGAUGCAAAGCACCAGUGUCGACAUAUCCUGAUCAUCUGAUCUCUUAAUCCACAAGUUAACAGCAAAACUACAAGGGACCUUGACACUUUAACACAUAUAGCCAUAUUCAUAAUAUUAUAGCAGAAGUUCCUUUCCAACCGACCGACCAAAUAUUGCUCAUCUAGGUGUGUAUUCUCAGACAAUAGUAUAGAAUUUGAUCAUGCAAGAGAUGCAUAAUUAAGUAGGAAAACUUUCAUAUUGCUCUUUCCCCGACUAUUCCACACUACAUUAUUAAUUUUUCAUUAAAGUUAAGUUGUUACUUAGAUAGAAGGAAAGAAAUGGACUGACCAUUCUGGUUACAAAAAUAUCCUUCUUUUUGCCUAUUAAAGUGCCACCAAGUCAUGAAGAUCCUAACUUAAUUAUCUCCACAGCUGGGCUAACUCCUCAUAUGUGUUCCAACAACAAGUUAAAACUAAAGAAUUCCAGCAUUCCAAAUUAGAUUUUACUGGAAGAAGACAGAUAAUAUAUGUACCUUUUGCUCCUCACAGUAUGAUGGAUCGGAAAACCAACUUUCAUCAACUACCACAUCCUCCUUUAAUUCUCUGUUUUUUGAAACUGCAACCAUAGAGGAUGUUAUAACUACUCUUUUGACAGAAGAAGAAUUUGCACAUGACCGCAGCACAUUCAGUGUUCCGCUUACUGCAGGUUCCAGUAGUUCUGCCUAUGAAAUCAAACCAAGUAAAAAAGGAAGUCAUUACCAGUCAUAGGUAAGACUAUGCUUUUAACCUGCAAAAAACUUAUCAUUCUGGUAUUAUGUUUGAGAAUUUCACCACAAAUGCUGUAAACCUACAGCUUUAGUUACUUAGCUAAAGGAUACAUAUUGUUGUCUUAUCUCCUCUUGCUGCUAAAAUAAGUUCUCAGGUCCUUUAUUGUUGUUUUUUCCCAAAUUUUUUCAGCUUUCACUGGGUGACAGGAACUUAAGACCAAUAGAGGAACAACUGAAAUAAGUCUCAGAUGUGGUCACCAAUUAAACCGUUUGCUACCAAAUAUCAACCGAUGAAAUUCUGUUCUGGCUUGAACAGGACAGACAGAAAAUAUAAAAGGUGUAGCUCCCAUGAAUCCUGCCAACAGAUUUUAGCGUGAACACAUAAUGCAUGUUGCAAUUUCUUUUAGUGUCUGUGAGUCAACCUUGUUCAUUGAAAUGACUAAAAUCAAAGUUCUACAAAGUUACUUAAAAAAAAUCCAUAAACACAAUUUGAGAAACAGACAAGGAUAGGUGUACUGCAUAAAAUUUUAAGGCACAAUCAUUAAUAGAAGUUAAUCAACUUACAAAUGAAGAUACAUAUAAUUUGCAGAUGCUUGAACAUAUAUUGUAGUUUCUAUAAGCUUCUUAUUCAUUCUGGUAUGGGCACGCAAAAGCCAUUGGCUCUACACUGGCUGAAUAAUUAGUUGGUCAAAGCAGGGAUUCAUUUGCUCCAGGACAAGCUUAUAGCUUGCUCUAUAACCUUACCCUGACUGACUUACCCAGGAAAAUAGUUAGUCGGACCCAAUCUACUGCCCAAUUGUGGACCAUUUGCUAUGUUUAUGGCUCUUAAUGUUUUUAUUUCACAACAUUACACCCUUUGAAUUGUUUCGCUGAAGUACCAAUUUCCAGAUCAUUUCAUAGAAACAUCAUGUAUACUGAUUAAAAAGAGACUAAAGCACAUAACACACGACAGUCUUUUUGUGAAUGACCUGCAGGAACAGAUUAGUUUUGUAUGUACCAAAUGUAAAGAAAUAUUCUUCUGGUGUUUGACCUGAUUGCUACAUUAAUCUCCUCCCUUUGGUUAAUAAAAGAAAAAGUAGAGCCAUAGAAUUGGAAACAUUUGAUUCUAACUCUUUUUUAUUUUACAGCUGUAACAUUGUCAUAAAUCAUAUAUAGAGGAAGAGGAAUAGACUAUAACCCAAAAAAGCCAGUAAAAAUGCAACAGAGGAAGAUACUAAAAGAAGUCGCACAAUUAUAAAUCAGAAAGUAUGCUACGAUUUUCAAACUUCACUAGAUAAAUAGCAGAUUUUGUAGACAGUAGAGAAUUUCCAAUCUUGUAAAGCAAAUGUACCUCUGGAUUGCUAAAUGAAAGUUUGAUUGGAGAUGCAGUAUGGAAAACCCCUUCACAUCCCUCGACUAUUGCAUCAAACGAUCCCUCUUCCAGUAAGUUUGCCGAGUACAACUGAAGCCUUUCCUUAGCUCCAUCAAGUGAUGUCAAAUGUUGUGUCCUUUCCGGAUCAUCUGUGUCAUGAUUGCAUCAGUAGAAUGUUCAGAGGGACAAUUGUAUGCCAUCUACCACUAUUUUUAUAACAAACUCAGUCCUUCAGAAGAAGGAUAUAGAUUCGAUAGGCUAAAGAUUUUUUAGUAUAACUUGAUCGUUGUAUCUGGAGCAUGAAACAAUUAAGUUGGUCCACAUCAAAAAUAUAUAUAUUUUUUUGCAUGUGAUUUUCUUUUGAGCAAACAGAACAUGGGGAGCAUUUCGCUGUUGCAAGAAUAUCAUCUGGAGCUACAAGACAAUUUCACACUGCAGAGUUGAAUAAAAAUAUUGGGCAAAUUACAUAUAAUCCUCCUGUGGCUUUGUCUGUUGCCACAUGACCCUUCUAACAUUUUAAAAUAUCCAAUUCGCCCAUUAUGAUUUUAUGUAAAGCGGAAACUUGAUGGAGAAUAGCCUAUAUAAUGUCGUUAAUUGAAAUAUCAGUAGUACUUUUACUUAAAUGCUAAAUCAAUCGACAAUUUAAUUACCUUAUAUAAAAGUAUAAGGGGAUUAUAUGAAUAAAUAUAAAAAUCACAGGAGAGAUAAAGUUGACAAUUAUACAAACUAUAAGGGAAUUACAUUGAAAUUAAGACUUUAUCACACACGCUUUUAGAGCGCGUUUGGUAUAAAUGCCGUAACUAAUUGUGCAUUCCAUCAUUUUCCGCUUUACAUAUAACUAUGGGGGGUAUGUGGUUAUUUUGAAAUCUUAGGGGGACUAUCUAGCAUUAUAUAAAAUCACCCUAAAAUAUAGUUAUAAGUAAUUUACCCUAAAAUGUUAGAUUCCAGGAGCAAUUAAACAACAAUCAGAAUAGGGCAUCAAAAACUGUACAAGCCACUAAGAUAGUUGAUCAAGAACAAAAACUGGACUUACAGGCAUCUCGAACUGAACCUUUAACAGUAUAACCGCGCUCGAGCAGCAGCUUCACCAGCCAUGAAGCUAUGUAACCCGAAGCUCCGGUCACACACACCAUUUUCCCUUCUCCUGCUCCACUCAUUUUGUUAAUAUUUUUGUGUGUGAACCUUUCACCUGUUUGCCUUACUUCUGGACUUAAUGGAGGGAGGCAUAUAUGGUGUAUAUAUAGCUAUGGUGAAGAAGACGAAAGAUUGGAUAUGACAUUACGUGGGAGACUAGGGAGAUCCAUAUGUAUUCUUGCAAUUUGCAUGCAUCAUCGCUGACAUACGUAUGGUAUAAUCGGGUCACAUCCCAUUUUAUCAAGGUCAAUUGAUCAGUGUAAAAUAGAAAUGAACAAUAAAUACAAUGGUAAAUUACCUUCUACACCCUAUGAUUUGAUGUUUUAUCACAUAACUCCCUAUGAUUUAAAAACCUAUAUUUGACCCUUUCAUAGUUUGGAUUAUUGUGUCACUUUAGAUUUUUCCGUUAAAACUAACGGUCAAUAGUAAAAAGUCAAAUUCAAACUACUAAAUUGAUAAAUUCACCAUUUCACUACUUUUUUAUUCUUGUUUUCCUUUUCUUUCUCUCCUUUUUUUUUUUUUGGAAAGAGAAGAGAUGACUUUGAAAACUUGUAUUUUGGCUUACAAAACCUUAAUUGUUUCCAAAUACAAAAGAGAUAGAAGGGAAAUAAAAAUAAAUCAACAAGAAACAAAAAAUAUGGAAGGUAAAGAUAUAACAAAUAAAUAAGAAACAAAAAAACACCAAAUAUUUUUUACUAUGAAUAUCAUUAUAGGUUUUUAAACCAAAUCUUUAAUAGUAUUUUCUAGUUCUUAUUUAUCUAUAUUUUAUUUCAAUUUCUUCUUUUUGAUGUUUGUAGGGGAAAAAAAACAAGUAAUGAAGGGAUAAAUUUGUCAAUUUAUUAGUUUGACUUUUUAAUAUUAACUGUUAGUUUUAACAAAAAAAAACUAACAGUGACACAUUAACUCAAAUUAUUAGGGGGCUAUAUAUAGUUUUUAAACUAUAGGGGGUUAUGUGAGAAAAUACCAAACUAUAGAGGUUAAAAGGCAAUUUAUCCUAAAUUCAAAAUCAGGCGGUUGCAUAUGAAAAAAUACCAAGGUUCUUGACUUUGCUCAAUACAAUUCCAAGUCUAGAGACACAAUUUUUAAAUUCACUACCAGGAUAAACCAUUCUCCUUUUUUUUUUCGGGUCAAAAAGUACAAGCUACUUGAACUAGAAACUAGUCCUGACAAAGUUUGUGGGUUUUUUGCAAGAGUUUUAGUUAAAUAUUGGUUACUUCGCCUAAUUUGCACCUAUUUUAUCACGUAAAUGCACACACACUUUUAAAAAAAUAAUGCAUGCACUUAUAUUAUUGCCUUUCGUACAUUUAAAUACUUUUUUCAAUUUAAUUUUACUUUUCUGGCAAAACUAAAUCUGAAGCCCAUUUCAAGAAAUAUCCACCGAAUACCAGGUCAACAAACCCCCUUCGUAAUAAAGAACGAAAAGGACCGCAGCGUUCUUAACACGCAGCGGUGUUUUUGCGUGUAAGAAAGCUUUUGAUUGACUAGAAAUCCUUCUUAUCUGAUUGAGAAAUGGGAAUCGACUUGAUGAUGGCAACUCCAUUUAGAAAACUGGUCCACACCCUUGAAUGUGGUUUAAAUUUAAUAACACCAUUUCAUCAUUUCCGACGACUGCUUCUUCUAUGUCCUAGCUCACUGCACACGCCAGUCGUGUGAAACUUGGCAAAAGAGUUACACCCUCCGUCCUAAAAUUGUUUGUCGAAACCCAACUUUUUAAAAAUAGCAGCUUGAUGAUGAUAUUUGUAGAUUUGUCUCAAAAAUUGUCAUCAAAAAUUCAAAUUUUAAAUUGAAUUUAGUAUGAAAUAUAGAUAAAGUUAUUGGAAUAAUAUUGAAAAAAAGAGAUUAAAAGUUAUUUUGAUUUUGAUAAGAUAAUAAAUAUUUUAGAACGUUUCAAAAUAAAAAAAAAAUAUGACACUUUCAAUGAGACAAAAGAAUGGAGAGAAUAUAUAUAUAAGAUACUGAAAACUAGCAUCCAUCAGAAGCAGUCAAAUCAAAGCCACCAUAUUACUUGUAGUUUGGUUAUAACAAAUAUCUCAGCUUGCUGGUAGCCCAAAAAUUUAGCAAAAUAAAUUAGGUAACCCAGCGCGAUAGAGUAUAUUUCACCCAAAUAUAUUAAAAGUGAAAAAGAUUUAUUUUUAUUUAAUCAAUGUGAUUUUUUGUGUCCACAUGCCCAUAAAGCUCAAGGACCAAAAAGCCAAACAUACGAAGUGAAAAUGUGAAGAGCAAUAAUUUGAAUAUAAAAAAAAAACGGGUAGAUGGAUAGAAAACCAUGUCGAAGGUCUCUUCUCUCUCUUUUUUUUUUUUUUUUUUUGGUUUGGCCAUGCAUGGUGCAUAUGAUAUGAAGGAUAAUUGUAAAGCACCAUAUACUGCCCAAGGAAAGUAGAUUACACAGUGGGAACCAAAAAUAGAAGAAAAUAAAGCCUCAUAUGAACCGAAUCUUUCCCCUUGCUUUUUUUUUGGGAAUUUAAAGGUAUAAUGCAAGAAAUAACUCCUGGUCAUGCAAAAUUGCCAACAAAAAUGCGUCUUUGGUUUUUAAUUCCUUAAUAACAUACUAUCCAGCAUACUAUUUAGCAUAAUAACAUACUAUCUCAGAUGCAUCCACUCAAAUAUCCUGGCCGAGAUGGUAUGAGGCCAAUUUUCUAUCAAAAAUAUAGGUCUGUAGCAGGUAAUGACGUUACCUCACUACAACAAAAAUGGCCUUUAGCGGCAUUUAAAGGUGUCAGUAUAGAAAAUUUAAUCUGACACUUUAUCUAUCCUAACACCCAUGGCGAGUGUUGUCCCUUCCAAUGUGGGGAUAGCCUCAAAUCUUUAGCAGCAUUCAAAUGUGUCAGGCAAAUCAUGCUGCUAUAUUUUUACCUCUGCCAACAAAUCCUUUUUUUGUGAUAAUCGAAAAUGUUUGUAUAGCGUUAGGACAUCAGUAGGGAAUCAGUAGGAUAUCAAAUUUAUGAAGGCAUCUUGAGUUGUCUUAAUAUAUGGCUUUAAGGACAUGUAGCCAUGUGAAUUUACAAUGUGUUGGACGACAUGCCUAUUUGUUGUUAGUGUUUUUCGAAACUACAUAAUUUUAUCAACCCUUACACCAAAUGAAUUUUAUCAAAUUCAUUUCCUUGUAGAUGAAUAUCUAAUAUGACUGAAUUCAGAAUGUGUGGGUCUGUUAAAUCUAUUGAAAUGUUUGGAGCACAGUUAAAAUAUAUGGGUCCAUUACAUACAUUAGUUUGAAUCAUAGAAAGUAAAGAAGUUUUAUAUCUUUUGAAUCUAGUAUCUCUUAAUGCUAGAUAUAUAGGAGCAUUUACUCCUAAAUGGAAUAAGGGUUUUACUGCAAUUUGUAUUAAACCUAUAUGAAUAUAUCUAUAUUAAAAUGUGGAUCCCUCCAUUGUAUAAACCUAAUGACUGUAAUCCUAAUAUUAUAUCAUGAUUUAUAUUUUUUACAAUUAUGUCUAAUACAAUAUUCAUUGUUACAUAUUGAUCCUUUUGUAAAUUUAUAUUUUACUUGUAAAUUUUCUCCAUUUGCUGCCAUUAAGGUUUCCUUUGUUCUUUCACAAUAUUUAGUAGGAAUUAUUCCUUCUUUAAUACAACUUGAAUCAGCUCCACUAUUUAUUAAAGCUACAUAUAUUUCUUUGAAAUCUUCUACUGUAAUAGUUACUAAAGCAUACCAUUUUUGAAAUAUCAUUUUUUCUAUGGUAUUUAAAUAUUGAAUUUCAUCUGUUAGUCUUUCUGAUAUACUUAUUUCUUCUGUUUUAGAAUUGGAAGUUGAGGGUUGAUUUUCUAGUAAUGUUAUUUUUGCUUCUAUUUCUAAAUCUUUUGUUUUUAAUUCUAUGAUUUCUCUUUGUAAUUGUUUUACUUGUAUUUUAAGAUCAUUAAUUUUUGUUUGAAGAUCUUUAGUGGUUUCUUUUUUCAUUAGAUUUAUGUUUGGAUAUUUAUCUAUUAAUUUAGAAAUACUAAAAGGUUCUAUUAUUUUUGGCAUUUUGUCUUCUUGUAUAAUUAGACUUUUUAAUCUUUCUAAAUACUCUUUUUUAGCUACUGGAUCAUCAAUUUUUUCUAUUAUAUCUAAUAAAAAUUCUUUAUCUUCUUUUUUGGUUAUAACAUUUAUAUAUUUUGAAGUGUUAGAACAAUUACAAUUUUCUUCACUUUCUGUACUAGAUAUAUCAUUAUAAUAAUCAUCUUCAGAACUUUGAUUUUUUUCAUUUAUUAAUAAAUUUAUUAAUUUAUUUUUAAUUUCUUCUUCUUUUGCACAAAUCUCUGUAAUUUUUUCUUUUAAUUUACAUUUGUUUGCUUUAUGUUCUAUUUUUCCACAUUUAUAACAAACAAUUUUUCUUUUAAUAAAUUUUCUCUUCUUUUCUGGUUUAUCUUCACUACAAGAAAAUUGUUCAUCAGUGACAACACAAAGUCAUCACAGAACAUACAAAUAUUGUCACAAAUACCUUUUAUUGACGACUUUUUGAUCGUCACAAAGUCGUCACUAAAUCCCCGUCGGUAAAAGUAAACAGUGACGACCUAAAAUGUCGUCACUAAAUAGUUCUCAUUAGUGACGACUUUAAGUAGAGCAUUUUUGACAAAAGAUCAAGUCGUCAAUAAAACACUUCCAGAUUGUCGUCACUAAUGACAACUAUUUAGUGACGACCUGAAAUGUCUUCACUAAAUAGUUGUCAUUAGUGACAACAAUCCGGAAGUGUUUUAUUGACGAAUUGACCUUUUGUCAAAAAUGCUCUACUUAAGGUCGUUACUAAAAAGCACCGAAAGCCAUUGUAUAUAACUAUUUUACUGACAACAAUUGUCGUCACAAAUGUAGCUUAGAUUUAGUGACAGUCUCUGUUGUGACAAGGAUUUUUAUUUUCUAUUUUGUGACAACUUUUUUUUGUCAUUAGAUAAUUUCUCAAUAGCUUAAUAGUCAUAAUUUGGCUUGUAAUCAUUGCUAAAUCAUUGAUUUUAAACAAACCAUACAAAUAAACAUGAACGAUUGAUAACCAAAAGUAUUUGCAUUAGAUUACAUGGUAAUAAUAUAGCAUUCUCAAAUGCCAAAUUCAAGUGUACAUUAGCCAACUAAUGCCUACAAAAAUAACAUUUGUUCAAAAUAUCACUUGUACAUAAGGUACAUUUAUAAAAGCAAUCACAGUUUAAGAAAUUGAAGAACAUCUAAAUGAACCACUCCAUGAGCAAAAGACAAUUUUGUCUUCAACAUUCUUCAACCAUAACCAUAGAUAUCUUCCAAAAGCUAGUAUGAAUAGCAUUUAUCUGUCAUAAAAGAGUAAAAGAAGUAGGUAAGGGGAGGAGUAAAAUAAUAAAGAACAAGUAAUGAAACUUAGAUUAUUAAGACAAAAAUUACAAUUCAUUAAGAAUCUCAUAUAAUUUGGGCCCACAUAUUACAACACCAGCAAGAAGUUAGAAAUCACAGUCCAAUCUAUACAAAUACAACACUGCAUAAGCUCAACUAAAGAGCUCUCUAAAACAGUUUUUUUUUUUAAUUUUCUUUCUUCUUCUUUAAAUAGCUCAACUUAUUGAACAAUUAAAUUGGACUCCCACAGUAAUUAUUGUUUAAUCUUUAUGCUUUUGGUUGUUUAUAUAUUAAAACACAGAAAGCAACUUAUUGUACGAGGUAUGAAUACAGGAGGUACUAGCCCUCUUUGAUUUUAGGAGUUUAUGCUUCAUAAAUCAUGAAGGAAACGAUGCCUCUGUAGGAUUAAACUGUGCAAAGAGAAUGAGUUAUUUGCCUCACAAUGUGAAAGUGAAGACCAUCUAAACUGGUGAAACCAAUCAAAGUUCACAAACGCCCCCUUUGCAUUAUAUUCAUUUCUUUCAAGUCACUACAUAGGCAAAAAGAAGAUUGCUAUCCAUGCAUGGUCUGUCGCUUGUACUUGGAAAUAAUAUACUAUUGCAGAUGAACAAUCAGAUUUUUACCUCUCUAUUGAUAAACUAACAGCACUAUAUACAUGAUACUUAGAUAUUUCCCAAAGAAUAAGUUCAGAUAACAAUGAUGCAUAACAUCAGCCCCAAAAAAUGCUAUUACCGUAUUGUUGGUAAUAUGUCUAGUUAAACUAACCUAAGAGGAUCUCCACAAGAAUAACCGGUAAAUCAGAAAUAUGUACUGUUACAAGCACAUAUUCCAGAAGAUAACCAUUUAGCACAUGUACAAAUCUUAUGCACAAGGAACCUGAUGAACGAAGCAUAACCUAUUUCCUUUUUUUCUUUUUUAGCUUAUUUUAAUCAUUACUUCUCUCACUUCUCAAAGGUCAUCCUCAGUUUUCCUUACCAUUCUAAAUACGGCCAGAUCUGCUUCCAAAAAAUUUCUGAUCUUUUAUAUAACAAUACGAUACAACAAUCAAUGAGUAUGCGUCCAAACACAAAGUUUCGCAUACAGCUAGUCUUCCAAUAAUGUGUAAAUCACGUAAGAAAGUUUCCUACUUGUGGUAUAAGAGUUAAAAAGGUUCACUUGAAUGCGUAAUAUCAAAAUGUAUUCAACCAACUACAAAAGGAUUAAGUUAGACUGGAUUCCCUCAAGGUUUGCCAGGUACUCUUUCUUGGACCCAAAAAUGCAAACUCAACACCAAACAUUCCAUUUUUUCUUACAACAUAAGAUGAAACAACAAUUUAUGUGCAAAAACUCAGUGAGCAGAGAGGAAAACAGCAAUAAGAAUGCAGCAGCUUUUUGCUUCUUUCAUUUUAGCUUAGAUAUAUUCAUGCCAAACAGUUCAAAAAACCAAACAUGCUUGAUUUAUGUAACUUUGGAUCAACAACAUGUAACCCCAAGCAUCAUUUUCCGAAUAGCAUCAGAUCAAAAGACAAACCCGAAUAGCAGGUAGUGAAACAAACCCGAAUGGCAGAAAUCUAGCCAAUCUCAAUGACAUAUAUGAUAUUCAAAUCAAAUUUUCACAGUCAUCAACCAGACUCAAAUGCGUGAACUUGGGACAGGGAGAGGAAGAAAUAAAACGCAGCUACAUGAUAUGAACAUCCACUUCUAACUCAACCACUUUCGAGAAAGCAUAUCAAAGCCCGGACAUGUCACCAAAACAGAAUCACCCAACAAACUCUCCACCCAUUUUAUUUUAUUAGCAGCCGUGUAGCUCAGCUGAACCACACUCCAAGCAAACAACAAAAACUGGACACUUGAAGUUAAUCAACCCCCAAAAAUCCAUCGGAAACACAGGCAUUCAAUCCAAAAUUUGGUUAUUCGGACAAACAAAAAACCAACCGAAUGUUCGUCAUUUAUUUUUUCACACGUAAAAAUGCAGACCAGUUAUCUUUCAAUUAGAAAACUCAGUUGGGCAUUUCAUCGAACAGGUUAGGGGCAUUAGAAACUUCACUACUUCCUUACUCAAUUGAAGCUAUAAUUGGCCCCAAAAUUUUCAGCAAACCCAAAAUUUCAGUCCAAUCAACAUCCAGAAAAAGCCAUGAACAAUUGACAUGAAAUUUGAAACAAAAAACUAAUAGCAAACAUGGCAUGUUCAUCGGCAGACAUGCUCCGAAAACUUUCAGAGUUUGUAUUCGAAUGAAAAAACUGAAAUGUAAAGGAGAAGAUUAACUUACAGUGAUCUCUCACGGUGGAGGUUCGUGGAUGACAGUGGCGGAUUCCGACGGAAUGUGGCGGCUCCGCCUGGUCUUUCUCCCUCUAGUUUUUCCUUCGCUUUCGUUUCUGCUCCAACCGACAACUUCCUCCCUCUCUCACUCCUUACCGCCGCCUCCCUUUCCUUAUCCUCUGUUUUUCGACUUUUUCCUCUGUUUUUCUGCUUCCCCAAACCUCAGACGAAGCUCCCUCUAUCUCUGUUUCUUCCUUUCAGCCCCUAGCUCUCCCUUGCUUUCUUUUGGUUUCUUUUCCUAUGUUUCAUUUUUGCGCUUUCCUGUUCUCUCCUCUAGCCCUUUCUCUCUUUUGUCCGUUUUUUCUUAGCUCUAUCCGCCGCCCCCUCCUCUUAGCUCACUCCUCUCUCCUCUGAAACCUUCCCUCUCUGAUUUUUUGUUUUUCUUUCUUUUCAGCUCGCCGUAGCUUUCCUUUUUCCUCCUUUUUGUUUCCUACCCUUAGCAGCCGUCCACCGCCACUCUCUCUGUUUUCCUCAACCUCCCGAAGCUUUCUUCCCCCUUUUUCUUUUCUGUUUCUUUCUUUCCCUUUGUUUUUCCUCUAGCCUCAGACCAAGCUCCCCUCUCUAAUUGUUCUUUUUCCUCUCGCCCGUUGUUCCCUUCAGCUCCCUCUAGUUCCUCCUGUCUUUCUUUUUCCUCUUCUCAGCCGAAGGCUUUUUCCCCCAUUUUUCUUGCUCUCUCUGUCAUCAGACCGCCCCCCCAACCUUCAUCAGAUCUCCCUUGAAGCUCUUUCAAUCUCUCGGCUCUCUCUCACUCAAGUCUUAGCCGCAGCCAAGAGUUUUCUUGCUCUCCCCGUUGUUGUUUUUGUUUCCUCCCUUCUUCCCGUGAAAUCAAUUUUCCAACCAAUUUCUUCUGGCUCUCCAUCAAUCUCUCGAAGCCAGAAAAAUGGGUUCCCCUUCUUCCUCUAUCCCACGAAGCCCUCUCUGCCUUUUCUUUAGCUUUUUCCAUUUUUUUUCCUUUCCCCCAACCGUAGCUCUCUAUCCCACGAAGCCAGAAAGUUUGUGUUGCUCAAGUGUUUCGUUGCUUUAACUCAGACCAAGUGUUCCGUUGCUUUUAUUUUCGGAAUGUGUUCCGCUGCUUUGGUCUUUGCUUUGCUUUGGAUAUUGUUUUUGUUGCGCGGCACUUUCACUAUGAUUUGAUCAAAAUUUUGACUUCACUCAUUUUCCCUCCAUUUGAUACCAAAAAUCAUGUUUUUUUCUAGAUUUGUAAUAUGGUUUGAACCAUAGAUUUUAAUGUUAUAGUAUUAUUCUUUAUUUUUUAGCAAAAAAUAAAAAUUUUCAUCAACAUAGGUGGCAAAAUUUGUUAAUUUCAUAUAAUUGAAAAUGUACUUUUAUAAUUUGCUAAUAUUUUAUACUAAUUUCUUACAAUUGCAGCACUAAAGAACAUCAUGUAAUUGAAAAUAAUUAAACUCAAAUUAUCUGGUUAUAACAUAGUUUCAAUAAAAAUAAUCAUUUUCCUAACAUUUGAGACCAAUCAUCAUGCUUUUUUUAUUUUUAAUUUGGUUUGAAGCAUAGAUUUUAUUGCUAUAGUAUUAUUCUUUAUUUUUUAGUACAAAAACACAAAUUUUCAUCAAUAUAGGUGGCAAAAUUUGUUAAUUACAUAUAAGUGAAAAUAUACUUUUAUAAUUUGCAAAUAUUUUAGCCCUGCAAUUUUUUAUAAUUGCAGCACUAAAGUACAUCAUUAAUUGAAAAUAACGAAAGUCAAAUUCUAUGGUUAUAACAGACUUUCAUUAAAAAUAAUCAAAUGCUAUUAAUAAGACAUUAUUGUUAAGUCAAAAUCAAAGAAAAUUUAGUGAUGACAUAAUGUUAUCACUAAUUUAUUCAAGAUUAUAAUGACAAGAAAAGUCGUCACUAAUUAAAUUGCUAGUUUUUAAUAUUGUCAAUUGCUAGUUUUUAAUACUUUUGUGAAAAUAUUGAUAAUGGUUGAGAAAAUUUUGUUACAUUACUGCAAGUGAUAAAUGUACUUUUGUUCUUUUUCAAACAUUUAUUUUAAUGUUUAAUUUUGUUUAAAACUAUUGUACUAGUAUAGAUUUGCAAGACAAAACUUAAGUUCUCAAUAGUUAAAAAAUUCAUUACAGAGAAAACACAAAGUAGUAGUUGCAAAAUGUGUAUAAAUUACAGAUAUUUUAAUGUGUAUAAAUUACAGUUUAUUUUAACGUUUAAUUUUGUUUGAAACUAUUUUACUAGUAUAGAUUUGCAAGACAUAGAUUUAUGGGUAAUUUCUUUUUUUUUUUUUUGCUUUCACAUAUUUAAUUUAUGUUAAAUAUAAAACCUACCAGUUUCCCUUUCAUAAAAAUAUUAGUGCAACACUUUUUGAAUUUUACUUACAAACAUUUAUGUAUUUAACAUAAAUUAAAUGAUUCAGAGUGAAAUGCCCAUAAAGAGCAGAAUAUUUGUUCAUGUAAUGGAGGAAACCCACAAAGAGUUGGUACUUUAUGGGCCAUUUCUUUUUUUUUUAAAAAUUUAAUUUAUGUUGAAAAGAUAACCUGCCAGUUUUCGUUUUAUAAGAAAUCAGUGUAACACUUUUUGAAUUUUACUUACAAAUAUUUAUAAAUUUAUCUUAAAUUAUAUGUUUGAGAGUAAAAUGCCCAUAAAAAGUUGGUACUUUGAAUAGAUAAUGCUUAUUUGCCCAUAAACUACACUCCCUGAAGGCUAUUUUGUUAAUUACUUUGUAGUACUUUGUUAUUCCUUUGCUAAUACUAUUUGGCAUGUAGUACAAAGGAUAAAUCUGGCAUAAAUUUCUUAUUCCAUUGAUAAAAAGACCUGCUUGCCUUAUAACUAUUGUAAUGAAAGAUAUAUCUUUAGAGUUCAUAACAAAUUAUUACUUAAAUUUGAGAAAAUUAUAAAAUAUUUAUGCAUAGUUUAUCAAGAUACCAUUCGCAAUUUCCUAAUAAAAAAAUAGGGGCUAAAUUGUAAAAGCUAGGGUGCCAUAAUAGAAAUAAUAAAAUUUGUGUAUUACAUAUGGGGGUUAAAUUGCAAAAGUUAGAGUGCCAUAGUAGAAUUACUGAAAUUGGUGAAUUACACAUGGGGCUAAAUUACAAAAGUUAGGGAGUAAUAAUAGAAUUAAAGAAAUCGGUGUACUACAUAUGGGGCUAAAUUGUAAAAGUUAAGGUAUCAUAAUGGAAUCAAUGGAAUUUUUUACAACAUUUGGGGCUAAAUUACAAAAGUUAGGGUGGCACAGUAGAAUUAAUGAAAGUGACUUAGAAAUAAGUACUUUAAACAGUGACGAUUAAUUCUUGUCACUAAAUCCGAAUCGAUAGAGUGACAGUGACGAUAUUAGAAGUUGUCACUAUAUAGAUCAUUUUAGUGACAACUUUUUCAAGGUCAUCACUGAAGACUUAGUUGCUUUGAGCAAUUAUGACAACUCUCCUUGUCGUCACUAAACAACCACGUUUUGUGACGACUUUUGUCGUCACUAAAAAAUGUUGUCACUAAUGACCAUAUUUCUUGCAGUGUAGUUUGUGACGAAAAUAACGGGUCGUCACUAAACAUUUAGUUGCUUUGAUGCAAUUGUGACAACUUUAGGUAUCGCGACUAAAGAAAUUCCUUUUGUGACAACUUAUUGUCAUCACUACAAAAUAUUGUCACUAAUAACCUUUUUUUUAGUGAUCAGUGACGACAACAAAAACUCGUUCGUAAAUAGGCCAAGCAAUAGUGAUGAUACUCUUAAUGUCGUCACUAUUGUGUGUUCUAAACACUCCCGCGCUCUUGCUAAAUUUUAGCGGGAAUUUACUAGUGACGACUUUUCUAAGUCGUCACAAAUGAGUUGGCUCCCAUUAGAGGUUUGUGACGAGUUAGAAAGUCGUCAAUAAAGGAUCCACAUUUGUGACAACUUUUUUUCGUCACAGAGAAAAGUUGUCACUGAUGACCAAUUUUCUUGUAGUGCUUCUUUAGAUCUUUUAUACUUUAUUUUCUUAUUAUAUUUUUUAACUUUUUUGUUAUAUGCAGAUGGUGAUUUAAUUCUUUAGUAGCAAAUUCUAAAGCUCUAUUAAUUGGUUUUAUUGUUCCUUGUUAUAUAUCAUGUCCUAAAAAUCUUAUUUUUGUUUGGAAUAAUUUCAUUUUUGGUGCUGAAACAACUAAUCUAUUUUUCUUAACUACUUUUAAAAAUAUAUUUAAAUGUUUGAACUGCUGUUCUAUUGAUUCAGAAAAUAUUAAUACAUCAUCAAUAUAAACUAUGCUAAAUGAACUAUAAGGAUUGAAAAUAUCAUUCAUUAUAUUUUGAAAUUCUGAUGGUGCAUUUUUUAAUCCGAAUGGCAUUACGUUCCAUUCAUAAUGACCAAAAGGUGUUGUGAAUGCUGUUUUAUAUCUAUCUUUUGGUGUUAUUAAUAUUUGCCAAUAUCCUGAUUUUAGUUAUUUCAGCACCAAAAAUGAAAUUAUUCCAAACAAAAAUAAGAUUUUUAGGACAUGAUAUAUAUCAAAGAACAAUAAAACUAAUUAAUAGAGCUUUAGAAUUUGCUACUAAAUUUCCAGAUGAAAUAAAAGAUAAAAAUCAAUUACAAAAGUUUUUAGGAUGUUUAAAUUAUAUAGCAGAUUUCUUUCCUAAAUUAAGACAAGAAUGCUCUAUAUUAUUUAAUAGAUUUAAAAAGAACCAUUUCCACCAGUGAUUGAACCAGAUUGGGAAUUCUCUACUGCAACUUUCUUUGAAUGUGAAGAUCCAUGAAUGAUUGAAUGGUCUAUACAAAAAAACCAAAAGUCUAAUUAUACAAGAAGACAAAAUGCCAAAAAUAAUAGAACCUUUUAGUAUUUCUAAAAUAAUAGAUAAAUACCUAAACAUAAAUAUAAUGAAAAAAGAAACCACUAAAGAUCUUCAAACAGAAAUUAAUGAUCCUAAAAUACAAGUAAAACAAUUACAAAGAGAAAUCAUAGAAUUAAAAACAAAAGAUUUAGAAAUAGAAGCAAAAAUAACAUUACUAGAAAAUCAGCCCUCAACUUCCAAUUCUAAAACAGAAGAAAUAAGUAUAUCAGAAAGACCAACAGAUGAAAUUCAAUAUUUAAAUACCAUAGAAAAAAUGAUAUUUCAAAAAUGGUAUGCUUUAGUAACUAUUACAGUAGAAGAUUUCAAAGAAAUAUAUGUAACUUUAAUAGAUAGUGGAGCUGAUUCAAGUUGUAUUAAAGAAGAAAUAAUUCCUACUAAAUAUUGUGAAAGAACAAAGGAAACCUUAAUGGCAGCAAAUGGAGAAAAUUUACAAUUAAAAUAUAAAUUUACAAAAGGAUCAAUAUGUAACAAUGAAUAUUGUAUUAGACAUAAUUUCAUAAUUGUAAAAAAUAUAAAUCAUGAUAUAAUAUUAGGAACACAUUUUUUAAUUCAAAUUUACCCAUUUUCAGUUAGUCAUGAAGGAAUUUCAAUAAAUAUAAUGGGAAAAAUUGUUAUCUUUAGAUUUCUAACUCCAGUAAAACAAAGAGAAUUACAGACAUUAGAAACAUCCUCUAUUUACAAAACAAUAAAUAGUAUUACUAAAGUACAACAACAAAUAAAUUAUAUAAAAGAAGAAAAAUCUUAUUUAAAAAUUGAAGAACAAUUAAAAGAAAGUAAAAUGCAAAAAAGAAUUUCAGAGUUAGAAGAAUUAUUACAAAAAGAAAUUUGUGCAGAUAUUCCUAAUGCUUUUUGGGAUAGAAAACAACAUAUGAUUGAAUUAUCUUAGGAAACAGGUUUUAAUGAGAAAAACAUUCCUACUAAAGCAAGACCAAUACAAAUAAUUCUGAUCUAUUAGAAUUUUGUAAAAAGGAAAUAAAAACAUUAAUAGACAAAAAAUUAAUAACACCUUCAAAAUCACCUUGGAGUUGUGCUGCAUUCUAUGUAAUGAAUCAAGCUGAAAAAGAAAGAGGAGUUCCAAGAUUAGUUAUAACUUAUAAACCAUUAAAUAAAGUAUUACAAUGGAUUAGUGAAUAAUACAAUAAAUUUAUAAAUUUAGAAUUAAUAGAGGAUACAAUAUAUUAAAGUAACCAUUUUUAUAAAUUUAAUAGAGCUCAAAUGCAAAUAAUACAAUAAAUUUAGAAGACAUUAAAAAAGUUUAUCAACAAAAUAAUUAUACAAAUCAAAUCCUUCAUACAAUUUCUCAACAUAUGGAAGUAUUAAACACAAAAAUAGAUACUAUAAAGAAACCAGAAUUAAAAUUCCCUAACAAUAUUUCAGCACCUCAUUUUCAACCUAGAAGUUUGACAAGAGACAAAGAACAAGAUUUAGUUCAAAAUAUUAAUAAUCAAAAGAUAAAUAAUACAGACAAUAUAUUAAAUAAAUAUCUCAUGCAUUACAAAACUUAACUACAGAAGUAAAACCUCCAACUCCUAGGAUAAAUACUUUAGACCAAAUAAUAGAAGAAAAUUCAUCUGAAGAAAAAGACAGUUCAUCUGAAGAAUCAAUAAAUUCAGAAAUAGAAGAAGAUAUAAUUCUACCAAUAGAAAAAACAAUUUGAAGAAAAAGAAGAUAAUCAAAUAAAUAAAAUAAGAAGAAAUAAAAUUUAUAAUAAAAAUAAUAAUAAAGGAUGGAAAAUGAUAAGUACUAAAAACUAUUAUUCAAGACCAAGCCCUCCAGACAUUCAAUAUAAAGAAAGAUCAAAAUUUCGUACCACUAAAUACGAUGGCGAUUCAAUAUAUGAAUGGAAUCUAGAUGGCAAAGCAGAAUAUGAAUUAUUAAAUAAUUUACAAGAAAUGAGAAUGGCUAGAUUAGCCUAUAAAAUUAAAAAUAUUCAAGAAAGAAAUAUUGCAACAUUAUUAGUUUCAGGAUUUACUGGACAAUUAAAAAAUUGGUGGGAUAAUGCUUUAACAUUACAAGAUAAAUUAUCAAUGUUAGAACAUACGCAAGAAAUUGAAGAUGAUCAAGGAAAUAUUCAAAUACAAUCAGAUGCUGCAGAAUUUUUAAUUGUAAUAAUAGUAAUAUAUUUCAUAGGAAAUCCAAAAGAAGAAUUAAAUUCUAAUAAAAUAUUUCUAACAAAUUUAAGAUGUCCAACAUUAUCAGACUUUAGAUGGUAUAAAGAUAUGUUUUUAACUAAUGUAUUAAGAAGACCAGAUUGCAAUGCUUCAUUUUGGAAAGAAAGAUUCAUAACAGAAUUACCAAGUUUAUUUUCACAAAAAAUAAUGGAUAAUUUACAGCAUCCGAGGCAUUUACAAAUGACUUUCUGAUGAAAAAGAUGAUGCAGAAUCCCGAGAUGCUCAAAGAAUAUUUGGACUAUUUGCAAAAGCAAGAUAAGAAAGAAAAAACCGACAAAAUUGAAGAGUCAACCGGAUCAUCCGAAUCUACUUUUGAUCCUUUCGGGGGACCCUGCGGACAAGACCCAAAUGACUUUUGAAGAAAGGUGUCGGCCACACCUCAAAGAAAAGGCAAAUGAAAUUCAAAUGAAGAUGAAAUGCAAGACCCGACGAGUCUAUAAAUAGAUUCAAAAUCAGAAAACAAAGCAUCGGCGAAUUAGUGAGAAAAAGAGAACAAAACACUCUCAUGUAAAAAUCCUUAGACAAAUCUCUCAAUCCCUCUUUCCAACUACUCUUGUAUUCAAUUACUAAAUUAUUUAAUACUUCAUAUUCUGCUUUGCCAUCUAUAUUCCAUUCAUAUAUUGAAUCGCCAUCGUAUUUAGUGGUACGAAAUUUUGAUCUUUCUUCAUAUUGAAUGUCUGGAGGACUUGGUCUUGGAUAAUAGUUUUUAGUACUUAUCAUUUUCCAUCCUUUAUUAUUAUUUUUAUUAUAAAUUCUAUUUCUUCUUAUUUUAUUUAUUUGAUUAUCUUCUUUUUCUUCAAAUUGUUUUUCUAUUGGUAGAAUUAUAUCUUCUUCUAUUUCUGAAUUUAUUGAUUCUUCAGAUGAACUGUCUUUUUCUUCAGAUGAAUUUUCUUCUAUUAUUUGGUCUAAAGUAUUUAUCCUAGGAGUUGGAGGUUUUACUUCUGUAGUUAAGUUUUGUAAUGCAUGAGAUAUUUUAUUUAAUAUAUUGUCUGUAUUAUUUAUCUUUUGAUUAUUAAUAUUUUGAACUAAAUCUUGUUCUUUUUCUCUUGUCAAACUUCUAGGUUGAAAAUGAGGUGCUGAAAUAUUAUUAGGGAAUUUUAAUUCUGGUUUCUUUAUAGUAUCUAUUUUUGUGUUUAAUACUUCCAUGUGUUGAGAAAUUAUAUGAAGGAUUUGAUUUGUAUAAUUAUUUUGUUGAUGAACUUUUUUAAUGUCUUCUAAAUUUAUUGUAUUAUUUGCAUUUGAGCUUGAUUCAACUUCUCUACCCUUUUUAAAAGAUGAGACUAUUAUAUCUCCUUGACCUAUAUUAAUUUUUACUUCUUGUAAUGGAGGAUGUAUUGAUGUUAUUAUUUGUUCAUCUUUUAAUUUCCAUUUUUUGUAUAAAUUGGUUUGAACAUUUAUUUGUGGUGUAUUAUAUAUAUCAUUUAUUCCUAUUUUUGAAGUAUAGAAUGAUAGCCAAGUAAAGAAAGGAAAAUCAAAUUUUUGUUUUUCUAAUUCAUUUUUCCAUUCUAAAAUUAAUUUUCUUUUAUAUUCAGAUUCUAAUUGAAAAAACCAAAUUCUUUUUUCAGUAUUUUCUUCAUCUUCAAAAUCUUCUUGUAAGUAUUUAUGAUUUAUUUUAUAUGGUUUAUUUAUAACAUUUAUUUCUCCUUUUAUUUGUGAAUGGGUUGGAGAAUAUUCUGAUUGAUUUUGAUUUAUAACUUCUGGAAUAGGAGUUUUAUAUUUAAAAUUUGAGGUACUUUCUAAAGAAAAAUUAAUCUCAAUUGAUUCAUAAUUAGAAUGUCUGGCUGGUGGCCAAGAAUAAGUUGAAUCAGGUUUCUCUCUUAAUGAUAAAAAUCUUAUUAGAGUAUUACCAUCAGGUUUUUCUAUAAUAUCUUCUGCAGUAGUUUGUUCUAUAUUUCUUGCUAUUUGUGAAUUUUUAAUUUCAAAUUCACUAGGUAUAGUUAUUUCAUUCCAUUUUAGUCUUUUUGGAAUAUAAGUUGUAGGUCUAUCUGCAUCUACUUGUAAUAGAGUUGUUUCUUCUUUAAGAGUUGGAGUCAUUAUAAAUUUAAGAUUUAAAUGUGAAGAUAGAGGUCUAUAAUAUAUUCUAUAUAUUACUGCAAAAUUCUUGGUAUGUUUUUCAAAUUCAAUUCCUUGUAGAUGAAUAUCUAAUAUGACUGAAUUCAGAAUGUGUGGGUCUGUUAAAUCUAUUGAAAAGUUUGGAGCACAGUUAAAAUAUAUGGGUCCAUUACAUACAUUAGUUUGAAUCAUAGAAAGUAAAGAAGUUUUAUAUCUUUUGAGUCUAGUAUCUCUUAAUGCUAGAUAUAUAGGAGCAUCUACUCCUAGAUGGAAUAAGGGUUUUACUGCAAUUUAUAUUAAACCUAUAUGAAUAUAUCUAUAUCCUUUACUUAAGUAUCUUUGAAUUGUACUAUGAUUUAAUAAUGGAAUUGAUUGAUAUUCUUCUUGAAUAGAUAUUGUUUGUUCAUGAGUUUUAACUGAUAAAGCUGUUUUGAAAUCUAAAGGGCCUAUUCUGUAAAUAUGUUCUAUUUUUUCUUCUGGAAUGGUCCAAUCUGAAUUAUUUAUAGGCAUAUGAUAUUCAUGACUUUGUACUACAUUAGCUUGCUUUGAAUUAGAUCCUAUUUUUAAUUGUCUAAGAAAUGCAGCCAUGUCUAAUAUUUAAUUAAAGUUUUACCUAACCAGGAACAACUGUGCGCUAUGCCGGGAACAUCCUACCCUGGACUUACCAACGGUCUCACAAGGCAUCAAGUCUUACCAAUGAUUUCAGUAAAAUUUAAUGAAAUAUGUGAACAUAAAUGCAUGAAUUAGCCAAGUUUCUAUUGAAAUGUUCAUAGAAAAUUUAGUAUAAAAAUUGGACUUACUGAAAAUUUAGAGUGGUCUUUGAUAACGGAAGCUUGAUGAAUGGUUGAAUCCUUGAUCUUUAUUAUAUUUGGAGAAGGAAGGAAACAAAAGUAAUUGAAUACAAGAGUAGUUGGAAAGAGGGAUUGAGCGAUUUGUCUAAGGAUUUUUACACGAGAGUGUUUUGUUCUCUUUUUCUCACUAAUUCACCGAUGCUUUGUCUUCUGAUUUUGAAUCUAUUUAUAAACUCGUCGGGUCUUCCAUUUCAUCUUCAUUUGAAUUUCAUUUGCCUUUUCUUUGAGGUGUGGCCGACACCUUUCUUCAAAAGUCAUUUGGGUCUUGUCCGCAGGGUCCCCCGAAAGGAUCAAAAGUAGAUUCGGAUGAUCCGGCUGACUCUUCAAUUUUAUCGGUUUCUUCUUUCUUAUUUUGCUUUUGCAAAUAGUCCAAAUAUUCUUUGAGCAUCUCGGGAUUCUGCAUCAUCUUUUUUAUCAGAAAGUCAUUUGUAAAUGCCUCGAAUGCCAUACUACCAACUUUCUCUUUAUCUUUUCUUUUUGGAGUGGUUGGAAUGGGUAGAAUAGUGGUUGGAGUAGGUGGCAUAGUUGUUGGAGUAGGUGAUAUAGUUGUUGGAGUAGUGGUUGGCUGAUUUGUCCACUUAAGUUUGUCUCCAAUUGUUAAAAAUCUUAUCACAUUUGUUUGGUCUCCGUAUUCUUGAUUAAAUCCUGUCCACCAUUUGACUUGAAUUAUCUGACUAAUGACAUUGGAAGUGGUUUUUCUAGUUCUUGAUGAAUUUUGAAACUCCAACAAAAAAUCCAUGGUACUUUGAAUUCCAUGUGGAAUAAUAUUGGCCUUGUAUAUUCCUCCCCCCUUACUUUUUUGAGAUAAGUUUGGAAUCCCAUAAGAACAUUUGGAGGUAGAAUUUCUGGUUGUAGACCGAACCAUUUCCACCAGUGAUUGAACCAGAUUGGGAAUUCUCUACUGCAAUUUUCUUUGAAUGUGAAGAACCAUGAAUGAUUGAAUGGUCUAUACAAAAAAGCACGAUACCAUGCCAUUUUGUAAUCUUGAUAAGUAAAUCCAUCUGGAAUAAAUCUGGCUGAGAAAGAUUUCUUUGAAUAAAGAGAAAUCCAUUCAUUAGGAGAACAAACUUUCUUUAUUAUACAUUUUGAGUGACUAAUUAUAUUUGGAUUUUUUCUAUCUGGAAUAGGGAAUAUUUCUACAGAUUGAGUAUCUGUGAGAAUUAAUUCAUAAUAAUCCAAAUUUUUUGAAGGAUCAUCAGGUUGCCAAUAACAUUUGUGAGAAAAGAUUCUUUGAGUAAGCUGAUUGAGUGUAGAAUAUAAUGGUACUUCUUGGAAUCUGGUUAAAGUGAUAUGUUGAGUAGAUGGCUUUGUGAAAUAGGUAUUUUCAUUGGAUUUUUCUAUGGGUUUUGGAAUUUGUUGAAGAGGUCUUAUUUGAGAAGAAGUUGGAGUACGGAUAGCUUGACUGUAAGUCAAAGCUGAAAAAUCUUGCAAUAAUUGAAAUCUAUUUUGAGUUAUAGGAGUAAGACUCAUCUUAUAAUCUUGAGGAGUCUUAGGUUUAGCAUUUCCUGCUUUUGAAUCCAUUUUCCUGCAAAAUCAAUAAACAACAUCUUUAAGUUGGUUAGAUAAUUGUUUGUUUUGCUCUUUGUAAUAUUGAAGAAAUUCUUCACGUCUUCCAUCAUGUCUUCCCAAUCUUCGUAGGACUUGAAUUCUAAUAGUGUUUCUUUGAAUUUCUCUCUGAAUGAGAAAACCUCUCUCCUUUGAUGUAAGGGUUGCUAAAGGGCUUCUCUGAAUGUACACUGUGUCAUGUUUGGAAAUUUGAUAGGCUGGAAUACUUUGUCUUCCAUUACUGGUUUGAACAAAAUAUUGGUAUCCUCUGGAUUGAAGAACUGCUUCUUUGUUUAGUAAUUUAGGAGAAUCUCUUUGAGUUCUUAAAUAACCUGUAUAUUCUCUAUCAGUUCUUUGGGCCAUCAUUUCACGAUCCAUGUCCUUGUAAAAAUUCUCUAGUAAGAAAAUCUGGUAAUGAAUUAUUUUCUCCUUUUAUAAAUUCUAUUUCAAAAUAAAAAACAGAUAAAAUAGCUUGCCAUCUAGCAAAUAUUUGUUUUGAAACUAUGUUUUGAACAUCUUUUUGUAAAAUCUCUUUUGCAGAUUUACAAUCUAUUCUAAUCAAAAAUUUCUUGUUGUAUAAAUCAUCUUGAAAUUUUGAUAUGCAUAAAACUAUUGAUAAAAUUUCUUUUUUAAUAGUUGAAUAAUUCUUUUGAGAAUCAGACCAUGUUCCUGAAUGAAAUCUAACUAAUUCUUCUUUUGAUUCGUCUAUUCUUUGUUUUAAUAUACCCCCAUAUCUUAAUUCUGAUGCAUCUGUUUCAACUAUCAUGAAUGCUUUAGGAUGUGGUAAACAUAAACAUGGUAAUGAUUCAAUUUUUGCUUUUAAAUAUUUUAUUUUUUGAGUAUGUUCUUCUGUCCAUGGUUUUGGGUUCUUUUUUAAUCUAUUAAAUAAUAUAGAGCAUUCUUGUCUUAAUUUAGGAAAGAAAUUUGCUAUAUAAUUUAAACAUCCUAAAAACUUUUGUAAUUGAUUUUUAUCUUUUAUUUCAUUUGAAAAUUUAGUAGCAAAUUCUAAAGCUCUAUUAAUUGGUUUUAUUGUUCCUUGAUAUAUAUCAUGUCCUAAAAAUCUUAUUUUUGUUUGGAAUAAUUUCAUUUUUGGUGCUGAAACAACUAAUCCAUUUUUCUUAACUACUUUUAAAAAUAUAUUUAAAUGUUUGAAAUGCUGUUCUAUUGAUUCAGAAAAUAUUAAUACAUCAUCAAUAUAAACUAUGCUAAAUGAACUAUAAGGAUUGAAAAUAUCAUUCAUUAUAUUUUGAAAUUCUGAUGGUGCAUUUUUUAAUCCGAAUGGCAUUACGUUCCAUUCAUAAUGACCAAAAGAUGUUGUGAAUGCUGUUUUAUAUCUAUCUUUUGGUGUUAUUAAUAUUUUCUAAUAUCCUGAUUUUAAAUCAAACUUUGAAAAUAUUUUUGCCUUGAAUAAUCUAUUGAGCAAAUCCUUUUUAUUAGGAAUUGGAUAUCUAAUCUAUUGUAAUACUUUAUUUAAUGGUUUAUAAUUUAUAACUAAUCUUGGAACUCCUCUUUCUUUUUUAGUUUGAUUCAUUAUAUAGAAUGCAGCAUAACUCCAAGGUGAUUUUGAAGGUGUUAUUAAUUUUUUGUCUAUUAAUGUUUUUAUUUCCUUUUUACAAAAUUCUAAUAGAUCAGAAUUAAUUUGUAUUGGUCUUGCUUUAGUAGGAAUGUUUUUCUCAUUAAAACCUGUUUCGUAAGGUAAUUCAAUCAUAUGUUGUUUUCUAUCCCAAAAAAUAUUAGGAAUAUCUGCACAAAUUUCUUUUUGUAAUAAUUUUUCUAAUUCUGAAAUUCUUUUUUGCAUUUUACUUUCUUUUAAUUGUUCUUCAAUUUUUAAAUAAGAUUUUUCUUCUUUUAUAUAAUUUAUUUUGCUCUUGUACUUUAGUAAUACUAUUUAUUGUUUUGUAAAUAGAGGAUGUUUGUAAUGUCUGUAAUUCUCUUUGUUUUACUGGAGUUAGAAAUCUAAAGAUAACAGUUUUUCCCAUUAUAUUUAUUGAAAUUCCUUCAUGACUAACUGAAAAUGGGUAAAUUUGAAUUUAAAAAGGUGUUCCUAAUAUUAUAUCAUGAUUUAUAUUUUUUACAAUUAUGAAAUUAUGUCUAAUACAAUAUUCAUUGUUACAUAUUGAUCCUUUUGUAAAUUUAUAUUUUAUUUGUAAAUUUUCUCCAUUUGCUGCCAUUAAGGUUUCCUUUGUUCUUUCACAAUAUUUAGUAGGAAUUAUUCCUUUUUUAAUACAACUUGAAUCAGCUCCACUAUCUAUUAAAGCUACAUAUAUUUUUUUGAAAUCUUCUACUGUAAUAGUUACUAAAGCAUACCAUUUUUGAAAUAUCAUUUUUUCUAUGGUAUUUAAAUAUUGAAUUUCAUCUGUUGGUCUUUCUGAUAUACUUAUUUCUUCUGUUUUAGAAUUGGAAGUUGAGGGUUGAUUUUCUAGUAAUGUUAUUUUUGCUUCUAUUUCUAAAUCUUUUGUUUUUAAUUCUAUCAUUUCUCUUUGUAAUUGUUUUACUUGUAUUUUAAGAUCAUUAAUUUCGGUUUGAAGAUCUUUAGUGGUUUCUUUUUUCAUUAUAUUUAUGUUUGGAUAUUUAUCAAUUAAUUUAGAAAUACUAAAAGGUUCUAUUAUUUUUGGUAUUUUGUCUUCUUGUAUAAUUAGACUUUUUAAUCUUUCUAAAUACUCUUUUUUAGCUACUGGAUCAUCAAUUUUUUCUAUUAUAUCUAAUAAAAAUUCUUUAUCUUCUUUUUUGGUUAUAACAUUUAUAUAUUUUGAAGUGUUAGAACAAUUACAAUUUUCUUCACUUUCUGUACUAGAUAUAUCAUUAUAAUAAUCAUCUUCAGAACUUUGAUCUUUUUCAUUUAUUAAUUUAUUUUUAAUUUCUUCUUCUUUUGCACAAAUCUUUGUAAUUUUUUCUUUUAAUUUACAUUUGUUAGCUUUAUGUCCUAUUUUUUCACAUUUAUAACAAACAAUUUUUCUUUUAAUAAAUUUUCUCUUCUUUUCUGGUGUAUCUUCUUUAGAUCUUUUAUACUUUAUUUUCUUAUUAUAUUUUUUAACUUUUUUGUUAUACGCAGAUGGUGAUUUAAUUCUUUUAAUUCCAAAUGCAUCACAAAAUGAUCCUACUUCUUUUGAUUUAGAACCAUAUUUUAUUUGUAAUUUUAAUUCUGAACAUAGUAUUAAUCCUUCUUUUUGCACAAAAGCAAAUAAUUGUCCAAAAGUAAUAUUUUCAAAUGAAAUUACAUCUAUUAUUUAAUAGAUUAAAAAGGAACCCAAAACCAUGGACAGAAGAACAUACUCAAAAAAUAAAAUAUUUAAAAGCAAAAAUUGAAUCAUUACCAUGUUUAUGUUUACCACAUUCUAAAGCAUUCAUGAUAGUUGAAACAGAUGCAUCAGAAUUAGGAUAUGGGGGUAAAUUAAAACAAAGAAUAGACGAAUCAAAAGAAGAAUUAGUUAGAUUUCAUUCAGGAACAUGGAUUGUGUGACGCCCCCACUUCUCCCUAAGGUGAACCAAAGGGUAUCCGCGGGACGCCUGCCUAACUCUCGCCAGGACUCAAGCAAUUCCAUUCAAACUUAUUACCGGACCACACAAUACGGUCAAUAACUUAGAUACAAUAAAUGCGGAAGCGUUCAAAUUUAAUAAAAGUCAUCCGUUAUCCAACCCGUACAUCGGGUGUUCAACAACCAUCAUAAAUUCCAAAUAUACAUCAUGCCCCAAAAGUUACAUUCGGAUUCCAAAAUACAACCCAAAAGCCAAGACAUAGCCAAAAGUAAUAGAAACCCUAAACGAAAGUGUAUCAGGAAGGUUUCUUCGAUACCUCGCCAAGUUCAAUCCUGUUAAGGAAAACAAAUCUACAGGGUGAGCAAAAACGCUCGUGAGACCAAGAACACAUAUACAAGCACAUUGCUCAAAUAACAAUCUCAAUUUACAAGUUAAGCAAUCAUAUUUUAGUAAUUAACAAUUUAUUGGAAAUAUAACCAGAAACAAUUCAAGGAUAUUGGAGCCCUCAUGAGCUAUAUUCCACUUGCACAUUCAAUAACCUCCACGAAUUGGCACUCCGUCAAUUGGGUAGGUUUAGUCCGUAGAACUCCAUUUAACCUGUCCCCUUUCACCUUACAUACCCAUGUAUCGGGCCCGCCUGUCAUUUGUUUGUGGCGAUACUACUCGAGUAUGCCAAGCAAGACCUCUCACUAAGUCAAGCUUAUAUAUCUCAUGGCUCGCCAAGGUUCCCGACCAAACCCAUGUCGGCUCGAGUCCAAGGUCGGUCAAUGAGAUUUGGGCGUCCCCAUGUGCACUUGUGUGUCGAGGAGAUUCACUCCAACGACGUAGGCAACUAUAGCAUACCAUUACAUUUCAUUCAUUCAUUCAAUACAUUUCAAUCAUUCAUUCAAUGCAUUUCAAUCAUUCAUUCAAUACAUUUCAACCAUUAAUAUUUCAUUUCUAAUGAGAACGAAUGUGGUAAAGUACACACUCGACUCCACUUUCAAAAUUUCCAAUCAUUAAUAACAAUUAAACAUGUAACAAGUUUACAUACACCUGACACUCACCAAGUAUUAGGUGUAAGUAAGGUCAAGAAAAGUUCAAGCGUCCACCGUGGGAUCCUCUUGAAGGUUCUCGUGUGCGACUGAGCAAAUAAUAGUGAAUUAUCAUCCAUAUCCCAAAUAUCGAGGAAUAAUUCGUUCACUAGUAUUAAUCUAGGGGAUUCUGUGAAAAUGAAUCUCAAUUACUCGUAAAUUGAGGUUCGAGAGGGGUUUGAUAACAUUCAAAAGUAUUUAAGUCUUUAUCUAGGAAAUCGGGGAUAAAACGUUUAGAUAAUAUCAAAAGAAUAAAGAGUUUUUGAAAAACUCUAUUUCCUUGAAAGUUGGAAAAUUUCAGUUUUGUUAUGAAUCUUUGAAAAAUCGUAACUCACUUGGAAUAAGUCAAGAAUUGGAAAACUUUAUACCGUUGGAAACCUCUUAGAAAGUACUACAAGUUCCUAGAAGACACUUUUCCAUGAAUCGAAGUGGAAAGUGCUCAAAAAUGAGCUUAAAGUUGUUGUUCCAAAUCACCCAGGAUUGAGCCGGAGUUGAUUUUUCGCUAACUUUGAAAAUGCGGCAGAAUUCACUCGUUGCAAAUCAUCCCUUGAAAUUGAUAGCUCAAUUAGAGGUGCAAGUAAGGUUUAGGGCAGAUCAAGCGGAUCGAGAAUCGAAGUUUCGAGUACCAAGAUAUGGUAGCUCAAAGUUGGGUAAAUUUCAAGACUGUUAACAAAUUUCCAGAUUUGGUUCCGACUUUGGACCUUUAGUUAAGUGUCGAAACGGACUUGGAUUGAUACCAAAUUUUGCAGUAUAAUACUUCUAUAUGAAUGGUAUCUUUCUAUCAAAUUUUGUGGAAAAAUACCUUCGGGAAGGUGGUUAACCAAUCAACCAAAGUUUGAAAUUACUAAGGCCAAACUGCCUUUAGCUCUCUUUCUCUCUGUUUCCAAACAUUUGGCUAAGGAAAACCUCCAAGCAUGGUUCAUUUGUGCAAGAAAAGUCUAAGGAGUAUACAUGGUACAUUUGGUAGGUGUUUAGCACCAAGAAAUUCAUUUGGUAAUGACAGGUAUUUUACAUACGUGCAAGCUAAAAAAUACCGAAUUACACCAGUUCACUGCAAGUAUACAGAUCAACUAGUAGUUUAGGGUAUAUAUCGGGUCGAUCCCACAGGGAAGAGUGAACAAUUACCGGUAUUACUAAAGCUUCUCUAUUAUUUAGACUAUCAAUGAAUUAUAACAAAUUUAUCCUACUGAAAUUAUACAAAAUAACAAAUAAAUGCUCCUUAGGUUGUGGUAUCCCUAACUACUCAUGCAAGUGCUAUAUUUGGAUCAUUGAAUACUACAUCUAGGCUAAUUAUGGUGUAAUUUCCUUAACCAUGUGAAACCUACUUUCGUAGUGAAUCAAUUAUAUUUAUAACUAAUCCAUACCUAUUCUCAUGGUUAUGAAAUUAGCUACAAGUUCAUUUUUUCAGUGAAAUUACAUGAAAUGAAUCACUAAAAACCACAUAGGUGCACCUCUACUUUCGUGAUUGUACUCCCUAUGUUUAGCACUUCUUGAACUAAUGUUAAAUCUCAAUUUUCAUUGUAGAAAUAACACCUUAGAUAAUCACAAUUAAUGGUACCAGAUUAAUCAUGAUUUAAAGAGCUAAAAUGCUAAAUAACUUGCUCAAAUCAUAGCAGUUAAAUAGCCAAAUGAUAAACAGUAACAAUCAUAGAAAGUUCAACCAAACCCAAGGCAUAAACUUUAGAAACACAUAAUAGACAUAAAAUCCAGAACUUGUAUAUUAGCUAAACUUGGAAUCAAAUACAAAAGAUAAAGAGUUGGAAAGGAAUGUAACCCAUGUCACUUGAGCUCAUCACCUUGCCUUCUUCAUCUCUAUCUUAAUCCUAGUCUAGCAAUAUAAAAGAGUGGAUGAACUACACUAGCUAAACUAUCUUACACUAAGGAAAUGGAAGAACUACAUUUCUGCACUCUUCAAGCUUCCCCCGUAUGAUCAUCCAGACCUCCCAGAAUGUCUCUGCAUAUAAACUAAUGAAAAGCUCCUCUCCAGUCCAAAUUUUCUGCUAUAAUGAUUCUCAAAUCUCCAUUUUGUAAGAAAGUCAAAAACAAUGGUUUUGGACUUGGAAUUUUGGCUAUACCUCUUACUUUUUGUCUUCUGAAGCAUGUGCACCGAAUUCUCUUACAACUUAUAGCUGGAAAGUAGUCUGAACACAAGAGAAUUGACUGAGCAACUUGCAGAAUUUCGGCCAGAAAACGCGCCUAUACAAAACGCGGCUACACCUCGCGUUUUGUUCACUCGCGUUUUCACUUUGGCCUUACUUCAACUGCAAUUUUCUCCAUGAUGCCGGCCGAAAUGGAUUUUGUGCAAAACACUAAAGUUGUAUCCCUCUGAGCAAAUUGCAGAAUUUCGGCCAGAAAACGCGCCUAUACAAAACGCGGCUACACCUCGCGUUUUGUUCACUCGCGUUUUCACUUUGGCCUUACUUCAACUGCAAUUUUCUCCAUGAUGCCGGCCAAAAUGGAUUUUGUGCAAAACACUAAAGUUGUAUCCCUUUGAGUUAGCUUUCCAAUGCUUUAAAAAUCAUCCAAAUCGAAGCUUUGUAUCCUGAGAUAUGACCAAAAUACUAAAGACUGGUCAGAACUCUGUUUUCCACUUUGGACAGCUGAGUUGAAUUUCGGUAUUUCAACUUUUGGACUAUGAAAACGGCUGAAUUGGACUUUGAUGUCUUCAUACCAAAUGUAUAUCUAUCUCUUAGCUUCAAAAUGGUAUAAAGAUCAUCUCAAUGCAAUAUGUAUAGCUCCAGAUAUAGUCAAAAUACGAAAAUGUGUCUGAGUUGUCAAAGCUGACUUUUCUUGAUUUUUGUCCUCAAAUUGCAUUUCUUCCUUUUACACUUCAUAUUUUAUUUUCACCACUUUAAUCCAUCAUCAAUCAUCCAAAUAUCUUCUCAAUGCACUUCAUUUGAUGAUUGAAUCAUUAAACCUACAAAAUAUGAAGUUUUUUCCCAUAAAAAUCAAUAGAAAUGCAAUGUUAGCCACUUUAACAUAAAAUGUAGAUUUUUACCAAAACCUUAGUUAUUUUAGUUAUAAAGCUAAAUAAUCAAACCAAAAUUAACUAAUAAAACACACUAAAAAUACGUAAAAUAAACUCUUAUCAGGUAAGGCCACAACAAGUCUCAUCUCAAAUCUGUCCAAAACUGGGUUUUUCCAAAACAAAGCAGUCACCGUAUUUUGAUCAUAACUCACUCAAUUUAACUUGGAUUUGGGCAUGGUUGAUACUGUUACAAAAUACAUUCAUAGGGGUAAAAUUUUACAGAAGAAAUCAUUUUAAGUUUCAGCAUGUAACUGGCUCAAAAUUAAGCCUAGAGUUGCAGCAUCAUCAAAUCAUUUCGGCAGAACGGAGAAACAGGGCAGUUGAAUUCAGAAGAGUGGUGCGGUUCACACACAUGGAACCAGAAUGUGCAUUAUAUACCGUUGGAAAGAUGGGUAUGUUUAGUUUCAAAUGCCGCUAACGACACUUGAUUUCGAUGUCGGAGUACGGAGUUAUGGACGAAAUACAAACACUGGUCUGGUUACGACGGCAACCGUUUCCAGACUACCAGCUUUGGGAAAUAAAUUCUUUUGAUCAACCAAAACUCAACAUUUUUCAAUGAAAAUUUGUACACAACUUCUACAACAUGUAAACAACACAAUCAAGGGAUUGAAUUCUCAAAUUUCUGCAUUAAAGUGGCCGAACAAAGCAGGGGCAAAAUGGUCAAAUUUGGCCUUUGCACCCAACGUGAGUUUCCAGCAAUUUUCCUUCAACAAACCACUAACUUAAACACUAAUCCGACAUUAUAAACAUCAUCAAGCACAAAAUCAGCAACAACCCAAGAGUGGGAAUUCAUAGAGCCCACUUUUCCAAUUUCUCCAACAUCAACCACAACCCAUAUGCAAAUUCAACCUUAUAAGUGUAAUUUAACUUCCAUAAGACAAGUUUAAGGUAUUAGAUCAUUACCUACUUUGAUGGUUGGUCAAGACAGAAGUUUCGGUCCUUUUGAAUCUUGAAGAAAACCGUGGAUAGCUCCUUCCUUUUGCAGGUAAAUGGACUUCCCAAGUGUUGAGGUAGAUAUAGUUGAAUUUUUUUGAGAGUUUGGUAGAUUGAGUAAGAUUUGUAGAGGGAAUGUUGAAAGUUUUUGGUUGUUUCUUUGCAGCUGCUAGCCGUCCAAGGAGCUUGAAGAAAGGAAAUGGUUUGCUGAUCCUUUGGCGUAUAAGGAACGCUAUUCGUGUAAUAUUUUAAGUACGUAAAAAUCAAUUGCAAAUGCAAAGCACCAGUGUCGACAUAUCCCGAUCAUCUGAUCUCUUAAUCCACAAGUUAACAGCAAAACUACAAGGGACCUUGACACUUUAACACAUAUAGCCAUAUUCAUAAUAUUAUAGCAGAAGUUCCUUUCCAAUUGACCGACCAAAUAUUGCUCAUCUAGGUGUGUAUUCUCAGACAAUAGUAUAGAAUUUGAUCAUGCAAGAGAUGCAUAAUUAAGUAGGAAAACUUUCAUAUUGCUCUUUCCCCGACUAUUCCACACUACAUUAUUAAUUUUUCAUUAAAGUUAAGUUGUUACUUAGAUAGAAGGAAAGAAAUGGACUGACCAUUCUGGUUACAAAAAUAUCCUUCUUUUUGCCUAUUAAAGUACCACCAAGUCAUGAAGAUCCUAACUUAAUUAUCUCCACAGCUGGGCUAACUCCUCAUAUGUGUUCCAAUAACAAGUUAAAACUAAAGAAUUCAGCAUUCCAUAUUAGAUUUUACUGGAAGAAGACAGAUAAUAUAUGUACCUUUUGCUCCUCACAGUAUGAUGGAUCGGAAAACCAACUUUCAUCAACUACCACAUCCUCCUUUAAUUCUCUAUUUUUUGAAACUGCAACCAUAGAGGAUGUUAUAACUACUCUAUUGACAGAAGAAGAAUUUGCACAUGACCGCAGCACAUUCAGUGUUCCGCUUACUGCAGGUUCCAGUAGUUCUGCCUAUGAAAUCAAACCAAGUAAAAAAGGAAGUCAUUACCAGUCAUAGGUAAGACUAUGCUUUUAACCUGCAAAAAACUUAUCAUUCUGGUAUUAUGUUUGAGAAUUUCACCACAAAUGCUGUAAACCUACAGCUUUAGUUACUUAGCUAAAGGAUGCAUAUAGUUGUCUUAUCUCCUCUUGCUGCUAAAAUAAGUUCUCAGGUCCUUUAUUGUUGUUUUUCCCAUAUUUUUUGAGCUUUCACUGGGUGACAGGAACUUAAGACCAAUAGAGGAACAACUGAAAUAAGUCUCAGAUGUGGUCACCAAUUAAACCGUUGGUACCAAAUAUCAACCGAUGAAAUUCUGUUCUGGCUUGAACAGGACAGACAGAAAAUAUAAAAGGUGUAGCUCCCAUGAAUCCUGCGAAUAGAUUUUAGCGUGAACACAUAAUGCAUGUUGCAAUUUCUUUUAGUGUCUGUGAGGCAACCUUGUUCAUUGAAAUUACUAAAAUCAAAGUUCUACAAAGUUACUUAUAUAAAAAUCCAUAAACAAACAGACAAGGAUAGGUGUACUGCAUAAAAUUUUAAGGCACAAUCAUUAAUAGAAGUUAAUCAACAUACAAAUGAAGAUACAUAUAAUUUGCAGAUGCUUGAACAUAUAUUGUAGUUUCUAUAAGCUUCUUAUUCAUGGUGAUAUCGGCACCCAAAAACUAUUGGCUCUGCACUGGCUGAAUAAUUAGUUGGUCAAAGCAGCGAUUCAUUUGCUCCAGGGCAAGCUUGUAGCUUGCUCUAUAACCUUGACACAGGUGCCGAACCUGUGCAAUAAUAAUUACUAAAAAGUCCUAAUUACCACCUCAAUUAAUUAUAGAACAAAUCCAAAUACUGGAGCAGGGACCCUAGGUGUGUAAUAGGUUACUUGAUUCACCUAUUCGAAGAGUUUGCUUGAUGAUAUACCAAAUUUGCCUAUAAAAAUAUUAAUUUUGCAUACAAUGACAAGUAGGGUCGAUUCCACAGGGAACAGGUAGGAAGUUUUCUUUCCAAGUCAAUAGAAUAAAAUUGGGGGAUGAUUAAUGGGAUGGAAAUGAAAAUAAAAUAAAUAAAAUUCAAAAGAUAACUCCACAAGUACAAUUUAUUAAAAAUAGAAUUAAUAAAAUUCUACCCAAAGGAUCAACUUUUCAGGUACGGUCCAAUUAAAUGAUCAUCGAUGCAGAGAUAUUUCAUUCAUCCGUCACUAGAUUGAUUAUAACUAUCAACAACGUCUGACAGCCAGUUCUCCCUUACCUUUUUAUAACCAAGGUAUGACCGUUGACUGCUUUCUAACCAGAAAACAACCCUAGUACGACCGUAGGAAUUUAAUUAUCCAGUUGCAUUAAAACUGGAAAAAUCAACCCUAACCAAUAAACACGCUAAGAGGGUUUAUUUAAAUUAGAUCUUGCGUUCCCCAACAUAAAGCCAAUUAUGGUGGUUGUCACUAGGUAUCAACUAAACGAACAAUUAUUGAUUCAAUUUAGUUAAUAUGACAGUAGGCUAUUAAAUUAAAUCAAAUACCCGGCAGUUGAUAUUCAAUUAAUAAAAUAUCCAUAAACAAUUAAUUCAGGAAAUGCACGAAUAGUAAAGAAUUGGAAGAAAGAAUAAAAAUUCGAUUAGAUCUCAUAGAUGUUAUGGACCGCGCCCUUGCGUCAACCUUUAGGUAGAGAGGAAAACUAGCCGCUCCUAUCAUAUCAAUCUCGCGUGGUUCAAUUGAUAUCAUUCAACUUAAUUAUCAAAAGGAUUGGGAAAAGUGAAAUAGCGAAGGAACGGCUAAAAAGCCUUGCUUCCCUUUGUAGGGUUUCGUGUUCGUACCACUGAGGCCAAAGUAAAAGCAAAAGUCUAAUAGGGAAGUCGUACAGAAGCCAAAAGCAAAGAGUAAAUCGUCUGUAAUGGCCGACAGAUGGGAGCCAAAGAAAAUUAAAGCUAAGCUAAUCUAUUAGACGUGAAUCUGGCUUUGACUAAUGCUGUGAAAGACCGAAGGACCCCAGACGUCUGACUCCAAAUUGAAACUCAAGCUACUCUAAUUGAUCAGACGUGAUUUUGGCCCUUUUUCCUUUUUGAACGCCGCCGCCCACAGAGACCAAGAAACGUCUGGGUUUUACUUGCUUUUGGAGCCUAGGCUUUGAUUCCAUGCGUCGAGUUCACGUGGGUUUGGUUUCCUAGUUAGCCUGCUGCUAUCAAUCCUGCGAGUCCGAUUUAGGUAUAUCUCCUCAGUUUCUGGCGUGGGCACGCCAUAAAAUAAAGAGUCUUCUGAAAAUGUGCCUCACGCGAUCACUUUUAACACCAACCACCUACAAUUUACACAAAUAUCAAAUAUGAGCAAAUUCUCAAUUCUUAGCACCAUGAGUUGCCAAAAUUAGGACAGAAUAAUAGUGCAAAAUGUGCUAAAUAACCCAUCAAAUCCCCACACCUAGAUAAUGCUUGCCCUCAAACAUUUCAGAGCUCAGAAGCACAAUCAAGAUAGCAACGGUUUCCUAGUCAUCUAUACUAGCACAAACAUCCCGCAUUCCCGACAAUAUCGCCAAAAUUAAAACAUACCAAACAGGUAGUUAUCCAAAGAAUAUGAACAGUAUUAUACGUUACCUUCAAGAAAAUGUAUAAAUACUAGGAACGCUCAAAUCAACAUCACGGAAUGAAUUACCAUAGGCUUGCACAUUUAUCACAUCUCCACCACCGAAAAACGAACUAAAUACACAAAUCAAAGGGACUUUCAUAGGGUUGUAAUGGGGUUUAAGUAAAAGGAGGGAUAAGAAGGUGAAAAUAAGGUGUAAUGUGUCAGGGGAAUGUCCGAUAUCCACCACAUAACCACAAUGCUCACCGGAGAAAUUUCCACAAACAAGACAGUUUCACCUACUGUACACACUGUGCAAAUGCCACCAAUUUUCUCUCUCUCUUUUUUGACAGGCAGCUUGCAAGGCGUGGGCACGUCCUAUAAGUCAGAGUCGUCCGUUCACUUCCUUCACUUUGCUUUCUCUUUUUUUUUUGGAGGAUAACGUCUUGCAAGGCGUGGGCACGCCCUGUAAGACAGAGUCUUCUGAUCAGCAGCUUAUUGUUGAUUUAUCCCCUUUUUUGUUCCAGAUGCACAAAGAUAGCAUCAUACAGAUUCUACUCUGACAACACUUGCGAUUCCAGAUUUAUUUGCCUUGCACAAAUGAUGAAAUUCAGACAUCCCUUGACAACACAGGGGUGACCAAGAAAGUCUAAAGAGAUCUUGGAUUAUCAACAUGGCUAACAAACAAACUCGACGGAUAAAAGCUCAAAUUGGUUUACUAUUAGAAGACAAGAUGAAGGCAUGAUUUUUAGGAAGUUAUAGGAAGUUUAAUCCUAAAUGCCCUUAUCAUUUCAAAUGCAACCAAUUCAACAAAAUGUGGUCUCGACAUGUACAAAAUAGCAAGUUCUAGAAUGCCAAUACCAUGUGUGAUACCCACUCAAUCAAACAAAAAUAGAGCAAACAAGAAUAAUGUGCUCGCAAGGCUCAAAAGCUUCCAAAAAUUACAAAAGUGGGUCAAGUCCAGCAUACUCAAUAUUCAACGAUAUUGCUAAGGAAAAACCAGAUGCACAGCCAGCAUAUAUGACCACAUAUACGUGCACCCAGAUUGUAUAUUCCAUCAUAGUAAAAUGCUCUAGCAAAAAUGAACUAACUAUAUACUUUUUCCUUUUUGUUUUUCAGGUUUUUUUUCAUGUUUUCCUCUUUUUUUUUUUGUUUUUCGAGCAAAAAGAAACAAUAGAGACAAAAAGAAAUAAUAGAAAUCACUCCCCACACCUAAAACCUACAUUGUCCUCAAUGUAGCCUAGACAAAUAAAGUGCAAGGACAAAGGGAGAGAAACUUCCCUGACUACUGAGAUGGUGCAGCGAGAUCCUAAGGAGGCGGAGGAUGCAGGGGGUGGAAUCCAAUAUGAGCAUAGAAAGCUGCCUGAUUCUCUGUCUGAAUACGGGCAAAAACCUGUAACGCCCUAAAACGGUCAUCCAACCCUCAAUGCGCUCCUCCAGCGCAUGGAUAGAAUCCUGGAGGGAGCGAUAUUGGGACUCCCAAGCAGGGGGAGCAUGAUAGGAGGACGGACCUGCCUGAUCCGGAUGGGGUGGAGACUCAGUGGAGGGGGCAGUCGGAGGAACCCGGGGCUGUGGUCCGUCCUCGCCAGGAGGUGUAAACUGAUAGACAUUUCCUACUUUGAAAAUAACUCCCAUCCGCUCCAAGCUGCAAAUCCAGUGGCUCUAUCUCAUGAGCUAGAGCGAAGUUGUUCUCUUUGUCGAGGUCAAGCAAACCCAAUCGAAUGGCCAAGUGAGUAAUGAGUGAACCCAGAAUUACCGGUUUAUUGCACUUUUGAAUGACUGAUUGCAUUUGAGUGGCCACCCAACAUCCAAAGUUAACCUGAACUUUGUUACGCAUGCACCAAAGAAAAUAAAAAUUCUGCCUUGGUGAGAGUGCCGGAGGAAUCCUUCCGGCCCGAGAAAUUGUGAGCCAAGAACCUAUGGAUGACCUUCAAGACCGGAUCCUUCAGAUGAGAGGCCUUGGACUGACUCGGAUUGUAAAGUUGAGGAUCUGUGGACCACUCCCUCCAAAUGUCAAUGUAAUCAGUAGAAAACGGUUUGGUGUAGUCACACACACUAUUUAUAUAUGCUCUGGAUGCAAUGGUAUUCUCACUAACAAACCCCAAAGUCAGAUUAAACUCAUUAAUGGGCAUACUAUACUGGGUAUCUCUUAAUCUAAAUUGAAUAAUCCUCUUCCCAUCCAAAGUGAUGAAUUCAUUUUUUAUGAACUCGGAGGUGGAGUAGAAUUCACAACACAGCUCCUCAAACGUAGGGUAAUCAAUGGUUAGGUACUUUUGCCAACCUAUUGCCGAGAACAACUGUUCAACAUGUCGUGCAAUUUGUAAAUGGUCCAAGGUUGGGGCAUGGAAGCAUUACAUGGGGCAAAAAGACAGUGCACCAAGCUAUUGAACCGGUCCUGUUGUGCCCUUGUAAGGUUAGUGACCGGUUCCCCCAUUCCCCAAGAGACAUAGUGCUUUUAUUGAGGCCUAAACGAGAACGAAUAGGGGUUUGAAUUGGGGCUCGCCUUUUACGAGGUUGGGACCAGAUGCCCCAGAAGUUGUUGCUUUUUUUUGGAGGCAUUUGGAGACCACAGGCAAAGUGUAAAUAAGUAAAGAGACAGCCAGUCAAUCACAAAAGAGGCAGGAGACCACAGUCAACAAUUACUACUCAAAAAUCAACAGUCCAAUAGCAAAGAGAGAGUACAAUUGCCCCCAAACAAAGACAGGCAGAUUGACACAAAAAUCCCUCAUUAGCGUCACUAGGCAACCAAUAAUUAAGACAAGAAGAAUCGAGACCCCAAACAAUGAAAUUAUCAGUCAAAUAUGUCCAACAGAGGGUGAAUCACUUGUCACGUGUACCAGAUAUCCGAUUCACCAGAAUCCACAGAUAUAUAAACUCGAAUCUGAGUCAAAUAUAGCAACUAGAUCCCAAAUUUGAAGACCAGUGACAAAAAUUUAGGGAAAAUAUGGGUACCACUUUUUUUAGGCUGGAGGAGGUCGUGGGAGAGUCACACGGCGAGAAGAAGAGGAGCCAAGGGCGGCGCGCGUGCUCGUACGGAUGGGGAAGGACGCGCUGCUGGAGGGCUGUUGGCGGAGUGGGGCACACGGGCUGGCUGACGCGUGCAGCACAGGGCCUGGCCGGCAGGGCAGGUCGCGCCAGGCGGGCAAUACUGCUAGGUGUGCUGGGCGUGCGGGUGCGUGAGGUCGCUCGCGUCUGGCAGGCUUGCAGAUGAAGACCGCGAGCUGCUGGGAAAGCGCAGACCUGCUGCUGGGUCGACUGCAGCGCGCGGAGGAGGAAGGAGCACGCGAGAAGAGCAGGCGCGCAUGCAGCGUGCGAGUAGGGGAUGUCACGUGCAAAGGCAACUCGCACGCUGGUGAGUUUGGUGGCGGAGUGCGACAGCUGACCACGGGCGACAGACAAUGGCGCAGCGGCAGGCGGCGGUGUGCGGCAAAGACGAUGGCAGGUGGAGGAGGCGUGCGAUGGAGAAUGGCGGCGGACCAAGAAAGCAAGGCAAAAGAAGAAAGUGAGACUUAGUCAAAAGAAAGAAACUGAAAAAGUAGAAGCUAGACUGACGGGUCUUGACAAACUAGACAAGACAAGGAAAAGAGUAAAGUAGAAAAGUGGGGUCAGAGAGGGUCCCGGUCAAUUUUGACUUUUGUUGUCCCACAGAUUGGAAGACGUGGGCAUGCCUUGGAGGCCAUAGUCUUCUGACCGUCGCAUCUUGACAAAGUCCAAAAGAGUUCCUUUCAAGGCAUGGGCACGCAUUGCAACUGUUAGUCUUCAAUUUGCACAGUUGACCUGGCGUACCCCUUCCAAGGCGUGGGCACGCCUUGGAACCCCUAGUCUUCUGUUCAUCACCACAAAAACAAUCAAAAUAUAAAAAUAGAACUGAAAAAUCGCAAGUAAAUGAAAAAUGAUCACAACUAAUUCUGUAUUCCUUGGGUUGCCUCCCAGCAGUACCUUUCUUUAAUUUCUUUGGCUAAACAUGGCCAUCAGCUAUUUAGACCUCACGAUUUGGAUCAUUAAGAGAUAUAAUCUCCACUUGCUCACUGUUAAACCCUUCAUAAUAAGGCUUUAGACGGUGACUAUUGACUACGAACUUCUUCUCCGUUUUCAAGCUUUGGAUCUCCACUGCACCAUAAUGAAAAAUAUUAGAGAUAACAAAUGACCCAAUCCAACGCGAACGCAACUUACCUGGAAAAAACUUAAGUCUCGAGUGAUAAAGUAGGACUUUUUGCCCUAUUACAAAUGACUUCCUUGAGACUUGUUGGUCAUGAAAAAUUUUGCUCUUCUGCUUAUAAAUUGCGGCGUUCUCAUAGGCUUCAUUCUUUAGCUCCUCCAACUCUUGUAAUUGGAGCUUUCUAUGUCCUCCGGCCUCCAUAAGGUCCAUGUUACACCGCUUGAGCGCCAAAAAAUGCUCUGUGUUCAAAUUUCAUCAGGAGGUGGCAAGGCUUCUCAAAAACUAACCUGUAUGGGGAUAUCCCAAUCGGUGUUUUGUAUGCGGUGCGGUAAGCGCAGAGAGCAUCUUCCAACUUCAAACUCCAGUCCUUUCUAUCAGACUGCACCAUUUUCUCUAGGAUUGACUUCACCUCUCUAUUCAACACUUCAGUCUGACCAUUCGUCUGUGGAUGAUAGGGAGUGGACACUUUGUGGAGCACGCCAUAUUUACGAAACAGAACAGUGAUCGUCUUAUUGCAAAAAUGGGUGCCCCUGUCACUGACUAUAGCUCUCGGCAUUCCGAAACGGACAAAAUGUUAGAUUUAAUAAAUUCUGCAAUCACUCUAGAAUCAUUAGUUUGGGUGGCCUUUGCCUCCACCCAUUUGGAACAUAAUCAACAGCAAGUAGAAUGUACAAGAAACCAAAGGACGAGGGAAAGGGACCCAUGAAAUCUAUACCCCAAACAUCAAAAAUUUCAACAAAUAAUAUGGGGGUUUGACUCAUUUGGUCUCUACGAGAAAUAUUCCUCACCUUUUGACACCUAUCACAAGAUUUACAGAACAAAUAUGCAUCCUUAAAAAGAGUCGGCCAAUAAAAAUCGCUCUCUAGCACCUUACGAGCUGUGCGUUUUGGCCCAAAGUGCCCCCCACAUGCAAAUAAAUGGCAAAAAAUCAAAAUAGAAUAGAACUCAUCGGCACUUACACACCUUCUUAUCACCUGGUUCGAGUAUUGCCUCCACAAGUAUGGGUCAUCCCAAAUAUAAUAUUUGGCGUCAUUUCUCAACUUAUCUCUCCUUGCCAUCGGUCAACCUGAAGGCAAUUGAUUCGUUACCAAAAAAUUUAUAAUGUUAGCAUACUAGGGUGCCGAUGAAUCAAUGGCUAGCAAUUGCUCCUCGGGAAAUGACUCUCUUAAUGGCAGAUCCUCCUAAUUCGUGAGCAGCCGACUCAAAUGAUUAGCCACCAAAUUCUCGGCUCCGCUCUUAUCCUUGAUCUCUAAGUCGAACUUCUGCAGGAACAAGAUCCACCUGAUCAGCCUCGAUUUUGCAUUUUUUUUCGCGCCAACAGGUACCUCAAGGCUGCAUGAUCAGAGAAAACAAUUAUUUUCGCACCCAAUAAAUAUGACCUAAAUUUUUCUAGUGCAAAAACAACAGCUAGUAAUUCUUUCUCCGUCGUGGAGUAAUUAAGUUGGGCUCCACUCAAUACUCUCGAUGCGUAGUAAAUCACGUGUGGCGUUUUUCCAAUUCUCUGUCCCAAUAUGGCUCCUACGGUAUAAUCGCUCGCGUCACAUAUUAUUUCAAACGGCAGGCUCCAAUCUGGGGGUUGAAUGAUGGACGGUGGCGUCAACGACUCUUUCAAUUUAUCAAAGGCCACUUUGUAUUUAUCGGUGAAGUCAAACGACACGUCCUUUUGCAGCAACUUAAACAAGGGAGCUCCGAUCUUUGAGAAAUCCUUGAUGAACCUCCUGUAAAAUCCUGUAUGGCCCAAAAAAGAACGUACCUCCCGUACAUACACGGGGUAAGGUAGAGCAGAAAUAAGAUCUAUCUUAACUUUAUCUACCUCUAUUCCCUUAGCCGACACAACGUGCCUUAAAACAAUAUCAUGUUCGACCAUAAAGUGACACUUCUCUCAGUUAAGAACCAAAUUCGUUUCUAUGCACCUUUUCAGAAUUAAAGCUAGAUUAUCAAGACAUUCAUCAAAACUAUCCCCGUAUACGCUAAAAUCAUCAAUGAACACCUCGAUUAUCUUUUCUACAUAUUCUGAGAAAAUACUUACCAUGCACCUUUGAAAAGUUGCUGGAGCAUUGCAAAAAUCGAAAGGCAUCCUACGGUAAGCAAACGUACCAAAUGUGCAGGUGAACGUGGUCUUUUCCUGGUCCUCUGGUGAUAUCACGAUCUGGAAGUACUCUAAAAAAUCCAAGAAACAGUAAUAAAACACGACCAGCUAAUCUUUCCUCACAGAAUUUAGUCUCCGGUAGUCAAUGCACUGACGCCAGCUAGUAGCUUUCCUAACUGGAACCAUAUCACCUCCUGGUUCUCCUCUACGAUCACUCCUAUUUUUUUUGGGAUCACUUGAACAGGACUCACCAAGGACUGUCCGAGAUAGCAAAAAUAUAUCCCCACCUCUUGGAGUUUAAGUAUCUCUUUCUUUACAACUUCCAUCAUCAGAGGAUUCAACCUCCGUUGUGCCUAUCUUAUCGGCUUCGCAUCCUCUUCGAGUCGAAUCCGGUGCAUGCAUAAGGAUAGACUUAUUCCAUUUAUAUCUGCUAUGCUCCACCCAAUUGCCUCAUUAUACUCCUUAAGAAUUCGCACCAGUUUAUCCUCUUGAUUUGGAAAUAAAUGUGCAGAAAUAAUUAUCGGAAGUGUCUCCCAAUCUCCCAGGAAUGCGUACUUUAGAUGCUUCGAGAGAGGCUUAACCUUUAAUUCCGGUGCCUGCCACAACUGAAGGAAGCAGCUUUGUCUGAGUCUCUGGCACAAACAGAGAAGUAAACUCAUACUUGGAGAAACAGUUGAUAGUGAGUAUAAGGCUUCAACUGCAUGGUGCAACUCAUCCCUCAUGUCCACAUCAAGAGUUACACCCAACUCAAGAUGCUUGAUUAGGGCCACUUCCAAUGCGUCCUCACCAUUCAGUUCGAAAGUUUCCUGUACAAUGAGCUCAAAAACAUUCAAAGCAAAGACUGAGUUAGAUUCUUCUGGGUAUUUCAUCGCCUCAAAAAUAUUAAAGUUUACAGUUUCGCCAUCAAAUUCUAUUGAUAAAGUAUCCUCAUUCACGUCUAUUUUCGUCCUAGCAGUGCUAAGAAAUGGUCUACCUAACAAAAUAGGUGACGGGUUUAACGACUUUUCAUCUCCCAUAUCCAAGAUAUAAAAAUCUGAUGGAAAAACUAACUCAUUUACUUGAACCAGGACAUCCUCAACUAACCCUUCUAGGUAGGCAUUGGUGCUGUCGACAAGUUGGAUUAUGAUGGCCGUCUCUUUUAAUGACUCAAGAUUCAGGGACGUAUAAAUGGUUUUUGGCAUCACAUUGAUUGACGCCCCUAAAUCCAAACGGCUCUCUGAUCGGUGUAUUUUCUAUCUUACAAGGGAUCGUGAACAUACCUGGAUCCCCACAUUUGGGUGGGAGUUUUCUUUGGAGUAUAGUUGAUACGUUUUCUCCUACCACUACCCUUUCAUCCCCUCUCAACUUUCUCUUGUGAGUGCACAAGUUCUUGAGAAAUUUCGCGUACUUCGGUACUUGCUUGAUUGCAUCCAACAAAGGGAUGUUGAUCUCCACUUUUCUGAACACGUCCAGGAUCUCUUUCUCUUUCCCCGCCUUCUUCGUUUUCUCCAACCUGCAUGGAAAAGGAGGUAAAUUAGAUUUAAUAGGAAUUGAUGGAGUAAGAGUUACUUUAGGGUCUCCAUGAAUGUGUCUUUCUUCCUCAAUCUCCUUUUCUAUCUCCUCCUCACUCUUAUCUUUCAGGUUCGUAGUCUUUGGCCCCUCCACUUCUUUACCCUGUCAUGGUACUCACAUUUUUGGGAUUUGUCUCGGGUUGCGAUGGUAAUUUUCCAAAAACUUGGGACUCCAAGCUAUUAAUCGCGGUUGCCAUGUGACUUUUUGAAUCUCUAGAUUUUUCAUGCCCGCUCUGGUUUUCUGUUGGAACUGAGCAGUACUCGUGGCCAGGCUCUUGACAAUAUCUUCCAAAGAACUUCCUGAGUUAGAUGACGAAGGUUGUGAUUUUGGUUGCAAUGGUUGCUGGAAUCCUGGUGGACGAUUGGAGAAUAAAUUCUGUGGCCUAUUCCCAUAGCUGAAAUUGGGGUGGUCUCUCCAACCCGGAUUAUACGUGUUGGAGUAUGGGUCAUACUGCCUACGAGACGCGGGCACGCCUCCAGCCAUAUUCACUUGUUCAGUCCCAUCCUCUUGCAACAUAGGGCAUGAGUCAGUGGGGUGGCCCACAUUUGUGCAGAUUCCACAGGCCUUUGCUUGAUGCACGUUUCCCACAACUAAUUGUCGAACAAAAGAUGUCAGCUCUGAUAUCUGCUGCUGAAUGGACGACGUCUCUACCUCGUUGACCCUGCGGGUAGGGUUACUCUCACGAAAGCCAAACUGUUGAGAAGUCUCUGCCAUCAAUUCAAUGAGUAGCCAUGCUUCCCUUGGUGUCUUGUUCACCAAUGCUCCCCCACUUGCAGCAUCAAUGAUACUCCUAUUAGACGACUGGAGGCCCUCAUAGAAAUAUUGGAUCAAUAGUUGUUCACUAAUUUGAUGUUGUGAGCACCUAGUGCACAACUUAUUGAACUUCUCCCAAUAGUUGUGUAGGGAUUCUCCAGGGUACUGCUUAAUGCCACAUAUCUCUUUUUUUAGACUUGCAACCCGGGACGCAGGAAGAAUUUUUCCAAAAAUUUCUUCUUAAGUUGGGUCCAUGUGGUGAUACUACCUGCAGGUAGGUAGUACAACCAAUCAUUCGCUGCAUCCUUGAGAGAGAAGGAGAAGGCUUUAAGUUUAAUCUGCUCCUCAGUAAUUCCUGGAGGCUUCAUACUGGAACAUACCACAUCGAACUCUUGAAUGUAUUUAUGGGGUUCCUCACCCGAGAUGCCAUGGAACGUGGGUAGGAGGUGAAUUAAUCCUGACUUCAGUUCAAAGAGGUAUUCUUAACUAGAGUUGGAAAUGUGAUGCACAACGGCUGUUGGGACAAUUCCGGAGCAGCCAGCUCCCUUAGUGUCCUUGCAUUCGCCAUAGAGAUGUCCUCUUGGCCUGGGUCACUUAAAUUUUAACAACUCAAAUUUGUUGACUCAACCUCAGGAUCCAGUCUCUGAGAUGCAAUGCUGGAUUGCUCCUCCUUAGCUGUCUGGUCUCUUUCUUAGUUUGGCGCGCAAUCUUCACUACUUUUGGGUAAAAAAUCAAUUCACUGUACGAGAAGAACGAGGUAUGAACUAGAAAAAUGUUAGACAAAUCCAAAGAGAACAACUUAGAAAGAAACAAAAUUAACCAAAACACCGUUUCCCGGCAAUGGCUGCAAAAAUUGACAGGUGCCGAAUCUGUGCAAUAAUAAUUACUAAAAAGUCCUAAUUACCACCUCAAUUAAUUAUAGAACAAAUCUAAGUACUAGAGCAGGGACCCUAGGUGUGCAAUAGGUUACUUGAUUCAUCCUGUUCUCGAAGAAUUUGCUUUAUCCGAUAUACCGACAGGAAGUGAGCCAAUUUGGUCAAUCUAUCCACUAUUACCCAAAUAGCAUCAUGGCCUCUUUGUAUCCUUGGUAAUCCUGAUACAAAAUCCAUGGUGAUAUUUUCUCAUUUCCAUUCCGAUAUCUCCAAAGGUUAUAAAAGUCCCGAUGGUUUCUGAUGUUUGGCCUUAACUUGUUGACAAACUAAACAACUCUGGACAAAAUGGGCAAUUUCUCUCUUCAUAUUAUCCCACCAAUACAGACUCUUCAAAUCUUGGUACAUUUUAUUACCUCCAGGGUGUACCAUAAACUUCGAUCGAUGUGCCUCUUCCAAGAUUUCCUUCUUAAGCUCUUCAUCUUUUGACACUACUAUCCGAUUCCGAAACCUCAAAAUACCAUUUGAUCCCAAGUUAAAAUCUGACUUGUCUUCCUUUUUGACUUUUUCCGACCAUUUCUGCACUUCAGUGUCCUUUCCUUAAGAUUCCUUGAUACGCUCCAACAAAGUGGAACUCACUGCAAUGUUCCCCAAAAUUACUUUCCUCGGUUCCAGUCGAGGAUUCCAAUAGCUAACUGUUUCCAACAAAUGGAGUUCCUUAAUUAUCAACCCAGCCAUUUACAUUUGACGAUUCAAAGCAUCGGCCACUACAUUGGCUUUUCCUGGAUGAUACUUUAUAGUGCAAUCAUAAUCUUCCAGAAAUUCUAUCCAUCUACGUUGCCUCAAAUUCAGUUCUUUUUGUGAGAAUAAGUACUUAAGAUUUUUGUGAUCAGUAAAAAUCUCAAACGUCACUCCAUAUAAAUAGUGCCUCCAUUUCUUUAAAGCAAAUACCACUGCAGCCAACUCCAAGUCAUGAAUCGGGUAAUUCCCUUCAUGCGGUUUCAAUUUCCUAGAGACAUAUGCUAUUAUCUUGUCAUUUUGCAUCAAAACACAUCCCAAACCUUCCUUAGAUGCAUCUGUAUAAAUCACAAAACUAUCAUUUCCAUUGGGUAGGGCUAAUACUGGGGCUCUGGUUAAGUGUCUUUUCAAUUCCUGGAAAUUCUCUUAGGACUCCAAAUAAACUUUUCACUUUUCUUAGUCAGCUCGGUCAUGGGUCCAGCAAUUCUAGAAAAGUCCUUGAUGAAUCUCCAGUAAUACCCUGCUAAUUCAAUAAAACUUCGAAUCUCGAUAGGGUUUUCCGAUCGUUUUCACUUCUAAACAGUUUUAAUUUUGGCUGGAUCCACUUUAAUCCCAUCUUUAGAAAUUAUAUGUCCCAAGAAAGUCAUUUCUUUUAACCAAAACUCACACUUGCUAAACUUAGCAUAUAACUGGUGUUUCCUCAGGGUUUGUAAAACAAUCCUCAAGUGUUUCUCGUGGUCUUUCACAUUCUUAGAAUACACUAAAAUGUCAUCAAUGAAGACCACUACAAAUUGGUCCAGAUAAGGCUUAAAAAUCCUAUGCACUAAAUCCAUGAAAGCAGCAGGUGCAUUCGUUAACCCAAAUGGCAUCACAGCAAAUUCAAAGUGCCCAUACCUCAAGUUAAAAGCAGUUUUGGGUAUAUCCUUCUCCAAAAUCCUCAAUUGGUAAUAUCCCUAUCUCAAAUCCAGCUUCGAGAAUACUACCGCCCCUUGUAAUUAGUCAAACAAUUCAUCAAUAUGGGACAAUGGGUACUUAUUCUUAAUUGUGACAUCAUUCAAGCCUCUAUAGUCUAUACAUAGUCUCAAACUCCCAUCCUUUUUCUUAAUGAACAAAACUGGGGCUCCCCACGGAAAAUCACUCUCUUUUAUAAAACCCCUUUCCAACAAUUCUUACAGUUACAAUUUCAACUCCUUCAAUUCCGCUGGAGCCAUCCAAUAUGGCAUCUUAGAAAUAGGUGUCACUCCCGGAGUUACAUCAAUCUUAAAAGUUAUUUCCCGUUCCGGGGGUAAUGACUCUAACUCUUCAGGAAAAACAUCUGGAAAGUCUUUCACUACCGGCAUGUCCUCCAAAUUCACCUUAUCACUAGGGUUGUUAAUAAGAAAAGCCAAAUAUCCUUGAGCUCAUUUACUUAAUAAUUUUCUAACCCGAAUCCCUGAGAUAAGUGCAGACGAAGCCAAUUUACCCCUUAUAUCCAACUUUAGGGUUGCCUCCCCUGGAGUGCACAAUUCUACAAUCUUUGUUCGGCAGUUCAACUGGGCAUUAUAACGAGUUAGCCAAUCCAUUUCUAAAAUCACAUCAUAUCCCUUAAUUGCUAAACCUAUCAGGUCGACCAAUAAUUUUCGUUCCUCGACACAGACUUCACAAUCUCUAUACACCAGGUUAGCAAUUAAACUUUGAUCCCCAGUAGGUGUUUUAACUUCCAAGUCAUACGGUAAUUUAAUUGGUUUCAAGUCUAUUCCACUCAUGAAGUUAGGGUUGACAAAAGAAUGUGUUGCACCUGGAUCAACUAAAACUCUAGCUAAACGAUGAAAGAUUGGAAUUGUACCUUCAACCACUUGAGUCGCCUCAGGUACCUGCUGAUAGUCCAGUGCAUAAACCCUAGCCGGCACUUUCGAUCAACUUCCUCCAGCACUAGUCUGCUUAGAGGUUGACUUUUCUGGCCUCUGGGUGUUACUCCCCAUUUUUUGUGAUUUCAGACAAUUCACGACCUGAUGUUUGGCACUACCACAAAGCAAACACUUCCCCGACUUUCUCCAGCAAUCAUUCUCGGAGUGAUUGGAUUUUCCACAGUACCCACAAGUAAGUUGAGUGGUCACAGCCGAACCAGUAGAAAGCGCUCCCCUAACUUGAGUUGGCCCACCAUGACCUCCUCUAGAUAGACCUCCCCUAGAAGCUCCAGCAGUCCUUAUUCCUCCCGUUCCUCUUCCCAUCUUGGAAGGUUGUGCAUUCUUACCAGCCUGCCCAAACGCAGAGCUAGAAAAGUGUCUCUUUCUAUUGUUAAAGUCUCUCACUUGCAGUCUUGCACUUUCAACCCUUUGUGCCUUCUCUAAAGCCUCAGUAAAUGUAGAAAUUUGGGCUGCGGCCAAACCCUCUUGAAUUUCCACAUUAAGUCCUUGUACAAACCGUCUAAUCCUCUUCCGUUCAUUGACUACUAGCUCAAGAGCAUACUUAGAAAGGUUAGUGAAUUUCCCUUCAUACUCCGUUACACUAAGGGUUCCCUGUUUCAACUUAAUAAACUCAUCCUCUCCCUUUUCUUGAAUCAAGGGUGGAAGGAACUUUUCAUUAAAUUUCCUCGUGAAGUUCUCCAAGGUCCAAGGGGUUUGAACUCUCUCCCAUUUCCCUUUUAUUACAUCCCACCAAGCACGAGCUACUCUCUCAAAUUGGAAAGCAGCAAAAUUCACUCGCCUAUCCUCAAUGUAGUCUAAAGCGGCGAAUAUGUUGGUCAUCCUCUCUAACCAAUUCUCCACUAUAUCAAGGUCGGGUUCACCAAGAAACUUAAGCGGGUUGAACUUUAAGAAUCUCUCUGGCUCUAUCCUCUCCUCUUUCCUGCCCCCCAGGUUGGUUAAACGGUCCAGGACCUUGUCUAUCAGCUAAGCGCUCUAGGAUAUCAGUCAUUCUAUUAAUGGCAGUAGCCACUUGAUUACCCUCAAUGUUUUCCUGGCCUUGGAUCGAUCCAGUUGUCGAUCCCUGGUCAUCCUCCUGAGGUUGGGCCUGUCUAGUCCUUCGCCCACGACCUCGACCACUUCUUAGUCCUUCUAUAACCUAAGCGUGCCUAAUGCAAGAAAUAAAUCAAUUAUGCGAUGCAAAGUAGAAAGCAGAGACCAAUCAAGAAAACAUUGAAAGUAACAAUAAUUGACAUUCAUUAACAUGUCAAGUUCAUACAAUUAACAGGUCAUGGGGAAAAUCACAAAAAUAUAGCACACAGGUGCCAUGAGAGUACUUUUAGUUACAGAAGAUUAAAGUAAAACAAGUGCCUCAAAAGUAGGCCACACAAUCAUGCAAAAUACAAUGACUUCAGCACUUGCAUCACCCCAUCUAAUUCUAACUAUACUAGUCAAAAGUCAAAAGGUCAAGUAGUCAAUCACUAGGGUCUAGUCCACAGUAGGACUACCGGGUGAGAAAUCAUGGGAUAGAAGAGCCUACCUGGGAGGUGGAAGAAGAAAUGCAAAAGAAAUACCCUGAACUAUUUGAAAAUCAAGGUGAGAAAUUUCGAGGACGAAGUUCUUUUAAGGGGGAGAGAGUGUGAGAACCUGAAAAUUUUUCUUAUUUUCUAGGCUUUAUUUUAUUUAAUUGCACGUCUUUUCUAUAUUUUCUUUAUUGAAAAAAUUUUCUAGAUAAUUUUUAUGCGUAAAUAUGGUUUUUAAAUCAUUUUCCUUGUAUAAAUUAGUUCAUGAGAUUUUAGGAGUGUAUAUUGGACGUAGGGCCCGCUAGUACGGUAAGUUCGAUAAAAUUCGGCCAAUUGGGUUAUGUUUUGUAUACCGGAUUUAAUUUACUAGGUGUUAAGAGAUAAUUAGAAGUUACCAAAUGGAUUAAGGUUGGAGAGACAAAAGGAUAGUUUUGAACUCAAAAGGUGACAAGUGUCACUUUGUGAUUUAAAGUUGGACUUUGACUAUUUUACCAACUUUACUAAAUAACUAAGAAAUUAACCCAAAAUUCAUCAUCAUACAUCUCUCUCUUGGCCGACUCUCUCAAGGAGGAAAAGAAAGAAAAACCUUCAACUUUCUUCAACCAAUCUUGCUCAAUCUUGCAAUUCAACCGUUUAAACUUCAAAUUUCUUCAUAAAAACCCUUUGCUAAGUAGUAGUGAAGGAGUUGGUGGAGUGGUUUGGAAAGAGGAGGUGCUAAGUUGUCUCUUUUCUUCAGUUUGCAAGGUAAGUGGCUAAGGAAACCUUCUUUUGUUCUUGAUAAUGUUCAAUUAGUGACUUGUGUGAGUUAAGGAGGUGAUUUUGUGGAAGAUUUCAUGCCUUUUGGUAGUGAUUGAUGAAUUUUUGAUUUUAUGCAUGAUUUUUCUAUUUUUAUAUGUUUAAUAUUUGUUGGCCAUGGAUGAUCGUUUGGUAUGGUCUAGAAUGAACCUUUGGUGCGUUAAUUGUAGCUAUUUACGGAAAAUUUUCGCUUUGUACGGAAAAUUUCAGAUUUAGGGUUUUGAAUUGGGGCUUUUCUAGGGUUGCUAUAGAACUCUUGAAUUGGCUUUGUUUAAUGGGUAUUGGAACCCUACUAAUGUGUAUUGAAAGGCUUAUGACUUGUAAUUGUAAUUGUGGUGGUGUUGCAUGAAUAUAAUUGAUUUUUUUGUAGGAUGGAAAUCUGAAAUUUUAGGGGUUAUGCUGUCCAAAUUUUUGGUCCAUAUGAUUUCUUGGAAUUGGGUUGCUUAGAGUGUUAAUUAGUGACCUUGGGGUUAUCUAAACCCUUAGCACCAAGUGUUCCUUAUAUUACUUUCAAGUUCUAAUGGCUUUACAUUAGUGAUAUUUGGUUUGGGUUUAUGACUCGUAUUCGAGUCUCAUUGUGUUUUAUUGAAUGUUUUAGGGCGUGUCGGUGACGCAAGGCGUUCGUUGGACGGAAAUUUGUGAUAACUCUCUUUGUUUGAGUGGUGAGUGUACUACUCACGUGAUUGUUACUUCAUAACCUUGAUAUACUUGAAAUCUAUGACUUGAAUGCUUGUGUAUACUAUUGAGAUUGAUUGAGACGAGGGUGUAUUUUAUCACUCUUGCACUCUAUGCCUUAUGUGACAGUUUACUGCAUCAAUUGAAUAUACUUGAACUAGUGUCAUUUGGACGUGUAUCCAACGACCUUUACUGUUAACACUGAGCUCAACCCCAUUGGUGGUCAAUUGAAUCGAGUCGGCAAGGGUUUGGUCGAGAAAAUUGACAAGCCAUGGGGAUUGUUUAUGUGGAAUCCUUGAGUAUGAGACUCUUGAUUCCGGUAUACUCGAGUAUUACCAUUUCUGAACUGAUUGGAGUUCGGGCCCGGUAGGGGUAUGUGAGGUGGAAGGAAUCGGAGAAAGUGGAGUCUACGGUAUUGGUUACUCCUUAAGCGUUGACGGGGGGUCAACGGGGCAAGAUCAAGUAUGGCAAGCAGGGACAAGGGCUCUUGAGAGCCGACUGUAUCCCUUUAAAUAUCUUUAUGGAAAUAUGAUGCUAGUUGACUCACUUAUUGGAUGUGUUUUGAAUUGAAUAGUUUUGUGCUUAUGUGAACUUCGUUACUUGGGUGAUGGUAUCUCAUUGGGCGAAAGCUCACUCUAUUGCCUUUGUUUUCCUUACAAGGAUAUGAAUACCUUUUGGGAAACCAAUGUUUUAAAAACCGGACCGUUAAUUGAACCGGUGAAGUAAAAGGGUCGAGGUUCAACCGGUCGGACCGGUUCAUCCUCGGUUCAAUGAAUUUAAAAAAAUAAUUUAUAUAAAUAUAUAUACACAAAAUAAGACAUGUAAUGGAUAAUUUAAUACUUUAUAUGAUGAAAAGUUUACUAUUUUCGAAUAAUUUGGAUUUUUAAAAAUAAAUUUUUAAAAUUAUAAGUUAAAACAAAUAAAUUUCAUGUCAAUUUCAAUUAUAUCUACCAAAAAAAUCUUAAAUCCAAUUCAAAAAUAUCACAAUAUUUUAAAAUUAUACAAAAUUCACGUCUAUGAGAAUUUCGACAUUGUGAACUUAAAUUUUAAUUUACGUUUUGGAAUUUAGAGAUUGCAAUUUAAAAAAGAAAGUUUGGAAUUCGAAAGAAGUUAAGAGAAUCGAAAAUAGAAAUGCAAAUUUGUGAGAACCCGUACUUUUCCCAUUUUCUAGGGUUUUAUUUAUUUAAUGGUUUGUUUUCUGCAUUUUUUUUAGUAGGAAAAUUUUCUAGAUAUUUUUAAUGAGCAGAUAUAGUUUUUAGAUGAUUUUUCUGGUAUUGGAUAGUUUUUAAAAAAUUAAGGAUAUAUAACGGACGUGGGACCCGCUAGUGCGAAAAGUUCGGAAAAAUUCGACCAAUUAGGUUAAGUUUCGGAUACUGGUUGAAAUUUAUCGAGUGUUAAGAGAUAAGUAGAGGUUGAGAUGUGAUUGAUGUGAGAGGGAACCAAAAGGAUAGAGAUGUUUUAAAUGAGUGACAAGUGUCACUUUGUGAGAGGUUGUGACUUGUUGACAACUAUUCACCUUUUUGACUUUUUACCCUUGGAUUAAAUAUCUCAAAAAUUAUCCAAAAUUCACUCUUUUCUUCACCAUUGUGGCCGGCCCUCUCUAGCAAAGAAGGAAGAAAAACUCUUCAAAGUUUGGCAUCCAUCUAGUGCAAAUCAUCCAAAGCAAUCACUUAGACUUGAUUCUACUCCAUAAAAUCUCUUCUUUAGGUGUUAGUAAGUGGUUUGGUGAAGUGUUUUGGGAAGCUAAGAGGACAAGCAACUCUUCCUCUCUUGUUUACUAGGUGAGUGGUGAUUGAACCUUCUCCUUCACUUAAUGAAGCUUAAUUUGUGCCUAAUGGGAGCUAAAGUGAUGAAAUAUGUGGUUUAGAUGAAUUGUGAAGUUUUCAAUUUAUUGAUGAAUUUUCUGGUUUAAUAUGAAUGUGAUGUUGUGGCUAUCCUUGAUGAUGGGAACUGAUGUUUAAUGACUCUAGUAGGUGUAUAUGAUAGAUAAUUGUAACCAAUUUCUGGUUUGGAAGGAAUUUGAGAAAGUUAGGGUUUUAUAUCCCCAAUUCUGUCCGGUUUUGUAUCUCAUGGUUAGAGGCCGAAUUGGCCUUAGCUUAAAACAUGAAAGUUGUAGGGAAUGACAUUUUAGAGGCCUACAAAAUUUCAGGUCAAUCGGAGUAGUGUAGAAUGAGAUAAGUCGAAAUUACUAUUGCUGUUCUGGAUUCAUCCGAAAGUAAGAACUGCGUCUGAAAUUAGUUGUUUUGGCUGGAAUUGCUUUGGAUUUGGUUGUUGAGGUCUUCUGAUGAAAUGUAGCUUGAUGUCCUAGCUACCAUAUGCCUUUGGAAUUUCUGAAUUUGGACCUGUAUAGACUGAGUUGUACUGAUUACAGCAGAAUGUAGUUUGUGAACCCGUUAUUGUGGUUCUGGUUUAGUAUCUCGCAUAUUUGACCUGGUUGUGCUAGGAAUUGGACUGAGUGAUCUUCUACAUUAUUGUAGCCCUGUUUCUUAGCUUUCAACUGGUUUUGGAAUUUCUGGAUUUGGACUUGUAGAGCCUGAGUUAUGAUGUUUGCGCUAGAAUGCGUUUUGGUGAAUCUGUUUUACAUUUUUGAUGUAGUAUAUUGCAUUUUUGACCUGUUUGCACUCAAAACUGGGUUGAGUGACCUUCUAGGAUGUUGUAGCCCUGUCUUUUAGCUUCGAGAUGGUGGGUCUUGAACCCCCAUCCGAUAAUCGUAGUGAAAUUGGUACCAUUACCGCAAAAUGAGGACAAAAACUGUUUUUUUAGGGCCAAAACUAGUUACAUUUCCGAAAUUUCUGGUUUCCUUUAAUGCUUGUAUAUGCUUAUGAAACCCUAUUGGGGUUGCGAUUGGCAUUGCUUUAUGACUCGUUAUCGAGUCUCAUUGUACUUGUUUGCGUGUUCUAGGGCGUGACGGUGGUUCACGACGUACUUUUGACGACGGUGCAUGAAACAUCACCUACUUGAUUGGUGAGUGUACUACUCACAUGAAUGUUUACAAUGUGGCUUUGAUAUAUGUGAUUGUGAUGCCGUGAAGGCUUACUUGGCCAUUGGAAUUGGUUAAGGUGAGGGUGUACUUGACCGCCCUCACCCCUUUUGAUACAGUUAAUGAUUGUUCACCGUUUUACUGUGAUACUGAACUUGAUAUAUGAGUUAUUGAAUUCCAUUUCAUGGAAACCUGAUUUGGUGUCGUUUGGACGAAUAUCCAACGGCCUUACUGUGUUACUGAGCUCAACCCCGUUGGUAGUCAAAUGAAUCGAGCCGGCAAGGGCUGGGUCGUGAAAAUUGACAUGCCACGGGGACUGUACUGGGGAAUCUUGUAGUAAUGAGACUCUUGAUUCCGGUAAACUCAAGUAUUACCAAAAGUUACUGAUUGGAGUGCGGGCCCGGUUGGGGUAUGUUGGGUGGAAGGAAUGGAAGUGAAGUGAGGUCUACGGUUGGUACUCUUAAACAUUGACGGAGGGUCAAUGAGGUUGGAUCAAGAAUGUAAGCGUGGAAAGGGGCUCUUGAGAGCCGUCCGUAUCCUUUUACCGAAUUGUUUUAUUCCUUAAUUGUGUACUUGAAAUGAAAGAUUAUGCUAUAUGCUCUUCGUUGCUUAUGUGGUAGUAACUCAUUGAGCUUUAGCUCACUCCGUUCCAUUUGUUUUCCUUACAGGAAAAUGACUAUUUUGGGAAAGGUUGUGCUAGUUGGUUGUCAAGUUGAGCUCAUGUAAAUGUAUAUUUUGAAUAGCUCCUUGAGGGUGAAAACCCUAAGUGUUUUGUUUCAACCAAUGGUUGGUUUGUAAUUGGCUAAUUGCACAUGUAUGAACUUGUUGGAUAUUUUGGUAUGCCGCUUUGGCUUGUAAAUGUUAAAUUUCGAUGUGUAUAUGUUGGAUUGAUGUUUGGUUGAACUCCGGAUUCUGACGUGGCCGGUACUGUUCAUCAUCGGCUUCGAUUUUCAUUUUUUUUUAUUUUGUGAUUUUGACUUGUUGCGCGCGUUGGUGUGUUCCGGAACAUAGUAGAGCGACGUAAACUGAUCCGUUAGUCCUGGCGAGAGCUGGGCAGGCAGUCCGCGUUCGCCUUAGGGGAAGGUGGGGCUGUCACAAAAUUUGAUAAGAAACAAAAAAUGAGAUAAAAGUGAGCGGUUGUGGCAUUAAAUAAUUUGGGUUAAAGAAAAAAAAUUCUUUUUUAACUUUUUUAAUUUAAUGGACAAAAACAAAAUUGAAAGAUGGAAGAAAAUAUCAAUAAAUUAAAAAUAAAGAGGUUUGAUUAGAAAAAAGUGACAAAAGAAAAGAUGAUGGAGAGAGAGAGAGAGAGAGAGUUGAAAAUUAAAAAAAAAGAGUCAUGAGAGGAUGAGAUUUUGUAAGAAAAAUGGAACAAAAGAAAUAUGAGUAUUUGUUUUAUAUAAAUAAGUUAUCAAAAAAAACUAACAAGAUGUGAUGGUGCAAUGGUUACUACAUUGGUCUUCUAUUACAAAGAUCUUGAGUUCGAAUCUUGAUAGCUGCAUUUUGCAAAACUAAAAAAAAAAAAAAAGACGAAAACUUGAAAACCGGAAACCUCCGGUUCAAAUCCGGUUCGGCGGUUUUCGCGGUUCAACCGGUUUUUGACCGGUUUUCUGCCAAAGUCAACCCUAGCAUUGAACCGGACCGGUACCAUGGCCGGUUCGAGGUUCAACCGGUCGAAUCGGCCGGUCCGGUCCGAUUUUCAAAACACCGUGGGAAACUGUGAUUUUGAAGCCGAGUUGAGCUAGUUAAUAUUCUUUUGUAUAGCUCCUCGAUGGUUGGAAAAUCUUAAGUGUAUUUUGAUUUAACAUUUCCUUUUGAGUUGUAAAUUUGAAACCAUACGUGUAUAAACGUGUUUGGAAAUGUUCAUGUGUUACUUUGGUUUAUCAAAGUCUAAUUUCAGGGUUUAUAUGAUUUGAUGGUAAUCAGUAGGGGAUUGUAACGUGGCCAGCACUAUUCAUGUGCUGCUCCAAUUUUCUUUUUCCAUUUCGCGAAUUUUGAACCGUUUAAGCGCGCUAAUAUUUUCCAAAACGUUUUAGAUUAUAUAUAACCGUCUUGGUAGUUCUGGCGAGAGUUGGGCAGGUAGUCCGCUAACCCCUUUGGUACACCCUAGGGGAAGGUGAGGCUGUCACAUAUUGCCACUGAAUAUAUUUUGCUUGGACAUGUCAAUGCUAAUAUGUAUGGUACUUGUUUUGUCUUUUGCAUUUGGUUUUGAUCCGCUUGAUAUGUACAGUAUCUUUAUGACUUGAUGUAUGAACUUGGUGUGUUAUAACUAUACUAAGCAUGAUUCCUUAUCUUUGACUUUGUGAUUUGAAAAUGUCUUUAUCUUCCCGCUUUAGCCGAUUUAUUUUGUUUAUGUACUAUAUAGCCAAUUUUGACAAAAAAUAAAAGAGAGAGAGAAGGGUGUGGAGGGAAGACGUAAUCAUGGAUGUGGGGUUAGUUGUGGCCAUGGGGCUAGGUAAUCGCAAGAACCAGGGAAUGAAAGAGAAACGGUAGCCGAGCAAGAUCGUGGACCAAGGGUCGAAGUAGGGGACCAAGUAGCGACGGCGAUACAACAAAUGACCAAUAUCUUAGCACGAUUGGUAAAAAUCACAAGGCCAAGCUCCAAUAAAUCAACCUAGGAGCCUUGAAUAGGAGAGGAUAUGGUCCUAGAGCAUUUUCAAAAGUUUUCUCCACCAAACUUCCUUGGAGGGCCUGAUCCGGAGACAGUUGAGCAUUGGUUGGAAGCGAUAAUUAAUAUCUUUGUAGCUUUGAACUACACGGAGAAAAGACAAGUGAACUUUGUUGUAUUUCAAUUUGAAAGAUCGGCCCGAGCAUGGUGGAAUGUUAUUAGGGCAAAGUAGGAGGGAGAACAAACUGCAUGGAUUUGGGUAAAUUUUAUAAGGAAAUUUAAUGAGAAAUACCUCCCGCCUUUGGUCCAAGAGGACAAUUUUAUUAGGUUACAUUAGGGAACCCUAAGUGUGGCCGAGUAUGAAACACAAUUCACUAAACUAUCUAAAUUUGCUCCUGAAUUGGUUGUUACGGAGUGGAGAAGAGUGAGACGGUUUAUACAAUGAUUGAAUCUGCAGAUCCAAGAAGCUUUAGUGGUGGUUCAGAUUAAUACUUUUACGGAAGUUCUUGAGAAAGGUCAAAGGAUUGAGAAUGCAAAGGCACAAGUAAAAACUUUCCACACAUGCAAGAGGAGUGCACCUAGUCGUAUACAUGAGGAAUCUAGAGAAAAUGUAACGCCUUCCAAAGUAAAAAGAGCGAACCAGUCACCUUACCCACCAUAGACACUAGGAACACUAGAAGAAGGUUCUACAAGAGGAAGUCAAGUGGGAAAAAGGCAACAAGAAGAAAUUCCUCGAGAAGGCCAAAAAGUGGCUCCUCGCUUGGCUUAUGGAUACUAUGGAAAGGCAAAUCACACUGAGGAUGAUUGUUGAAGGAAUGGUGAAAAUGCUUGGUUUGUGGGACUACCGACCAUCAAAUUAGCAACUGCCCAAAGAAGCAGCAACUAGGGAAUGAUACUCAACAAGGGAAUAAAACUACCCCUAAACAAGCUAACGAAAUAGGGAACAGACCAAGAGUACUAGCGUGGGCAUAUGACGUAGACAAGCAACAGGCUCCAGAAUUAUCUGAGGCGAUGGAAGGUAAAAAUUUCGAAAACAAAAUUUUGUUAAGGGAGAGAGAGUGUGAGGACCCGAAAAUUAUUUUUAAAUUUUCUCCUAUUUUUGAAAAAUUUAAUUUAUAUUUCCUUUUAAUUUUACUUUACUUGCUCAUUUGCUAGCCUUAAUUUGAUAGUAAUUUUAUUGGUUGAGUCAAGAUUGAUAUCAUUCCUCUUUUAUAUUUUAAUGCAUGUUAAGUUCCGUUGUACAUUAAGGUAGUGUGACCAACUAGUGAGGUGCGCAAUAUAAAUUGUGAGGAAAUGAGGGAGUUUUGUGCAAAGGUGUUUUUGUAAAAAAAAAAAAGAGUAUUAGGAGAUAUUUGAGGAAAAGAAAGAUAUUUUGGUGGAAAUAUUUGUGACUUUGCCGUUUGUCAAACAUCCAUACAAGGUCUUGACCAAGAUCAAACUUUUCCAAACCAACCAAGUGUUAUUUCACUAGAAUCUUCCUCUUGCUUCUUUGGGUUUCCUCUUGGGCGAAAAUUAGAGAGAAAAAAGUGAGUAGAACACAACUUCUAGUCUUAAGUUUCUUGUCCAACUUAGUGAGGAAGAAAAAAAAAACAGAGAGGAAAACAUCUUGCACUCCACAAAUCUUUGAAUCAAGUUUGGAGGGAAGUUCUUGGAGGGAGAAACUUGUGAUCAUUUCUUGGUUACUCACCAUUUUUUUUUGUGGGGAGAAAAAGAGGUAAACUUGCUAGAAAACCUAUCUUUUGUUUCUUAUAGUUUAUAUAUGGUGCAAUUAGAGUUUAAAGGAAGGAAUUUAUGGAGGGUUUCCUUUAAUUUUCAAGUUGGUAGUUAAAUUUCCCACUUUAAGGAAUGUAGUGAACAACUUAGUUUAGAGCUUUUUCUUUGAAGUUGUGAUGGAUUUUCUUGCCAAGAAAAUAAGUCAUAAGCCUCAUGACAUGUUAGUUAUAAGAUAUAGUGCAUUUGCCAUGGAAUUAAGUGGGAAAGUUGGAAUUUUUUAUGGAGAUUUUGCUGGAAAAUUUCUGUUAUUGCUGGCCGAGAGGGAAAGAAGGAAUUUUAGCUUUCUUUUCAGAAAUUUUGUGGUGAUUUUAAUAUAUUCUUGUUCAAUACAUUUGUUAAAACCUUUUUCUUCAUAUGUAUGUUGAUUUUGAGCCAAAACAAAGAGGUUUAAGAGGGGAAAAACCUAGUUUUUCAAACUAAUAGAUUGCUGGAAAUUUUCAUAGGGAGCCCUGCGCAGCUUUGGGAAGUUGGCUAUAACUUCGUAUAGGAAAGUCGGAACUGAGUUCUGUUUGUUGCAUUUGAAACUAGACUCAUAGAGAUUUUAAAGGUAUAAAAUUUAGGGUUUGAUUCGACUCUUAUAAAUACCAGCAAAUUUGCAAAGUUUCUUAAAAACCAUGACUGUUCUGUUCUUGCACAUGAGAUAGUAGUGAGUUUGAACUGAAAAUUUGACUAAUCUAUGAGCUGAAUUUCAUGAAGAUGUCUUCUAAAUCCUGUUAUGCUUGGAGUCUAUUUUCUAAUGGUGUAAGUUUUGUGAUUUUUCGACUUACGGAACUCAAGUUAUACUUUUUCAAAGAAUGUCACCAAAGCUGGAAAUUUUAUCAAAUGGAUUGAGUGGGACUUGGAAAACUUCAGAAAACUUUUCUGGGUUUUAAACCUAACCUUCUUUGGUUAAAUCUUGCGUAUUUUGAUUUGAAAUACUUGAUGAUAUGUUAACCUUAGCAUGCAUGAAAUAUUUCACUUGAUUUAAACUUGAUUUAAAUAAGAAAUCGUGACCCUUUUAGUCUUCUGAUAUUAGGGUUAAACCUAUAGUUUUUGUGGUUGCUAAGUGAAGCAUCAAAUCUCAUAUUUUCUCAUUACCUUGGCUUUAAGUUACUAGAUGCCUGAUGGAUUACAUGAUCACAGGACUUGAGAAUAUUCUACAGGAGGAACUAGGAUGACCAAUUGGUGAGGUCAAGUGGUGAGUGUUCCAUGCAUGUUUGCUUCAAAUGGCUAUGUGAAUUGUUGUGAAUGUUUGUUUGAAUGUUAAAUGUUUUUAAAUGAUUGUUGAAUGGAUUUUCAAUAGGCGAGUGUGUACUUUAUAGCACUCGAUCUAAGUGAAUGUGAAAUUUUCAAUGAUUAAAUGAUUAUGUUACCUGUGCAUGAAUAUAAGCCUUUGGCUGAACUGGGCCCUUGCCCUUCGUUGCCAGUCAACUCGAGCCAAAAAGGGACUCGGUUGGAAGGCUGGUGACCCUAGGACAGUGUUUUGGUGUACUCAAGUAUUACCACGAAGUUUGAUAGAGAACUGACCAGUGAAUGAAAUGCAAUAAAUGAAAUGAUCACUGAAGGAGUUUUUAUUUGCAAAUGUGUUUUCAAAAUUUGGAGGUAUAAGGGAGAAAUGGUCGGAGAUUGAAUAACUGACUGAAUGAAUGGCUCCAAGUGAGCACAUAUCCUUCCAAGGAUUGAAUGUUUAUUUCUUGAAUGACUGUUAUUACUGUGCAAAGUGUGCAAACUGUUAAAUGCACUACUUCCGUGGUUUUUUUCUACCUGAUUGCUUGUUUGGGAACCUCACUGGGCUUUUAACUCAUUCUUUUAGUUUUGUUUUCCUUACAAGAGUGGAGGCCGGAGAAAGUAAGCAUGAACUGGCAUAUAUAAUAUUUAUGUACUUGUACUUUUGUAGAUGAAAUGUAUUUGGGAUCUUUGGCAAUGUACCCCUAUGUUACACUUUUGGGUUGUAAAUUAAGUUGGAAUUCUUGGAUGAAUGGAACUUCUAUGUUUAUCUAGAGACAUGAAAGACUAUUUCAAGAUUGUUAGUGAGUGAUUCCUGGUGAGAGCCAGGUAGGCAAUCCACCAAACCCUUGGAUUCGCCCUAGGGGGAGGUGGGAUCGUCACAGACUAAGUACUCAGUGCUGAUGAAGGUAUGUAACCAUUAAGAGCGAAUAAAUACUUAAUAAAUGUGUAUAUGUUAUACCAAUGUAUAAAGAAUGAUUAGUUUUCAUGAAAUUUGAAUGCUUAUGUGUAUACCUAUUGCAAAUGUGUAAUUGUAUAUAUGUGUAACAUACUCGGUCCAACAAGGGCUGUAUGUUUUACUAACUAAGCAAGUUGAUGCUCAUCCCAAUACUUUAAUAUUUUUACAGAGAAUAAGUAUGUAUACGAGUUUGUUAAGGCUGAUGGUGAUUGGGAUUGCUAGAGCUGGAUUGUUGUUAGAUUAAUCAAAUAGUGAUUGAAUAAAUAUUAAGUUCCCAUUUUCGAACAAAGUACAGGUUUGGAGCAUGACACUUCAGGUGGCAAGCUUCUUCAAGAUCAUAUUGGUAGGAUUGUGUUUGAUUUCUACAAAGAGUUUGGGCAUCUUGUGUGUUAGAAGCUAAAGCAAAAGCUUUCUCAAUUGGGUGUGUGUGGACAUUGAUUCACAACUGUGUUAUCUCAUUAGUUCAAAUAAGCUCUCGGAAUGGCCUCUACGCAACAUAUUAACCAAGAAUCGGUUUCAAUUAUCGCAACUAUCAAGGAUGGGUUUGUAAGACUUGCCUCUUUUAGAGGCAAUUACAACCCACAUGAUUGAUUCUAAAAUGAUUGCUAUCCUGAUUAAUUGAUUGACAUUUUGUCAAUAAUUAAUUAGUAUAUCCUUUUAUUGUCAAAACAAUAUUGUAUUAUAUCAUUAACUUGAUAAUACAAGUUUUAGUUACAAAAAGGAACAACUGUCCCAUAGUCUUUUUGUGCAAGAUCUUUGAUCCACACUGGGAAGCUAAUGUCCCAUAUUAUAUCAUUAACUAGCUUACAUGCAAAUUUAGCUAGCCUAUGACAAAAUUCAUUUCUUGAUCUAUGAACAAAAGAGAAAUUGCAUUAUUCCAAUAGCUCUCUCAUCUGCAAUAUGUCUUCCAGUAUCAUUUCAACAAUGCUGUCUUUACUGUUUCUGCUAAAAUUUUCUGAGCCUGCUUAGGUCCGCCCCCUCCCCCUUAGUAUAGAAUAUAUUAGGUUAUACAACUGUUGUCGUCUCUGAAAAAAAAAAAGAAAAGAAACUGCAAAAUAAGUUCAAGUAUCAAAAUUUGGUCAAAAAUAAAAAUUAGUGUCUAAAUGGGGCAUAAGAAAAAAUGUUUAGGAACCAAAUUGGCCAUUAAAGGUAUAAAAUUAAUAAGUUACUUUUGAAACUUCGACUGUAUUAUGCAUCUUUUAGACAAAAAAAAGGAAAAAGGAAAAACAAUAGCACAAGUUGGCCACACUUUUAUUCUUAGUUUUACAAAAAUGUAUUAUAAGUUAUAAACUUGUGUUGCAAAAAAAAAUUUUAAAUGACAACUAAACAAAACAGUGGAAAAAAAAAAGAAGAGAUGUAGUUGAAGCACAAACAACUAAACUUUCACCCCACCUUUGUUGGUUUAUUUGAAAUGGUUUUUUUUUUGUCAUUUGCAAAAUUCUUUCCUUACCAGAAGUUUUCCAAAACAAAGACAUCACCUUUUAAAUCCUAAAAUUUAUUAAUUAUGAUAACUUUAUCCUUACUAACGAUUGCUCAUUAGUCGAACCAUAUUUUUCAAACCCAUGCGAAUAAUACUCAAUUCUCCUCUUUUGAAUUACUCAAAACAUACACCCUCUUUAUGAAUAUUGAAACUUCCGGUAGCCAUAUUCUAAGUUCUCCCAGACACUUGAUAAUGGUAUUAUAGAUGGCGAGUAAAUGCUGCAUAAUCUAGUUUCAGUCUCAGAGAAGUAAGGGAAUAGUUUGCCGGCCCCUUGACUACUAGAACUAAGAAUACUAACUGAUUUGCAAAAAAGAAAAAAAAAGAAUAGUUAUUAAUUUGUUGCGAUUACAAUAUUAACAUGCACAGAAGAAUAAACUUGGUCCAGAAAUAGCCCGCCAUUUUGUUGUUCCAUUAAUCCAACAGCAAUAAUAUUUUCAAUUUUGUUUAACUCAGCAUAAUAGAUUGAUGGUAAGUCGAUAAAAUAGAAUGAUUAAUUAAUGAAUUAUCAGUAGUAAUAAAUAACAAAUUAACAAAUUAACCUUUCUUUCUUAGGCGGUCUCUAACAUGUGACUGUUAAUGUGAAUAGUAGUAUAACUUUUAAUUAGUUUAUAUGUACUUAAAUUGUUGAAUUUUUAAAUUAAAAAAAUUUAUUAGUAAGAUAUAUAAAUAUUCUAGUAGUAUAGAGUUUAUGGAAGAUUACUAAGAGUGAAUUUAAGAAAUAAGCAAAUUACAAAAAAAGGUUAAAGAAAAUUAAAAGAUUAAGUGUAAGUAAUAUAGCAAUACAGGGAAAGAAUUAGCACUGACACAAUAGAAGGGCAUAAAAAGAAGAAAAUGAAUGGAUAGAAGUAAAAAAAAAUCAAAGGAAAAAGAAAAGGGAAAAACGAAAAAGAUUAGCAAAAUAAAAAAACAUAAAAGUUAAUAUGGCAGGGUUAGUUUUGUUCAAAUAUAUCAUCACGAGGGGCAAAGUUCCUAUUAAAAGAAAAAAAUUGUUGGGGGUAAAUUCAAGCUUAGUGUUUAGUUUUGGGGGGGGAGGGGGGUUUACUACAUUUAAUCCUUGUGUGUGUGUGUGAAAAAGUUUAAAUGGAUUCAACCCAUAAGAAUUCUUACUAAUGGUCAUUAACAUAAUUCUUAUAUUAACAACAGAUUUGAUACACUAUCUUUUGUAUGAAAAUUAUUUAUUCUUACUAUAGUUGAGCCAACUUUUAGCGGCAACCCUCCUUUUAAACUUUUGUUUUGCAAGUGGCGAGUCCGUUGACUAUUGACAUUGAAUUUGUUUGGAUAGGCCAUUAUUUGGGUUUUUUGAAAUAGUGCUACAGAAAAGUGUUUGGAUAACAUUUCAAAUAACACAAAUAAUUAAGGUUCUAUCCCAAAACUUCCCGUACACACGUGGAAUCAGCUUGUCAACGCUGGUGCUGAAGUGUGCAUCCACGUGGAAAUUCCUUGGGACCUCUGGAUGGUCCACGCACGUUCUCAUCUGUAUGUGUAAGACGGGAAUUUGGAGAACACUAUGCAUUUUUUUACCAUUGGUGCUAUUGAAGAAGAAGAGUAAAGGUAAAGUUGCUCUGGUUGCUUCCAAACCUGCACAGAAUUUAUUUUCUUAGCUUUUCUCCUCCAUUUAUGCGCUGACUGUCUUCUCCCAUCCAGAAGUAAUCAGAUACACCUUUUAUCUUUUCCCACGGGUAGAUAGCUAGCAAAUUCGGAUCUUGGAUUCGAUUCACUACUAUCACAAAUCCAGCUGAAACUAGGAGAGUAACCCACUGAAAGUGCUGUUUUAAAAGCUAUCCAACACGAUACAAUACCUCUCCCUAAAGGUACUUUUCUCACAUAAACCGAGCUGCUGCUAAAUAGUUGGAGCAGUAUUUUGGUGCCGGGUUGCUCGUUGCACGGUUCAUCACCAUCUUCAAUUGUUUUUUCCUUGUCAUCAGCGCCGUUCGAGCAUGAACACAAAGCUUGAACAAAGUGCUAUUAUUUGAGGGGGUGUGAGAAAUUGAAUUCGGUAAGCAAUCAUCCUCCUUACCGACUGCAAUUUUUUGUUUGACUUGUGUCUCUAUUUGGAAGUCUGGACAAGUUACCAUAUGUACCAAAAAUUGUGAACACGAAACUAUAAUCUGAUGAAAUUUGAGCUCUCUGUGUUAGGGUUUUGUCGAUUUGUUCUUUUACUCAUUAGUUUCAAAUUAAUGUCAGUGGUUGUGUGGAAGAACACUUUCUAGAUUUGUGAAAUAAAUAACUAGCAAGCAUACACUGGACUCUAUUCUCUAACCGUUGGUUCUUUACCUUGCUUAGGUUCUGAGGAGGGGAGGAUCUCCCCCUUUGCUUUCUUCCUACAUCGUUGCUUAUUUUGAUAGGACUUGAGCAGAAUUGUUAUCUAUGUAGAAGUUAUUUAAAUCAUUUCCCUGCUCGGCUCGGCUCUGCUCGUGAAUGAUUUUAAGUUUGUUUUGCAGUAUAAAUAUUUGGUUUCUUAAUUUCCUUGGAACUCUUGUAUUCUAAUAAAUACUACUACUCCCUGUUUUAGAAUUAUCAUUUCCUAAAAAUUGUCAUCAUGCUCAUUUGGCUUGUGGGCUGAAUUCCUAUUACCUAUUUUAGUACGUGAAUUAUUAGGAUUCGUUUGAAUAGGCAUUACUCUCUCCAGUUAAUACUCUCUCUAUUUUAUUAUUGAUAGUCUUAACCGUAUUACGGGGAAAUAGUCAUUGUACCCAUAGUCCUGUGUUAAUACUACUAUUGUGUUUCCCUUCUUUGUGCAUGAUUCAUGAAAGUGGUUUGAUUGGCUAAAAAAAAAGUUUAUACUCUCUCAUGGUAGCCCUCAAAUGACAUUUACAUAUAUCAGUACAAGCACCUUCUACAGCUCGCAUUGACUGAUGCCUGCAUUUCUAGCAAUAUGGAACCGUAACCUAUCCUGCACUUAGGAGUGCUUCUAUUUUUACAUGUUUUGUUGUCCUGAAGUUGAAUUAUACCCCAAGAAGGAGCAUCUUUUUUGUCAGUUUCUUGUUUUCUUGAGACAACAUGCUCUGCUCUAUGUGUAAUGAUGUCAAUGGGAAAAACAUUUGUCAAUAACACAGUGGUUCUUCUAAUAAUGACUGACCUUGAUGUUGAAUUGGUUUAGGCAGAACUUUUGUCUAGUGGGGUAGAUUUUGAGAUUCUGGCUCUGGAUUUGAAAUUGUUUGGUCUUGAUCCUUGUGAACGAGCCUACUGGUAUCGUGGUUGCACACUUUUUAAAACUUUAUAAUCCUUAUGUGACAGCCCCAUCUUCCCCUAAGGCAUACCAAAGGGGUUAGCGGACUGCUUGCCCAACUCUCGUUAGGACUCCUAAGACAGUUAUAUACAUUCCAAAACGUUCCGGAAUAAAUUAGCGUGCUUAAACGAUCCAAAAUUUGCGAAACGGAAUAACGAAAAAUGAAAUCGCACAUGAAUAGUGUCGGCUACAUCACAAUCCGGCCGGAAUCUGACUGGAUUUCCAACCGGAUUCUUGGCCAGAUUGGAGGCAGUGGCCAACCUCAUGGAUUCAAAAAAAUCCAUGACAAUCCAGCCAGCAAUCCGGCCAAGAUUUGGCCGGAUUUGCGGCCGGAUUCCUCUGUGUCCUUUCCCGCCAAUUUUUUUUUCUUUUGUCGUUCAAAAUCCGAUCCUAUCCGAAACCUAACCAAUUACCAUCAAAUCAUAUAAACCUUGAAAAUAGACAUUUACAACCGAAUAUAACACAUGAACAUUACCAAACAAUUUUAUACACGUAUAGUUGCAAAUUUACAACUCAAAAGGGAAAUGUUGAAUCAAAAUACAUUUAAGGUUUUUCCAACCAUCGAGGAGCUUUACAAAAGAAUAUAUUAAAGCUAGCUCAACUCGUGCUUCAAAAUCACAAUUCCAAAAGGUGGUUUCAUGUAAGGAAAACAAAGGCAACGGAGUGAGCUUUCGCCCAAUGAGAUACCAUCACGCAAAUAAACAAAGUUCACAUAAGCACAAAGUUACUCAAUCCAAAUACGUUCAACAAGUGAGCCGAACUAACACCACAUUUCAAAAAAAGGAUACAGACGGCUCUCAAGAGCCCUUUUCCUCACUUGCCAUACUUGAUCUCGCCCCGUUGACUCUUAAAGAGUAACCAAUACUGUAGACUCCACUUUUCUCCAAUUUUUCAUUCACCUCACAUACCCCUACUAGGCCCAAACUCCAACCAAUUAAGAAAUGGUAAUACUCGAGUAUACCAGAAUCAAGAGUCUCAUACCCAAUAAUUCCACAAAAGCAGUCCCCAUGGCUUGUCAAUUUCCUCAACCAUGCUCUUGCUGGCUCGAUUCAAUUAACCACCAAUGGGGUUGAGCUCAGAAUUAAUAGUAAAAGUCGUUGGAUACACGUACAAACGACACCAGUUCAAGUAUAAUCAAGAGAAUUCAAGUGAUACCGGAAACAGUUAAAUAAGCCAUAGAGUAUGAGAGUGAUAAAAUAUACCCUCGUCUCAUCCAGUAUCAUCAGUAAACACAAGCAUACCAAUCAUAGAUUUCAAGUAUAACAAAGCCAUGAAGUAACAAUCAUGUGAGUAGUACACUCACCAAUCAAACAAAGAGAUUUGACAAAUUUCCGCCCAACAAGCGCCUUGAGUCACCGGCACGCCCUAAAACAUUCAAGGAAAUACAAUGAGACUCGAAUACGAGUCAUAAACCCAAACCACACAUUACUAAUGUAAAGCCAAAAGAACUUGAAAGUAAAAUGAGGAACACUUGGUGCUAAAGGUUUAGACAACCCCAAAGUCACUCAUUAACACUCCAAACAAGCCAAUUAGCAUGAAAUCACCUAGACUUAAAGAUUGGACAGCAUUUCCUCUUAAAAUUUUAGAUUUUCACCCUACAAACAAUCAUUUAUAUUCCUCCAACACAACCACAAUUACAAUUGCAAGUCAUAAGCCAUUCAAUACCCCUUAUUAGGGUUACAAUACCCUCUAAACAAAGCCAAAUCAAGAGUUCCAUAACAACCCUAGAAAGCCCCAAAUUGCAACCCUAAAUCUGAAAUUUCCACUUUGUACGGAAAUUUUUCGCAAAUAACUACAAUUAACACACAAAAUCUUCACUUUGGACCAUAUCAAGCCAUCAUCCAUGGCCAACUAACACUUAUCAUAUAAAAUCAGAAAAAUCAUGAAUAAAAUCAGAAAUUUAUCAAACUCUACUAAAAGUCAUGAAAUCUUCCACAAAACAACUUUUUUAACUACCACAAGUCACGAAUAACCCAUUAUCAAGAACAAACUAAGAAUUACUACACACCAUACCUUGACACCUCAAGAAAGAUAGUAGCUUAGGUUUCUUUCUGUGAUGGCCCCACUUCCCCCUAGGGCGUAUCCCAAGGUUCGGCGGGUCACCUGUACAACUCUCACCGGGACUCACUCACUCACUCAUAAAACUAGAAAAUAGAUUCACGCCAAAAGAAAAUUCUGUCUGAAUGAUUACAUCUUCAAAAGUUGCACAACCUAGUACAUCAAGUCAUGCAUACCACGAGUACCAGAAAGUAAACCCUAGAAAAGCUGAUAACUACAACCAUCACGACAACUAUACACACCUUACUUGUCAACUUAUAACAAGUACAAGUUCAACUCGUCUAUAAUCAAAACACUAAACACCUUCCCGAGCGAUCCCCGCGUCGGCCCCCUACUAAGGAAAACAAAUGGAAAGGGGUAAGUUAUAUGCUUAGUGAAUAAUCAGGGGUAAAAAUGUAAACUCACAUCAUUAAACAAGUAAAUCAGGAUAAUUCACAUCAAUAACAGAAAAGUAGCAUCACAAUAGUAGGAUACGGGUGGCUCCAAAACCAGUUCAAUUCCCCGAGCUUGAACGCCUGUUGACACUCCGUCAACCAAAGUUCUCAUGGUCCGUAGACUCCACUUAAACUUUUCCGUUCACCUUAUCAACCCCCGCUGGCCAAUCAACAGCACACAGCAACUCAAACGAAUUAAAAUAACUUAAUUUUCGUCAAAGCUUUAACAAGGAACUAAAUCCCAAGUUUAGCAUGGAACUAUCUUCGACCAAACCCCAGCUGGCUCGAAUAGUUCGUCUAACCCUUGGAACCGAGCCGGAACCAAGUCCUGAGAUAUCCGAUCUCUCAAUAGAUGGUAUCUCUCAACCAGUACACAACAAAGUACUUACCCCAAACAGCACAUAGCAAACGGGGUUUAAUUCAAGUCAUGUAAACACUCCCAUCAGCACACAACAAAAGGGUGAUACUCAAGUCACGUAUUCACCCUCCUCAGCACACAGCAAGAGGGUGAUACUCAGGUCACGUAUUCACCCUCCUGGUGAUACUCAAGUCAUGUAUUCACCCUCCUCAGCACACAGCAAGAGGGUGAUACUCAACAUAAAGCAUGCAUUCUCACAUAGGAAAUCAAAACAAAUGAUGGACUCAGGUCGAGUGAGAUAAAGUACACCCUCGCCUAAGUACCCAUUUAACAUAUACAAGAUACUUUAACAAUUCCACAUCAAUAAACAACCCAAUUACUCGCUUGAUAAAGCUUGGCAUGAAAAACGAUACAAGUUACUGAGCUUGACCGUCACCGUCAAAAGCCUCACAGUCUGUAUAGACAGAUUAUAUACACUCAUAAGUGAAACGGCUAUACAAUAGCAGUUUAUAACUUAAACGAUCGAAUAUGGUCGAAAACGGUCAAAAUAAUCAAAAAACGAUACAAAACGGGUUACACGAUUUUGACCAUAAUUGAAGUUGUGGUUAUCGGAUUAAAAUGUACUAGAUAGUGUCUCAAAACUUAAACAAAAGGUUACAACUUCCAUGACGACAACUCGACCCAGUUUUUAGUGCAUUCAAGUUAAAUUUACAAGAUAGAGAACUAGAACUCCAAAAGCUAGUUUUAUCUUUCUCAUGAAAAUUUGGCGGCAUGCCCCUUGUGUUUACCCAUUUUCCAGCCAUUUAUGGCUUCAAUAUUUUCCUCAAACAAAUCCAAAGUUACAUUCACAACAAUCUCAUUUCAAUAGCUGUUCAAUAGGCUCAAGACAAUACAAGGACAAAAAUCAAGCCAACAACAAGUGCGGAAAUGAGCUUUAGUAAAAGACAGAUUUGAUAGGGUUUUUGCGUAACGGACACAAUCGAGGCUACGCUUAUUGGAUUGGAAUACAGUUUGUACCGUUUUGAAGCUAAGACAUAGGGCUACAAUUCUCAUGAAGAUCACUUAAUCAAAUUUCUAGUGCAUCCCAGUCAAAUCCCCAGUUCACAGAACCAAAUUCCAACUAGUCGGCUAAUUAACCAUACUACCUUUUAAUGGCCAUAUCUCAGGCUAUCAAAGUCCGUUUAAGGCGUUCUUAGAGGCGUUAAAAAGCUAAGACAGAGUACUAAAACUUUCAUGUUUUGGAAAAUGGCUAAAUCAGCAUGGAUCAUAGUGAAUAGACACGGUCAAUUGGAUGAACUGUCUAAAAUGGAUCACUGGAAUCAUCCCAGGGCAGCGAGGGUAUUUUGGUCUUUUCAUAGGAUACGUUGCUCCGAUUGAGUUGAAAUUUUGUAGGAAACUAUAAAAUAUCAUUUUUUACAACUUUUAUGUUUUGUGCCAAGCCUAAUUCGGCCUCUAACAUAGGGCACUAAAACCGGACAGAACUGAAGCAUACAAUUCCAGAAAUCUGGAAUUUUGGGAUUUCAAGGGCAAUCUCUUCAUUUUCUUGAUUCAAUCACUACCACAACCUCUUAUACAAGCCUAUAUAGAUCAUAUACCACUCCUACAACAAGUAUAAGAAGGAAAUUAGUCAAACCCUAUGAUGCGGAUACGGGUGUGCAGCAACUUCAAUCUUGGGUCAAGGAUCCUUUGGUCAACAUUGGUGGUCCGAUGACAAGAUCAAGAUCCAAGAAGGUGAAGGAAGCUUUACAAGCCUUGAUCAUUCACCAUACAAGCAAGGAGCAAGCUAAGUUUGAAGAUUUGAUAGACCAUGAAGUUACCUUGUUCACUUGUACGUUUGAAGUGAAAGAAUGAUCUCAUACUUGUUAGCUUAGUUGGUAGUUGUCUUAAGAUUGCCUAGUUUAGUAGUUGUUAGUCGUUGAGUAUUUUAUUACUUAUUGGGCCUUAUCGGGAAGACUUAAAGAGCUGGCUAUUUUAUUACUUAUCGGGCCUUACCAGGAAACCUUAUAGAGCUGGCUCUUUAUGCGAACCGAAUUCCUAUUCCAGGUUUAUUUGGGUCGGAUUUACCCUAGUUUUAGCCUAUAAAAGGCACCUAUUGUAUGAGCGAGAGGACAGAUUAUUACAACCAGAAAUCGUGAGGAAUUUUCCUUCAAAUUCUUAUUCGAACUUACUCUUGAAUUCUUGAGUUCAUAGCUUAGGAUUCAAAUCAGACUUUAUCGAUUAGUUUGUUCCCUAAUCGUGGUGUCUCUUCAUCCUUCAUUAUUUGCUUAAGGUUGCUGAUUGCCUUUGUGUGUCAGAGGUCUUGAGUUCAUGAGAACAAUCGAGUUCAAUUUUCAUUGGGAGAAAAUAUCCAACUCUGAUAAUUACAAGGUUGGGAGGGUCUAGGAGGGUCUUCCCCUAGGUUUGCUCAUCAGUUGGUAAUCAGAGCGUCAGGUUAAUUUCUCUUUUAAUUGAAGUUGUUCAUAUCUUGUUCGUUUAUGUCUUUUGUCCAAAAAAAAAAACUGUAGCGAUUACUUUUCAUCAUUAGUGUAUCGAAUACUAUUCAUCGUACUGUAGCGUACUGUUCAUGUUACUGUUCAUCCGAGUAAAAAAAAAAUCUGUUUGGGUGUUGUCUUUUUUUUUUUGUGUUUUCUAUCCAAGUUCUUGGGUCUGUUAUACUUGUGUUUGGGUUGUUAGGGUUUAAAGACAAAAAAAAAAAAAAAAGAGUCACGUACCUUAUAUUGUUUUAGUGUCCAAGUUGCUAGCGUAUUGCUGGAAUUUUCUUUUGAGUAUUGCUGAAAUUCUGUUUUGCCUAUUUCUUGAGUAUUGGUUGUUGUUCUUGCAAACCCUAGACACCACAACAUAAUUUGGGGAAGUUCUUGAGCUCCUUGAACAAAAUUCUUGAAGUUCUUGAACCACCAAGUCUUAUUUUGAAAGUUCUUGAACAAUAAAUCAAGAACUAGGGUUUUCUUGGAAUUUGCAUAACCUUUCAUCCGUUUCUUGAACUUGUUGGUGUGACUGAAUUUGUGUUCCUUGAAGAGCCGAAGCAAAAAAAAAAAAAAAAAAAAAGGAGAACAAAAAAAAAAAGGAAGAAGAAAAGGAAUCGGCUCUCACACAAAGGAAAUCAAGUUUUCCAAAUCUUCGCUUCCUCAGCUUCCGCAUUUUGUGCGGGCUACGGUAUGCCUAGACAGCCGCGAGUUCUCCUCCCUGCGUUGGCAACCCGGAUAGGUCUUGAAUCUGUGAUAGGCUUAACUUACGUACUUCAAGGUUUCAUCGUACUGUGUACUCCUCUGGUUCCAAUCAAUAUAAGUAAAUUCAUUUAAAAAAAAAAGUUUUCCAAAUCUUGAGUUUCCAAUUCUUGAUUGGUCUCCAAUUCUUGAUUAGUCUCCAAAUCUUGAUGGGUUUCCCAAAAACUUGAGUCUCCAAAUUUUCAUUGGUUUCCAAUUCUUGAAUUUCCAAUCUUAAUUGAAUUUCAACGACCCCAAACUACCUAACCAGACCCCAAGCACCCCAAAUCAAUUUCCAAAGCCAAACCUAAACUACCACAAACACCUUAGCCAAACCGCCUUUGAAUUCUUGAGUUUCUAAAAUCGGUUAAGCUAGUUUUUGCUAACUAAUUUGACUGAAAUUUGAGGACUGGUUCUUGCAUUAUUUGAACAUCCCAAAAGCACCACUUACCCUCCAAAAUACUGACUAGAAACUCAGCAAAAUAGCUGCUCAAAAAAAAAAAACUCCAGCUUCGGGUAGAGUUUUUCUAGGAUUUACAAAAUUCUGCUUUGUGUCUUAUUACUUGCUUAUAGGGUAAUUAAUUCUGAAAUUUUUGAGAGUUUGAGUUGUUUUAAGAACUUUGAGGAGGGAAAAUUGAGAGUGAGUGUGUUUUCCUUGAGUGAUACACGAGUGCUUGCAAGGUAGACUAGGAUACACUUGUUUUGCAGGUUGGACAAUAUGUCUCAAGAGGGGAACAUGCCUGAGCCAUCUGAGACCGACAUGUCACUCAAACUGGUGCUUCAAGCUCUUCAAAAAUAAGCGGAGAGACAUGAAGUUGUAAUGCCACAAUUAUUAGACAGAUUGGCUGCCAUUGAGAUGCGAGGUACCGGAUGUGACGACCCCACCUCACCCUAAGGCGUACCAAAGGGUUCGGCGGACCGCCUGCCCAACUCUCGCCAGGACUCACUCCCUCACUCGUAUCAUGUGCAUACAUCCAUGACCCAUGAGUAACAUUCACAAUUCAAACUUAUAAUUUACAUUGAUACAAAUCAAGGUACAAAGUCUCAAUAUACCCAAACUAGUUCAAAACGUAUACAAUCCAAGUACAAAACAUUCUAUUCGAGGAAUAGCGCGAGUACAAGUCAAAAGUCAAAAGUCACAAACAACUAGACUACGCUAGCCUUUACGCAUCUCAGGCCUUGCUCGUACCCCUGUAAGGAAAACAAAACUAACGGGGUGAGCCAAAGCUCAGUGAAGUUCCAAAUAUCAAAUUGGCCAACAAACCAGGUGAUGACGGAGUAAUAGUGAAAUAGCGAGCAAACAAGUCAUAUCCGAGAAAUAGCAUUUUAGCUAGUCUAGAAAUAUCAAUUUCACAUUCACAUGUAAGGAUACAGUAAUUCAGAUCUUGGCUCCGUUCCAGCUUGAUCGAUUGGUAGUCGACACUCCGUCAACUUUCAAGUAAUAACUAGUCCAAAUAAAACCCCACUACACGCCAGUCUCCGUUCACCGAUCAACCCCCUUCCCCGGGCCCGCACGCCACACGAAACACGGGUGGUAAUACUCGAGUAUACUGUUUAGCCGAGGAGUUAACACUCCACUCGACAUUACUAGUACCUAGGGUUCAUUAUCUAAUCGACCAGGCCCUUGCCGGCUCGACUCGAUUAACUAGCCACAGGGUUUCUGGAAUUCCAGGCAGGAUAUAACUCAUGUACAUGUAUAACAAAUCAAGUGUACCCAAUAAACAAGAACAAGUCAUGUUAGGGCAAGUGCGGUAAAGUACACCCUUGCCCUAUCAUUCAUGCAUCAUGUAAUCACGUAGGUCAAGUAAGAAACUCAUGUAACAAGUGCAAUCGGAUAUUUGGAAAUACUCACCAAAAUAUAGUGUUUCAAGUAUUCACGUUCAGUUAUACUCCAGGUUUGGAGUCCAGAUCUGCGAUAAAAAUUCAGUUUGAGAACUUUGAAACAUGUCCAAGAUUCGAAACUUAAACGUUUCAUUCAAUAAGAAUCAAAUAAUUAAAGUUCAUUUGGAAGGCAUUCGUGAAAAACUUGCUCGCUUUUCAAACUGGAAGAUUUUGUAGCAAAUACACUUGGAAAUAACCUUUGAGUCGAAAGUGCAAGGAAAACGAGUUUACAUUGGUUAUUUUAUCUUUUCCUCAAGGGUACAAGUUCGGCUAGGUUUUAACGUAUAACCCUCGAACCAAGAUAGCCAACAUCCUAGAUGGCUCAAGUGAUAUUCAUAUCAACUCUACCCAAGUCGCAAAUGUAUUUCUAUAGUCCUCGAGCGUAAAUUUGGGCAGCAUGCCCUUUGUAUUUUCCUAUUUUCAGCCAUUUAUAGCUUUAUUCUUUUACUCAAUCCAACUCAAGGUUACCCAUAACACAAUUUCAUUUCAAUAGCCAUUCAAUAGGCCCAACACAAUACAAGAACAAGAAAUCAAGCUAAUAACGAGUGCGGAAACAAAGUUUACAAAAGACAGUUUUGACGGAUUUUUACGGAAUGGGCACAUCCGAGGCUACGCUUAUCGGAUUGAGAUGUAACUUAUACCCUUUCGAAGCUAAGACACAGGGCUACAAUGUUCAUGAAGAACACUUAGUCUAAUUUCUAGUGUAACCUAACCAAAUUCCCAAUUCACAUAACCUAAUUCCAACUAUUCGGCUAUUCAACCGUACUGCCUUCAAAUGGCCUUAUCUCAGUCUAUCAAGGUCCGUUUAAGACGUUCUUGGUGGCGUUGAAAAUCUAAAACAGAUUACUAAAACUUUCAUGUUUUGGCAAAUGGCUAAAUCCAUACGGAUUAUAGUGAAUAAACACAGCCAAAUAGACUGAACUGUCUACGCAGAACACUGGAAUUUAACCUAGGGUAGUGAGGGUAUUUUGGUCUUUUCAUAGGCUACGUUGCUCCGAUUGAGCUGAAAUUUUGUAGGAAACUAUAAAAUACAAUUCUAUACAACUUUCAUGUUUUAUACUAAGCCUAAUUUGGCCUCUAACAUGAUGCAAUAAAACCUUUCCAGAAAUCUGGAAUUUUUCGUUUUCAAUGCAACCUUUCUUGAUUUCUUGCUCCAAUCAUCACUAUAACCACUUAUGUAAGCUUAGAUACCACAUAUAUCAUCCAUAUAACAAGUAUAGGCAGCAAAUACCUCAAACCCUAACUCACAUCUAUCACCUUUAAAUCAUCAUAACAACUUGUUUCACUACUAAUCCAACCACAACAUGAAUUAUACCACAACUUAAACCACAAUAAAAGAACCAAAGCCAUGGUUUAGCCUUAUACCUUAACAAAUGAAGCUUGCAAGAGUAAUACUUCACCUCCUCUUGGAAUUCUUGGCUCCCCUAGCUUCUCAACCUCACAACUCACACUUUAAUCGGUUUAGAAUUUUAAUUCCUCACUUGGAUGGCUCAACUCAAGAAGAAGGAAGUUUGUUUCUUGCUCUCUUUCUCUCCUCUCUUGUCUCGGCCAAGCAGCAGAAAAAUGGAAGGAAAUGGAGCAAAAUGAAGGAUGAGAAGGUUGGACUUUUGGUUUGUUUAAGUAGCCAUGGUUGAGUGACACUUGUCACCACUAAUACCAACCAAAAUUUUCUUUUUCUUUCAUGCAUUUUUAGCCCUGAAAUUCGGUCAAGCUAGCUGGAAAAUGAGAGGAUAUUUUGCUCAAAUAUUAAUGAGCUUGUAUGGUAAGAAAGUGGUGGUCAAGUGGUAUGUUCAAUCGGUAGUACACGGUACACAUCGGUUCGCACCGUUUUUCCCUAAAUCACACGUACUAGGGUUUUUACUUCCUAUUCACUAACUUUUUAUCAUUGCAUCUAAUCACAUUUUAUUUUUCACCUAAAAGUCACUCUUAAACACCAAAUUUGAUCCUUACUCUGUACCGGAAAAUCACCCUACGGAAAAACGUGAAAACCCUAACUUGCUUCAACUUGAAAACUGUUAUUCUUGAUUUUGAUGAUCACAAAGCACUUUGAAAUGUUUAUCUAAUUCUCUUCAAAUAUAAGUGUUUUGCUUUUAAGAGAAUCAGGUACAAAGGUGUCAAGGAAAGAAAAUCAACCAAAAGAAAAAGCAAAAACAGGGCACUCGUGUCGGACGUCCUAAAGGAAGCUGUCGGACGUCCGAAAGAAUGAAGAACAUCAAGAAGGAAACUCUGUCGGACGCUCGUAAGGAAGCAUCGGACGUCCGGGAGGAUCGGACGCACGCUUCGGACGCACAUCGAUCGCAUCGGACGUCCGAGAAAUUCUGCAAAGUUUUGAUGACUCUCUGACGACGUUCGGACGCAGAUGCUAUCGGACGAUAAUAUCCCAUCGGACGUCCGAACGACAACUUGGCUGAUUUUCGGACGAUGGGAUUGGACGGUGAUUCAUCUGUCGGACGUCCGACGGCCCCAACGGCUAGCUGACUCUUCAUCUGCCUACUAUCCGUUGGAAACAUUAUUGAAGCUCAUUUUUGGUCCCCUUUAAAUACAAACGAUUCUGAACCAGUGAGUGACUUUUGCACACUUUGUUUACAAGAUCUCAAGAGAUAUUUUAGCUAGAAAAUAGUCUCCAAAGCUAGAUUUGUUCUCCAAGUGGUGUGAAUUUCUUGUGAGCAUUUCUUUUGUGGUUGAAAGUUUCAUUAGUGUAGCUUUGUUGAGGGUUAUCUGAGUGAUUGUAAAACUUCUUAGUUUGACUAAGUGAGGCUUAGGGCAAGGAGGAAGUGCUCCCUCCAUUGUACAUCUAGUUUAUCAUCUUUCAUCAAAGAGAAGUUGCUCAACCUAGUGAUUGGUCUUCAAGUUUGAGGAAAGCUUGGUAGACAAUCGGUUUGAUAUUCUAUCUUAUUCUUUUUGUUUAAUAAAAUUCUCAUUGCUUAUCUAUACUUGUUUUUCUAAUCAACAUUGCUCUCUUCUUCUAAUGUACUUGGUUAAUCAUUACUAGAAAAGAAGGUAAAGUUUUAUUAAAGAAAAAGUGCAUAAAUUUGAUUAAGAUUUUGAUCAACCUAAUUCACCCCCCUCUUAGGUUGUCUUUGGGCCUUACAAUUGGUAUCAGAAUUUGGUCUCCUAGAGAUUAAGCUCAAACGGCUUGGAGUAAAGAUGACAACCAGUCAUGCUAUGUUUGUUGAGGAGCAAUCUGUUACUAGGCCUCCCAUGUUUAGUGGCUCCAAUUAUGUUAGCUGGAAAGAAAGGAUGAUUAUCUUUUUGCAAUCUAUUGAUAUUGAGCUAUGGUUUAUUGUGAGUGAAGGAUCGCAUGAAGCUAACUUUCUUGAUGCAGAUACAGGUUUGCAUCGGCCAAAAACGAGAGCUGAAAUGAAUGCUCAAGAUAGGACUAAUCUUACAUUGAAUGCCAAAGCCAUGAAUGUUCUUUAUAGUGUUCUAGAUUCAAAUGAAUCAAUUAGAGUAAAAGGCUGUAAAUCGGCCAAAGAAAUGUGGGAUAAGUUAAGAGAAAUCAAUGAGAGUGGUGACAGCGUGAGAGAACAGAAAAAGGCUAUCUUGGUCACAAAGUAUGAAUCAUUUAAAAUUGAACCUCUUGAGGAUAUUGAUAAAAUGUAUUGCAAGUUCAAUGACUUGAUCAAAGAUCUCGAGGUGUUGGGCAAAGAGUACACCUUGGGAGAGAAGAACAGGAAAAUUCUCAAUGCAUUAGGCAAAGAAUGGGAAAAUAAAGUGAUGGCAAUAGAGGAAGCUAAGGAUUUAAAUUCUGUGCCUAUGGAAUCUCUCAUUAACUCACUAACCUCUUAUGAGUUGAAAUUGAAAUCUAAAGUGCAGGAGGAAGAGGAUGCUAGAGCAAAGAGAAACAUUGCUCUAAAGACUACUCAAGGUGAAGAUGAUCCAGCUCACUUGGAUGAUGAAGACUCAGAUGGUGAUGAUAAUGAUCUUGCUCUCAUCACAAGAGAUUUCCAGAGAAUCUUGAAUAAAAGGAAGCUUAGAAGGGGAGGACCUAGCAAUCAAUUCCAAAAUUAUUCAUCAAAUGCAAGGAACAAAGGAAAACAAGAAUUCAACAAGAAGCAAGUGGACAAAUGCUAUGAAUGUGGACAGCCUGGACACUAUGCAAACGAAUGCCCCAUGAAGAAAAUGAAAGAUGGGAAAGCUGAUCGAAAGCCAAGAUUCAACAACUUCCAGAUUACUUGGAAUGAAUGCAAUUCCGAAGGGGAAGUUGAAGAAGAGGAAGAAUCAGCUCAAAUGGCCUUCAUGGCUAUUGGAGAUAAUGAGGUAACUUCCAUUCACUCUCAAUCUGAUAGUGAUGAUGAAGAUGAUGAUGAUCUUGAAUCCUUUGUUGAAAAAUUACAUAAUGCCUUAAAGGAAUCUUACGAUAAAAACAAGCAGUUAAAACAAAAGGUUGUGUUUCUUAUUCAGGAAAAUGCAAAACUUUUUCACCAAAAUAAACAACUAAAGACUGACAAUGAGUGUCUUGUAAGAGUCGAAUGUGAUAUUCAAAAUGAACUUGAUAGAAAGACAAAUGUUUGUGAAAUGCUAAAGAAAAGACAUGGUGAUUUGAAUAAAAGGAUGGACAAUUUGGAUGAGAUCUUAAGAGUUAGAAAGCAAGAUUAUCUCAAAAAGAACAUGUCAUCAACCUUUCUUACUGCUCAUGAAAGAACAUUUGCUCACAACAAAAAUGCAUAUGGUUUUACAACAUAUAGAAGGAGUGCAUUGAGAUUUAUCAAACCAUUACAUGCUAGUGACUCUUCUAUUUUGUGUAGUUUUUGUUGUCAAAGAGGGCAUUUGAAAAAAGAUUGUUAUGUUAAAAGAAAUCUGAACAAAGGAGGGAAAUGCAUGUGGGUAGUUAGACACAAUGCUAAUAUAUGUAGAUGAUCUUCUUAUUGUGCAAAUAUAUGUAGAUGAUAUUAUUUUUGGUGCUACUAAUGAGUAUCUAUGCAAGGAUUUUUCCACCAUUAUGCAAAGUGAAUUUGAAAUGAGUAUGAUGGGAGAAUUAAAUUUCUUCCUUGGACUUCAAAUACAUCAAGCCAUAGAGGGCAUUUUCAUAAAUCAAGCAAAAUACACUAAGAAAUUGCUGAAAAGAUUUGGCAUGGAGGACUCAAAGCAAGUUGGAACUCCAAUGUGCACUUCAACAAAACUUGACAAAGAUGAAGAAGGUAAACAUGUGGAUGAAAAGCACUAUAGAGGUAUGAUUGAAAGCUUACUUUAUUUAACCGCAAGUAGACCCGAUAUUAUGUUUGCUGUUUACUUGUGUGCUAGAUUUCAAUCUUGUCCAAAAGAAUCACAUUUGAAUGCUGUUAAAAGGAUUUUUAGGUAUUUGAAAGGUACAUUAAACUAUGGUCUUUGGUAUGCUUGAUCUAGUGAGUUUGCACUAUAUGGAUAUUCGGAUGCUGAUUUUGGAGGUUGUCGUGUGGAUAGAAAGAAUACUAGUGGAACUUGUCACUUUCUUGGUAAUUGCUUAGUCUCUUGGUUUAGCAAGAAACAAAAUGCAAUCUCUUUGUCUACAACCGAAGCAGAAUAUAUUGCCGCUAGUGCAUGUUGUGCUCAACUUUUAUGGAUGAAGCAUAUCUUGAAUGAUUUUGGAUUGUCAUAUGACUGCAUGCCUAUAUUCUGUGAUAAUACUAGUGCUAUCUGUGACGCCCCGAAAAAAAAAGAGUGUGAGAACCCGUAAAAACCCUAAUAUUUUCCUAGGGUUUUAGUUCCUUUAAUUGCAUAAUUUUUGCAUUUCUGGCUUAGAAAUAUUAUCUGGGUGGAUUUAUGAGCAAUUAUAGUUUUAAGAUGAUUUUUCUAGCAUUGGUGAGUUUUUAGAAAAUUAAGAAUAAAUAUUGGACGUGGGACCCACUAGUGCGAAAAAUUCGGAAAAAUUCGGCCAAUAAGGUUAAGUUUCGGAUACUGUUAAAAGUUUAUCGGGUAUUAAGAGAUAAGUAGAGUGUGUGAAAUGAUUGAUGUGAGAGAGAAAAGAAUGAUAAGGAUGCAUUUAAUAGAGUGACACAUGUCACUUUCUUAUUGGUUGAACUUUUAAGAAUUACUAUUCAUUGUCUUGACUUAUUUGACCAAGGGAUUAAAUAUCCAAAAUUCACCAAAAAAUCACCAUUUUGCUCUCCUUGUUGGCCGGCCACCUUGAGCAAGAAAGGAAGGAGAUUUCUUCAAUUUUCAAGCUUCUACUUGGUGCAAAUCAACCAAAAACAUUUGCUUCCAUCCAUUUCACUCCAUAAAAUUCUUCCUUCUAGAGCUAGUAAGUUGUUUGGUGAACUUUGUUUGAAGGUUUAAGGUGUCCAACAUCCUCCUCUCUCUUGUUUCUUGGUAAGUGAUGCUUCAACCUCUCCCCUAUAGCUAAUGAUGGUUAUUUUGUGCUUAAUGGUGGCAUGGGUGUUGAAAUACAUGAUUUGUUUCUUGAUUUGAGGAGUUUUGGAGAAGUUUUUAUUUUAUUGGGAAUUUUUCUGGUUUAAUAUGAAUGGGAUGUUGUGGCCUUGUAUGAUGAAUUGUAAUGGUUGAUAAUGACUCUAUGAGGUGUAUUGGAUAGGAAAAUGCAAUCAAUUUUGGAUUUGGUGUGAAAAUUGAAAAGUUAGGGUUCUUAAAUCCCAAUUCUGUCCGGUUUUAGAUCACUGGGUUAGAGGCCGAAUUAGACUUUUCUCAAAACAUGAAAGUUGUAGGUAUUGAUGUGAUUGAGAUUCCUGUAAAAUUUCAGGUCAUUUGGAUUAAUGUAGAAUGAGUUAUGACGAAAUUACUGUAGCUGUUCUGCUUUGGACAGAAUGCGAAAACUGCGAUAGUAAUUGGCCAUUUUGACUGGAAUUGGUUUGGAUUUUGGAGUUAGUGUCUUCUGAUGAAAUGUAGCCGAGUGUCUUAGCUAACAUAUGCCUUUGGAAUUUCGGCAUUUGGACUUGUAUGGACUGAGAUAUACCGAUUACAGUUUUCUGUGUUUUGCAAACCUGUUUUGGUGAUUCUGGUUUAGUGUUUGGCAUUUUUGACCUAGUUGGGCUAGGAACUGGAUUGAGUGACCUUCUACAUUGUUGUAGCCCUGUUUCAUAUCUUCGAAACGGUGGGUCUUACACCCCCAACCGAUAAUUGUAGUGAGAGUUGUGCCAUUACCGCAUUAUGACGUCAAAACUGUUUUUCUGGUUUUGAGCUUAACCUUCAUUUCCGGACUUUUCCCUAGCUUGACUUGUCUUUGUACUACUUGGAGCUUGCUGAAUGGAUAUUAGAUGAACUUAUUUGUGUGACUUUGGGACUGGCUGGAGUAAUAAUGAAGCCAUGAUGGCUGGAAAAGUUAGCAAAUGUAGGGGAAGUGCUGUCCGAACUUUGAAGGGACUUGUUUGCAUUGGGUUUGUGAUCUAAGGCUUGGAGUUGAGCAAGGCAAUGAUACAUGAUGGAUGGUUUCUGAGCCGUGGAGGUGAGUGACCCUAAACUGUUUCCAAAAUUACUUAUGAACCGUUUAUUGCACUAUUUACUUGAUUGCAUAUCAUGAGUGCUUGCAUGUGGCCCAUGACAUGUUUUGGCUUAAAUGAGUGCUUGGAAUUCGUGUGCUGGACACCAACGUCUCCACCUCUGUGUACUGUUCAUCUGGAGCAAAUGGCUCCCCCACUGACUGUUUACUGUUUAAUGUUUGUUUGGAGCGUUGGGUGUUUAAGUACAACGAUUUCGCUGGCUCACGAGAGCAAUAAAUGUACCUUUGAUCUUGAAAUCAUGACAUCACUGAAAUGAACGACUGUGAAACUGAAUUGAUUACUGAUUUUAAUGGUUACUCGCUGAGCUUCUAGCUCACCCCAAAAAUGUUUUAUUUCCCCCCACAGGGCUCAAGGCGAAGAAAAGCUUGGAGUGCUUAUUCACGUGACUGGAUGGCUUAUAUCAUGUACAGUUUAAGUUUGGAUUUAUUUUAUGUACGAGCUGGGCUUGUAUCAAUAUUUGAAAUUGAUAUAGAUGUAAGUAUACAUUCCACGAUUGGAAUCAGUUUCCGCUGCAUUUGUGAUAUGUAAUUAUUGGAGAAUUUGAUGUAAUUUUGAGAGUUAUAUUGUAAUAUAUUUGAGGAUUGUAGUGAACGACUGAGUCCCGGCGAGAGUUGGGCAGGCGGCCCGCCGAACCCUCUGGUUCGCCUUAGGGGGAGGUGGGGCCGUCACACUAUCAAUUUGACCAAAAAUCCAAUUCAACAUUCUAGGACAAAGCAUAUAGAUAUAAAGCACCACUUUAUUCGCGAUCUUGUUCAAAAAGGUGAAGUAUGUGUAAAUUAUGUUUGUUCUAAAGAUCAAUUUGCUGAUAUUUUUACAAAAGCUUUGCCAUUAGAUCAGUUCAUUCAUCUAAGAUCAAAAUUAGGGAUAAUCGAAAAAUCAUCUUAAAAUUUUUCAAAGCCUUCGGACGCCCAAAAGAAGAUGAACGGACGAAAACUCUCUCGUUUCUCACUCUCAAAUUCGUACCAUUCUGAAACUCUCAUUCCCAAAUUGACUCAACCAAAACUUUUCCUGAUCGAUUGCAAUUCGUUUCUCCUGAUCAUUUCACCGAAUCGCAUAACAUUUCGCAAAUUCCCAAAUUUCACUCAAAACCCUAUUUUCUCAUAACCGCUCUGUCCAAUCUUCUUCAAGGCCUUUUUGUCCCAAAAUUUCUGUGUGAUUCACUUCCAUACUACUGUGUGCAUCAUUUGCAUCCUUCAUUCCAUACAUUUCGCACAAUGGUGAAUCUAAGAGGAGGGAAGGUCACUGCCGGACGCAAGCAUCCACUUAGGGAUGAGGAUGAUGAUGUUCCUACGGUUAAACGAUCAUCCAAACGCGUCAAGAGGGGAGCUGUAAAGGGUCAAAUGGCCUACACCACAACCCACCCCUCAGCCCGAAUCUGGACAGGGAACCUCAUCUCAACCGCCUCCAAAAUCAACUACAGUCCCUACAUUCUUUGAUGAUGCUACAAAAGACAAACACUCCUGGAUAUCCCAGAAAGUUGUCAUCCCUCAACGCACCGUAAAUUCUUCUGAAUUUCGCCAAAUAGGUUUAGAGACAAUUCUGCGUCUCUUUGAAUUCCAGAAAUGGUCACAUAUCAUUUCCAUGCCUAACGUUUAUUACCCUGAAAUGCUAUAUCAAUUUUUUGCCAAUCUUAGGAAAGGCACUGACCACACUGAAAUUAUGUCCAGGGUAAAUGGGGUAGACUUAGUAUUUGAUCCUGAUAUUGUGAAUGAUGUUUUAAAUACUGCUAUUGAACGUGGAUGCAAAAGUAAAAUUACAAAUUUUUUUUCUUAUGAAGAGCAUCCCACUGCUGAUAAUCACUUUGAUGGUGCUAAAAUGCUGUCCUAUUUUAAAAAGAAGUUUUCUGCCUCUGCUGAUGCAAAACUAAAUGACCUUGCUCCUGUGAAUCUCAUUGCUUUCUCAAUCAUUUCAAAUUUGCUUGUGCCUAUGGAUGGUCAUAGGACAGAUGCAAAUCAAAUGGAGCUGUAUCUUUUUUAUUGUUUUCGAGAAAAAAUUCGCAUUGAUUUUGGCUUUGUCAUGUGCAAGUUUUUACUUCGCUAUGCCACUGAUUCUCGUAGAAAACUGUCCUAUGGAAAAUUUCUUUUGAAAAUUUUUGAGUUUUACAAAGUACCCAUCCUUGGUGUUUGUCCCAAAGAAACGCUUCUUCUGCCUUUACUAAGGCUUAUUUUGAGCGCAAAAAUCUGUCUUUGUGGAUAAUUUGUGGGCGUAUAAGGGGGCCACUUCUAAUGAACCUAAAUCUAAGGUUGCACAUGAUCCACUUCACACUCCAUCCUCUGUUGCACUGACCUCUAUUCAUCCUAGGAAGACUGCCACUAAGGCAUCUUCUUCUUUAAAUUCUGAGGUGGUUGAGCUCCUUCGAGACCUUAAGCAACAUGUUCUGCUUCUUGAACAUGGUCUCAUGCUCACCAUGUCAUCCCAGCAACAAGCUGACUUCCUAGAUAAAAAGAGUCUUCUUUUUCCCCCACUUGUGGUUGAGGAAAUCCCUCCUGGCAAGGAGCCACGCUCCAAUGAUCUAAGUUCAUCAGCCCCUGUUCGCUCUAUGAGUCCUGCUCCUAUCGACCUCACCUCUACUCCCGUGGCACCACAUGAUCCUUCCACAUCUGAUAAAGGCAAGAAAUCAGUUGGUGAAGUUGCUGAAGAUGAUGAAGACACUGAGGAGGAGGAGGAUCUCUCUCAGUAUCAACUUACUCGAAGGACGCCUGGAUCCUCUUAACUUAUCAUUUAGGAUCACUAGUCCUAUUAGGAUCAUUUGCAUUAUGUUUGACUAUUUUUAUUUGCUGAAUGUUAGAUAGUUGCCUUGAACUCUUUUUAUCUAUUGAAUUCUGGUGCUUGGUGUCAUUUGGUGUUUUGUAAUGUCCAAAACUGGACAUAUGUUUGUAAUGUUUGUGAAUGGUUGAAUCUUUACAUUUUGCUUGGUUGAAUGGUUGGAAAUAUGGAUGUAAUGCUCGUAAGAUCAUUUUGCUAUGAAUGGUUGGAUAUAUGGUCGAAUCUUUGUUACUAGUUCUCCAAAUGUAUCUUUACAUUUUGAAUUUUGUGAUGACAAAAAGGGGGAGAGAUGGUGUAGAUAUGAAAACGGACAAUAUGGAUAAUAAGUAGCCAAGUGAGGGGGAGUUUUUAAGUUUUUGUUCCAAAUCUGUGUAGUAGCCAAGUGAGGGGGAGUUUUUAAGCUUUUGUUCUACGAUUGACUAAGAAAGGGGGAGCCUAUUUGUAAUCAUCAAAUUUCAUUUCAAACCAUUGUUUUGUCAUCAUCAAAAAGGGGAGAAUGUUAUUCUUGAUUUUGAUGAUCACAAAGCACUUUGAAAUAUUUAUCUAAUUCUCUUCAAAUAUAAGUGUUUUGCUUUUAAGAGAAUCAGGUACAAAGGUGUCAAGGAAAGAAAAUCAACCAAAAGAAGAAGCAAAAACAGGGCACUCAUGUCGGACGUCCUAAAGGAAGCUGUCGGACGUCCGAAAGAAUGAAGAACAUCAAGAAGGAAACUCUGUCGGACGCUCGUAAGGAAGCAUCGAACGUCCGGGAGGAUCGGACGCACAUCGAUCGCAUCGGACUUCCGAGAAAUUCUGUAAAGUUUUGAUGACUCUCUGACGACGUUCGGACGCAGAUGCUGUCGGACGAUAAUAUCCCAUCGGACGUCCGAACGACAACUUGGCUGAUUUUCGGACGAUGGGAUCAGACGGUGAUUCAUCUGUCGGACGUCCGACAGCCCCAACGACUAGCUGACUCUUCAUCUGCCUACUAUCCGUUGGAAGCAUUAUUGAAACCCAUUUUUGGUCCCCUUUAAAUACAAACGAUUCUGAACCAGUGAGUGACUUUUGUACACUUUGUUUACAAGAUCUCAAGAGAUAUUUUAGCUAGAAAAUAGUCUCCAAAACUAGAUUUGUUCUCCAAGUGGUGUGAAUUUCUUGUGAGCAUUUCUCUUGUGGUUGAAAGUUUCAUUAGUGUAGCUUUGUUGAGGGUUAUCUGAGUGAUUGUAAAACUUCUUAGCUUGACUAAGUGAGGCUUAGGGCAAGGAGGAAGUGCUCCCUCCAUUGUACAUCUAGUUUAUCAUCUUUCAUCAAAGAGAAGUUGCUCAACCUAGUGAUUGGUCUUCAAGUUUGAGGAAAGCUUGGUAAACAAUCGGUUUGAUAUUCUAUCUUAUUCUUUUUGUUUAAUAAAAUUCUCAUUGCUUAUCUAUACUUGUUUUUCUAAUCAACAUUUGAUACGAGUUAAGCUAUGUCAUUGGAUAAGGUUCAAGUCCCACUAGGACUGGUUACACGAGCUCGAGCAGUUCAUUCAGCUUCAUCGUCUCAAAGACGUUAUAAGGCGCGGGCACGAUUUAUAAGGAUAUGUCUUCUGCCAUUUAAUUGAUUCACCGCAGCAAAGUCAUUAUAAGGCGUGGGCACGCUUUAUAAGCUCAAGUCGUCUGCCCAUCUAAUCACAUUUAUUGUUUUAGUUAAGUCGUUUGUAAUAAGGGCUUUAUGGUCCAUAGCCUUGCUUUAUUUACCUAAGCGAUGACCUCAUAAGGUUGUUUACCUAAGGGAUGACCUCAUAAGGUUUGGUCAAGCCUAUAAUUGUUAGUCUUAGUCAAGACCACAACUCUAGACUAGUUCCACAUUUAGUUGUUCAUCUCUAUGUAAGGCUAUAAAUAGCCCACACUUCCAAUGGUUUAGGCAUUUCAAUCAAUAAAUCAGAUUUUGAGAGUUUUCUUGGUUUCUCCAAGGCUUCUUGAAUACCUUAGAAUUUCUCUAGGUGUUCGUGACUUAUCAAUCUAGAAUCGCACUAGGUUGUGGCGUCUUCUACCAUUAUACCAAGGUUCGUUAACCACGUGAUUAACGGGUUGAGGUCAUCCGCUUCAAACUUGGUGUCCUCUUGUCGAUCCUGAAGCUAUUCUUUUACGGGUUUCGUCACAAGGUUGGCGACGUUCGUAUCAGUUGGUAAUCAGAGCUAGUUAAGAGGUAUCACGUUAUAUCCCUUUAUUUAUUUCCUUUUCGAGUCAAGUUGUCGAAAAUUCUGUUUUCGUGUUCUAAGUUGCUAUCCGCAAUAUCCAGAUUUGUUACAUCGUGUUCUUGCGUUAUUUUUUCAGAUUUGUUACGUCAUAAACUUGUGUCUAGUUGUUGUUAAUUGCUGUGGUUAGCCUUGUUUGGUCCAGCCUUUCUUUUUGUGUCUUAUUCUUGAUUCUUUGUUUGAGUCUUGUUUCUAUCUUGUUAUAUCCAUUCAAUUCCAAUCUUUUGUUCUAUUUGAUCAUUCGAGGUUACUGUUCAUCCGAAAAAAAAAAUUAGUUUGUAGCAAGGGUUUUAGAGUCCUAUCUAGUUAUUACCUUGUGUUCUUGUUUACAUACAAAAAAAAAAUAGCUGGCUAACCUUACAAAACUUGAUCAAAAAUUCCUGCAAAUCUGUCUUGAUCAAAACUUGGGUUUUUUUUGAAGUUCCUGAUUGUUUAAAACCACAAUCUUGAAGUUCUUGGAACUUUAGUUGGGAUUCUUGAAGCCAACCAAAAUCUGUCUUGAUCAAAUCGUGAAAUCUUGGAUUGUUUAGGGAGGAAAUCAUCUUCAAUUUUGUGUUUCUUGAAUUCUGGGAAUUAACAUCUUGAAUUCUUGAAAGAAUCUUGAAGUUUCUGGGUUUUGGGAACCAAAUCUUGGUAAACAACAAGGCUGCAAAUUUUCAGCUGCCAAAAUCCUUGUCUUCACCACAACAAUCUUCUUUCUUGACUAAGAACAUUUUAGCCACGAAAUUUGGCUCUUCUUGGCUGAUUAGAAAACAAAAACAAAGGAAGAAGAAGAAUAUUCAGCCUAUUCAAGUCAAAUUUCCCAACCUAUUCAAGUCAAAUUUUCCAACCUGUUCAAGUCAAAUUUUCCAACCUUGUUCCCAAAAACAACCAAAUCAGUUCCAAUCUUGAACUUGACCUUAGAAUUUAUGGGAACCAGCAAAUAGGAAGACUAAUCCUUGUUUCCAAAGGAUUAAAGAAGAAAAGUCAGCCUUGGGUUUCCAAAACAGUCCUACCACAACACAAAUUCAUCUUCCAUUCGGAUUCCAUCUUUGCAACCAUUGGGGAAUUUCUGUCCAAUCAUUAAUUCUGGAAAUUUUCGUGCAUCAUUAGGUUAGUUUUAAGUGUCAUUCUGAAUCCUCUAAGUGUCCAUUUAUCUACCAAAACACUGCCCAAAAAUGCAGCAACCAGCAGCUCAAAAUUCCAAUUUUGGGUAGAGUUUUGUCUAGGAUCCUUAAAAUUCAACUUUGAGUCGUGGUCAGUCCCUUCAUCUUUUAUUUUUUUUUUCUUUCGUUCAAAGUGCUACAAUCUUGUGACCCUGGUUGGUAAGUCGAUCCACACUAGAAGGAGUUCUAACUUGUUCGAGGAGUUGACCGAGGAGCCUUGAAAAUACCUUGGUGAGUUCAUUAGAGUGUUCAAACACGAGAGCGAGUGUAAACAUGUGAGCUUGUGUGGCGAGGAAAAAUAUCUUUUGUUUCACUAAUUUUUUGCAGGUUUCCUCAUACAUCAUGGCGAAUACGAGGCAUUUAAAAGCUAGCUUACAACAUCUUCUUCUUGAUCCUAAGGGAGUCAAAGAAGUAGCAUUACGUGGUGUAGAUGAGCAAUUGGAUAUCGUCAAAUCUCAGUUGCAUGAUUGGUUUUAUACUCGCAUUUUUUAAAAUCUUUUUUUUAUUUCUUGUUUUUUAGGAAAAAACUAAAGGAUGUGUUUGGAUUAGAGACCAAUGAACUUUUUUCCCCCCGUGCCUAAUUGCAGAUUAAAAGGAAGAACUAGUUCUUAGAUAACGUUUCUAAGUACAACUCUAUUACUCAGAAAACUGGUCUACCUGACUGUGGGUUUUCCUUUAGUCAUGCCAUUUUGUCAUUAGUGAUGAUUGCUUCUUCUAAACCUUAGCUCACUGCACACGCCAAGCGUAUGAAAGCCAAACUUAAAUUGAACUCGUCAAGUUGCAAAAUAAGAAAAUUUGGGUUACGUUUGGUAUGAGUAGUAAGGGAAAAUUUAAUUCCUAUAUUUAUGAUUCUUGACUAAUGUGAUUGUAGAAUUGUUGACUGAAAAUAAAAGGAAACUGACAAAGAAAUGUCAUGUGAUUGCAUGUGCAUGGUUAAAACAAUACAAAUUAUAACCAAUUUGAUCCAUUGUUUUUAAGGUUUUGAUCGUUUUGGUUCCUUAGUAUCAUGACAAGCAAUUUUGCCUCUUAAAUUUAAAAAUAUGGUUAGGGAGGUCCUUUUGAUAGAAAUUUGAGUCGCUAAUGAAGUGAGAGACCCUUUAAUGCCUUUCGUGUCACAUCCGUCUCAACAGUAUAUUAAAGUUUCAAAAAAUCUCAAAUAAGUCAUAAACUCAUAAAAAUAAACCCAAAACUCUUUAUCGUGAAGAAAAUAAAAUUUUUGUAACUUUAAAAUAAAUCAAACACAAAACUUUAAACAUAAUUAUGGAUUUUGUGCCAUUUCCGAGUUGAAAUAUCAUGAAAAAGAGUACCUAAAGGUGAAGAGAAAAAAUGCAUAAAUUUAUGUUUGACAUAGUAUAAAAAACUUUUAUUUCAUUAUAUUGAAGAGUUAUGGGUGAGUUUAUAGUUUUAGGCUUUUGUUUGAAUGCUUGGUGUUUUCUGCAAGAUGGUACGAAGUACCCUCUAAGGUCUCUUAACUCCGUUAACAACUCUAAAUUAGCCUUGACCAAAUUCUUAAAAUUUAAGAAAAAUUGGUUCGCCAUAAUACAAAGGGACUAUAUUGUUUGGAGAUAAGAUACCAAAUUAAUUAAUUUUUAUUCUUUGCGUAAUUCAAGUGAUUUCUCCGUUAGCUUCCCACAAUUUUGCUGCAUUAGUCUCUUUUGAUGAGAUAGAGCACUAAAUUUGUUGAUAUGACAGACCAUAUUGGCUGAGACUUCAAAGAUAGAUGACCAAAGCAACAACAUUUCCUAAGUAGUUCAUGAAUCAUUUUCAUUGUAUAGUUAGAUAUGAUAGAGAAGAUGUAUCUUUUUAAAAAUGAAAGGAAAUAAUAUUAAGUUAUAGAUGAUUUCUUGAAUAAAAGGGCAAUAAUAUUAUUGUACUCACUUUUUUCAUUAUUUUUAACUUAGACUAGUUUUCAUGAGGGGUAAAAUAUACAUAUUUAAUGUUAAUGGGAGCAAAGUGUGAUUAUCCACUAAGUUUAGGGGACGCAAAGUGUUAUUAACCCUUUUUAUUCAUAAUAUAUAAUUUUGUAGACUCUCUCUCUUCUUAGGAUCCUCUCUAUCUUCUCUCUUCUCGCCACUAGUGAUCGUAAGGUUUCAUGGCAGCCCUUCAGCCAUCGGCUGAGGGGCAAGAAUUUUCCCCUACAAAAAAAAAAUCUUUUUCUCAGCUUUUCUCACAGCCGGCAACAUCUCCAAUCCAGAUUCGGCAGGCUUCUGUUUACAAGGGUGAAGCGGCGGUUAUAUUUUCCAGAAUAGAAGCGGACAAACUUGCAGCACCAUUUAGAUGGACUUUGGUUGGCAAAUUCUCUCAUGGACGACCUUCUCUGGAAGAUAUUCGAAAGUUUUUUGCCUCUUUAAAUCUGAAAGACCAAGUCUCCAUUGGAUUACUGGACUAUAGGCAUGUCCUUAUUAAAUGUACAGCUGAAGCAGAUUUCAAUAGAAUUUGGACAAGAGGAAUUUGGCAGUUGGGUAAACAUCCAAUGCGUGUGUUUCGAUGGACCAGGGAAUUUCAUGUGCAUAGAGAAUCAUCUCUAGUACCGGUUUGGGUAAAUCUUCCAGCUCUACCUAUUCAUUAUUUUGACAAACAUUCUUUGUUUUCCAUACUGUCUCCAGUAGGAAGACCUUUGUUUCUAGAUUCGGCAACGGCUGCUGGGAUUCGUCCUAGUGUAGCCAGGGUGUGCGUAGAGAUAGAUGUUGCGAAGCUUGUUGUGCCAAGGGUGUGGGUUGCUGUCGAAGGGGAAUCAGGUUUUUGGCAACGUAUUGAGACAGAGAAUCUUCCUCCGUAUUGUUCUUUUUGUUCAAGAUUAGGACAUUCUCAUGAGCACUGCAACAAGAAUUUGAAAAAAGAUGGGUCUCGGCUGCAACUGAACAACCAGCAAAACCCAUACAUAGAUAGAAAUCAGAUGAUUACUCAUCAACCUGGGACUAAUCAAACUGAUUUGGAGAAUAAAGAGGCAGCGAAUAUAUCCAAUGUUAUUGCAAAUGAAAUGAUAGUGAAUGGAGUUGCUGCUACUGCGAAUGAAACUGUGAUAAACGAGUCUACUUCACAGGAAAUUUCAACCACUGCUACGGUGAAAAAUGGGAUAAAAACUUCAGCAGCAAAGGCCAUGGUUGCUGAACCUGCCGUGCUAGUCGUGCAAAAGGAAGUAAAAAAUCUGCAACACUGCAUUAUUGAUGAUGAUCCUGCUAAUGAAGAAGGAGUAGUAACCCAUUUAGAAAUUUCAGAUGUCAACGUAAACAUGGAGACAUGUAAGGUGAUGAAUACGGUUUUGCAUGGGGAACAUGUAGCAAUGGAAAACCAGCUGGAGAAACAUCAUGGCAGUCAAAGUGAAGGGUCCCAUGUCCUCAAAGAGAAGCCUUUGAGCACCGAACAACAUCAUCUGGAUGAGAAUGCUUUAACAUUGGCACAACAGAAUCUGACCGACAAAGCUACAACAUUUACACAAGCAAAUCAGGCCCACAACAACGCAAGGAGUGACCAUGAGCAAUUGGCCGACAAAACCAAUGUUGAACUGCAGCUGCUGGCCGACAAUAAUGUUUUGGAGAAUCUCUAUGUUGAAUUGCGAGGGGUGGAGGAUGAAGUUUCUACACAACAGUUGGUAGAAGCAAAUCAAAUGCCUACUAAUGCUGGAAAUCUGUCCCCCCGAAUUGGUGUCCUACAAGAAAAAUUGCUGGAAUCAUCAAUGAAUGGCCUAAACAUUGAUCAAAUAGGUGAGGCUGGUGGUGACUUCCGACAACCGCACAGAAAGGGUAUGCGGGCUCCAAUCCCAUCUGACAGACAGUUAAGGUCACAGACAUCAUCCAAAAAUUCAUUCCAGGUUCUUUCUUAUGAUUAAUGGAUUAUUUUGGAAUAUUAGAGGGAUAGCAAAAGCACCAAACCUAAGAAGAUUGAUUAAAUUAGUUCGGAUUUAUCAUGUUCAUUUUGUUGUGAUUUGUGAGCCAAAACUAGACGUAUCUAAAAUCGAACUCAUUCGGUUACGUCUAUCUUUUGAUUAUGUGUUUGUUAAUUGCUCUAGCGAUAUUUGGGUUUUCUAUAAUAAUCCUUUUGUUUGCUCGAUCGUUGGUAGUUCGGAUCAACAUAUUUCUCUAGAUGUUCAAAAUCCAUUACUACCAAGUUCCAUCAUUAUGUCUUUUGUUCAUGCAAAGUGCUCAGUGGAUGAGCGUAAAGAGUUAUGGACAUCAUUAUUACAUGAUAAGCCUACUUUACUUCCUUGGUGUAUUGGAGGUGAUUUCAACGUUAUAUUAGCAGCACAUGAAAAGCGAGGGGGGCGUCCAUUUGCUAUAGCGGAAGGAGUGGAUUUUAUGAAUUUCAUGGAGGAAGCUGAGGUCUUUGAUGUCGGUUUUUCAGGAUCUAAAUUCACAUGGUCUAAUAAUCGACGGAGUAGAGCUCGGAUUUCAAAAAGGUUGGACAGAUUUUUAGUCAAUGGAUCUUGUUUGGAUUUUUCAAAUGACAUUUCGGUACUUCACUUGGCAAGACACCCCUCCGAUCAUGCACCAUUGAAGGUUUCUUUUGCAACUCGGUCAGAUAACAAACCUCGGCCGUUCCGAUUUCUGAAUGUUUGGACUUCCAAACCAGAUCUCUUGGAAGUGAUUCGCCAUGUUUGGAAACAAGAUGUGGGUGGGCCUCCGCUACGCGUAUUGUGUUCUAAAUUAUUGGCAACAAGGAGAGCUAUUCAAUCAUGGAACAAGCAACAUUUUGGGAAUAUUUUUGACGCUGUCCGUUCUUCAGAAAUGGCGGUUCAACGAGCUGAGGAGUUGCUAGACCACGAUUAUUCCGAAGAGUGUCAAAUUGAGCUUAAUAAGGCACAAGCAGAAUUGCGGUAUUCAAUGUCAAUUGAAGAACAGUAUUGGAGACAGAAGGCCAGGGUCAAAUGGCUUCGUCAUGGAGAUAGGAAUACAAGAUAUUUUCAUGCGGUAGUAAGGCAGAGAAGAGCUCAAGGAAUGAUACACCGCAUCAAAAAGUCCAAUGGUGCGUGGGUGGAAAAGGACGAUGAUAUAGCAAGUGAGGCAACGGCAUAUUUCAAUGAUCUUUUCACGGGCUCUUUGGAAUCAUCUACUGAUAUGCUACAUUUAAUUCCGCACUUGGUUACGGAAGAGGAUAAUGGAAAACUGGAAGCAUUACCUUCAAUUGAGGAGGUAUAUGGAGUCAUAAAGUUAAUGGAUGGAGAAAGUGCAGCUGGCCCAGACGGUUUUACAGGCAAAUUUUUUACAUUUGCUUGGGAAGUGAUCGCUCAAGAUGUUUACAAUGCGGUACUGAGCUUCUUCUGUGGGGCGGAGCUACCACGAUUCAUCACUUCUACUUCAAUUAUACUAAUUCCAAAGACGCCAAAUCCUCAGGAAUUCUCUCAAUUCAGGCCUAUCAGUCUAUGCAAUUUUUUCAAUAAAGUGUUAUCUCGGAUUUUGACAGACAGGAUGGCUUGUUUACUGCCAAAAAUCAUUUCCCCACAUCAGACAGGUUUUGUGAAGGGCCGCAAUAUAACUGAAAAUUUUCUACUAGCUCAAGAGAUGGUAUCAAGCAUGGGGAAAAAGAAUAGAGGUGGAAAUGUUUUAAUGAAACUAGACAUGUCCAAGGCAUAUGACCGGAUGUCAUGGGGUCAUAUUAUUAAUAUUCUAAGGAGGUUUGGAUUCGGGGAAAUAUUUAUUGACCUUAUAUGGCGGUUACUCUCUAAUGUCUGGUUUUCAAUCAUUAUAAAUGGUUCCUCCUACGGUUUCUUCAAGUCUUCGAGAGGUCUUCGUCAGGGAGACCCAUUAUCUCCUGCAUUAUUCAUUAUAGGAUUGAGGUUUUAUCUAGAGGACUGAAUAACCUCACCAUGCAAUCGAGGUUCCUGGGUUUCAAAGUUCCAUAUCGGUGUCCGACUAUUACUCACUUGGCAUUUGCGGAUGAUGUUCUUAUAUUCAAAUGGAUCCUCUUCUUCUCUAAGGCAAUCAUGCAGGUGUUACAGGCAUAUCAAAGGUGUUCGGGGCAGCUCAUAAAUGUGCAAAAAAGCUGUUAUUUGGUCCACCCAUCGAUGCCACCGGCGAGACGAAGGGUGAUUGAACGUAUCACUAGGUUUGCCUGGCAGUCAUUUCCGAUACGUUAUUUGGGAUUCCCUCUUUAUUCUGGAAGAUGCAAAUCUUCAUAUUUUGGAGAAGUGUGUCAGUCUAUUCUAGGGAGGAUUUUGUCAUGGAAAUCAAGGCUGCUUUCCUUUGGAGGCAAAAUAGUUCUAAUCAAGCACGUGUUGGCUUCUAUGCCAAUGCAUCUAAUGUCAGCUGCUGUGAUCCCGGCCAAGGUGUUCAAAAUUAUAGAAAGUUCGUGCUCGUCCUGUGGAGAUCAUCAACCGACGACUCGAAAUUCCACUGGAUACGAUGGUCUCACUUGUGUUACCCGGUUGAGGAAGGGGGAGUCGGGUUCCGGAGACUACGAGACGUAUAUCAAGCUUUUUCAUGCAAGCUUUUGUGGAAUUUCCGAACAGGAUCAUCCUGUGGGCAUCGUUCAUGAAAGCAAAAUAUUGCGGAAGCCUUCAUCCUUGUCAGAUCGAACUCAGAACAACGGACUCGGCAAUCUGGAGAGGAUGAUCAACGUAAGUAGACAAGUGGAGCUCUCAAUGUUAUGGGAUGGAGCUUGUCAUUUUUGGUAUGACAACUGGUUGGGAAGUGGUGCGUUAUUUCUACAUGCAAAAGUUAUCCCAAAUUUGUCAUUCCAAAUUUUAUCACCAAUGGUCACUGGAAUAUAAAUCUCUUACAUUCGACGAUGCAAGCGAGAAACUUACUUCCAUUUUGGCACCCGGUACCAGAGGAAGGGAGGGAAUUGAAGUCUUUUGGAUGCCCACGAUAUCUGGUAAGUUUCUCUCUCCAAUCGGCUUUUGGGGACGUCAGGCAGCCGACACAAGUCAAUGGCUUUUACUUACAUUUGGCAUCUUCAGAUUCCUUGGAAAGUCUCAUUUUUCAUGUUAAGAUUGUUUCUGAGAAGACUACCAUUACCAGAUAGGUUAGGUAAGCUUGGCUUCCAACUUCCCUCAAAGUGUUUUUGCUGCUCCUCGCAUCUGUGGAGUCUAUUGGCACUAUUUGCCAACGGACAUAUUGCCUCGGUAGUUUGGAACUAUUUUGGAGGCCUAUGUGGAUUCAGGUGUCCAGGAUCUUUUUUGCGUCCUCGCAUCGUAGGAUGGUGGCUACGUUUACAUGACUCUGAGACACGACGACUUAUCGACCGCAUUCUACCUAGUGUACUUUGCUGGCAGAUUUGGAAAGCAAGAAAUAAAGCAAUGUUUGAGGGUGUCCAAAUGCAAUCGUCUGCUAUUUGUAAGAACAUUUUCUCAGAAAUACAGUCUAUGGUGGGGAUUCAUUUCAAACAAGAACUUCAAUUGCAGUCCUUUCAUCAUUUGUAUGAUCGAUCGCAUGUAUCUGUCGGUAGAAUUGCAUAUAAAUUGGUUCGCUGGGAAAUAAAGGAGACAGGGAGAUUGAUACUCAACACGGAUGGAUGCUCUAAAAGGUAAUCCAGGAUGGGUGGAGGUGGUGGAGUUCUCCGAGAUUCAUUUGGCGUACCAGUGAUUGCUUUCUCGGCUUAUCUUGGACAAACUACAUCUCUCCGUGCAGAGACUUGGGCCUCCUUAUUGGUCUUCAAACAUGUAAAAAUAGGGGCUUCGAAAAUAUAAGGGUUCAAUCAGAUUCAUUGCUUUUAGUUGAGAUCAUUCAGCAGCGUAUUCAAUGUCCAUGGGAGAUUCGAAGGGAAAUCAGACAGAUUUUGAAGCUCUUGGAAGAUCCUGCUCAUUUAUCACACUGUUAUCGAGAGGCUAACACAGUUGCUGACGCUUUAUCCAAUGUCGGAACAUCUCAUCCCCACCAACAAGUCAAGAUUUAUGACAGCUUCACUAUGCUCCCAAGGUAGCUCGUGGGCAAUUUUUCUAGACAAGUUGGGUUUGCCCUCAGUUCGGAAAAUUAGACGUCUGUAAGGAAAAAUAUUGUGUAUAUCUUUUCAUUAAUAAAAUAAAAAGUUCAAAUAAAAAAAAAAAAAAAACUUAACUUACGCUUUAACCGUUAGGAUUUUCUUACAUUCAUUCGACAACUCAGUAACCAUCCUAUUGUAUAAUAACUAUCCUACACCUCAUCAAAGCCUGAUAAGAUGAAGAAAAUUUCAUUUCUGGCAUCUUAAUGCCUUACAUCCAGUAUUGAGGGAAAAAAAUUAGUCGCAUUACAGUCUGAGAAUUUGAAUCCAGUAAUUUCAUGGUCUGACGUAGUCACCCAAGUAGGUUCUCCUUAAAACAGGGUCUUGAGGCAAAAUACACAUCAAAUAGGUCAUCUGUCGAUCUUUGAUUAUGUCUACACGUUCAAAAGAUAGGCUUAAUCAUAUUAGUGGAAAUAACUCAUAGUUCAUCAUAUAUUAAUUUGCUAUUCAAUUUAGUUUGAAUACAUGAUCAAUGUUAUCUAUGCCAAAAAAGAUUGAGGAUACUUUAGUUGGAAUUUGCCUUUGGAGUUAAAAGGGAUUUCCAUUUUUUCCUAGGUAUUCCACAGCUUGCAUACCAAAAGCACAGAGGCGGAAGAAAACCUAUGAUUAAAUCAUACAAUAGGUUUGUAAGAAAAUGCCCACUCUGAAAAAAUGAAAAGUUGAAUUUCCUAUUUUCAAAUUUACAUGCAAAAAAUGAAAAACGACAUGCAAGAAAUAGUCUACUAUUUCGCAAUGUUUCAUAGUUAUGAGAAAUAUAUUACAAAUAAAUCCACAUAAAUGGUGGGAAUAAUAACUCAAAUAUGGUGGGACAAAUAAACAUAGAGGGUGACCCCUGCGAGCUGAGAUAACUAGCUGGUUUAUUUAAUUUAAUAGUUUGAAUACAAUAGUAAAUCAAUGCCAUAGCUCAGAUACUGACUAAAUUUUCCCCCUGAAGAAUUCAACAGCAUCUUUCAGGCUGACCUCCAAAGGAGUGAAUUGAACUCCCAACCUUUUUGCCUUCUCAUUGGAGGCUCUGUAGUUUGGGCUGAUAAGGUUGGUAUUGUUUGACAUUCUGCUGUAUGCUGGACAAUACACAAUUAUGGCAAACAUAAAUAAAGCUUAGGUAAUGAAAAUGCAAAUGUAACUGGACAAUUGCCUCAUAUCUACUGUAAAUUGUGCCUUUUUAUGAAGUUUCAAAAGACCUUUUAAAAGAUAACUUUAGUUGUGAUAUGAAUGAAAUUAUUUUUUUCUAAAAAAAGCCUAAAACGAAAUUUCUAGUUUGGAUACAAAGCCAAUUUGGUGAUAUAUCCUAGUCCAAAGAAGACCAUCUUCUAGAAAUCAACCUGAGAAAGAGCUUAUUUUAUGGAACAUGAGACAAAAAGAAAAAAAAAGAAGGCAGAAAGUUUAGGAUUUAAUGUCCUUUGUUAAGCUUAAAAGAGAGUAUAAAAAUAUGUGAUACAUUUUGGACGUAUACAAGGCCAUCAGCAAAAGCCUGUAAAGACCUAAACAAGGAAAACAAGACUUAAUUAUCAGGAAAUUGGUGAUUUCGGUAAUGCUAAUGCAAAAUCUUGAUGAUCUGAGAGGCAUUUGCACAUCUUUCAACCAGGCAAUAUCUUCCACUUGCAGAAGGGGUUUCAAGGUCAAGAACAUGUGCAUAGGCAACAUCUCUAACAUCAACCCAGCUACAUGUUGCCUUAGGAAAUGGUUCAACCCCUGCAUUUGGCACCUAAGAUCUUUAAACACAUUUUUUUUGCAGGCUCUUCAGCGAAUAUAAGUGAAACUCUGCAUACAAUUAAAUACAAUGUUGUUUGCCAUGAAAAGAGUCAAAUUUAGAGGCCAUGGCCUGCCUUCCAAAAGAAAUGUUCUGUUUUAGUAUCAGCAAAACCACAGAGGGGAGGGAGAUGUGAGGAAUGAACUAGUUGAGACAAUUCAGAUAAUUGGUGAAUAAUAAGAAAGAUUAAUCCCAACAAUCUACUAGUUAAUCUGUCCCUGGAAUUUCUCAGAUUUAGAGUUAGGUUUCUCUUUCAAAGGAUAGUUUAUUUAUUUUCUUCCAAAAAGGAUCAAUUACAAGGCAAAAGAAUAAACUACAAGCAUGAUAAUACUAGUUGUCUCAUACUUAAGAGUUAAAUGGUGAGACUUGAAGAAACUUGUCCCUUCACUCUCAUCCAGAUAGAAAAACAGAAUUUAUUCCUGUUGUUUUGUUCCAGAGAGUGAAAUAGUAAUCAAUUCCUAAAAUUUGUUUCUUGCCAUUGUUGUACAAAGUGACUAUUUGGGUCGAAGGAGUCAUGGCAAAUUGAAAGAAUAAUAAACAAGCUUUAGCAAGUAAAGUUUGUACAACAUAAACAGUGACUACUCCUAACAAAUUUUUCCUCACAAUUACCACCCAAAAAUUUCUUUUCCUUCCUGUUAAUCACAUAGAACCUCAAUGUUGUUGAAAGGAAGAUGCACACAACGUGAAUUUCAGAUGAAAGAUUGUACUGCAAACCUUUAAAACAUCAUAAGCUGGUCAGAGUUUAUAGCUUGAUAUAUCAGUUCAUAUUCUGACCUAUGUCUGUCAAUCAUGUGAUUAGCCAGCAGUGCCUUGAAAUGUUAUUAGUCAUAAGUUUUUUGUUCUACUGUAACAAAGAAAGCUGUGGUGCAUAAUAAAGCUAUAACUAACAUAGAUGGAAGAGUCAGUUAGACAAUGAUUACUAAGGUGAUUCAAUAAAUUUUGAAACAAACCCUUUAAUAGGUUGAGGAACAAAACAACGCUCGAAUUAACAGAUGGCUGCAAGAGAGGACCAAUGACCAAUCCCGGAUGAAUUGUAAUCACGUCAAUGCCAUGCUCCUUUGCAAAUUUCCAUGCAGCAUUCUCGGCCAUGGUUUUGAAAGUUCAUACCAAGACAAUCAACACCGAAAAAUCACUAAAUGUUGGUAAGAUGCUAGCAGAAAGUAAUUAGAUUUGUAAACUUUAAGAAGUAACAUUAUAAAUUUCUACAAAUUUGACAAAACCAGCAACUUACAUCAGUUGAAACUAUUAUUGCUGUAGCUACAAAGCACAGAGUGAAAGUAUCCACAUUUCCCAGGACAAGCUAUGCUACAAGUGAAUAAGUAGAUUUCUCAAGGAUCCUAGGAAUGGUGUAAACUUUCUAUAUUCAAGGAAUGAUGCAAAGCACCAGCGUCGACAUAUCCCGAUCAUCUGAUCUCUUAAUCCACAAGUUAACAGCAAAACUACAAGGGACCUUGACACUUUAACACAUAUAGCCAUAUUCAUAAUAUUAUAGCAGAAGUUCCUUUCCAAUUGACCGACCAAAUAUUGCUCAUCUAGGUGUGUAUUCUCAGACAAUAGUAUAGAAUUUGAUCAUGCAAGAGAUGCAUAAUUAAGUAGGAAAACUUUCAUAUUGCUCUUUCCCCGACUAUUCCACACUACAUUAUUAAUUUUUCAUUAAAGUUAAGUUGUUACUUAGAUAGAAGGAAAGAAAUGGACUGACCAUUCUGGUUACAAAAAUAUCCUUCUUUUUGCCUAUUAAAGUACCACCAAGUCAUGAAGAUCCUAACUUAAUUAUCUCCACAGCUGGGCUAACUCCUCAUAUGUGUUCCAAUAACAAGUUAAAACUAAAGAAUUCUAGCAUUCCAUAUUAGAUUUUACUGGAAGAAGACAGAUAAUAUAUGUACCUUUUGCUCCUCACAGUAUGAUGGAUCGGAAAACCAACUUUCAUCAACUACCACAUCCUCCUUUAAUUCUCUAUUUUUUGAAACUGCAACCAUAGAGGAUGUUAUAACUACUCUAUUGGCAGAAGAAGAAUUUGCACAUGACCGCAGCACAUUCAGUGUUCCGCUUACUGCAGGUUCCAGUAGUUCUGCCUAUGAAAUCAAACCAAGUAAAAAAGGAAGUCAUUACCAGUCAUAGGUAAGACUAUGCUUUUAACCUGCAAAAAACUUAUCAUUCUGGUAUUAUGUUUGAGAAUUUCACCACAAAUGCUGUAAACCUACAGCUUUAGUUACUUAGCUAAAGGAUGCAUAUAGUUGUCUUAUCUCCUCUUGCUGCUAAAAUAAGUUCUCAGGUCCUUUAUUGUUGUUUUUCCCAUAUUUUUUGAGCUUUCACUGGGUGACAGGAACUUAAGACCAAUAGAGGAACAACUGAAAUAAGUCUUAGAUGUGGUCACCAAUUAAACCGUUUGGUACCUAAUAUCAACCGAUGAAAUUCUGUUCUGGCUUGAACAGGACAGACAGAAAAUAUAAAAGGUGUAGCUCCCAUGAAUCCUGCGAAUAGAUUUUAGCGUGAACACAUAAUGCAUGUUGCAAUUUCUUUUAGUGUCUGUGAGGCAACCUUGUUCAUUGAAAUUACUAAAAUCAAAGUUCUACAAAGUUACUGAUAUAAAAAUCCAUAAACAAACAGACAAGGAUAGGUGUACUGCAUAAAAUUUUAAGGCACAAUCAUUAAUAGAAGUUAAUCAACAUACAAAUGAAGAUACAUAUAAUUUGCAGAUGCUUGAACAUAUAUUGUAGUUUCUAUAAGCUUCUUAUUCAUGGUGAUAUCGGCACCCAAAAACUAUUGGCUCUGCACUGGCUGAAUAAUUAGUUGGUCAAAGCAGCGAUUCAUUUGCUCCAGGGCAAGCUUGUAGCUUGCUCUAUAACCUUGACAGGUGCCGAACCUGUGCAAUAAUAAUUACUAAAAAGUCCUAAUUACCACCUCAAUUAAUUAUAGAACAAAUCCAAAUACUGGAGCAGGGACCCUAGGUGUGCAAUGGGUUACUUGAUUCACCAUAUUCCCGAAGAGUUUGCUUGAUCCGAUAUACCAAAUUUGCCUAUAAAAAUAUUAAUUUUGCAUACAAUGACAAGUAGGGUCGAUUCCACAGGGAACAGGUAGGAAGUUGUUUCUUUCCAAGUCAAUAGAAUAAAAUUGGGGGAUGAUUAAUGGGAUGGAAAUGAAAAUAAAAUAAAUAAAAUUCAAAAGAUAACUCCACAAGUACAAUUUAUUAAAAAUAGGAAUUAAUAAAAUUCUACCCAAAGGGUCAACUUUUCAGGUACGGUCCAAUUAAAUGAUCAUCGAUGCAGAGAUAUUUCAUUCAUCCGUCACUAGAUUGAUUAUAACUAUCAACAACGUCUGACAGCCAGUUCUCCCUUACCUUUUUUAUAACCAAGGUAUGACCGUUGACUGCUUUUCUAACCAGAAAACAACCCUAGGUACGACCGUAGGAAUUUAAUUAUCCAGUUGCAUUAAAACUGGAAAAAUUCAACCCUAACCAAUAAACACGCUAAGAGGGUUUAUUUAAAUUAGAUCUUGCGUUCCCCCAACAUAAAGCCAAUUAUGGUGGUUGUCACUAGGUAUCAACUAAACGAACAAUUAUUGAUUCAAUUUAGUUAAUAUGACAGUAGGCUAUUAAAUUAAAUCAAAUACCCGGCAGUUGAUAUUCAAUUAAUAAAAUACCCAUAAACAAUUAAUUCAGGAAAUGCACGAAUAGUAAAGAAUUGGAAGAAAGAAUAAAAAUUCGAUUAGAUCUCAUAGAUGUUAUGGACCGCGCCCUUGCGUCAACCUUUAGGUAGAGAGGAAAACUAGCCGCUCCUCAUCAUAUCAAUCUCGCGUGGUUCAAUUGAUAUCAUUCAACUUAAUUAUCAAAAGGAUUGGGAAAAGUGAAAUAGCGAAGGAACGGCUAAAAAGCCUUGCUUCCCUUUGUAGGGUUUCGUGUUCGUACCACUGAGGCCAAAGUAAAAGCAAAAGUCUAAUAGGGAAGUCGUACAGAAGCCAAAAGCAAAGAGUAAAUCGUCUGUAAUGGCCGACAGAUGGGAGCCAAAGAAAAUUAAAGCUAAGCUAAUCUAUUAGACGUGAAUCUGGCUUUGACUAAAUGCUGUGAAAGACCGAAGGACCCCAGACGUCUGACUCCAAAUUGAAACUCAAGCUACUCUAAUUGAUCAGACGUGAUUUUGGCCCUUUUUCCUUUUUGACGCCGCCGCCCACAGAGACCAAGAAACGUCUGGGUUUUACUUGCUUUUGGAGCCUAGGCUUUGAUUCCAUGCGUCGAGUUCACGUGGGUUUGGUUUCCUAGUUAGCCCUGCUGCUAUCAAUCCUGCGAGUCCGACUUUAGGUAUAUCUCCUCAGUUUCUGGCGUGGGCACGCCAUAAAAUAAAGAGUCUUCUGAAAAUGUGCCUCACGCGAUCACUUUUAACACCAACCACCUACAAUUUACACAAAUAUCAAAUAUGAGCAAAUUCUCAAUUCUUAGCACCAUGAGUUGCCAAAAUUAGGACAGAAUAAUAGUGCAAAAUGUGCUAAAUAACCGUUCUAUCAAAUCCCCCCACACCUAGAUAAUGCUUGCCCUCAAACAUUUCAGAGCUCAGAAGCACAAUCAAGAUAGCAACGGUUUCCUAGUCAUCUAUACUAGCACAAACAUCCCGCAUUCCCGACAAUAUCGCCAAAAUUAAAACAUACCAAACAGGUAGUUAUCCAAAGAAUAUGAACAGUAUUAUACGUUACCUUCAAGAAAAUGUAUAAAUACUAGGAACGCUCAAAUCAACAUCACGGAAUGGAAUUACCAUAGGCUUGCACAUUUAUCACAUCUCCACCACCGAAAAACGAACUAAAUACACAAAUCAAAGGGACUUUCAUAGGGUUGUAAUGGGGUUUAAGUAAAAGGAGGGAUAAGAAGGUGAAAAUAAGGUGUAAUGUGUCAGGGGAAUGUCCGAUAUCCACCACAUAACCACAAUGCUUCACCGGAGAAAUUUCCACAAACAAGACAGUUUCACCUACUGUACACACUGUGCAAAUGCCACCAAUUUUCUCUCUCUCUUUUUUGACAGGCAGCUUGCAAGGCGUGGGCACGUCCUAUAAGUCAGAGUCGUCCGUUCACUUCCUUCACUUUGCUUUCUCUUUUUUUUUUGGAGGAUAACGUCUUGCAAGGCGUGGGCACGCCCUGUAAGACAGAGUCUUCUGAUCAGCAGCUUAUUGUUGAUUUAUCCCCUUUUUUGUUCCAGAUGCACAAAGAUAGCAUCAUACAGAUUCUACUCUGACAACACUUGCGAUUCCAGAUUUAUUUGCCUUGCACAAAUGAUGAAAUUCAGACAUCCCUUGACAACACAGGGGUGACCAAGAAAGUCUAAAGAGAUCUUGGAUUAUCAACAUGGCUAACAAACAAACUCGACGGAUAAAAGCUCAAAUUGGUUUACUAUUAGAAGACAAGAUGAAGGCAUGAUUUUUAGGAAGUUAUAGGAAGUUUAAUCCUAAAUGCCCUUAUCAUUUCAAAUGCAACCAAUUCAACAAAAUGUGGUCUCGACAUGUACAAAAUAGCAAGUUCUAGAAUGCCAAUACCAUGUGUGAUACCCACUCAAUCAAACAAAAAUAGAGCAAACAAGAAUAAUGUGCUCACGCAAGGCUCAAAAGCUUCCAAAAAUUACAAAAGUGGGUCAAGUCCAGCAUACUCAAUAUUCAACGAUAUUGCUAAGGAAAAACCAGAUGCACAGCCAGCAUAUAUGACCACAUAUACGUGCACCCAGAUUGUAUAUUCCAUCAUAGUAAAAUGCUCUAGCAAAAAUGAACUAACUAUAUACUUUUUCCUUUUUGUUUUUCAGGUUUUUUUUCAUGUUUUCCUCUUUUUUUUUUUGUUUUUCGAGCAAAAAGAAACAAUAGAGACAAAAAGAAAUAAUAGAAAUCACUCCCCACACCUAAAACCUACAUUGUCCUCAAUGUAGCCUAGACAAAUAAAGUGCAAGGACAAAGGGAGAGAAACUUCCCUGACUACUGAGAUGGUGCAGCGAGAUCCUAAGGAGGCGGAGGAUGCAGGGGGUGGAAUCCAAUAUGAGCAUAGAAAGCUGCCUGAUUCUCUGUCUGAAUACGGGCAAAAACCUGUAACGCCCUAAAACGGUCAUCCAACCCCUCAAUGCGCUCCUCCAGCGCAUGGAUAGAAUCCUGGAGGGAGCGAUAUUGGGACUCCCAAGCAGGGGGAGCAUGAUAGGAGGACGGACCUGCCUGAUCCGGAUGGGGUGGAGACUCAGUGGAGGGGGCAGUCGGAGGAACCCGGGGCUGUGGUCCGUCCUCGCCAGGAGGUGUAAACUGAUAGACAUUUCCUACUUUGAAAAUAACUCCCAUCCGCUCCAAGCUGUGCAAAUCCAGUGGCUCUAUCUCAUGAGCUAGAGCGAAGUUGUUCUCUUUGUCGAGGUCAAGCAAACCCAAUCGAAUGGCCAAGUGAGUAAUGAGUGAACCCAGAAUUACCGGUUUAUUGCACUUUUGAAUGACUGAUUGCAUUUGAGUGGCCACCCAACAUCCAAAGUUAACCUGAACUUUGUUACGCAUGCACCAAAGAAAAUAAAAUUCUGCCUUGGUGAGAGUGCCGGAGGAAUCCUUCCGGCCCGAGAAAUUGUGAGCCAAGAACCUAUGGAUGACCUUCAAGACCGGAUCCUUCAGAUGAGAGGCCUUGGACUGACUCGGAUUGUAAAGUUGAGGAUCUGUGGACCACUCCCUCCAAAUGUCAAUGUAAUCAGUAGAAAACGGUUUGGUGUAGUCACACACACUAUUUAUAUAUGCUCUGGAUGCAAUGGUAUUCUCACUAACAAACCCCAAAGUCAGAUUAAACUCAUUAAUGGGCAUACUAUACUGGGUAUCUCUUAAUCUAAAUUGAAUAAUCCUCUUCCCAUCCAAAGUGAUGAAUUCAUUUUUUAUGAACUCGGAGGUGGAGUAGAAUUCACAACACAGCUCCUCAAACGUAGGGUAAUCAAUGGUUAGGUACUUUUGCCAACCUAUUGCCGAGAACAACUGUUCAACAUGUCGUGCAAUUUGUAAAUGGUCCAAGGUUGGGGCAUGGAAGCACUUACAUGGGGCAAAAAGACAGUGCACCAAGCUAUUGAACCGGUCCUGUUGUGCCCUUGUAAGGUUAGUGACCGGUUCCCCCCAUUCCCCAAGAGACAUAGUGCUUUUAUUGAGGCCUAAACGAGAACGAAUAGGGGUUUGAAUUGGGGCUCGCCUUUUACGAGGUUGGGACCCAGAUGCCCCAGAAGUUGUUGCUUUUUUUGGAGGCAUUUGGAGACCACAGGCAAAGUGUAAAUAAGUAAAGAGACAGCCAGUCAAUCACCAAAAGAGGGCAGGAGACCACAGUCAACAAUUACUACUCAAAAAUCAACAGUCCAAUAGCAAAGAGAGAGUACAAUUGCCCCACCAAACAAAGACAGGCAGAUUGACACAAAAAUCCCUCAUUAGCGUCACUAGGCAACCAAUAAUUAAGACAAGAAGAAUCGAGACCCCAAACAAUGAAAUUAUCAGUCAAAUAUGUCCAACAGAGGGUGAAUCACUUGUCACGUGUACCAGAUAUCCGAUUCACCAGAAUCCACAGAUAUAUAAACUCGAAUCUGAGUCAAAUAUAGCAACUAGAUCCCAAAUUUGAAGACCAGUGACAAAAAUUUAGGGAAAAUAUGGGUACCACUUUUUUUAGGCUGGAGGAGGUCGUGGGAGAGUCACACGGCGAGAAGAAGAGGAGCCCAAGGGCGGCGGCGCGUGCUCGUACGGAUGGGGAAGGACGCGCUGCUGGAGGGCUGUUGGCGGAGUGGGGCACACGGGCUGGCUGACGCGUGCAGCAAGGGCCUGGCCGGCAGGGCAGGUCGCGCCAGGCGGGGCAAUACUGCUAGGUGUGCUGGGCGUGCGGGGUGCGUGAGGUCGCUCGCGUCUGGCAGGCUUGCAGAUGAAGACCGCGAGCUGCUGGGAAAGCGCAGACCUGCUGCUGGGUCGACUGCAGGCGCGCGAGUUGAAGGGAGAAGGAGCACGCGAGGGAAGAGCAGGCGCGCAUGCAGCGUGCGAGUAGGGGAUGUCACGUGCAAAGGCAACUCGCACGCUGGUGAGUUUGGUGGCGGAGUGCGACAGCUGACCACGGGCGACAGACAAUGGCGCAGCGGCAGGCGGCGGUGUGCGGCAAAGACGAUGGCAGGUGGAGGAGGCGUGCGAUGGAGAAUGGCGGCGGACCAAGAAAGCAAGGCAAAAGAAGAAAGUGAGACUUAGUCAAAAGAAAGAAACUGAAAAAGUAGAAGCUAGACUGACGGGUCUUGACAAACUAGACAAGACAAGGAAAAGAGUAAAGUAGAAAAGUGGGGUCAGAGAGGGUCCCGGUCAAUUUUGACUUUUGUUGUCCCACAGAUUGGAAGACGUGGGCAUGCCUUGGAGGCCAUAGUCUUCUGACCGUCGCAUCUUGACAAAGUCCAAAAGAGUUCCUUUCAAGGCAUGGGCACGCAUUGCAACUGUUAGUCUUCAAUUUGCACAGUUGACCUGGCGUACCCCUUCCAAGGCGUGGGCACGCCUUGGAACCCCUAGUCUUCUGUUCAUCACCACAAAAACAAUCAAAAUAUAAAAAUAGAACUGAAAAAUCGCAAGUAAAUGAAAAAUGAUCACAACUAAUUCUGUAUUCCUUGGGUUGCCUCCCCAGCAGUACCUUUCUUUAAUUUCUUUGGCUAAACAUGGCCAUCAGCUAUUUAGACCUCACGAUUUGGAUCAUUAAGAGAUAUAAUCUCCACUUGCUCACUGUUAAACCCUUCAUAAUAAGGCUUUAGACGGUGACUAUUGACUACGAACUUCUUCUCCGUUUUCAAGCUUUGGAUCUCCACUGCACCAUAAUGAAAAAUAUUAGAGAUAACAAAUGACCCAAUCCAACGCGAACGCAACUUACCUGGAAAAAACUUAAGUCUCGAGUGAUAAAGUAGGACUUUUUGCCCUAUUACAAAUGACUUCCUUGAGACUUGUUGGUCAUGAAAAAUUUUGCUCUUCUGCUUAUAAAUUGCGGCGUUCUCAUAGGCUUCAUUCUUUAGCUCCUCCAACUCUUGUAAUUGGAGCUUUCUAUGUCCUCCGGCCUCCAUAAGGUCCAUGUUACACCGCUUGAGCGCCAAAAAUGCUCUGUGUUCAAAUUUCAUCAGGAGGUGGCAAGGCUUCUCAAAAACUAACCUGUAUGGGGAUAUCCCAAUCGGUGUUUUGUAUGCGGUGCGGUAAGCGCAGAGAGCAUCUUCCAACUUCAAACUCCAGUCCUUUCUAUCAGACUGCACCAUUUUCUCUAGGAUUGACUUCACCUCUCUAUUCAACACUUCAGUCUGACCAUUCGUCUGUGGAUGAUAGGGAGUGGACACUUUGUGGAGCACGCCAUAUUUACGAAACAGAACAGUGAUCGUCUUAUUGCAAAAAUGGGUGCCCCUGUCACUGACUAUAGCUCUCGGCAUUCCGAAACGGACAAAAAUGUUAGAUUUAAUAAAUUCUGCAAUCACUCUAGAAUCAUUAGUUUGGGUGGCCUUUGCCUCCACCCAUUUGGAAACAUAAUCAACAGCAAGUAGAAUGUACAAGAAACCAAAGGACGAGGGAAAGGGACCCAUGAAAUCUAUACCCCAAACAUCAAAAAUUUCAACAAAUAAUAUGGGGGUUUGACUCAUUUGGUCUCUACGAGAAAUAUUCCUCACCUUUUGACACCUAUCACAAGAUUUACAGAACAAAUAUGCAUCCUUAAAAAGAGUCGGCCAAUAAAAAUCGCUCUCUAGCACCUUACGAGCUGUGCGUUUUGGCCCAAAGUGCCCCCCACAUGCAAAUAAAUGGCAAAAAAUCAAAAUAGAAUAGAACUCAUCGGCACUUACACACCUUCUUAUCACCUGGUUCGAGUAUUGCCUCCACAAGUAUGGGUCAUCCCAAAUAUAAUAUUUGGCGUCAUUUCUCAACUUAUCUCUCCUUGCCAUCGGUCAACCUGAAGGCAAUUGAUUCGUUACCAAAAAAUUUAUAAUGUUAGCAUACUAGGGUGCCGAUGAAUCAAUGGCUAGCAAUUGCUCCUCGGGAAAUGACUCUCUUAAUGGCAGAUCCUCCUAAUUCGUGAGCAGCCGACUCAAAUGAUUAGCCACCAAAUUCUCGGCUCCGCUCUUAUCCUUGAUCUCUAAGUCGAACUUCUGCAGGAACAAGAUCCACCUGAUCAGCCUCGAUUUUGCAUUUUUUUUCGCCAACAGGUACCUCAAGGCUGCAUGAUCAGAGAAAACAAUUAUUUUCGCACCCAAUAAAUAUGACCUAAAUUUUUCUAGUGCAAAAACAACAGCUAGUAAUUCUUUCUCCGUCGUGGAGUAAUUAAGUUGGGCUCCACUCAAUACUCUCGAUGCGUAGUAAAUCACGUGUGGCGUUUUUCCAAUUCUCUGUCCCAAUAUGGCUCCUACGGUAUAAUCGCUCGCGUCACAUAUUAUUUCAAACGGCAGGCUCCAAUCUGGGGGUUGAAUGAUGGACGGUGGCGUCAACGACUCUUUCAAUUUAUCAAAGGCCACUUUGUAUUUAUCGGUGAAGUCAAACGACACGUCCUUUUGCAGCAACUUAAACAAGGGAGCUCCGAUCUUUGAGAAAUCCUUGAUGAACCUCCUGUAAAAUCCUGUAUGGCCCAAAAAAGAACGUACCUCCCGUACAUACACGGGGUAAGGUAGAGCAGAAAUAAGAUCUAUCUUAACUUUAUCUACCUCUAUUCCCUUAGCCGACACAACGUGCCUUAAAACAAUAUCAUGUUCGACCAUAAAGUGACACUUCUCUCAGUUAAGAACCAAAUUCGUUUCUAUGCACCUUUUCAGAAUUAAAGCUAGAUUAUCAAGACAUUCAUCAAAACUAUCCCCGUAUACGCUAAAAUCAUCAAUGAACACCUCGAUUAUCUUUUCUACAUAUUCUGAGAAAAUACUUACCAUGCACCUUUGAAAAGUUGCUGGAGCAUUGCAAAAAUCGAAAGGCAUCCUACGGUAAGCAAACGUACCAAAUGUGCAGGUGAACGUGGUCUUUUCCUGGUCCUCUGGUGAUAUCACGAUCUGGAAGUACUCUAAAAAACCAUCCAAGAAACAGUAAUAAACACGACCAGCUAAUCUUUCCUCACAGAAUUUAGUCUCCGGUAGUCAAUGCACUGACGCCAGCUAGUAGCUUUCCUAACUGGAACCAUAUCACCCUCCUGGUUCUCCUCUACGAUCACUCCUAUUUUUUUUGGGAUCACUUGAACAGGACUCACCCAAGGACUGUCCGAGAUAGCAAAAAUAAUCCCCACCUCUUGGAGUUUAAGUAUCUCUUUCUUUACAACUUCCAUCAUCAGAGGAUUCAACCUCCGUUGUGCCUAUCUUAUCGGCUUCGCAUCCUCUUCGAGUCGAAUCCGGUGCAUGCAUAAGGAUAGACUUAUUCCAUUUAUAUCUGCUAUGCUCCACCCAAUUGCCUCAUUAUACUCCUUAAGAAUUCGCACCAGUUUAUCCUCUUGAUUUGGAAAUAAAUGUGCAGAAAUAAUUAUCGGAAGUGUCUCCCAAUCUCCCAGGAAUGCGUACUUUAGAUGCUUCGAGAGAGGCUUAACCUUUAAUUCCGGUGCCUGCACAACUGAAGGAAGCAGCUUUGUCUGAGUCUCUGGCACAAACAGAGAAGUAAACUCAUACCUUGGAGAAACAGUUGAUAGUGAGUAUAAGGCUUCAACUGCAUGGUGCAACUCAUCCCUCAUGUCCACAUCAAGAGUUACACCCAACUCAAGAUGCUUGAUUAGGGCCACUUCCAAUGCGUCCUCACCAUUCAGUUCGAAAGUUUCCUGUACAAUGAGCUCAAAAACAUUCAAAGCAAAGACUGAGUUAGAUUCUUCUGGGUAUUUCAUCGCCUCAAAAAUAUUAAAGUUUACAGUUUCGCCAUCAAAUUCUAUUGAUAAAGUAUCCUCAUUCACGUCUAUUUUCGUCCUAGCAGUGCUAAGAAAUGGUCUACCUAACAAAAUAGGUGACGGGUUUAACGACUUUUCAUCUCCCAUAUCCAAGAUAUAAAAAUCUGAUGGAAAAACUAACUCAUUUACUUGAACCAGGACAUCCUCAACUAACCCUUCUAGGUAGGCAUUGGUGCUGUCGACAAGUUGGAUUAUGAUGGCCGUCUCUUUUAAUGACUCAAGAUUCAGGGACGUAUAAAUGGUUUUUGGCAUCACAUUGAUUGACGCCCCUAAAUCCAAACGGCUCUCUUGAUCGGUGUAUUUUCUAUCUUACAAGGGAUCGUGAACAUACCUGGAUCCCCACAUUUGGGUGGGAGUUUUCUUUGGAGUAUAGUUGAUACGUUUUCUCCUACCACUACCCUUUCAUCCCCUCUCAACUUUCUCUUGUGAGUGCACAAGUUCUUGAGAAAUUUCGCGUACUUCGGUACUUGCUUGAUUGCAUCCAACAAAGGGAUGUUGAUCUCCACUUUUCUGAACACGUCCAGGAUCUCUUUCUCUUUCCCCGCCUUCUUCGUUUUCUCCAACCUGCAUGGAAAAGGAGGUAAAUUAGAUUUAAUAGGAAUUGAUGGAGUAAGAGUUACUUUAGGGUCUCCAUGAAUGUGUCUUUCUUCCUCAAUCUCCUUUUCUAUCUCCUCCUCACUCUUAUCUUUCAGGUUCGUAGUCUUUGGCCCCUCCACUUCUUUACCCUGUCAUGGUACUCACAUUUUUGGGAUUUGUCUCGGGUUGCGAUGGUAAUUUUCCAAAAACUUGGGACUCCAAGCUAUUAAUCGCGGUUGCCAUGUGACUUUUUUGAAUCUCUAGAUUUUUCAUGCCCGCUCUGGUUUUCUGUUGGAACUGAGCAGUACUCGUGGCCAGGCUCUUGACAAUAUCUUCCAAAGAACUUCCUGAGUUAGAUGACGAAGGUUGUGAUUUUGGUUGCAAUGGUUGCUGGAAUCCUGGUGGACGAUUGGAGAAUAAAUUCUGUGGCCUAUUCCCAUAGCUGAAAUUGGGGUGGUCUCUCCAACCCGGAUUAUACGUGUUGGAGUAUGGGUCAUACUGCCUACGAGACGCGGGCACGCCUCCAGCCAUAUUCACUUGUUCAGUCCCAUCCUCUUGCAACAUAGGGCAUGAGUCAGUGGGGUGGCCCACAUUUGUGCAGAUUCCACAGGCCUUUGCUUGAUGCACGUUUCCCACAACUAAUUGUCGAACAAAAGAUGUCAGCUCUGAUAUCUGCUGCUGAAUGGACGACGUCUCUACCUCGUUGACCCUGCGGGUAGGGUUACUCUCACGAAAGCCAAACUGUUGAGAAGUCUCUGCCAUCAAUUCAAUGAGUAGCCAUGCUUCCCUUGGUGUCUUGUUCACCAAUGCUCCCCCACUUGCAGCAUCAAUGAUACUCCUAUUAGACGACUGGAGGCCCUCAUAGAAAUAUUGGAUCAAUAGUUGUUCACUAAUUUGAUGUUGUGAGCACCUAGUGCACAACUUAUUGAACUUCUCCCAAUAGUUGUGUAGGGAUUCUCCAGGGUACUGCUUAAUGCCACAUAUCUCUUUUUUUAGACUUGCAACCCGGGACGCAGGGAAGAAUUUUUCCAAAAAUUUCUUCUUAAGUUGGGUCCAUGUGGUGAUACUACCUGCAGGUAGGUAGUACAACCAAUCAUUCGCUGCAUCCUUGAGAGAGAAGGAGAAGGCUUUAAGUUUAAUCUGCUCCUCAGUAAUUCCUGGAGGCUUCAUACUGGAACAUACCACAUCGAACUCUUGAAUGUAUUUAUGGGGUUCCUCACCCGAGAUGCCAUGGAACGUGGGUAGGAGGUGAAUUAAUCCUGACUUCAGUUCAAAAGAGGUAUUCUUAACUAGAGUUGGAAAUGUGAUGCACAACGGCUGUUGGGACAAUUCCGGAGCAGCCAGCUCCCUUAGUGUCCUUGCAUUCGCCAUAGAGAUGUCCUCUUGGCCUGGGUCACUUAAAUUUUAACAACUCAAAUUUGUUGACUCAACCUCAGGAUCCAGUCUCUGAGAUGCAAUGCUGGAUUGCUCCUCCCUUAGCUGUCUGGUCUCUUUCUUAGUUUGGCGCGCAAUCUUCACUACUUUUGGGUAAAAAAUCAAUUCACUUGUACGAGAAGAACGAGGUAUGAACUAGAAAAAUGUUAGACAAAUCCAAAGAGAACAACUUAGAAAGAAACAAAAUUAACCAAAACACCGUUCCCCGGCAAUGGCGCCAAAAAUUGACAGGUGCCGAAUCUGUGCAAUAAUAAUUACUAAAAAGUCCUAAUUACCACCUCAAUUAAUUAUAGAACAAAUCUAAGUACUAGAGCAGGGACCCUAGGUGUGCAAUAGGUUACUUGAUUCAUCCUGUUCUCGAAGAAUUUGCUUUAUCCGAUAUACCAGAUUUAUCUAUAAAAAUAUUAAUUUUGCGUAUAAUGGCAAGUAGGGUCGAUUCCACAGGGAGUGGGUAGGAAGUUGUUUCUUUCCAAGUCAAUAGAAUAAAAUUGGGGGAUGAUUAAUGGGAUGGAAAUGAAAAUAAAAUAAAUAAAAUUCGAAAGAUAACUCCACAAGUACAAUUUACUUAAAAUAGCAAUUAAUAAAAUUUUACCCAAAUGAUUAACUUUUCAAGCAUGGCCCAAUUAAAUGAUCAUCGAUGCAAAGAUAUUUCAUUCAUCCGUCAUUAAGUUGGUUAUAGCUAUCAACAAGCUCUGACAGCCAGUUCUUCCUUACCUUUUUGACAGCCAAGGUACGACCGUUGACUGCUUCUCUAACCAAAAAAUAACCCUAGGUACGACCGUAGGAAUUUAAUUAUCCAGUUGCAUUAAAACUGGAAAAACCUAACCCUAACCAAUAAACACGCUAAGAGGGUUUAUUUAAAUUAGAUCUUACAUUCCCCCAAUAUAAAAGUCAAUUAUGGUGGUUGUCAUUAGGUAUCAACUAAAUGAACAAUUACGGAUUCAAUUUAGUUAAUGUGACGGUAGGCUAUUAAAUUAAAUCAAAUACUUGGCCGUUGAUAUUCAAUUAAUAAAAUAUCCAUAAACAAUUAAUCCAGGAAACGCACGAAUAGUAAUGAAUUGGAAGAAAUAAUAAAAAUUUGAUUAGAUCUCACAGAUGUUAUGGACCGCGCCCUCGCGUCAACCUUUGGGUAGAGGAGAAAACUAACCGCUCCUCAUCGUAUCAAUCUCACGUGGUUCAAUUGAUAUCAUUCAACUUAAUUAUCAAAAGGAUUGGGAAAAGUGAAAUAGCGAAGGAACGGCUGAAAAGCCUUGCUUCCCUUUGUGGGGUUUCGUGUUCGUACCACUGAGACCAAAGUAAAAGCAAAAGUCUAAUAGGGAAGUCGUACAGAAGCCAAAAGCAAAGAGUAAAUCGUCUGUAAUGUCUGACAGAUAGGAGCCAAAGAAAACUAAAGCUAAGCUAAUCUAUUAGACGUGAAUCUGGCUUUGACUAAUUGCUGUGAAAGACCGAAGGACCCCAGACGUCUGACUCCAAAUUGAAACUCAAGCUACUCUAAUUGAUCAGACGUGAUUCUGGCUCUUUUUCCUUUUUGAAGCUGCCGCCCAUAGAGACCAAGAAACGUCUGGGUUUUACUUUCUUUUGGAGCCUGGGCUUUGAUUCCAUGCGUCGGGUUGGCUUGGUUUCCUAGUUAGCCCUGCUGCUACCAAUCCCGCGGGUCCGACUUUAGGUAUAUCUCCUCAGUUUCUGGCGUGAGCACGCCAUAAAAUAAAGAGUCUUCUGAAAAUAUGCCUCACGCGAUCACUUUUAACACCAACCACCUACAAUUUACACAAAUAUCAAAUAUGAGCAAAUUUCCAAUUCUUAGCACCAUGAGUAGCCAAAAUUAGGACAGAAUAAUAGUGCAAAAUGUGCUAAAUAACCGCUCUAUCAAACCUUACCCUGACUGACUGACCCCAAUGUUUCGAAAACUGGAUCGGAUCAGUUGGUUCGAUCGGUUGAAUCGCGAACCGAUCGUGCCUCCGAUCCGGUUCAAUUACAAAACUAAAGAAUUAAUUGAACUAGUCAAAACCGAUCAAGAACUUGAAAAAAUCGGAGGUUCAAUCGAUUUUUAUUAAGUAUUUAUUUUCUAAAAUAAAUAUUUUAGUUUUAUUCAAAAAUUUUAAUACUAAAAUGAAUAAAAAUUUAUUAAACUUUGAACCGGAGUUGAAUCAGUUGAAUCAAUUGAAUCGUAAAUCGAAAAAUUUUCCGGUCCACUCUCCGGUCCGGAUUUAAAAACAUUGACUUACCCAGGAAAAUAGUUAGUCAACCCAAUCUACGGCCCAAUUGUGGACCAUUUGCUAAGUUUAUGACUCUUAAUGUUUUUAUUCCAUAACGUUGCACCCUUUGAAUUGUUUCUCUGAAGUACCAACAGAGAAACAUCAUUUGAUCAUUUUAUAGAAACGUCAUGCAAACUGAUUAAAGAGAGACAAAAGCACAUAACAAACGGCAAUCUUUUUGUGAAUGACCUGCAGGAACAGAAUAGUUUUGUAUGUACCAAAUGUAAAGAAAUAUUCUUCAGGUGUUAGACCUGCGUGCUUCAUUAAUCUCUUCCAUUUGGUUAAUAUAAGAAAAAGUAGAGCCGUAGAAUUGGAAACAUUUGAUUCUAACUCUUUUUUAUUUUACAGUUGUAACAUUGUCAUAAAUCAUAUAUAGAGGAAUAGACUAUAACCCAAAAAAGCCAGUAAAAAUGCAACAGAGGAAGAUACUAAAAGAAGUCGUACAAUUAUAAAUCAGAAAAUAUGCUACGAUUUUCAAAGUUCACUUGAUAAAUAGCAGAUUUUGUAGACAGUAGAGAAUUUUCAAUUUUGUAAAGCAAAUGUACCUCUGGAUUGCUAAAUGAAAGUUUGAUUGGAGAUGCAGUAUGGAAAACCUAUUCACAUCCCUCGACUAUUGGAUCAAACGAUCCCUCUUCUAGUAAGUUUGCCGAGUACAACUGAAGCCUUUCUUUAGCUCCAUCAAGUGAUGUCAAAUGUUGUGUCCUUUCCUGAUCAUCUGUGUCAUGACUGCAUCAGUAGAAUGUUCGGAUAGCUAUAAUCAAAACCAUGCCGCCAACAGGAGACCGCCUUGGUUUUCACUAUGGUCAAAACUGAAGAAGAAAUGGACUUAAGAGUAAUAAUAAACGAAUCUCAAAGCAAUGAUAAAUUUGACUAGCUAAAGGCAAGCGGGGAAAAGCGAAAAGAAAUUGACGGGCAACAUAAUAUGACCACAAUAAUAUCAUAGCCCUAUGAUUUCUGGUUUUGAGAUGCGUACAUUUGUAACUUUCUUGAUAACAAUUAAUUCUUGAGAUAAUUAUCAGAGCGACAAUUGUAUGCCAUCUACCACUAUUUUUAUAACAAACUCAGUCCUUCAGAAGAAGGAUAUAGAUUCGAUAGGGUAAAGAUUUUUGAGUAUAACUUGAUCUUUGUAUCUGGAGCAUGAAACAUUACUGUUAAGGUGUACAUUAUAUAGUUUCAGCUACUCAAAUAUCAAUUAGGUUGGUCCACAUCAAUUUUUUUUUUUGCAAGUGAUUUUUUUUUUUUGAGCAAACAGAACAUGGGGAGCAUUUACUAGCAGCUGUUGCAAGAAUAUCAUCUGAAGCUACAAAACAAUUUCACACUGCAGAGUUGAAUAAAAAUGUUGGGCAAAUUACAUAUAAUGCUCCUGUGGCUUUGUUUGUUGCCACAUGACCCUUCUAACAUUUUAAAAUAUCCAAUUCACCCACUAUGAUUUAUGUAAAGCGGAAACUUGAUAGAGAAUAGCCUAUGUAAUGUCGUUAAUUGAAAUACCAUUAGUAUUUUUACUUUAAUGCUAAAUCAAUCGAUGAUUUAAUUACCUUAUAUAAAAGUAUAAGGGGAUUAUGUGGAUACAUAUAAAAAUCACAAGAGGGAUAAAGUAGGCAUUUAUACAAACUAUAAGGGAAUUACAUUGAAAUUAAGACUUUAUCACACAUGCUUUUAGAGCACGUUUGGUAUAAAUGUCGUAACUAAUUGUGCAUUCCAUCAUUUUCCGCUUUACAUAUAACUAUGGGGGGUUAUGUGACUAUUUGGAAAUCUUAGGGGGACCAUCUAGCAUUAUAUAAAAUCAACCUAAAAUAUAGUUAUAAGUAAUUUACCCUAAAAUGUUAGAUUCCAGGAGCAAUUAAACAACAAUCAGAACAGGGCAUCAAAAACUGCACAAGCCACUUGGAUAUUUGAUCAAGAAUAAAAACUGGACUAACUGGCAUCUCGAACAGAACCUUUAACAGUAUAACCGCGCUCGAGCAGCAGCUUCACCAGCCCUGAAGCUGUGUAACCCGAAGCUCCCGUCACACACACCAUUUUCCCUUCUCCUUCUCCACUCAUUUUGUUAUAAUAUUUUUGUGUGUGAAUCUGUCCCUGUUUUUAAUUUGUUCAGAGGGCUUCUCUAACUUGCUAAGAAGAGCUGAGGAAAGUAAAAGGAUUCAAGGCCUAAAAAUCAGCAGGCAUGGACCAGUUCUAACUCACCUUUUCUUUGCUGACGAUUCUAUCAUCUUUUGUAAAGCCAAUAAGGAAGAGGCAGUGGAAAUUAUGGAAGUUUUGAAAACAUAUGAAAACGCCUCAGGGCAAUUGGUCAAUCUGGACAAAUCUGCAGUUUUCUUUAGCAAAAACAUGGACAGUGAGCAAAAGAAAGAGGUCUGUCUUGCUCUUGGAGGAAUGGUAGAGGCAAAGCAAGGUAAAUAUUUGGGACUCCCUAUGGUAGUCUCAAGAACUAAAGACCAGAUUUUUGGAUUUGUGAGGGACAAUAUAAGAAAAAGAUUCCAGAAUUGGAAAAACAGAUUUUUGAGUCCAGCAGGUAAAGAAGUAAUGUUAAAGGCAGUUGCAAUGGCUAUGCCUACGUAUGUUAUGUCUUGCUUUAAGCUGCCAAGAAGAUUGUGUAAAGAUAUUUGUACAUUGAUGGCCAACUUUUGGUGGGGAGAAUCUAAUGGCAAGAACAAAAUGCACUGGAUUUCUUGGGAAAGAAUGGCAUUGAAAAAAAGUACAGGAGGUCUAGGCUUCAAGGAUCUUGAAGCUUUUAAUCAAGCUCUGUUAGGAAAGGAAGUUUGGCGUUUACUUACUAAACCAAAUCUGUUGGUUAGUAAGGUGUUGAAAGCCAGAUAUUAUCCUAAGGAGUCCAUCUUACAAUGCCGCUCUACCAAAAAUGCAUCCUGGAUCUGGCAAGGACUAAUGGGAGCAAGAAGCUUACUCAAUGAAGGACUGAUCAGGAGGAUAGGGAAUGGGCGUAGUACAAGCCUCUGGGAACACAAGUGGGUUCCAGAUACAGCUACAGGAAGGCCAACUACAUGCCGAUGGAGUAAUUGUGAGCUGGAAAGGGUGGAUGAGCUAAUAAGUCAUCAUAGAUGGAACAGGAAUAUCAUUUUUAGAAACUUCAAUAGAAAUGAUGCGCAAAAAUUUCUAGCUAUCCCUUUGAGCCUAUCCGAGAGGGAGGAUAGUUUUUAUUGGCAACCAAAGGCGGGAGGGCUAUACACUGUUAACUCAGGUUACAAACUCUUGAUGAAGCAAUACAGAAAAGGGACAAGGAGUAAUCCUGAGGGAGGUUGCUCUAGUUAUGUAGAAGGUAGUUCACAAGUAGUACAGAUGUGGAACACACUGUGGAGGUUAAACAUUAAAGACAAGAUCAAGUUUUUCAUCUGGAAAUGCAUUCAAGGAGCUCUGCCAGUGAAGGAAGCAGUGAGUAGACGAAUGGGGGGUGGAUGAUCCGAUAUGCACGACGUGUGGAACAACACAGGAAACAGUUGAACACCUCCUGCUGACUUGUCCUCACACGGUGAACAUAUGGAAGGCAGCUCUUAUUCAGUGGGAUGGAGCUAAGGAUCAGCAGGGAGAUUUCAAAUGUUGGUGGCUAAGAAUUUCAGAAGCAAGGCAUAGGCCAGAAGGGAUGGAACAUAUUGGUUUGACUGCAAAUAUCUUGUGGCAGGUGUGGAAAGAAAAAACAAAAGGGAAUUUGAGAAAUCAGAUAGAGUUCCACCAUUAAAAAUGAUAGGAAAAGCUCAUAAGGAAUGGUUGGAACAGCUGCAGUUAGAGCGCACGAAAGAAGGAGAGAGCACAGAAGAAACAAUCCCUAGGCAAGAAUUACCGGGCCAGGACAAUGCAAAUGAAGAAGCUAUGAUUAUGGAGAUGGCAACAACCAAGAAGAAAGGGCAGUUUUUUUUUGGGAUUGGAGUCACAGUCAAGGAAUAUGCAAGUAAUAGAAUGACAGGGUGGGUACUGAAAGAGAUAAGUCUGGGAAACAAACUCCUAGAUGAAGCACUAGCACUGAAGCUGGUCUUGUGCAAAGCUGUGCAACGUAAUUGGAGCAAGGUCAAGCUGAACUUUUGUAACAAGGAGCUGUGGAGACAAAUCACACAGCAGAGUCCUGUGGACAGCAAAAUGGCAACAGUACUAGUAGACAUCUCUAAUUCACAGAGAUUGUUUUGCAUGUGCUCUUUUGACUUGUGUAGGGAAGAAAAUAUGAUAGUUAGCAAAAAACUGAGUGAUGAUACCUUAGGCGUUAUUGUUGAUGAGGAACGACUGUUUCCUCAAUGUCUUUGAACACUUCUUGUAUAGUUUCUCUCGAGCCGUUGCUCGUACAUGUAAUCUUUUUCUUUAAAGCAAUGAAAUUCUCUUGUGGUUUCGAGAAAAAAAAAGAAUCUGUCACCUGUUUGCCUUACUUCUGGACUAAUAAUAAUGGAGGGAGGCCUAUAUGGUGUACAUAUAGCUAUGGUGAAGAAGACGAAAGAUUGGAUAUGAGAUUACUGGGAGACCGGAGAGAUCCAUAUCUAUUCUUGCAAUUUGCAUGGAUCAUCGCUGACAUACGUAUGGUAUAAUCGCGUCACAUCCCAUUUUAUCAAGGUCAAUUGAUCAGUGUAAAAUAGAAAUGAGCAAUAAAUACGAGGAUAAAUUACCUUUUACACCUUAUGCUUUGAUGUUUUAUCACAUAAUCCCCUAUGAUUUAAAAACCUAUAUAUGACUCUCUCAUAGUUUGGGUUAUUGUAUAAGUAAAAAGCCAAAUUCAAACUUAACAAAUUCACUGUUUCACUACUUUUUUUUUUGUUUUUUUUCUCUUAUUUUCCUUUUCUUUCUCUUUUUUUUUUUGGAAAGAGUACAGAUGAUUUUGAAAACCUAUAUUUUGGCUUACAAAACCUUAAUUUUUUCCAAAUACAAAAGAGACAGAAGGGAAAUAAAAAAUAAAAUCAAUAAGAAACGAAAAAUAUGGAAGGUAAAGGUAAAACAAAAAAAUAAGAAACAAAAAAAUACCAAAUCUUUUUUUACUAUAAAUAUCAUUAUAGGUUUUUAAACCAAAUCUUUUAUGGUAUUUUCUAGUUCUUAUUUAUCUAUAUUUUAUUCAAUUUCUUCCUUUUUAUGUUUGGAGGAAAAAAAGAAGUAAUGAAGGGAUAAAUUUGUCAAUUUAUCAUUUUGACAUUUUAAUAUGGACUAUUAGUUUUAACGAAAAAACUAAUAAUGACACAUUAACCCAAAUCAUGAGAGGGUUAGAUAUAUUUUUAAACCAUGGGGGUUUACGUGGUAAAACAUCAAACUAUAGAGGUUAAAAUGAAAUUUAGCCUAAAUCCAAAAUCAGGCGGUUGCAUAUGAACAAAUACCAAGGUUCUUGACUUUGUUCAAUACAAUCCCAAGGCUAGAGGCACAAAUUUUAAAUUCACUACCAAGAUAAACCAUUCUCUUUUUUAUUUUGCCAUUUUUUCGGGUCAAAAAGUACAAACUACUUGAACUAGAAACUAGUCCUGACAAAGUUUGUGGGUUUUUUUGCAAGAGUUUUAGUUAAAUAUUGGUUACUUCGCCUAAUUUGCACCUAUUUUAUCAUGUAAAUGCAUGCACACUUUUAAAAAAAUAAUGCAUGCACUUAUAUUAUUGCCUUUCUUACAUUUAAAUACUUUUUUCAAUUUAAUUUUACUUUUCUGGCAAAACUAAAUCUGAAGCCCAUUUCAAGAAAUAUCCACCGAAUACCAGGUAAACAAACCUCCUUCGUAAUAAAGAGGACAAAAAAAAUUUUUUGUCUUUAAGGAUUAAAUUUAUAACCAGUCCUAAGAUAACACGCAGCGGUCUUUUUGCAUCUAACAAUUGGGCCUGUUUGGAAGGUGAGUUUUUUGGGUGUUUGUAUAAAACUUUACUGUAGAUCACUGUAGAAGUUGUAGAAAAACUUUUGUAAAAAUUUGGGUAUUUGUAAGAUGAAAUUUUUUUUCCUUUUCAUUUUCUUUCUUUCAUUUUCUUUUUUCUUUUUUUUUUCUUUCUUUCUUUCUUUUUUCUUUUCCUUCCUCCCUUUCUUCCUCUUCUCCCUCCCCCUCCCCUCCCCUGAUCCCUCUCCCGGUACCUCCAUGGCAGCAACCAACAGGUGAGAAUCAAAUUUUUUUUUUUUUGCGUUUUUUCUCUUCCCCUCUCCCUCCCCCGCCAUCCCUCUUAUCCCUCCCCCUCUCCCCUUCCCCUCUCCCUUACCCCGCCACCCUCUUUUUUUUUUCGUCUUCUCCCCUCCCUCUCCCGCCACCCCUCCCUCUCCUUUCCCCGCCAUCCCUUCCUUCCCCCGCCAGCCCUUCCUUUCCCCUUCCUUCCCCAGCCACCCUCCCUCUCCCCCUCCGGCCUCCCCUAGCUGCGAUCCCCUCCCUCUCCCCCUUUGCAAUCUGGUCGCGCGACCAGAUCGGUCAAAAAGGGGAGGGGGAGGGUGGCGGGGAAGGCAGAGGGAAAGAAGGGAGGGGGAGGGAGAAAGAAAAAAAAGAAAAAGAAAAAGAGCUUCAGCGACCAGAUCGGGCAAAGGGGGAGGGGGAGAGUGGCGGGGGAGGGAGAAGGGAGAGAAAAAAUACAAAAAAAGAGGAUCGCCGGAACUGGUGGCCGGAAUAGUGAUCGGCGCCGGAAGUGGUAGUGGAGGUGGUCGCCGGCGCCGGAGGACGUGGUGGGUUGGGUGGGGGAGGAAAAAGAAGAAAAGUUGAAGGGAAAGUUUUUUGUGUAUUUUUGAAGUGUGUUAGGUUAAAAACUUUGAUAAGUUUUUUGGGGUUCCUGUAGCAAAAGUUGUUAAAAAACUAGUUUUAUACAAACUUGGUAAAAAACCAAGCUUCCAAACAGGGCCAAUCCUUCUCUGAUUGAGAAAAGGGAAUUGACUUGAUGAUAGCAACUCUACUUAGAAAACUGGUCCACACCCUUGAAUGUGAUUUAAAUUUAAUAACACCAUUUCAUCAUUUCUGACAACUGCAUUUUCCGCACCCUUGGGUGACGACUGCACAAGAAAAUUUUAACUUUACUUGAUAUGUUGAGUUUCUACAAGCAGGGCCAAAUAUCAUCCACAGAACCAUUGCUCCUAUUAGAAAAGCUCUUGAAGUAAAUCAUAUUUCCAUUUCCUGCUAUUUUCAUCAAUUAAACAAUCUAUAGUGGAGUCUUCCAGUAACACAUCAAAAUGAGAUAUAAUUUUGAAAGUAGAAGGACGUGGAAUCUAUCUAUCUUUCCAAAUUUUGAUAUGAUUUCCGUUUCCAACUCGCCAUCUACUACCAAAAACACCUUUGACUAAUAAUUAAAUAGUUAAAAAAAACUAUAUCUACCUAAUUUGUUUACUCAAUAUUUAUGUGCACUUAAACAUAAAAAGAAAAGGUCAAUCCAUAUAUUAGUGUUAUAUUUGUAAUAUUAGUUCCCUAUAUAGUAGGUUGCUGUGUUGGAUGUAUUUAUAUUCUACCGAGUAAAUGCCCAAUCUUUUCAAAACGUGGCAAAAAAAUUGUGUUUGUUUUUUUUUGGUAGAUUUCAUUCUUUUUAUUUUUUUUGGUAACAAUUAAUUUACUCUUCCUUUUCAAUUCAUUAUUUAUAGUAAAUUUCAAUCAAUCAUCAAUUACUUACCUUAUAUGCAUUUCUAUUAAUUAUACCUCUAUUUGUUUUCAAUCAACUCAUAGCUUUCCUUUUUAAUCAGGCACUCGUUAAUAUAUAUCUUAGGUGUUAAAUUAUUAGAAAUAGAAGAUUAAUUAGGGAAAGCGUAUAAAUGUAAGGGAAUUAAUUAGAAAAAUAUAUAAAUACAAGAGAAAGUAGUAAUUGUUGCAUAUAUACAUAGUAUAUUGGGUGAAAUGUAAGUGAGUUAACGAUUGCCCAUAGGGCACCCAUUAGAAAAACUCAUCAAAAUUUGGAUGAAUUUUAUUUUGCCUAUCAUUGCAAUCAUUACUACCAUUUUUCCUAUCAUUUAUUACUAUAACUUCAUGUUUUCUAAAUUCCAAUCAAUGUAUUACUCUCUUACUUUUUAUAUGAUUGUGCUAAUUACAGCUUUCCUUUUACUUAAUCAAUUAGUCAAUCAAUCAAUCAACCCAUGAUUUUAAUUUUCUUUUUCAAUUACAAGAUUCUUUCUUUUAUCCAUCAUUAGGGAGAUUUACAAUUAGUCACAUUUUUUCUAUUUUGUACUUCCAUUAUUUGACCUGAUUAUUAAUUCAAUCCACAUAUCUUGUAAUAUGUACAAGAAUAUGCAAUCAUAAGCACAAAUAAAUGCAAUUCUAAUAAUUUUGCAUAUAUGCUUUCAUAUUGUAUUGCAACACAUUUAAUAAUUCAUUAUAUGGUUACAAAAGAAAAAAAAUCUAGUAUUACCUAGACCUUAGAUAGUUCCCAAUGUAUACGCUGAUACUAUACGGAAAGAUUAAAAUCUGCUAAUGUAUAUACUGAUUGCUUAUGAAGAUUCAUCCCUAGUUUAGAUCUCUUAGAUAGUUUCCAAGCAUUAUAUUCCCUUUUUUUAAUUUCUUGUUUAGUUUAAUUCCUAAAGUUAAUGAAAUGGUUUUUAAAUCUCCCCUACAAAUGUACCUUAUUACCAUUUAUGAUUUUUUUUUAAAUUUAAGCAACAUCUUCCAAUAUUUUAUUACCAUUUUAAAUUAGUUCAUUUUAGGAGAUAGUAGUAUAAGUAUGGUAGUUUGUCCAAAUAACUUUGAAUAUGCAUAUACAACCCAAAAAUAAAAUGAUAGUUGUUUAUAUUCUUAUCACUCAAUGAUGAGAGUGGUCUAUAAUUUAAAUGAUUGAGAUAUAUCGCCAUCCAAAUAUAAAUUUAUUACGAGGGUAUGAUACCUUAAGUGACUAUAGAAUCUCCCUAAAUGAUAAAUAAUGUGAAUUAGAUAUUCCCUCAAAAACUUGUAAAGUGCUUAAUGUAUAUACGGGUAAAUUCUUGCAAUAGUGAAAGGAAAAUAUCGUACUAGCCUUGAUUUUUUGGCUAUGUAUUGACUUUUGUUAGCUAAAUUAAACUAUCCUGGAGUGAAGACAUAAAAUCUGCUACAAAUAUUGAGAGAAUUGUGAACAUAGCUAACUUAUCUAGCAUACAAAUUUUUUCUCGAGUUUGAGUUCUCUAACUUACACUAUAAAAACAAAAAAAACUAUCGUACAUUUAACUUCCAACUAACAACGAUGUAUAGAUAACAAAUUAUAUGCAUGGGAUAUUCCCAUAAAUAAAUGAAAUAUAUUUAAGUGAGAAAGAGUAAAUUCUUAAAUUAAGAAGAAAUAAUAUUAUAGUACCUGUCAAUUUGAUUAUAUGACUUUUUGGUUUGUCUUUACUCAUGAUAGCCAAUUAUAUAUGUUAUUUUGAUGUAAAAAUAUCCAAAAAUGGUUAAAUACAAUGAGGGACAUUAUUAUUAUUACUCGGAUUAAGCAUGUCAAUGGGUAGGGUUUGGUUUGGAUCCCUUUGAUCCAGAUCCAAUCCCAUUUAAUUUACCUCUUAUUCUUAUUUAAACUUCAAUAUUGGUAGAUGUCUCGCAAUCCAGCACUAAAAUAGUAAAUGAGAUAAAAGUCAUUUGACUAAGGACUUGACAAAUAAAUAAUAGAAUAAGAAGAUUUACAAAUACUUAUUAAUUUUUUGGGUAAAAUACCAAAAAACUCCUUGUGGUUUACUAAAUGUUUAAUUUAACUCCCUUUGAUUUGGAAACCUACACUAUAACUCCCAGUGAUUUUAACUAAUUUGAAAAUUGGACGGAAAACAUCCAAUCUAAUGGUUAUACGUGAAAUGUCAAUAUUGCCCCUAUACAAAUGAACUCCUUAUAGUUUGUCGAAUAUUCAAUUUAACUCCUUCUAGUUUGAAAAAUUACAUUAUAACUUCCUGUGGUUUCGACUAAAUUGAAAAUUGAAUGGAAGCAUCGUACAUAUAGUAGGGACAAUAUUGAUAUUUCACACACAACCGUUAGAUUGGAUGCUUUCUGUCCAAUUUUCAAUUUAGUCAACAUCACAAGGAGUUAUAGUGUAGGUUUCUAAACUAGAGAGAGUUAGAUUGAAUAUUUAUCAAAUCACAAGGAGUUUUUUUGGUAUUUUACUCUAAUUUUUUCUUUGAUUUAAUUCAAUCAUCACUAGUCACUAAUGUUUCAAUCAUAUCUAGAACCAGUUUGACAUGAGUCUCUUCAAUCACCAAACCAUCAACACUAAAUACAGAUUCUGAUACCAUAAAAUCUUACUAUAUUUGAUCCAAUAGCCAUAAAAUAUUAGAUUAUUUUAUAAAUUUACUAAUAUAUAUAUUAUUUAAUUAUAUAUAUAUAUAUAUGGAUUUGGGUAAAGUUUGGUAUGAGUUUGGAUUUGGAUAUGGAUUCUAUAAAACUAGACCCUACCUAGACCCACAACUCUCUCACAGGGUUUGGGUCUGGGUAUAGGUAGGGUCUAGAUUUGAGAAAUUAAAUCCAAACCCUACCCAAAUAUAGUGGGUCUGGGUUGGAUCUGGGUAAGAUUCGACCCAUUGACAUGUCUAACUCUAGAUACCUCAAUAAUUAUAAAAUUGGUUAAAUUGGAAUCCAUUUGGAUUUAAUAGUAUUUUGAAAAAUUAUUUUUGUUUUUUAGGUCUACAGUAAUAAAUUUUAAAAACAACCUUAAAAACAAUUCAAAAAAUGCAACAUAUCUCAAAUACAUUAAAAAAUAAUUAAAAAAUUCCCUCAUUCUUCUUCCCCACACCACCCACUACAGCGACCACCACCACCACCCAUUACUCUCCACUACCACAGCCACCCCCACACCCACGACCCUCCUUCCUCUCUCCCCUCUCCUCUCUCUCUCUCUCUCCCCCCUACUAAUUCUCCUUCUUUUUUCUCCUUCCUCCUCUCCCUUGUCCUUUCUCCCUUUCCUUUCCCCACCCCCCAAGCCCCUCUCCCCUCUACUAGCCGCAACCUUCCCGGUCGUGACUAGAAAGGUCACCAGAAGUCGUGACUGGUGGCUUCUCAGAUGGAGUCGUAACCACCACCCGCGAGGGAAGAGGGGUUUGGGAGCGGGAGAGGAGAAGGAAGGGGGGAGAAGGAGAGGAAAGAUGAGGGAAAAGGAGAGGAAAGAGGAGGGAGAAGGAAGAGGAGGGGGAGGAAAGAGAGGGAGGGAAAGAGGGAGAUAGAGGGGAGGAGGAGGGAGGGGGUGGCGGCGGCAGGUGGUGGUGAUGGGUGGUGUAAAAUUUUUAAAAAAUACCCCAUACAGUUGUUGCAAAAUACAUUUUAAAGAUAUCCCAAAAUAGAUUUUGAAAAGCCCUGAAAAUACUUCUAAAGACACCUCAAAAAAAUCUAUAGUAAAAGUUUUUUUAUAUAUAUAGUUGCAGUAAGGUUUUUGAAAGACACCCCAAAAAACAGCUAGUCCAAACGGAGUCUUGAGUUUUGAGGUUAAGGUGCAAUGAUUGACUACCUUUUAGGUCAAAAUAAAGCUUGGCCGAAAGUUUAGUAGGUUAAAAUAUAAUUUUAAAAAUUAAUCAUUUUCCCUGAUCCUCACAGCUGCAAUGACGGACACCAAUGUUUUCAGAACUGGACCGGACCAGCUGGUUCGACCGGUUGGACCGUGAACCGGACAUACCACCGGUCUGGUCUAGCAUCAAACCUGCCAAUUAAUGAAAAACCGCUAGAAACCGGUCAAACCAUAUGAACCGUGAAAAACCGUACUGCGGUUUUUAAAUUUUCAACAAAAUAUCCCAAACCUGGCGGUUUUUAAAUUUUCAACAAAAUGUCUCAAAUGAGGCUAAUCAGAAUCAAACCUGUGCCUUCCUGCUCACAUAAGAGUGUCUUACCACUAGACCACAAUCAUAGGGCAAGUUGGGUUUGUUGAGAAUUGUAUUUAACUUGACUAAAAGAUAGAUUAAAAGUUUGAAACCCUAACAUUAACAAAAGAAACAGCAGAGUGCAGCGCACUUCUCUUUUCAUCACUUUCUCGGCUUCAUCAGGCGGCCAACGGCUCUCCAUUCUCCUCUUGAAUUUUUUUUUUCAACAUUUUCUUCUUAACCCUUUCAAACCCAAAUAUCCACAACAAGAUUUUCUCAAGCCUUCACCAUUAUCAUCAACUAUCAUCUUUAGCAGAUUGUAGACGACUUGGAAAUUUCAACUUUUCCUGUUUUCCAUCAUCGUGGUUAGUUUAAUUUUUCCUUUUUCAAGGUUUUUUGUUUUCUAUAUUAUUAUCUUUAGCUGAUUUUUUUUGCAUUUUCUUCUUUUCCCCCUCAAUUUUUGUUUUAUUUUUAUUUUGAUUAAUUAAGGAUGAAAUUAUUGCAAAAGUAGCGCACCUCCGUGCUGGAAUUGGGUAGGAAUUACAAAUAAUAACAUUGGGCUGGUCAAAAAUAUGGUAGUUGGCACAUAAUCAAAGCUAUUGAUCAUUGAAUUUAAAAUAAUUAAUGGUAUAUGAUCAUGGAAUAAUGAAGAUCCAAACAGGAAUUAAAAUAUUCUUGAACCUUUCUGGCGACAAAUGAAACUGGUCAUCAUGCGAAAUCGGGAGUAUGUCCUCUGGCUAUAUAAAUGCUAAUGGUAAUAAUUUGCAUCCGUGUGAAGUCCAUUCUACAAUAAGGCAUGUUCCAAACUCCUUUAUAUAUAUUUUAGAUUUUGCAAUCAUAUUUGGACAAGCUAUUUUUUGGAUGAAGUAUCAAAUUAAUAAAAUUUGUAUCAAUGAUUGUCCUGUUUUUUCAAUGAUUGUAUAAUUUUUCUAUUCUGUAUUGAUUUGUGAAAGUUGUCAAACAAAAGCUUAAAAAAAAGUGCCAAGAAUUAUACAAUCAUUUAAAGCUAUUGUUUCAUUUAAAGCUGGUUAGAGUUAUUCUUACUCAAAAGUUUCAUUUAUUCUGUAUAUUAGAUUUCUUUUUUCUUUUUUAGCUCACAUAACAUGUUAAUUAGAGAUGUUUAGUAGCAAUUAAUUUUUUGUGUUUAGUUGUAUCUUUGUUUUUCAAAUUUUUUUUUUUUGAGUUUGAGCAAUUAGAUUUAUAUUUUUAUAAUAAAAUUUUAACUUUUUCAGGUUAAGUUGAUGAAAUUGUGAAAGUGGUGUUGUUGCUUAUCAUGCCACUGAUGGAAGUUUGUUAUUCAAAUGGUUUAUCUUGAAUAUGAGUUGGACUAUUUUAUGGACUUUUUAAGGAUUGUAAAAGAAUUUCAAUUUUUAUUUUAUUUAUUUUUGUGUUCUUAUUUGUGAUAAUUGGUGAACAUUUGGAUUGUAUCUUGGUGGGUUUUCACUUUAAGUGCAAGUUUAAUUCCGAAUUUACACCCGUUGGACUGCAAGUAUACAGGUCGCAAUUGUAGUACGAGAUGUGUAUCGGGUCGAUCCCACGAGGAGCAAUUUAAAACAAUUAUUAGAUACUAAUUUACUCUAUUAUUUAGACUUACAAUUAAUUUGAGCAGAAACUUCAGAUUUUAAUUCAACUACAAAAAUUCUUAAAUAGAUAAAUGCAAUUUCACAAUAGGAGUAGAAUUCACUAAAUAUUAAGAUCUAGGGAUGUAGAUUCCACAUAUAACACAAAAGAUCUAAAACGAAUGAAUUUAACACUUGUUACUGCUCUUGUUUAACCAAGGAUUCAUUUCCAACAAUACCAAAAUCACAUUUUCAUGAUAAUAAUGGGUUAAAACAGAUUAGUUUUUCCUAAUCUCUUGGAAAAUACUAAAUCUGUUUUGUGCAUACCUGAAAUAUAGAUUUUAUCCACUUGAAUGUAUUUCUAUUCUCAUGAAUAUACUACUCAAGCUCUACUUAUGUCAUUCCAUUAUUUUUACCAUUUCUCAAUGAGUAAAAACAACUAUAAACCUGCUAUUGGUGAUCAAGCAACAACAAGUAAUCCAACAUACACAAGUAGAUAAGUUAAUACAAGAUAUAACAAGCAUAAAUCACAAUCACUUCAUAUCAUUUGGCCAUAAGCUUCAUCUACUCCCUAGAUAAAGGAAAUUAGCUACUCAUGAAUGAUUUAACAAUCAAACUCACAAGUUUAUUAAUGCAAAACAUCAUGAAGUACAAGUAUAAGAAAGGUAAAAGAAAGCUUAGCCAAUUGAAGGUAAAGCUCUCCAAUUCCUGCUAUGUUCUUGUACAAGAUGGUUACAAGUGAAAAACCAAAUGCUUCUCUAAGAACUCUAGAGAGAAAACUUGUUGCAAGAAGGAAAACUAGCUACGUAUGGUGAUGCCAGGCUUCUCCCCUGUGUUUCUGCAUAAAAGGUGGUAGAAAUUCCAUUCCUCUCACUUCAUAAUUUCCUCCACUCAGAUUUUGUAAAAAGAAGUCAAAGAUAUGAUGUUUCCUUUUUGUCCACACUCAUUUGGUCUUCUCUUUUAUUGCAGAAGCAUGUGCACCGAAUUCCCUUGCAUCUUAUAGCUGGAAAGUGGUAUGAACACAAGAGAAUUGACUGAGUCAAAUUGCAGAAUUUCGGCUAUAAAACGCGCCUACACAAAACGCGGCAUAAACUCGCGUUUUGUCUACUCGCGUUUUCACUCUGGCCUUAUUUCAACUGCGAUUUUCUCCAUGAUAAAGGCCAAACUAGCUUUUGUGCAAAACACAAAAGUUGUAGCCCUUUGAGUUAGCUUUCCAAUGCUUCAAGAAUCAUCAAAUCGGAGCUUUGUAGCCUGAGAUAUGAUCGAAAUACUGUCACCUGUUCAAACCUCUGUUUUAACUUCCGACCACAGAAUGCAGCUUCUGUAUUCCAACGUUUUGCCCAUGAAGAUGGCAGAAAUGGAUUUCGAUGUCUUCAUACGAAUUGUAGGUCUCUUUCUUAGCUUUAAAAUGGUGUAAAGAUCACCUCAAUCCGAUAAGUGUAGCUCCAGAUAUGGUCAAAAUACUGAAGAGUGUCAAAACUGACUUGUAUUGCAUUUCCUCACUUGAACGUUUUUCACUUCAUUCUUCUUGUUGCCACUUGAAUUCAUCACCAAAUCUCUAUUUUUUAUCUCAUUUGACAUCCUUUGGUGAUUGAAUCAUCAUUCCUGCAUAAAAAUGAAGUUUUUACCAUUAAAAUCAAUAGAAAUGCAAUAUUAUCCACUUUUACCAAAAAUAUAUAAUUUUACCAAAAACCUCUUUAUUUUAUUUAUAAAACUAAAUAAUCAACUCAAAAUUAACUAAUAAAAUGCACUUAAAAAUACGUAAAAUAAACUCUUAUCAAAUACCCCCACACUUGAAUCAUUGCUUGUCCUCAAGCAAUAUAAAAUUCUAACCAUCAAUGAUCCAAAAAAAAUUGAAAAUAAACAUAUGUAGUAUUUCAACUCCAUUUCCUUGAAUCAAGGUAAAUAACCCUUAUGUGAUCUUUCCAUUAAGUUCAAGUACUCAUAAUAUCAAGCAAAGAAGAGCCAAGUAUACCAUAAUUUUACCAAUUCAACUCAACUUCUUAUUUUUAUCAAAUUUCGCAAGCAAGCAACUCCUAUAGUCAAUAAAGAUGCUAACUAAUCUCAUUAUCAACUUCUUAUUUUUCUUAAAGAGGGAUUUAAUUUACUUUUUAUUUAUUUAUUUUAUUAUUAUUUUUUUAAUAUAUUUUAAGGGAUAAAUAUUACUUAAGUUGUGAAAAAUGCCUUUUGACGCGAAGAUCAACAUUUUUAGAUGCAGAUCCCCGGUUACUCAACAUUUCACAUACUCAAGUUGCUUUGCAUACUCUUAAUUCAAGUACCUUUUUACGCGAAUGUCGACAUUUGUAGAUGCCAACCCCCGGUUACUCGGUAUGAGAAUCAUUGGAGUAGAAUAACCCUUUUUUUUUUUUUAAUAUAUAUAUAUAUAAUAAAAUUCCCUCUAAGAGUAAUCAUGAGAAGAGUAUGACACUUAUUAACCAUAUUAAUUUCUUAUCUUAUAAAAUUAGAUAAAAAGAAGAAUUUUCAUCAAAUAUACAAAAUGUAGGCAUAAUUUUCUCCACUUUACUAGAUAUACUUUCCUAUAGAUGUAAAAAUUAUAAUCACAUAAAAAUCAUUUCCAAAUUUUAUGAGAAAAGAAGUAUCAAAACCGCAUAUAUUUAUUUCAAAAGGAUAAGUGACAAAAUUUUAUUUAUUUAUUAUAGUUAAUAACAUAUAUAUGUAUAAGGUUUUGGAAAAAUUUUGACAGAGUCUCCCCUUAAAAGUGGACUAAAUCUCCCUGCCAGCAACCACAAGAAACACCAUUUAAGCACAAGAAUUAUAUCAAACACAACUAAAAUCACAAGUACCACACAUUUCUUCCCCCACACUUAGAAUACACAUUGUCCUCAAUGUGUAGGGAAAGAAAAGAAAAGAAACAAAAGAAAGGAACAAGUGACUCCCCAAGUGAGAUGACUGCAGUCCAGUGAAGCCUUGAAUCAUGAGUCAUCGACCGCUCAACCAUCCACAGUCAACGAUCUACUAGUUACUGCCACAAGUUCCAAUAUUCAAAAUAAGGAAUGUAAGUUAACAUUUUUCAAACAAAAGAUAAAAAUAACAAGCAAACAAAAGAAAAGCCAGCCAAAGGGCAGCCUCAAUCAUCCUCUUCAUCGUCAUCUUCAUCAUCAUCGAUGGGAGGUGGGCGUGUGCCUAAAUGAUCUUCAAUUCGGUCCAGGCGAGUAUCCAUUCUGGCUAAAUGAUGGUCGAUGUCGUCCAAGCGACCGAAAAGCCGCUGCCAGUUGGUCUGUGGCGGAGGAGGAGGUGGUGCUGCAGUAGAAGGUCCAGCUUCAUCCCGACCAUGUCUAGCCUUUUGUCUCCGCUCCUGAACAGGGCGUGGAAUGUCUCCCGUGCCAAUACCAAGGCGGCGAAGAGUAGUGAUAGUCAUCUCAGCACGUGGUGGAACAUACUCCCGCCGCAUGCCUUCCAAGGGAACCUCAAAACGGGGAAAGAUUAAAGUCAGUAGACGAGGAAAUGAUAGUUUGAAGGAAGUUGUCUUACGCCUCGCCGUAGACCUAAUAUGGCUGAUGAUGAUGUUAGGCAAUGAAAUCCGAGCAUAUGGAGAUGUCCGGUUAUGGAACAUGUAAUCCAAGAAGUAGAUAUCGCUCUUGCGGACCUCCGUGUGCCCCGUCUUCUUUGGGAUGACAUUGUGAGCCAUCAUGUAAAUGAUAAGACGAUGACGAGGUUCGAAUACAUUCGCCAAUAUGGUCUCCUUUCUGGUAGAGCGAAAAGGUUGGUACUCGAGACCAAACCUAGCCAUGGCCAAUGAGGGAUCCCACCUCCUAUUCGGGGGAACAAACUCCUUCUUCAAGUCUACUGGACGUCCGUCAUCCAUACACCCCAAAAUAGCAGCCAAAUCUUGCCGUGACAAGGUGAUUCGUCUUCCACGCACCCAGGACUCAACUAUUUCUCCACUAUGGCGCGCCUUACUUUCAAUGUUGGCGUAAAACUCGCGCACCAACUCUGGGUAGUAAUGGUUUGGAAGGGUGAGAAUCGGAGCCCAUCCUAGCUGAGCAAAAGCUUCUGAGAUGUUGUACAUCAUCUCAACUGGUGGACUGACGUGCAUCUCAAACAAAAACUCCAAAUUAGCACGCGCCUCAUGCCACUCCUGAUUCCUGCGAGUGUUGAACCUAGCACUGUCAAAUACUGAUUUUCCCGCUCCACGGGAGGUGCCCUCACCAGGUCGACGGUUAAUUGGUGGAGGAGAAGGUUUAUUCUCCUCUUCAGUCACCUCCAUCUCUUCAUUAACCUCCCUCUCCUCGCUACUAGAGGAUGAAAGUACCGCUCUUCUUCCCCUGGGCAUAGUACCUAAAAAAUAUUUCAAUUAUUCCACAUGUACUACAACUCAUUAUUUGGCAAUAAAAGUUCAGCAUUAAUCCAAAUAACCUCAAAUACAAUUGCUCAAGUUCUAAUCAUUCAAUGAUCGUACAAGACAUAUUUUCUGCCUAAAGUUGCCCAAAAUCACCAAAUUACACAAGAUAUGUAUCAAUUAUACUUUAAUUAGUGAAAAUAGGAACAAUUAUGAUUAUAACUAUUUAGAAUUAACAAUAAUAAUAUGCUUUUAGCUAUAAUCAUGUUUAGGCAAAAAUUAAACUAAUUAACUCACCAAAUCAACCAAAUUACUCACUAUACACAAUGCACAUGCUUAAACAUCAUCAACUAACCAUUUUUAACCAUAAUUUAACAUCACCAAUGACUCAAAAACAUCCUAGUUCCUUUUUCCAAUUUCAUCUAAAUAUAGCAAUUGUGAAUUUUAAAGUACUUGAAAACCAAUAAAUUGCUACAUUUAAACAUUUAAACAUGCUUAAACAAUCAUAAUAAUCAUGAAUAAAAUAAAAAAUAGCCAUGAACCUCAUCAAAUUUUCGAAAUUAAAAGAUGUCAGAUAGCUCAGGAUAAAAAAUAUGAACUUCUAAAAUCAAAAGAUUUGAUGAAGAAACUUACCUCAAUCACGUAGAAGGAUGUUUGGUGAUGCUAAAAAUGCAAAAAGCCCUAUGAAACAACCUCCAAUUGACCUCCAAUUGAAGAAAUUAGAGUUUAAGAACCCUAACCUUCAAUCCCUCAAAAACCUGAUUUUAGGUGUUUUUCUUGGAUUUUAAUCGGUUAAAAAGGGUAUAUGAACCUCAAAAGGUGUUGGGGUGAUGAUUUCUAGCAAGAUUAUGGAGUAAAAAUGAAGAUUUGUGAGUUGGGUAGAAGAGAAGAAGAAAAACGCGGCUGGAAAAAUUUGGAGAAGUGAAGAAAUGUUCUGGAAAUCGCGUUUUUGAAGCAGAAAAGUGAACCUAAAACGCGACUAAAAACGCGCCUUCAACACGCGUUUUUAAAGCCGCGUUUUCUGCACAAAUCUCGCAGAAUUGAAAACGCGGUUACAUAUGAAAACGCGACUUAAAGUCGUGUUUACAUGUGUCGCGUUUUCAAGUUUUGCUCAGGCGAUAAAACGCGACUUCCUCCAAAACGCGACUUCAAGUCGCGUUUUAAAGGCGCGUUUUCUGUUCUGCAGGCGCAGAAUUGAAAACGCGAUUCUUCGAAACGCGAUUUGUAGUCGCAUUUUCUUUGGAAAACGCGUUUUCUGCUUCGAUUUUUAGCAGAAUUUCAACUUUUGAAAAAUUACAAAAGGUACCCCAAUGACUCAAAAUGCAUCAUAGAUCAUUUGUUUGUCAAUUUUAAUGACUGGAACAAAUGUAAAACAUUAAAAACAUGCAUUUUACCCCUUUAUAAUGAAUCAAAAACACCUUUAACGCAAAUCGAGGGGUUGAGUUGUUUGAUCAAAGUUCGCCUUUUUUGUACUCAAUUGGUCCUUCUUGCCUUCAAUUGCCAACCCUACAUUACAAAAACAACAAUUUAGCUAAAACAUUGAUUCAAACCACAAAAUCACACCAAGUUAACAAAUAUAACCUAAAUAUUGGGUUGCCUCCCAAUUAGCGCUUUUGUUUAUAGUCGUUGGCUCGACUCACACAUUCAGUUUCUUAAAUUGAAGAAGAGUCGCCCAAAAGACAUAUGAGUCCUUUGGGUACGAUUUCACCUGCCAAGUAGGGUUUCAAUCGUUGUCCAUUGACCUUAAACCUUUCAUUUCUUGAAUUUGCCACUUCAACCGCUCCAUAGGGAAAUACUUGAGUGACUUCAAAUGGUCCAGACCACCUUGACUUCAAUUUUCCUGGAAAUAACCUCAGGCGUGAAUUGAAUAAAAGCACUUUUUGCCCUACCUGAAAUUGUUUAGGAAUAAUGUGCUUGUCAUGCCAAUAUUUGAUCUUUUCUUUGUAAAUUUUGGCAUUUUCAUAUGCAUGUAACCGGUGUUCCUCCAAUUCACUCAGCUCAAGUAAUCUCCUUCCACCUGCAAGAUUAAAAUCUAUAUUAAUUGCUUUAAUAGCCCAAUAAGCUUUAUGUUCAAUCUCUACAGGUAAGUGACAAGCUUUUCCAUAGACUAAACGAUACGGCGACAUCCCUAAGGGAGUCUUAAAUGCCGUUCGGUAAGCCCAUAGUGUGUCAUCUAACUUUGUAGCCCAAUCCUUGCGUGAUUUAUUCACAGUUUUCUCCAAAAUGAGCUUUAUCUCACGAUUAGCUAGCUCCGCUUGUCCAUUGGCUUGAGGAUGGUACGGGAGUGAUGUCUUGUGCCUACAACCAUAUUUAAACAAUAAGGAAUCCAGUUGUUUGUUACAAAAAUGUUUUCCUUCAUCACUUAUUAUGGCCUUAGGUAUACCAAAUCUACAAAAAAUAUUCUUUUUAAGGAAUCGGAGUACAACCUUAGAGUCAUUAGUAGGUGAAGCGAUUGCUUCUACCCAUUUAGAAACAUAAUCCACUGCUACUAAGAUGUACUUAUUAUUAAAAGAGCUUGGAAAUGGUCCCAUAAAGUCUAUACCCCAUAUAUCAAAUAAUUCAACUUCUAAGAAGGUAGUUAGGGGCAUUUCAUUCUUUCGAGAUAUAUUUCCAGUUCUUUGGCAUGCAUCACAACUUUUAACAUAUUCCCGAACAUCUCGAUACAUAGUUGGCCAAUAAAAUCCUGAUUGCCAUACCUUUGCCACAGUUUUUGAGGUGCUAAAAUGUCCACCUGUUUCAAGGUUAUGACAAUGAUAUAAAAUAUUAUGUACCUCGUUUUCGGGAAUACAUCUACGUACCAUACCAUCGGCACAAUGUUUAUACAGCAAUGGUUCCUCCCAAAAGUAACUUUUGACAUCAUGUAAGAAUUUCUUCUUUUGAUGGUAAUUAAAUCCCCUUGGAAUCUCUCCACUUAUCAAAAAAUUAGCAAUAUCAGCAUACCAUGGAGAAUUGAUAAUUGCUAGGACAAACUCAUCCGGGAAAUUCUCUUGAAUAGGAACUUGAUCCUUGACUGGAAUAUAUUCUAGGCGUGAUAGAUGAUCCGCUACUAGAUUCUCUGUUCCCUUUUUGUCUUUUAUUUUCACAUCAAAUUCCUGCAAUAAAAGAAUCCACCGAAUUAGUCUUGGUUUUGCAUCUUUUUUAUGUAACAAAUAUUUUAGAGCCGCAUGGUCCGUAUAUAUAAUAACUUUAGAUCCUACUAGAUAAGAUCUAAAUUUAUCCAAAGCAAAUAUCACUGCCAAUAGCUCUUUUUCUGUGGUUGCAUAAUUGAGUUUUGCUUCAUUUAGCAACUUGCUAGCAUAGUAAAUGACGUGCAACCGUCCUUCUUUCUUUUGUCCCAAAACUGCUCCAACCGCAUAAUCACUUGCAUCACACAUCAAUUCAAAUGGUAGUGACCAAUCAGGCGAAGUUAUAAUUGGGGCCGAAAUCAAUUCCUUCUUCAACCUUUCAAAUGCAACCAAACAAUUGUCAUCAAAUUGAAAAGGGGAAUCUUUACAUAAUAAAUCACAUAAUGGCUUUACUAUUUUAGAAAAAUCUUUAAUAAAACGUCUAUAAAAGCCAGCAUGUCCUAAAAAACUCCUUAUCCCCUUGACAUUGCUUGGGGGUGGCAAUUUUUCGAUGACUUCUAUUUUGGCUUGAUCCACCUCAAUUCCCUUGGAGGAAAUCUUGUGUCCUAAGACAAUUCCUUCUUUUACCAUAAAAUGACAUUUCUCCCAAUUCAGUAUAAGAUUUGUUUCCUCGCAUCUCUGCAAAAUUAAUUCCAAAUUAUGAAGACACUGAUCAAAAGAUGAACCAUACACAGAAAAAUCAUCCAUAAAUAUCUCCAUAAUUUUCUCAAUAUAAUCAGAAAAAAUAGCCAUCAUGCAUCGUUGAAAAGUUGCAGGAGCAUUGCAUAAACCAAAUGGCAUUCUUCUAAAGGCAAAAGUGCCAUAAGGACAUGUAAAUGUGGUCUUUUCUUGAUCCUCUGGAGCUAUAGCUAUUUGAUUAUAUCCUGAAAAACCAUCAAGAAAACAGUAAAAUUCAUAUCCAGCUAUUCGCUCCAAUAAUUGAUCAAGAAAUGGUAGGGGAAAAUGAUCUUUUCUUGUUACCGUAUUUAACUUACGAUAAUCAAUACACACUCUCCACCCUACCACAAGUCUAGAUGGAAUUAAUUCAUCAUUUUUACCCACGAUUGUAGUCAUUCCACCCUUCUUUGGUACCACAUGAAUUGGACUAAUCCAAACACUAUCGGAGAUAGGAAAAACUAUACCUGCGUCAAGCCAUUUAAGAAUUUCAUUUCUUACCACCUCUUUCAUGUUUGGAUUGAGUCUUCUUUGUGUUUCCACCACUGGUUUGCAAUUGUCCUUCAAUAAAAUUCGAUGCAUGCAUAUAGAAGGACUUAUACCUUUAAUGUCUGAAAUUGUCCAUCCAAUUGCCUUCUUACGCCUUCUUAGAACUCUUAACAACUUUGCACACUGUUCAUCAUCAAGGUCAGCACUAACAAUUACAGGUAAAGUUUUAUUUUCUCCAAGAAAUUCAUACCUUAGAUGAGUCGGAAGUGGCUUGAGCUCUAACUUUGGAGGUUCAAUUUCUGAAGGUUGUGAAAACCCUUUUCCUUGGCCAAGACUUUCAUACAAAUUACCCCUUUUAUAAGGUGCUUGAAAAUCCAAGUACUUGGCCAAUUCUUCAAUUUCUUCACAAACAUCUUCUUGCUUACCUAAACUCAUUAAACAAUACUCAAGAGGAUCUAAGUCAAAGUUGACUUGACUCAUCUCUUGGGUUAGUUUAUCAAUUGUGCCAAUAGAAUAAGCAUGAUCGGUAAAAGAAGGGUAUUUUUCCAUUUCAUUCAAAUUAAAUUCUACCUCUUCUUCACCUACUUGAAACUUAAGCUUGCCAUUUUUUACAUCAAUAAUAGUACCUGCAGUAGCUAGAAAUGGUCUACCUAGAAUAAUUGGCAUAGAUAUAUCUUCUUCCAUAUCUAAUACCACAAAAUCCACUGGAAUGAUAAAUUUUUGAACUUUUAUCAAUACAUUCUCCAACACUCCCAAUGGAUAUCUAAUAGACCGAUCCGCUAGUUGCAAAGUGAUAUUAGUGCGUUUAAGCUCAUGCAAACCCAAUUGUCUAGCCACCGUUAAAGGUAUUAAUGAUACACUAGCACCAAGAUCACACAAUGCCUUAGAAAAAUCAACGUUACCUAUGGUGCAAGGUAUAGAAAAACUCCCCGGAUCCUUCAACUUCGGUGGUAGCUUAUUUUGAAUAAUUGCACUACAUUCCUCCGUUAAUGCUAUUGUUUCGCAGUCUUCCAACUUUCUUUUUCUAGUCAUGAUUUCCUUGAGAAAUUUCGCAUAAGAUGGAAUCUGCAAAAUAGCAUCGGCAAAAGGAAUGUUAAUGUGCAAUUGUUUGAAAAGUUUAACAAAUUUUUCAAAAUCUUUAUCAAACUUAUUUUGCUUUAAUCUUUGUGGAAAUGGAACCGCAGGGGGUAUUGGAAUGGUAGUGGAAGAUGAUGGUUGCUUUUCUCUUGGAUUCUCCCGACUAUUUUCCUCCACAAUCGCCUCUUGGUUCCUCUGCUUUUCUUCUUGUUUUUCAUUCUCAUCUUUCUCAACUUCCUUCACUGGAGGAUCUUCUAAUUGUCUACCACUACGAAGAGUAAUGGCUUUCACAUGCUCCUUAGGAUUGACCUCUGUUUUGCUAGGUAAUUCUCCUUGAUUUCGAUUAUUCAAAGAACUAGCAAUUUGACCAAUUUGGACCUCUACAUUCCUGUACAUUGUAGUGAGUUGGUCCAACCUUCCUUCUACUCGCUCAAAUCUGUCCGAGGUAACUUUUGCAAGCUUUUCCACUGCCAUCUCCCAACCAGGUUUAGUUUCAGCUUGUUGUUGCCUUGAUUGAAAUCCCGGUGGAUUGGUUGGCCUUGGUUGAUUUCCUUGAUCCUUCCAUCCAAAGUUUGGAUGAUUUCUCCACCCCGGAUUGUAAGUAUUCGAGUAGGGGUUAUUUUGAGCAUUACGAUUGUAAUUAUUGACGAAUUGUACCUGUUCAGAAUCAACACACUCAUUACUAUCAUGUUCACCUCCACAUAUAGAACAACAUGCUACAUGUGCAUUAGAUGAACUUGGACCAACUCCACCUUGUCUACUUAGCAAUUUCAUCACAUUAUUCAUUUGAGCACUCAACAUAUUGAGAGUGUCCAUUUCGAUCAUACCUGCGUGACGUCUUGUAUUACCUCUCUCAUUGGCCCAUUGGUAGUUAUUUGCUGCCAUUUCUUCUAUCAAAUUAUGAGCCUCUUGGGGUGAUUUACCCAUUAAAGCUCCACCUGCAGCUGCAUCGAUCAUAGUUUUAGUAGAAAAAACUAAACCAUUAUAGAAGGUUUGUAUGAUUAACCAUUCCGGCAGUCCAUGAUGUGGACAUUUCCGAAGCAAAUCUCUAAACCUUUCCCAUGCCUCAUAUAAUGAUUCUCCUUCCAAUUGGCUAAAACUAGUGAUAUCCAUUCUAAACUUAGCAGUCUUACCUGGUGGAAAAUACUUAUUUAAGAAUGCUCUUGAUAGUUCAUCCCAUCCAGUGAAAGUAUUAGGAGCAUGAGAGUGUAGCCAAAGUUUGGCCUUAUCUCUCAAUGAAAAUGGGAACAACCUUAGUCUUAUAGCAUCAUCACUAACUCCAUUCAUUUUAAUUGUAUCACAAAUUUCCAAGAAUGUAGCUAAGUGUGUAUUAGGAUCUUCUACUGCAUUACCUCCAAAUUGAGAUUGUUGAACCAUUUGGAUAAGUGAUGGUUUAAUCUCAAAAUUGUUAGCAUUUACCGUAGGCCUUACUAUGCUUGUUUGAGAUCCUUGUGUUCCCGGUAGAGUAUAAUCUCGUAGAACUCGCCUAUUUGGGUCAUUUUCCGCCAUUUCUUCUUCAAAUGGUAGUUCUAUCAAAAUGUCCUCUAUCGGUUGCCAAAUCUCUUGUUCCUCUUGCUGUUGUGUGUGCCUCCUUUGUCUACGUAGUGUCCUCUCAAUUUCUGGAUCGAAAGGUGUAACUUCCCGAGACGCCCGGUGCAUACACUACAAACAGAAAUAAGAGAUAUUAUGCAAUUUCAAUUGUCAAAAACUGAUUACAAUAUAAGAUUAAAUAUAAUCUAACUAAAAAAAUAAAUCUGUCUAAAUUAAUAAAGAUGAUUAGGCUCUAAUAUUGCCGCUCCCCGGCAACGGCGCCAAAAACUUGACGGGAUUUUUUUUAUCAAUGCAAGUUUAAUUCCGAAUUUACACCCGUUGGACUGCAAGUAUACAGGUCGCAAUUGUAGUACGAGAUGUGUAUCGGGUCGAUCCCACGAGGAGCAAUUUAAAACAAUUAUUAGAUACUAAUUUACUCUAUUAUUUAGACUCACAAUUAAUUUGAGCAGAAACUUCAGAUUUUAAUUCAACUACAAAAAUUCUUAAAUAGAUAAAUGCAAUUUCACAAUAGGAGUAGAAUUCACUAAAUAUUAAGAUCUAGGGAUGUAGAUUCCACUUAUGACACAAAAGAUCUAAAAUGAAUUAAUUCAACACUUGUUACUGCUCUUGUUUAACCAAGGAUUCAUUUCCAGAAAUACCAAAAUCACAUUCUCAUGAUAAUAAUGGGUUAAAACAGAUUAGUUUUUCCUAAUCUCUUGGUAAAUACUAAAUCUGUUCUUAUUCACACAUGAAAUGCAGAUUUCAUCCACUUGAAUGUAUUUCUAUUCUCAUGAAUAUACUACUCAAGCUCUACUUAUGUCAUUCCAUUAUUUUUACCAUUUCUCAAUGAGUAAAAACAACUAUAAACCUGCUAUUGGUGAUCAAGCAACAACAAGUAAUCCAACAUACACAAGUAGAUAAGUUAAUACAAGACAUAACAAGCAUAAAUCACAAUCACUUCAUAUCAUUUGGCCAUAAGCUUCAUCUACUCCCUAGAUAAAGGAAAUUAGCUACUCAUGAAUGAUUUAACAAUCAAACUCACAAGUUUAUUAAUGCAAAACAUCAUUAAGUACAAGUAUAAGAAAGGUAAAAGAAAGUUUAGCCAAUUGAAGGUAAAGCUCUCCAAUUCCUGCAAUGUUCUUGUACAAGAUGGUUACAAGUGAAAAACCAAAUGCUUCUCUAAGAACUCUUAACUAGAGAGAGAACUUGUUGCAAGAAGGAAAACUAGCUACGUAUGGUGAUGCUAGGCUUCUCCCCUGUGUUUCUGCAUAAAAGGUGGUAGAAAUUCCAUUCCUCUCACUUCAUAAUUUCCUCCACUCAGAUUUUGUAAAAAGAAGUCAAAGAUAUGAUGUUUCCUUUUUGUCCACACUCAUUUGGUCUUCUCUUUUAUUGCAGAAGCAUGUGCACCGAAUUCCCUUGCAUCUUAUAGCUGGAAAGUGGUAUGAACACAAGAGAAUUGACUGAGUCAAAUUACAGAAUUUCGGCUAUAAAACGCGCCUACACAAAACGCGGCAUAAACUCGCGUUUUGUCUACUCGCGUUUUCACUCUGGCCUUAUUUCAACUGCGAUUUUCUCCAUGAUAAAGGCCAAACUAGCUUUUGUCCAAAACACAAAAGUUGUAACCCUUUGAGUUAGCUUUCCAAUGCUUCAAUAAUCAUCCAAAUCGGAGCUUUGUAGCCUGAGAUAUGAUCGAAAUACUGUCACCUGUUCAAACCUCUAUUUUAACUUCCGACCACAGAAUGUAGCUUCUGUAUUCCAACGUUUUGCCCAUGAAGAUGGCAGAAAUGGAUUUCGAUGUCUUCAUACGAAUUGUAGGUCUCUUUCUUAGCUUUAAAAUGGUAUAAAUAUCACCUCAAUCCGAUAAGUGUAGCUCCAGAUAUGGUCAAAAUACUGAAGAGUGUCAAAACUGACUUGUAUUGCAUUUCCUCACUUGAACGUUUUUCACUUCAUUCUUCUUGUUGCCACUUGAAUUCAUCACCAAAUCUCUAUUUUUUUACCUCAUUUGACAUUCUUUGGUGAUUGAAUCAUCAUUCCUGCAUAAAAAUGAAGUUUUUACCAUUAAAAUCAAUAGAAAUGCAAUAUUAUCCAAUUUUACCAAAAAUAUAUAAUUUUACAAAAAACCUCUUUAUUUUAUUUAUAAAACUAAAUAAUCAACUCAAAAUUAACUAAUAAAAUGCACUUAAAAAUACGUAAAAUAAACUCUUAUCAUAUCUAUUUAUGUUUUUAAUGAAUUUAUGAAAACUUGUGGUGAAUUAUGAUAUUUUAAUUAUGUUUAUCAUUCCAGGUUUUAUGUAUAACUUUUAAGAAAUUUGUUAUUAUGUCAACUUAAAUUUAGUUAUGUUGGUGGAUGCAUUUUAGGAACUUAAGUUAUCAAUAACCAUGUUACAUUGUACACUAGCCAUCAAGUUCAAGUGUAGAAUGUGUAAGUCCCAAAGACAACCAAGAGGGGGGGGUGAAUUGGGUUGUUCAAAAUCUUAAUCAGAUUUAGGCAAUUUUUGCUAAAUUAAAAUUUCCUUCUUUUCUAGUAAUGAUCAACCAAGUGAAUUAGAAGACAAGAGCAAUAUUGAUCAGAAAUACAAGUAUAAACAAGCAAUGAGAAUUUUAUUAAACAGAAAAGUAAAUUGGGGAAUCAAACCAAGUGUCUACCAAGCUAUCCUCAAACUUGAAGACCACACACUAGGAAGAGCAACUUCUCUUUGAUGGAAGACGAUCAACUAGAUGUACAAUGGAGGGAGCACUUCCUCCUUGCCCUAAGCCUCACUUAGUCAAGCUAAGAAGUUUUACAAUCACUCUGAAAACCCUCAACAAAGCUACACUAAAGAUCCUUUCAAUCACAAAAGAAAUGCUCACCAGAAAUUCACACCACUUUAAAACAAAUCUAGCUUUGGAGACUAUUUUCUAACUAAAAUAUCUCUUGAGAUCUUGUAAACAAAGUGUGCAAAAGUCCUUACUUCGUUCAGACCAGUUUGAUUUUAAAGGGAACCAGAAAUGGGCUUCAUCAAUGCUUCCAACGGAUAGAAGGCAGCUGAAGAGUCAACUAGCCGUUGGGGCUGUCGGACGUCCGACGAUCAAAUCAUCGUCCGAACCAAUCGUCCGAUGGCAUCCAAGUUGACGUUCGGACGUCCGAUGCGUCUUGAUCGUCCGACACCGCACCGUCCGAUCGUAGGCAGAGAGUUGGCAAGUCAGCUUGGAAUUUUUCGGACGUCCGAUGCGGUUGAUGAGCGUCCGAUGGCAAGCGUCUGAUCCUUCCGGACGUCCGAUGCUUCCUCACGAGCAUCCGACAGAGCUUCCUUCUUGAUGCUCUUUAUCCUUUCGGACGUCCGACAGAUUCCUUUCGGCCGUCCGACGUGAGUAUCCUGUUUUUGCUUCUUCUUUUGGUUGAAAUGCAUUUCAUGACCUAUUCAUACCUGAUUCUUUGAUAUGUAAAGACACUUAUAAUCGAAGAAGGUUAGAUACAUUUCAAAAUACCAAGAAUAGCAAAAUUGUCAUACUUAAAGGACAGUAUCUUUGAUUGGAACAAAACAAUGACUAAAUUCAUUCAUUUUAUUCCAAUCAUGUUUGCCACAUCCAAAGCAACGUAGUCAGGAGAUAAACGAACAUAUGCUUUCUUUGUUCCAUCAGACCUGAUCAAAGUGUUCACUUUCUUGGUUAGUAUAAACAUUUCAAAUUACUUUGUGAUCAUCAAAACCAAGAAUAACAUUCUCCCCCUUUUUGAUGAUGACAAAACAAAGGUUUGAAAUGAGAUUUGAUGAUUUGAAUAAAAUCUCCCCCUUUCACAAUAGACAAGAACUCCCCCUUUCUUAGUGAAUCAUAAACAAUUUUGAAAAACUCCCCCUCACUUGGCUGCCCAACCGAAUUACACAAUUAUCCAAUUAUACAAGCCAAUCCAAUCAAUCCAAUAUCAAUCCAACAUCAUCAAAUUCAAUCCAAUAUCAAUCUAUAGAUCCGGCCAUCUCCCCCUUUUUGUCAUCACAAAAGGGUAAUCAAUUACAUCCAUAAAUGCAAACCACAGUCAUUCACAAACACAUUCAUUACACCAAUGCAAACCAAAUUCAUUAUAUUCACACAAUCAGAAUAGACAAACAAACAUCCAUCAAAAUACUUAGACAUCCAUCAACACAGUACUUAAACAUCCAUCAAAACACACCAAAAGAAACUUAGAAUAUCCAUUACAUUUCAUAUUCAUUGUUAAAUACCACAAACACAUAAAUAAGAUAAACAAAAUGCAAAUGUCCUAAAUGAUGAACUAAGUGGAUCCAGGUGUCCUCCGAGAGAGCUGAUAUUGGUCAAGAUCCUCCUCUUCAGUUUCUUCAUCAUCUUCAGCAGCCUCUUCAACUGGUGCCUUGCCUUUAUCUGAUGUAGAGAUGCCAUGAGGAGUCACAGGGGUUGAAGAACCAGGAUCCGGAAUUGAUGAACUUGGAUCAGUGGGGUGUGACUCUUUGUCAUGGGAAACUUCCUCAACCACAGGUGGAGGAAAAAGAAGAUUCUUUUUGUCAAGAAAGGCAGUUUGUUGCUCAGAAGACAUGGUGAGCAUGAGACCAUGUUCUAGAAGAAGAACAUGCUGUUUGAGUUCUUGAAGAAGCUCAAUUACUUCAUUACUGGAAGAGGAAGAUGCUUUAGUGGCAGAUUUCCUAGGGUGAAUGGGAGUGAGUGAAAUGGGUGAAGGAUCAUGUGCAGUCUUGGACCUAAGUUCACUAGAAGAUGCACCCUUAUAAGCCCACAGAUUAUCUUUGAAAACAAGAUUUUUCCUUUCAAAAUACCCUUUUGUAAAGGCAUAAGAAGAUGCUUCUUUAGGACAAACACCUAGAAUAGGGACUUUGUUAAACUCAAAAAUCUUUUGAAAAAACUUUCCAUAAGAUAAUUUUCUGCGAGAAUCAGUGGCAUAGCGAAGUAAGAACUUGCACAUGACAAAACCAAAAUCAAUACGAAUUUUUUCUUGAAAACAAUAAAAGAGGUACAACUCCAUUUUGUUUGCAUCAGUUCUAUGGCCAUCAGUAGGCACAAGCAGGUUUGAAAUGAUAGAAAAAGCAAUUAAAUUCACAGGGGCCAGAUCAUUCAAUUUAGCAUCAGCAGGUGAGGAAAAACUUCUUUUGAAAUAGGUUAACAUUUUUGUCCCAUCAAAAUGAUUUGCCACAGUCGGGAGCUCUUCAUAGGAAAAGAAAUUAGCAAUCUUAUCUUUGCAUAAACGUUCAAUGGUAGUAUUUAAAAUGGAGUUCACAAUUUCAGAGUCAAUGAUUAAGUCUACCCCAUUAACCCUGGAAAAUAUUUCAGUUGGGUCGGAACCUUUCCUUAGAUUGGCAAAAAAUUGAUGCAACAUAUCAGGAUAGUAGACAUUUGGCAUAGAAAUAAGAUGUGACCAUUUCUGGAAAGCAAAUAGACUCAGAAUGGAUUCUAAACCUAUGGAGCGAAAUUCAGAGGGGUUUACAGUUCUUUGAGGGAUGACACCCUUCUGGGAUAUCCAGGAGUAUUUGUCUUUCGCAGCAUCAUCAAAGAAUGUAGGAGGAGGGACUGAUUUAGGAGGCGGUUGAGAAGAGGUCCCCUGUCCAGAUUCUGGUUGAGAAGUGAGUUGUGGAGUAGGUCGUGACAUUUGACCCUUGAUAGCUCCCCUUUUGAAGCGUUUGGAUGUCCGUUUGACAGUGGGAAGAUCCUCAUCCACAUCCCUGAGUGGAUGCUUGCGUCCGGCAGUAACUUUUCCUCCCCUUAGAUUCACCAUUGCGCGAAAUGUGUGGAAUGAAGAAUGCAAAUGAUGCACACAGCAGUAGGGAAGUGAAUCGAACAAAAAUUUGGAACAAAAGACCUUGUACAAGAUUUGACAGAGCGGUUAUGAGAAGGUAGGGUUUUGAGGAAAAUUUGGGAAUGUGCGAAGUGAUAGAUGAUUCUGUGAAAUGAUCAGGAAAAAUGACUCGCAAUUGACCAGGAACUGUUUUGGUUGAGUCAAUUUGGGAAUGGGGGCUUCAGAAUAAUAUGAAUUUGGGAGUGAGAGACAAGAGGGUUUUCGUCCGAGAGAAAAUGAAAUGGGAAGAGUCUGAGGCAAUUGAGGAAGAAAGUUGUGUUAAAAAAUGAGCCGUUGCACUGUCGGACGGCCGAACGAAGUUGUGCGUCCGACAGCUGCGUCCGAACAAGCGCAAUCUGGAAAAUGGCUGAAGAACAUCAUCGGACGUCCGUUCAUCUUCUUUCGGACGCCCGAAGACCCAAAGAAAAUUAAGAUGAUUUUUCGAUUAUUCCUAAUUUUGAUCUUAGAUGAAUGAACUGUUCUAAUGGCAAAGCUUUUGUAAAAAUAUCAGCAAAUUGAUCUUUAGAACAAACAUAAUUUACACAUAUUUCACCUUUUUGAACAAGAUCACGAAUAAAGUGAUGCUUUAUAUCUAUGUGCUUUGUCCUAGAAUGAUGAAUAGGAUUUUUGGUCAAAUUUAUAGCACUAGUAUUAUCACAGAAUACAGGCAUGCAGUCAUACAACAAUCCAAAAUCAUUCAAAGUGUGCUUCAUCCAUAAAAGUUGAGCACAACAUGCACUAGCGGCAAUAUAUUCCGCUUCGGUUGUAGACAAAGAUAUUGCAUUUUGCUUUUUGCUAAACCAAGAGACUAAACAAUUUCCAAGAAAAUGACAAGUUCCACUAGUACUCUUUCUAUCCACACGACAACCUCCAAAAUCAGCAUCCGAAUAACCGUAUAGUGCAAACUCAUUAGAUCUAGCAUACCAAAGACCAUAGUCUAAUGUACCUUUCAAAUACCUAAAAAUUCUUUUUACAGCAUUCAAAUGUGAUUCUUUUGGACAAGAUUGAAAUCUAGCACACAAGCAAACAGCAAACAUAAUAUCAGGUCUACUUGCGGUUAAAUAGAGUAGGCUUCCGAUCAUACCUCUAUAUUGCUUUUCAUCCACAUGAUUACCUUCUUCAUCUUUGUCAAGCUUUGUAGAAGUGCACAUUGGAGUUCCAACUUGCUUUGAGUCCUCCAUGCCAAACCUUUUCAGCAACUCCUUGGUAUAUUUUGCUUGAUUUAUAAAAAUUCCCUCAAGAGCUUGAUGUAUUUGAAGUCCAAGGAAGAAAUUUAAUUCUCCCAUCAUACUCAUUUCAAAUUCACUUUGCAUAGUGGUGGAAAAAUCCUUCUCGGAUGGAUCACCAAUUAUAAGCUCUUUUGGAUGAUUUUGGCUGAAUUUCCAAGCCUUGGGAAGAUCUUUGAGUGAAUCAUCAUUUUUGUCUUCAUCUUCCUCUUCUUGAUCAUUAUGAACUUCAUUUUCCAUUUCAGUUGCUGCUGGUUUAGAACUUCCUUCAUUUCCAAUUGACAGCUUUUCCAUUCCAACAUCACCUAUUCCAAUUGUUUUAGCUUUCACAUCAUCACCAAAUGUCACUUUUCCACUUGAUCUUGAUUUCAGCUUUAUGAACAAAGAGGGAUCACCGGUCAUAUGCCUUGAACAACCGCUAUCAAUGAACCAUUUGGACUUGUGUGAGCAUUUUUCCUCAUUAUCUCCAAUAGCCAUGAAGGCCAUUUGAGCUGAUUCUUCCUCUUCUUCAACUUCCCUUUCAGAGUUGCAUUCAUUCCAAGUAAUCUGGAAGUUGUUGAAUCUUGGCUUUCGAUCAGCUUUUCCAUCUUUCAUUUUCUUCAUGGGGCAUUCGUUUGCAUAGUGUCCAGGCUGUCCACAUUCAUAGCAUUUGUCCACUUGCUUCUUGUUGAAUUCUUGUUUUCCUUUGUUCCUUGCAUUUGAUGAAUAAUUUUGGAAUUGAUUGCUAGGUCCUCCCUUUCUGAACUUCCUUUAUUCAAGAUUCUUUUGAAACCUCUUGUGAUGAGAGCAAGAUCAUUAUCAUCACCAUCCGAAUCUUCAUCAUCCAAGUGAGCUGGAUCAUCUUCACUUUGAGUAGUCUUUAGAGCAAUAUUUCUUUUUGCUCUAGCAUCCUCUUCCUCCUGCACUUUAGAUUUCAGUUUCAACUCAUAAGAGGUUAGUGAGUUAAUGAUAGAUUCAAUAGGCACAGAACUUAAAUCCUUAGCCUCCUCUAUUGCAGUCACUUUAUUUUCCCAUUCUUUGCCCAAUGCAUUGAGAAUUUUUCUGUUCUUCUCUCCCAAGGUGUACUCUUUGCCCAACACCUCGAGAUCUUUGAUCAAGUCAGUGAACCUGCAAAACAUUUUGUCAAUAUCCUCAAGAGGUUCAAUCUUAAAAGAUUCAUACUUUGUGACCAAGAUGGCCUUUCUCUGUUCUCUCACAUUGUCACCACCCUCAUGGAUUUCUCUUAACUUAUCCCACAUUUCUUUGGCUGAUUUACAGCCUUUCACUCUAAUUGAUUCAUUUGAAUCUAAGGCACUAUAAAGAACAUUCAUGGCCUUGGCAUUCAAUGUGAGGUUAGUCCUGUCUUGAGCAUUCAUUUCAGCUCUCAUUUUUGGCCGAAGCAGCCCUGUAUCUGCAUCAAGAAAGUUAGCUUCAUGCGGUCCUUCACUCACAAUAAACCACAGUUCAAUAUCAAUAGAUUGCAAAAAAAUAAUCAUCCGUUCUUUCCAGCUAACAUAGUUGGAGCCACUGAACAUGGGAGGCCUAGUAACAGAUUGCCCCUCAACAAACAUAGCAUGACUGGUUGUCAUCUUUACUCCAAGCCGUUAGAGCUUAAUCUCAAGGAGACCAAGCUCUGAUACCAAUUGUAAGUCCCAAAGACAACAAGAGGGGGGGUGAAUUGGGUUAUUCAAAAUCUUAAUCAGAUUUAGGCAAUUUUUGCUAAAUGAAAAUUUACCUUCUUUUCUAGUAAUGAUCAACCAAGUAGAUUAGAAGACAAGAGCAAUAUUGAUCAGAAACACAAGUAUAGACAAGCAAUGAGAAUUUUAUUAAACAGAAAAGUAAAUUGGGGAAUCAAACCAAGUGUCUACCAAGCUAUCCUCAAACUUGAAGACCACACACUAGGAAGAGCAACUUCUCUUUGAUGGAAGACGAUCAACUAGAUGUACAAUGGAGGGAGCACUUCCUCCUUGCCCUAAGCCUCACUUAGUCAAGCUAAGAAGUUUUACAAUCACUCUGAAAACCCUCAACAAAGCUACACUAAAGAUCCUUUCAAUCACAAAAGAAAUGCUCACCAGAAAUUCACACCACUUUAAAACAAAUCUAGCUUUGGAGACUAUUUUCUAACUAAAAUAUCUCUUGAGAUCUUGUAAACAAAGUGUGCAAAAGUCCUUACUUCGUUCAGACCAGUUUGAUUUUAAAGGGAACCAGAAAUGGGCUUCAUCAAUGCUUCCAACGGAUAGAAGGCAGCUGAAGAGUCAACUAGCCGUUGGGGCUGUCGGACGUCCGACGAUCAAAUCAUCGUCCGAACCAAUCGUCCGAUGGCAUCCAAGUUGACGUUCGGACGUCCGAUGCGUCUUGAUCGUCCGACACCGCAGCGUCCGAUCGUAGGCAGAGAGUUGGCAAGUCAGCUUGGAAUUUUUCGGACGUCCGAUGCGGUUGAUGAGCGUCCGAUGGCAAGCGUCUGAUCCUUCCGGACGUCCGAUGCUUCCUCACGAGCGUCCGACAGAGCUUCUUCUUGAUGCUCUUUAUCCUUUCGGACGUCCGACAGAUUCCUUUCGGCCGUCCGACGUGAGUAUCCUGUUUUUGCUUCUUCUUUUGGUUGAAAUGCAUUUCAUGACCUAUUCAUACCUGAUUCUUUGAUAUGUAAAGACACUUAUAAUCGAAGAAGGUUAGAUACAUUUCAAAAUACCAAGAAUAGCAAAAUUGUCAUACUUAAAGGACAGUAUCUUUGAUUGGAACAAAACAAUGACUAAAUUCAUUCAUUUUAUUCCAAUCUUGUUUGCCACAUCCAAAGCAACGUAGUCAGGAGAUAAACGAACAUAUGCUUUCUUUGUUCCUUCAGACCUGAUCAAAGUGUUCACUUUCUUGGUUAGUAUAAACAUUUCAAAUUACUUUGUGAUCAUCAAAACCAAGAAUAACAGAAUGAAAACUUGUGAAGUACUUAACACUAAAGUUGCAAAAAAAAAAAAAAAAAAAAACCGGUGAACUGGUUGGACUGUUCGGACCGCGAACCUGCCGCCUCUCCGGUUCGCUAGCCGGUCCGAGUUUAAAAACAUUGGCCGACACUGGUUGCCCAUCUUCAACCACCACCAACACUGCUUUUCAAGAUCAAUUCUUGCCCAACACUCAUUUUAUUCGCUUGAGUCAUGAUUAUGGCAUCAUUUUUCAUCAGUUUAAACCCUUUGACGAUACAAAAACAAGGUCACAAUUGAAAUUUUGAUUUGAAAAUUUGAAACUUUCGGGAUUGCCUCCUACUAUGGGCUUGUCUCAUACUCGGGCAUAUGCCUAAACAAAUUCAUCAACCAACACUCACUCUGCCAUUGGGGCACCCAAUCAACCCCUUUAUAACAAUUUUGAAGACACACAAUACUAGGGUUGGACAAAAAUACCCGUUAACUCAAAAAUCCAUCAUAUUCGAUUCGAUUCGAUUCAACAAAUAGGGUAUCCGAUGUGCAUUAUUUGAUUAGGUCAAAAGAGGGUUAGGUAAUUACUUAUAUGCGAUGCAAGGUAGGGUAUUAAGAAUCCAUGGGUAUCCAACGCAUCACACAAAUAUAUUUUUUAUUUUUUAUUUUUAUACACAUACUACAAAAUAAUACUUUUGGGGCUAAAUAAGUAAUUUUAUUGAAGAAGCUAUAUUAUAAAUAUGAAAAUUAUAGUUUGUUUAUAAGAUUCAUUUAUAGAGGUCGUGAUCUUUUUUUCUUUUAGGAAAGAGUUUAAUUAAUGUAGAAUAUAUACUUUUAAAAAGGUACUAUUUAGUUGAAAUUUUCAUUGAUUUUGAAUUAUUUUAAUUAUUUUCUUUUUCUUGUAUUCUCUUCGCAUAUUUGUUUUUUGGUAGGAGACUUUUUUUGAGAAAAAAAUCUUUAUUAAGUCUUAGAUAAAUAUUCAUAAUACAAAAUUAAAUUACUAUAAAUUAUUUUUUUUUAAAAUUAAAUGAUAACCAAGGCGACACAGGUACCUGUUGAGCCAACCCUACCUUAACGAAUACCCGUUCAUAUGUGGGAUGGAUAAGGGUCAAAAAAUAACUGACCUGCAAGGUGCAGGUCUAGUUAGCCAAAUAAUGCAUAGAACAUGUACUACUCAACCCAUACUCACCCCUACCCAAAACAAAUCUUAAUAAUCAUAAAAUAGCAACCAGAACAUGCAAAAUCCAAUUUUCAAAUUUCUCCUCAAGAUUUAGCAUCAAAUUUUACAAAAAUUACACAAAAACAAUCCAAUCAACAAAUAAAUACUCAAGCACUGAAUUGACAUUAUACUGUAUUUGUGCAGCACCGAAUUGACAUUAUCUGACUUGUAUGUAUGGCGAAAUAGAGGAACUAUGGAGAGGAGGGGGAGGAGGGAGAAGGAUGCUGAGAGUAAGGGAGGAGAUGAAUCGGAAAAUUUAGAUAUUUUUUCUUUUUAUUUUUCUAUAUUUUCUUUUAACCGUAUUUGUAGGUAACUUGCACCAAAACAGCCUUAUUCUCUUAGUACUUUUUUGCCUUUUUAUAUAACACAGGUGCAUUAACGCACAACAGAAGCACCCUAUCAAUCUAAGAUCCCAGCCUGCUUGUAGCUUUCGACAGAGUCAACAAGAGUUUCUUCCACUGGCCUAUAUCUCCAGCCCAGCCUCUCCAAUUUUUCUGAGCUAAUAUUCCAUCGGCUUUGAUCCUUCACCUCUAUGAGUCUGCGAAGAAAUGAGUUAUAUCAAGAAAAUAUGCAGACAACAUAAAUGGUUCUUGUAGAGACUCGUAGAUGCCACACUUUUGGAAAUGGAAAUCAUGACGGACAUGAACAAACAAGAAAAUCAGGACAAACGGGGUGUCUGAAAAAUGAGACAAUUAAUUUCAAAGAUGGUAAUCCACCUCUUAGGGUACUUGUAGUUGGCAUAGUUUUUCCUCAGAGUUUCCACCAUAUCUUUUGUCGUGGUGACGUGAGGUGAACAUAUGUACCGGCCUUCAGCUUCAGGUCUCCCGUAAACCAAAAGCAGUGCCUCGGCCACAUCACGCACAUCUACUGUGUUGUAGAAUUUGUUUUCUGUUUCUUCACAUCCUUCUGUGCAGCCAAGGAGUAAAAAGAAGAGCAGUUUAAUAUCAAAAAAUGAUGUUAUCUAAGCUAAUCUCUGAGUUCUUUACUGCAUAUAUGAAACAUACAAUCCCUUUGACAAAUCGUACCGCAAUAAAUUCAUGCGACUUUUGAACUGCAAAGGACCUACAGGUCGCAAUGUUAACCUUUUAUAUCUUCAACUACGUCCCAAAGCAAUCAAGCAAACAGUUGAAAGAUGCAACCUCUUCAGAUGUUAUGCCUAUUGUCUUUCUCACCUUCCAUUAGGUUCUUAAGUUUUUUUUUUAGAGCACUUUGCAAGUUUUCAGAUCAUUGCCAAAAUCAUAAAACUAUUAGAAUGGCAGAUAGCUUACAGGUUUAGAAUCUGAAAACCUCUCAGCUGGCUUGAAGAUUAAAAAAAAUGCCAAAAGGACGGCAACGCAGUUAUCUCAAUGAAUAUAGUUUCAUUCCUAGAAGUUCAACCGCAACCAUGUUGACGAAUUUUGUGAAAUUUUAUUGACAUCAAUUCAUUUUGUAUCAUGAAAAUAACACUGGAAGCCAGAAGCAUAAAAAUGAUGGGUUACUUGGAAAAUUAGUUGAUCAACCGCAUGAAGAAAUUCAAUUGCUUGACCUUUGACGGACCAAAAGAAAAAAUGCUAAGCUUUAGAGUUCAUCAGAGUUCUACAGUGACAUCCAUGCACCAAUAUCAAGGAAAAAACUGUAUCACUUACGACCACUUCCAUGCAGAAGGUGAAAGAAAGAAAGAAAAUAUAUAACAUAACAGAAUAGUUCUCUAAUUGAUUUGAUUACGGGCAUUAGUAAAUCACCUUUCAAGAGCUUUAUGAGAAUUAGGCUGCUAGCAUUUGCGUCAUGCUGAAGCAUGGGGCCAAAAACAUAGGAUGGGCAUACAGUUAAAACAUCAAGGCCAGUUUCUUUUGCAUAUUGUAAAGCCUCUCUUUCAGCAACCGUCUUGGAGUAACAAUACCAGAUCUGGAGCAAUAUUAGUACAGGAUGGUCAACCAAAAACAGAUAGUAAUUGCUAAAAUCUGAUUUCUCAGCAAUCUUAGAAGCAGUAUGAAUAAGACAGUGAAUUUUCUGCACAAUUACAAAACCAAGGUGCAACUGUAAAAAGUGUAAUUAUGUUGAUGCAUACAUUUGUUGCCUUGCAGUAUUCUCCGUCUGACCAACACUUCUCAUCUAUAAUUUCACCUUCAGACAGAUUAGGACUCAUUACAACAGCAGCAAGAGAGGAAACCGCUACAACGCGCUUGACAUUUGCUUCAGAACAAGCCUUCAGUACAUUAAGGGUACCCUUUACAGCUGGCUCAACAAGUUCAACCUGCAAGAAAUCAUCAUGUUGGCAGAGGAACUAGCACUCAACUCUUCAUGCUGAACCGCUUGUUUUUGCGUAAAAUAUAUCCAGAUAGACGACUAAGUAGUGUCAGUUAACCUGACAUCUUUAGAGUGAAUGAGUACAUAGUUAAGAACUCAUGACUGCUUAUGCCAGCGAUGAACUUGGUUACCAGCUUAGGUUAUUAUUAUAUGCAUUUAUUCACUCAUUUCAACAUUUGAAAAAUCCUUCCACAAAUAGAUAGAAAGGCAAAGAGCCCCAGUGACUACAUAAGUUCGUACAAAAGCUUUAACAAGAUCCUAUUUUAAACGAUACCCAACUUUAGCUCAUGUUUGGCAAAACGCAAUAAAAUAUCAUCUGUUAUGACAAAAGCUGUCUCUCAUAAACAAAAGAUAUGUUAAAGAUGUUAUUCUGGGGAAACCAAAAGGAUAAAAUAUCAUAGCAAUUGAAACGAUUGAAAAUGGUCUUGCCUCAGGAUUGGGAACAGAGCCUGAAGGAACAGGACUAGCUACAUGAAAUACGCCAUCACAACCCCUGAUGGCUGCAGAAAUGGAGUUGUAAUCCAGCAAAUCAGCCUUAAAGAGUUUCAAAUUCUCAGCUGCUUUGUCAAGUUUCUUCAGAUGAACAUAUUUCUCAUCCUCUACAAAACAUACACAGCAAUGCCCACAUCAUCAAAUAGCGCAGCACACAAUUCACAGCAGGUGCUUUUAUAUAUUUCUUCAAUUAAACAUAUUUCUCACCCUUCACAAAACAUUUACAGCAAUUCCCACUACAUCAAAUAGGAAACAGCCAAUUGACAGCAGGUAAAAAAUCAAUUGUUGUAUUAAAGGGAAUGAAACAAAUUAUACAAGACCCAAAACCCAAAAAAAAAAAAAGAGCAGUAAAUCAGGAAGGAAGGGGUAUGAGGAUGAAAUACGUACCGGGGUUUCUGAGGGUGGCAUGAACAGUAUAGUGGCGGGAAAGGAGUAGCUUGACUAACCAAGAUGCCAGGUAUCCCCCUGCUCCUGUAACACACACUGUCCUGUCCUUCUCAGCCUCCCACGCUGCCAUGUCUGAUUGCUUACUAGUAGCAGUAGUGGGAUUAGUAUUUUAGCACCAAAUUCACUAUAGACUGAUCAAGAAGGUGGGUGAAGUUCUAUUCUUUUCUUUUUGUGAAUAUUAAUUCUUUUUUGGUUGGACAAGGCAGAGAUUUCGUCGAUCCUUAAGGAGAGGGCGAUUGGAGGAGGAAGAGGAGGAGGGGGAGGAGGUGGUGGUGGAAUUUGAAUGGAUAAGUCCUGUAUGUAGGAGCUAGCUGAUUCCAGCAGUCUCUGUCAAUACUAGUAGUGAUCAGCAGCUAGCAGGCGUGGGGGCUUGUAUAUAGCAGCAGACCAAAGGUGCUGUUGUGAUUUGCAUGGCUCAUAGAUGACGUAGGGUUUCAAGGUUUCAGUGGGGUGUGGGGUGGUGGGGGGGGGGGAACGGUAAUAAUGGUAAAUGUAUGUCAAAUGAAAUUUGAGUGUAUUAUUGAGAGAUUUCUAGCAAUCUGUUAACAAAAUUUAUUUUAUCUAAAAAAGGAGUAAAAGAGCGUAAUAUUAUUAAGUUAUAAUAAAAUUUGAUGCAUAUAUCAAUAAAAUUAGAUAUUCUGUGCAUUUGAAUACAACAGUAUACUAUGAUUGUACCAUUGUCAGAUGUUUAACAAAUUUAUUAAUGGAUAUUAAAGUGUUAGAUUUUAUCUCAUAUUUUCCCAAUUUAUGACUCAGAUUUUAAAUUGAUUAACUCAUUAGAGAAUAAAAAACUCAUCCCGUUGCUAAACUGGACAAGUAACAAAUACUCAUGUCCAUAAUGGGGUUUUGCUUCUUAUUGAAAUUCUAUAAUGUGAACCAAACCCUAAAUCCCUCCAUCCUGAAAUAUAAACUAAACUACUCAAUAUUCAAAGCAAAUUCCGCUCAGUAAAAGUUUGUUCGAAUUUGAUUUGCAAACUAAUUUAAUCAAGUUACAAUAAAAUUUUAUGUUUAAAAAAAUUUUAACUGCAGCUCGAGCAUAGCUCGAUAAUCAUAAAAUUGGAUUUUAUAGAUAAAAAUUACUCGAAUUCGACUCAAUAAAAAUUCUUUUGAACUUGCCUCAGUAAAUAAACGAGUCAAUCCUAAAUACUAUCUCAAAAUUCUUUAAAAUAAAUAAACAAGAUACUUGGUUUGAUUAGACACAUUCACAGCCCUAUUUUUCAUAUGCUCGAUAAUAACAUAUUUCUGCACUGGACCAGAUCAGGAAUAGGUAUCUAACUCGUUGAGUUUUGGGACAUGUUUAUCAUUUUUUAAAAUCUUUUUUUUAUUUCUUGUUUUUUAGGAAAAAAACUAAAGGAUGUGUUUGGAUUAGAGACCAAUGAACUUUUUUCCCCCCCGUGCCUAAUUGCAGAUUAAAAGGAAGAACUAGUUCUUAGAUAACGUUUCUAAGUACAACUCUAUUACUCAGAAAACUGGUCUACCUGACUGUGGGUUUUCCUUUAGUCAUGCCAUUUUGUCAUUAGUGAUGAUUGCUUCUUCUAAACCUUAGCUCACUGCACACGCCAAGCGUAUGAAAGCCAAACUUAAAUUGAACUCGUCAAGUUGCAAAAUAAGAAAAUUUGGGUUACGUUUGGUAUGAGUAGUAAGGGAAAAUUUAAUUCCUAUAUUUAUGAUUCUUGACUAAUGUGAUUGUAGAAUUGUUGACUGAAAAUAAAAGGAAACUGACAAAGAAAUGUCAUGUGAUUGCAUGUGCAUGGUUAAAACAAUACAAAUUAUAACCAAUUUGAUCCAUUGUUUUUAAGGUUUUGAUCGUUUUGGUUCCUUAGUAUCAUGACAAGCCAAUUUUGCCUCUUAAAUUUAAAAAUAUGGUUAGGGAGGUCCUUUUGAUAGAAAUUUGAGUCGCUAAUGAAGUGAAGAGACCCUUUAAUGCCUUUCGUGUCACAUCCGUCUCAACAGUAUAUUAAAGUUUCAAAAAAUCUCAAAUAAGUCAUAAAACUCAUAAAAAUAAACCCAAAACUCUUUAUCGUGAAGAAAAUAAAUUUUUGUAACUUUAAAAUAAAUCAAACACAAAACUUUAAACAUAAUUAUGGAUUUUGUGCCAUUUCCGAGUUGAAAUAUCAUGAAAAAGAGUACCUAAAGGUGAAAGAAAAAAUGCAUAAAUUUAUGUUUGACAUAGUAUAAAAAACUUUUAUUUCAUUAUAUUGAAGAGUUAUGGGUGAGUUUAUAGUUUUAGGCUUUUGUUUGAAUGCUUGGUGUUUUCUGCAAGAUGGUACGAAGUACCCUCUAAGGUCUCUUAACUCCGUUAACAACUCUAAAUUAGCCUUGACCAAAUUCUUAAAAUUUAAGAAAAAUUGGUUCGCCAUAAUACAAAGGGACUAUAUUGUUUGGAGAUAAGAUACCAAAUUAAUUAAUUUUUAUUCUUUGCGUAAUUCAAGUGAUUUCUCCGUUAGCUUCCCACAAUUUUGCUGCAUUAGUCUCUUUUGAUGGAGAUAGAGCACUAAAUUUGUUGAUAUGACAGACCAUAUUGGCUGAGACUUCAAAGAUAGAUGACCAAAGCAACAACAUUUCCUAAGUAGUUCAUGAAUCAUUUUCAUUGUAUAGUUAGAUAUGAUAGAGAAGAUGUAUCUUUUUUAAAAAUGAAAGGAAAUAAUAUUAAGUUAUAGAUGAUUUCUUGAAUAAAAGGGCAAUAAUAUUAUUGUACUCACUUUUUUCAUUAUUUUUAACUUAGACUAGUUUUCAUGAGGGGUAAAAUAUACAUAUUUAAUGUUAAUGGGAGCAAAGUGUGAUUAUCCACUAAGUUUAGGGGACGCAAAGUGUUAUUAACCCUUUUUAUUCAUAAUAUAUAAUUUUGUAGACUCUCUCUCUUCUUAGGAUCCUCUCUAUCUUCUCUCUUCUCGCCACUAGUGAUCGUAAGGUUUCAUGGCAGCCCUUCAGCCAUCGGCUGAGGGGCAAGAAUUUUCCCCUACAAAAAAAAAAUCUUUUUCUCAGCUUUUCUCACAGCCGGCAACAUCUCCAAUCCAGAUUCGGCAGGCUUCUGUUUACAAGGGUGAAGCGGCGGUUAUAUUUUCCAGAAUAGAAGCGGACAAACUUGCAGCACCAUUUAGAUGGACUUUGGUUGGCAAAUUCUCUCAUGGACGACCUUCUCUGGAAGAUAUUCGAAAGUUUUUUGCCUCUUUAAAUUUGAAAGACCAAGUCUCCAUUGGAUUACUGGACUAUAGGCAUGUCCUUAUUAAAUGUACAGCUGAAGCAGAUUUCAAUAGAAUUUGGACAAGAGGAAUUUGGCAGUUGGGUAAACAUCCAAUGCGUGUGUUUCGAUGGACCAGGGAAUUUCAUGUGCAUAGAGAAUCAUCUCUAGUACCGGUUUGGGUAAAUCUUCCAGCUCUACCUAUUCAUUAUUUUGACAAACAUUCUUUGUUUUCCAUACUGUCUCCAGUAGGAAGACCUUUGUUUCUAGAUUCGGCAACGGCUGCUGGGAUUCGUCCUAGUGUAGCCAGGGUGUGCGUAGAGAUAGAUGUUGCGAAGCUUGUUGUGCCAAGGGUGUGGGUUGCUGUCGAAGGGGAAUCAGGUUUUUGGCAACGUAUUGAGACAGAGAAUCGUCCUCCGUAUUGUUCUUUUUGUUCAAGAUUAGGACAUUCUCAUGAGCACUGCAACAAGAAUUUGAAAAAAGAUGGGUCUCGGCUGCAACUGAACAACCAGCAAAACCCAUACAUAGAUAGAAAUCAGAUGAUUACUCAUCAACCUGGGACUAAUCAAACUGAUUUGGAGAAUAAAGAGGCAGCAAAUAUAUCCAAUGUUAUUGCAAAUGAAAUGAUAGUGAAUGGAGUUGCUGCUACUGCGAAUGAAACUGUGAUAAACGAGUCUACUUCACAGGAAAUUUCAACCACUGCUACGGUGAAAAAUGGGAUAAAAACUUUAGCAGCAAAGGCCAUGGUUGCUGAACCUGCCGUGCUAGUCGUGCAAAAGGAAGUAAAAAAUCUGCAACACUGCAUUAUUGAUGAUGAUCCUGCUAAUGAAGAAGGAGUAGUAACCCAUUUAGAAAUUUCAGAUGUCAACGUAAACAUGGAGACAUGUAAGGUGAUGAAUACGGUUUUGCAUGGGGAACAUGUAGCAAUGGAAAACCAGCUGGAGAAACAUCAUGGCAGUCAAAGUGAAGGGUCCCAUGUCCUCAAAGAGAAGCCUUUGAGCACCGAACAACAUCAUCUGGAUGAGAAUGCUUUAACAUUGGCACAACAGAAUCUGAGCGACAAAGCUACAACAUUUACACAAGCAAAUCAGGCCCACAACAACGCAAGGAGUGACCAUGAGCAAUUGGCCGACAAAACCAAUGUUGAACUGCAGCUGCUGGCCGACAAUAAUGUUUUGGAGAAUCUCUAUGUUGAAUUGCGAGGGGUGGAGGAUGAAGUUUCUACACAACAGUUGGUAGAAGCAAAUCAAAUGCCUACUAAUGCUGGAAAUCUGUCCCCCCGAAUUGGUGUCCUACAAGAAAAAUUGCUGGAAUCAUCAAUGAAUGGCCUAAACAUUGAUCAAAUAGGUGAGGCUGGUGGUGACUUCCGACAACCGCACAGAAAGGGUAUGCGGGCUCCAAUCCCAUCUGACAGACAGUUAAGGUCACAGACAUCAUCCAAAAAUUCAUUCCAGGUUCUUUCUUAUGAUUAAUGGAUUAUUUUGGAAUAUUAGAGGGAUAGCAAAAGCACCAAACCUAAGAAGAUUGAUUAAAUUAGUUCGGAUUUAUCAUGUUCAUUUUGUUGUGAUUUGUGAGCCAAAACUAGACGUAUCUAAAAUCGAACUCAUUCGGUUACGUCUAUCUUUUGAUUAUGUGUUUGUUAAUUGCUCUAGCGAUAUUUGGGUUUUCUAUAAUAAUCCUUUUGUUUGGUCGAUCGUUGGUAGUUCGGAUCAACAUAUUUCUCUAGAUGUUCAAAAUCCAUUACUACCAAGUUCCAUCAUUAUGUCUUUUGUUCAUGCAAAGUGCACAGUGGAUGAGCGUAAAGACUUAUGGACAUCAUUAUUACAUGAUAAGCCUACUUUACUUCCUUGGUGUAUUGGAGGUGAUUUCAACGUUAUAUUAGCAGCACAUGAAAAGCGAGGGGGGCGUCCAUUUGCUAUAGCGGAAGGAGUGGAUUUUAUGAAUUUCAUGGAGGAAGCUGAGGUCUUUGAUGUCGGUUUUUCAGGAUCUAAAUUCACAUGGUCUAAUAAUCGACGGAGUAGAGCUCAGAUUUCAAAAAGGUUGGACAGAUUUUUAGUCAAUGGAUCUUGUUUGGAUUUUUCAAAUGACAUUUCGGUACUUCACUUGGCAAGACACCCCUCCGAUCAUGCACCAUUGAAGGUUUCUUUUGCAACUCGGUCAGAUAACAAACCUCGGCCGUUCCGAUUUCUGAAUGUUUGGACUUCCAAACCAGAUCUCUUGGAAGUGAUUCGCCAUGUUUGGAAACAAGAUGUGGGUGGGCCUCCGCUACGCGUAUUGUGUUCUAAAUUAUUGGCAACAAGGAGAGCUAUUCAAUCAUGGAACAAGCAACAUUUUGGGAAUAUUUUUGACGUUGUCCGUUCUUCAGAAAUGGCGGUUCAACGAGCUGAGGAGUUGCUAGACCACGAUUAUUCCGAAGAGUGUCAAAUUGAGCUUAAUAAGGCACAAGCAGAAUUGCGGUAUUCAAUGUCAAUUGAAGAACAGUAUUGGAGACAGAAGGCCAGGGUCAAAUGGCUUCGUCAUGGAGAUAGGAAUACAAGAUAUUUUCAUGCGGUAGUAAGGCAGAGAAGAGCUCAAGGAAUGAUACACCGCAUCAAAAAGUCCAAUGGUGCGUGGGUGGAAAAGGACGAUGAUAUAGCAAGUGAGGCAACGGCAUAUUUCAAUGAUCUUUUCACGGGCUCUUUGGAAUCAUCUACUGAUAUGCUACAUUUAAUUCCGCACUUGGUUACGGAAGAGGAUAAUGGAAAACUGGAAGCAUUACCUUCAAUUGAGGAGGUAUAUGGAGUCAUAAAGUUAAUGGAUGGAGAAAGUGCAGCUGGCCCAGACGGUUUUACAGGCAAAUUUUUUACAUUUGCUUGGGAAGUGAUCGCUCAAGAUGUUUACAAUGCGGUACUGAGCUUCUUCUGUGGGGCGGAGCUACCACGAUUCAUCACUUCUACUUCAAUUAUACUAAUUCCAAAGACGCCAAAUCCUCAGGAAUUCUCUCAAUUCAGGCCUAUCAGUCUAUGCAAUUUUUUCAAUAAAGUGUUAUCUCGGAUUUUGACAGACAGGAUGGCUUGUUUACUGCCAAAAAUCAUUUCCCCACAUCAGACAGGUUUUGUGAAGGGCCGCAAUAUAACUGAAAAUUUUCUACUAGCUCAAGAGAUGGUAUCAAGCAUGGGGAAAAAGAAUAGAGGUGGAAAUGUUUUAAUGAAACUAGACAUGUCCAAGGCAUAUGACCGGAUGUCAUGGGGUCAUAUUAUUAAUAUUCUAAGGAGGUUUGGAUUCGGGGAAAUAUUUAUUGACCUUAUAUGGCGGUUACUCUCUAAUGUCUGGUUUUCUAUCAUUAUAAAUGGUUCCUCCUACGGUUUCUUCAAGUCUUCGAGAGGUCUUCGUCAGGGAGACCCAUUAUCUCCUGCAUUAUUCAUUAUAGGAUUUGAGGUUUUAUCUAGAGGACUGAAUAACCUCACCAUGCAAUCGAGGUUCCUGGGUUUCAAAGUUCCAUAUCGGUGUCCGACUAUUACUCACUUGGCAUUUGCGGAUGAUGUUCUUAUAUUCACAAAUGGAUCCUCUUCUUCUCUUAAGGCAAUCAUGCAGGUGUUACAGGCAUAUCAAAGGUGUUCGGGGCAGCUCAUAAAUGUGCAAAAAAGCUGUUAUUUGGUCCACCCAUCGAUGCCACCGGCGAGACGAAGGGUGAUUGAACGUAUCACUAGGUUUGCCUGGCAGUCAUUUCCGAUACGUUAUUUGGGAUUCCCUCUUUAUUCUGGAAGAUGCAAAUCUUCAUAUUUUGGAGAAGUGUGUCAGUCUAUUCUAGGGAGGAUUUUGUCAUGGAAAUCAAGGCUGCUUUCCUUUGGAGGCAAAAUAGUUCUAAUCAAGCACGUGUUGGCUUCUAUGCCAAUGCAUCUAAUGUCAGCUGCUGUGAUCCCGGCCAAGGUGUUCAAAAUUAUAGAAAGUUCGUGCUCGAACUUCCUGUGGAGAUCAUCAACCGACGACUCGAAAUUCCACUGGAUACGAUGGUCUCACUUGUGUUACCCGGUUGAGGAAGGGGGAGUCGGGUUCCGGAGACUACGAGACGUAUAUCAAGCUUUUUCAUGCAAGCUUUGGUGGAAUUUCCGAACAGGAUCAUCCCUGUGGGCAUCGUUCAUGAAAGCAAAAUAUUGCGGAAGCCUUCAUCCUUGUCAGAUCGAACUCAGAACAACGGACUCGGCAAUCUGGAGAAGGAUGAUCAACGUAAGUAGACAAGUGGAGCUCUCAAUGUUAUGGGAUGGAGCUUGUCAUUUUUGGUAUGACAACUGGUUGGGAAGUGGUGCGUUAUUUCUACAUGCAAAAGUUAUCCCAAAUUUGUCAUUCCAAAAUUUUAUCACCAAUGGUCACUGGAAUAUAAAUCUCUUACAUUCGACGAUGCCAAGCGAGAAACUUACUUCCAUUUUGGCACACCCGGUACCAGAGGAAGGGAGGGAAGUUGAAGUCUUUUGGAUGCCCACGAUAUCUGGUAAGUUCUCUCUCCAAUCGGCUUUUGGGGACGUCAGGCAGACCCGACACAAGUCAAUGGCUUUUACUUACAUUUGGCAUCUUCAGAUUCCUUGGAAAGUCUCAUUUUUCAUGUUAAGAUUGUUUCUGAGAAGACUACCAUUACCAGAUAGGUUAGGUAAGCUUGGCUUCCAACUUCCCUCAAAGUGUUUUUGCUGCUCCUCGGCAUCUGUGGAGUCUAUUGAGCACCUAUUUGCCAACGGACAUAUUGCCUCGGUAGUUUGGAACUAUUUUGGAGGCCUAUGUGGAUUCAGGUGUCCAGGAUCUUUUUUGCGUCCUCGCAUCGUAGGAUGGUGGCUACGUUUACAUGACUCUGAGACACGACGACUUAUCGACCGCAUUCUACCUAGUGUACUUUGCUGGCAGAUUUGGAAAGCAAGAAAUAAAGCAAUGUUUGAGGGUGUCCAAAUGCAAUCGUCUGCUAUUUGUAAGAACAUUUUCUCAGAAAUACAGUCUAUGGUGGGGAUUCAUUUCAAACAAGAACUUCAAUUGCAGUCCUUUCAUCAUUUGUAUGAUCGAUCGCAUGUAUCUGUCGGUAGAAUUGCAUAUAAAUUGGUUCGCUGGGAAAUAAAGGAGACAGGGAGAUUGAUACUCAACACGGAUGGAUGCUCUAAAGGUAAUCCAGGAGUGGGUGGAGGUGGUGGAGUUCUCCGAGAUUCAUUUGGCGUACCAGUGAUUGCUUUCUCGGCUUAUCUUGGACAAACUACAUCUCUCCGUGCAGAGACUUGGGCCCUCCUUAUUGGUCUUCAAACAUGUAAAAAUAGGGGCUUCGAAAAUAUAAGGGUUCAAUCAGAUUCAUUGCUUUUAGUUGAGAUCAUUCAGCAGCGUAUUCAAUGUCCAUGGGAGAUUCGAAGGGAAAUCAGACAGAUUUUGAAGCUCUUGGAAGAUCCUGCUCAUUUAUCACACUGUUAUCGAGAGGCUAACACAGUUGCUGACGCUUUAUCCAAUGUCGGAACAUCUCAUCCCCACCAACAAGUCAAGAUUUAUGACAGCUUCACUAUGCUCCCAAGGGUAGCUCGUGGGGCAAUUUUUCUAGACAAGUUGGGUUUGCCCUCAGUUCGGAAAAUUAGACGUCUGUAAGGAAAAAUAUUGUGUAUAUCUCUUUCAUUAAUAAAAUAAAAAAGUUCAAAUAAAAAAAAAAAAAAACUUAACUUACGCUUUAACCGUUAGGAUUUUCUUACAUUCAUUCGACAACUCAGUAACCAUCCUAUUGUAUAAUAACUAUCCUACACCUCAUCAAAGCCUGAUAAGAUGAAGAAAAUUUCAUUUCUGGCAUCUUAAUGCCUUACAUCCAGUAUUGAGGGAAAAAAAUUAGUCGCAUUACAGUCUGAGAAUUUGAAUCCAGUAAUUUCAUGGUCUGACGUAGUCACCCAAGUAGGUUCUCCUUAAAACAGGGUCUUGAGGCAAAAUACACAUCAAAUAGGUCAUCUGUCGAUCUUUGAUUAUGUCUACACGUUCAAAAGAUAGGCUUAAUCAUAUUAGUGGAAAUAACUCAUAGUUCAUCAUAUAUUAAUUUCCUAUUCAAUUUAGUUUGAAUACAUGAUCAAUGUUAUCAUAUGCCAAAAAAGAUUGAGGAUACUUUUGACCUAGUUCUUUGCACUAACUUGAAAUCUACCAAUUGUUCUUUCUUUGAUGCACUUGCAAAAUCUCCUGCAAAAGUAAAAUAACUCAGUUGGUGAAUUUUGGCUAACUGAGAGGCCCUAUCUUCUUUUUACUUCUUUAGCACAAGCGAAGAAUGAAUUUAUGCAUAAUAACCGUGUGAUUCUAAUGAGAUAUGAUUUUUUUGGUUUUGCAUGCUGGUUAAACAAUUGUUCAAGCUCUUAUCUCGGUUUUUGAUACUUCACCAGUAUGUUGCUGCUUCAUUAGAAGAAUUUUCUAUUUUAUGACUGGCAAGUGAUUUUGGUAUCUUAGCAGUUCAUCGAUUUUGGUGCUUUGUUUACAAUUUAAUUGGCUUCAAUGGUCCAUACAUAUAGGAACUUGGAAUUUACCCUUUUAUUUCCUUUUGCAUGAGCAAAGAUUAGUAAUUUUUAAUCAUAAUUUUCGAUUCCUCUAUUCUGGCCAUAGUGAAGAAAUCUACCUUUUUGUACUUGUGUAUUUGCACACCAAACAUCAUUGGGCUGUCUACUUUUGACAUUAUUCUUGAAUUACUCAGUUUAGAAUGUGUAUUAGUUGCUGGAAGCAAAUGCAUCAUCGUUGGCAAUUACUAAACAGAAAAUAUGCAUGCCAUUACUAUUUUCACUGAAAUUAGCAUCUAACUUAUAGUGAUCUAAUUAAAGGUUAACUACAUUGGUUUUGACUAGAACUAAGAGAUCAUUAGCCCUUUUAUUUUUGGAUUUGCAUUAAUCCAGUAUCAUCAAACUUCUUCAAAUGGGCUCUUUAGCUACUAACCCCUUCAAAAAUAAUUUAGGCUUACGGUUCUGUUGAUGUCGCAAUUGCAGGAGGUUCAGAAGAUAACGAAAGGCUCAUCUAAGAUUUCUUAAGGUGUUUGGCUUAUAUCGCUAGAUUUACCUAAUCUAUUUUCAUCCUUCUCCGAUGUCAUUAUUGUUAAAGUUCAAUUCAUAAGUUGGUUGUGUUAGAAAAUUGGCUUAAUUUCUUUUUAGAUAGGUUUUUGUUUUGUGCGAAAGUAACUAGUUUUCUAAUUGGUUUUAGUUACUCGAAAUAGUAGCCAAGAAAUUUCUUAUUUUGUUUAGAAUUAGAAGUUAUUUCUUAUUUUGUACAAGUCUAGGAAUUAAAAUUAAUUUCCUGUUGUUAUUUGGAUUUUUUGACCAAAUAAUGUUUUUAUAAAUAUGUGGGUUGGCAUGCUAUAAAAGAAACACAUAAGGGCACACAAGGACGACAUGUAACCUUAUACAUAGGUGGUGAGAGAGAGUUCUUGGGAGAUGAGAGAUGGUAUACAAAGGUUGGACUUGAGUUCGAGUUGUAUUCUUGUAUAAGGUUUUUCUCUCAUAACAAAGAACAAGUUUCUCUCCGUGGACGUAGGUUCAAUGGAGUCAAACUACGUUAAAUAUUGUGUGUUGUUUAUCUUUCAUACUUGUGGCUUGUUUCUCAUUAAAUUAUUAUGUACUUGAUAUCUUAAUAGUUAUUUAUUCUGCAUUUAGUUCCUAACAAAUAGUAUCAGAACUUGGUUGCGAGAUUGGGCUGCUCACAAGCACUUGGAUCCCAACAAACUGAACAGUUGGAUCAAGAGUUUGGUUGUUCAAGGUUGGAUCCUAGUUAACUAUUGAUAUCAAGUAGGUUGGUGACUGUUACCAAUUGAACAAUUUAAUGGGCGGUAUCCUUAUUUCAAGAGUUUGGCAAAAAGCAUUGAUGGUGAAUGAUGAAAAGUCGAAAAGCAUAGAGAUACUUGACGGUGAAUCUAGGCAGGUGAUUCAAGAGUCAAGGAAAAGGUGGAAUCCAAUGUCGAUUUUGGACGUGAAUUGGUGGAGAUUUUCUCACAACUUCAAUGGUUGAUACUUCAUCCCGAUGGUUUUUAGAUUUCACUUAUGUUUUUUGAGUGGUACAGAACGUGUCCCAAAAAAACAAAGAGAUUUAAUUUCUAUGCGCCUGAAGACUCUGACAGUUACGAGUCUUUUGUUACAGGUGGAUUUUUGGAAACCACACGUGGCGAGAUAGUCCUGAGAAAGGGAAGAAGUACGAUGAUUUUACCACUUGGUUGCCUCAAUGAUUAAGGUUAGAGUUCACAGAAGGAGAUUUUGGGUUGCAAGUGGUGGUGAGAAAAAAUCCUGUAAAGGGAAAUGGUGAAUUGAGGCAUCUUCUCACAAAUCAACUAGAGGUUGUACUGGGUGUAAAUACACAUAUUCAUUUGGCGAUUAAAUUAAUUUGGUAUCAGAAUUGUAUUGAUUCGAGUGUGUAGUUCGGUACCAUAUUAUUUGGUAGUUGAAGGUAAAUAAUUGUUAAAAGAAAUUUUCGCCGAGAUGGAGAUUUGUUAGGAAAUUGACUUAAUUUCUUUUCAGACAGGUUUUUGUUUUGUGUGGAAGUAACUAGUUUCCUAAUUGGUUUUAGUUACUUGAAAUAGUAGCCAAGGAAUUUCCUAUUUUGUUUAGGAUUAGAAAUUAUUUCCUAUUCUGUACAAGUCUAGAAAUUAGAAUUGGUUUCCUAUUAUUAUUUAAUUUUUUGGCCAAAUAAUAUUCUCUAUAAAUAGAUGGGUUGGCAUACUACAAAGAGACACACAAAAGCACACAAGAGACGACAUGUAGCCUUAUACAUGGGUGGUGAGAGAAGAUUUUUAGGAGAUGAGAGAUGGUAUACAAAGGUUGAACUGGGGUUCAAGUUAUGUUCUUAUAUAGGAUUUUUCUCUUAUAAUAAAGAACGAGUUUCUCUCUGUGGAUGUAGAUUCAAUGGUGGAGCCGAACCACAUUAAAAAAUAGUGUGUCAUUUAUCUUUCAUGCAUGUGGCUUGUUUCUCAUUAAAUUGUAGUGGACUUGAUAUCUCAAUAGUUGUUUAUUCCACGCUUGGAUCCUAACAAACUGCUAAACCAAGAUUGAUGUAAUUGCGUCCUGUACUUGAGAUAAUAGAAAUAAUGAAAACAAGAGAGUUUGCAAUUCAAUUGAUUAAGGGAAGAACAGAGAAAAUCCCUGAAAAUGGGAAUUAAAGGAAACAAAGGAAACCCUAAAACUAGUUUCCAAGAACAAUUCUGUCGAAGACAGAAAACAAAGAAAAUAGUAUCAAAGGCUAUAUCGUUAUUUAGAAAACAAGAAGCACUUGAAGGUGAAUGUUGCAGAAAGUAGAAGAUCCCACUACAAUUUACUAGUUCAAGGAGCUAUAAUUAAGAAAGAAAGAAGAAACUCAGAGAAUUAGAGAUUGUUAUUGAUUGAUGAAUGAGUAGGAAGAAUGUAGAUGAAGAUGAUAAUCAAUUACAAGUAAUGGAAAUCGGAAAUCCAAGAACUGCCUUCAACUUACCACUCUCCUCUCUUUUAUUCGGCUACUACACUUGUCCAAGUCAGCUAAUUCAUUACAACCAACCGACAUACAAGAAUUAUAAGGAUUAUUCAUUAAGUCCCUAUCAUACUUGCUUUAUUACAAAAAAAAUAACCCUAUCAAUAAAACUAAGGUAACAAAUACUUCCCCCUCAGAGAAUCCUUGUCCUCAAGGAUUAAAUUCAGGAAAUUGUUGUUUAAGGUCAAACCAGAAUUCCCAGAUAGCAUCUUCAAGAAAAGAAUUGCUUCACUGCACCAAAACUUUUGUAGCAAGAGAGUUACCACAUUUCACCAAUUUCUGAUCAAGUAUGGCUAUAGGCUCCAUUAAUAAUUAUCCCUGUGUAUUGAUUGCAAAAGGAAUGUGUGAGGUAACUAGUGAGUGCCCACUUUCUUCUUUAGAAGAGAUACAUAAAAAAUAGAGUGUAUUUUUGCCAUAUUAGGCAGCUAAAGCUGAUAUGCAACAGGGUGUACUCUUUUGAUCGCUUGGAAAGGUCCAAAAAACUUAGAAGCUAACUUCUGACAAGAGUGUACCUUCAAAGAGUGUUGCCUCUAUAGUUGUAGUUUCACAUAUACCCAAUCUCUUGCCUAGUACUGUCUGUUAGACCUGUGUUGGUCAGCUUGUUGCUUCAUCCUAUUUUGUGCCUUGUGAAGGUUGUACUUUAAGUGAUGCAAAACUAUCUCCCUUGCUGCCAAGAUUCUAUCCACCACUUCCACUACUAAAUUCCCAAGUAGACAAGGCAUAUGCAGAGAUGGUGCAUGACCAUACACCACCUCAAAUUGGAUAACCUUAGUGGCAGCAUGAAAUUUGGUAUUGUACCAAUAUUCAGCCAAGGGUAACUAGAUAGACCACUGCUUUGGAAAAUCUCCACACAUUCACCUCAAAUAUUACUCCAAACACUUGUUUACCACCUCAGUUUGACCAUCUGACUGAGGGUGGUAGGUAGAAGAGGUAUUAAUCUGCACUUUCAGUAACUUAAAAAGUGCUAAUGAGGACCACAUCCUUGUCACUAACAAUGCUCUGAGACAACCCGUGAAGUCUAUAGAUCUGAUCCAGGAAUAUGUGGAAAUAUAAAUGCUGAAUAAGCAUGUGACAAUGCCAAGAAGUGUGCAUACUUACCUAACUUGUCAACCACCACCAAGAUGGCUUGUUUACCAUGUGCAUUAGGUAAACCUUCCAUAAAGUCCAUGGAAAUUCACUCCAAACCUUUUGAGGCACACGUAAAAGUCGUAAUAAACCCAAAUAAGCAGUAUUGUCAUAUUUGUUGCACUGAUAGACAUCACAUGCAGCCACAUAGUUGACUAUGUCUUGAUACAUUCUUCUCUAAUAAACCACUGACUUCAACUUCUUUUAGGUAGCAUAAACUCCUGAAUGUCUCCAACAGCACUAGAAUGCCACAAGUGAAUUAUAUUAUUCUUGAAUUGACCGUCAUUUUCUACCACUAGUCUCCCCAUCCUUCUUAACUGCCAGUUGCUCCAUGUGUAAUAAGGUGCGACCUUAGAAAGAUCAAAUUGUAAUUGAGUGAUGAAGGUCUAUAGCCUUAUAUCUCUUUGCCAUCCCUUUUUAAUCACUAUCAAAAAUCACUGUUAACAAUGAUGAUGCAAGAGCUUCUCUUGGUUCUGCUAGUUUUCUAAAGAGAGUAUCUCUCAUCAUAUUAUAUGCUUCUUUCCUGUAUUGAAGCUCAUAAUCAAAUCUUACUAGCUUAGCCAUCCAUUUCUGCUGCAUAAGAGUGUUCAAUCUUUGUUCCAUCAUAUAUUCAAUGCUCUAAUGGUCAUUUUUAAUGAUAACGUACCUUCCAAGUAGAUAAGGUCUCCACUUCUAUACAGCAGCAACUAUGGCCAAUAUUUGCACUUUUCCAAUAUAUUAUUAUAUGCUAUUCUCCCACACACCUAAAUCUUACAUUGUCCCCAAUGUAAAAUAAAGAAUAAAAGAAAAGUAAUGGGGAUAACGAAACUUCCUUGAUAACUGAGGGGGCCGUGGAUAGCUACAGGUGAGGAGCAAAUGAUUGUGGAGCUCGACGUAUGUUGAUGGUUGGCGGCAGUGGAGUUCGGAUGGAGAAGGAUGGAAGAAAGAAAGAAAGAAGAAAGAAAAAGAAGAGAGAAAGAAAGAAAGAAAAAGAAAAGGAAAAAGAAAGGAAAAGGAAGAGAAAAGAAAAGGAAAAUGCGAAUGGGAAUUGCUCCAAUCCCAGCUGGUUUUUUGUACUACUACUUUGCUUCUUGUACGAAGCUUGAAGAUGCAGCACGCGCGGGAAUUUUUUUUUUUUUUUACAUCUGAUUUUGAUUUUUUUUCUUUUUCCUUUUCUGUAUUUCCUUUUCUUUUCUUUCUAAUUUUUUUUGCAAAAACAAUCAAAUAAAAAUCAAAUGAGAUGGAAUGAUUUUUUUUUUUAAAAAAAGGUAAAAAUAUAAAUAGAGAUAAAUAAAUAAAAAUAAACAAUAAUAGAUAUUAACAAAUCAUAAAAUGAUUUAUGAAAUUUUUUUGGUGUCUACAUAUAUACACAUACUAAUAAUUUUUAUAUUUUUAUAUUUUUCCUAUUUAAUCUUACCUAUAAUUCUUCCUUAUUUUAUUUACUUUCUCCAAUUAAUUUUAUAUUUUAAAAAAUAUAACAUCUAAAAAUAUAUAUUAACGAAGAGGGCAUCUGUUAGACAUGUCCUAUUUUAUGUAGCAUAUAUGUACUACAUGGAAAAAACUUUUUUAAUAGGUAUCUUAUUUUUUGACAUGAAAAAUGCCUUUUGACUACAUUCUGACUAGCGCCAAAAGCUAUCUACUUUUGACAUGUUGCCCAUGUGGGGUCCUUGAUGAUUGGUGUCACAAUUUUAACACAUGGUCGUACUAGGUACAAUGUGGUCAAUAUUGGAUUAGGAGCACUAAUUCAAAAAAAUUGGUGUAAUUGUACGGUUGUUAUUUUUUUUAUAUAAAAUUUGGCACAUAUUUAUAUAAAUGUUUAUAUAUUUUUAUACAUUUUCAAAAAAUAUUUUAUAUACUUUUUUAAAAAUAUAUAUAUUUUUGUAUAUAUAUUUUAAAAAUUUUGGUAUUUAUGAGCAAAAUUCUUACAUACAAUAAAAUAAUAGCAUGAUAUGAGAUGAAUAAUAAUUGAAUAGUACUGCAGUUGCCCCAUUUACCGGUGACGCUACUCGUAACUUGAUGUUCAAAAAGUACCACCAUAACUUUUGCUGAACUAAAUUUGAAAAAGCAUUUCAUCAAAUUUGAAUGGUAUCGAAUAUAAAAUAAUGUUCAAAGUUGAUUUGACAAGUUGGUGAACCAAAUCGAACGAGCUUUUACCAGACUGAACUUAAUUCGAAUAUCAGUAGUUUGAUUCAUCUUUCAACCUUUAUACCGACCAAAAAAAAAAAAUCAAUUACCAGUCAAGUAUAAUGUCUUAUUUUUUUACCAAGUUUUUAAGGGUGUGCACACCAUUGUUCUCCCUUUUCCUUUGACAUGUAAGGCCAGUUUUCCUGCUUCAUGUGUUGCCUAAUUUAAGUUUCGUUUUAUGUUGACUCCUAAUUUAGCGUCUUCUUGAAAGCUCCGACUAUUGCUCGGAAAAAAAUAUUGCUGUUGAAAACAGAGUUUUUUGCCAAAAUAACACUCUUUCUAAAAAAUAUUCCCAAUGUGAUUCACUUUCAAAUUUUAUUCCCAAAUCGAUGUUAUUGUUGCCACCUAAUUACUCUGAUUGCCAUGUAGGAUAACAAGAAAGGAAAGCUUUAAUCUAGUUUAUAGUUUCCAAUAAAAACUAAAAAUUUAAACUGUUUUAUUAUAGAGGCACAAGAAAAUUGCAUAACUUUGAUAAUUUCCUUAUAAUUAUUUAAAAUAAAUUUUACCAUUAUUGACCUUGCUAUUAUUGCUCUCUACAAUUUUUUUAAAUGUAUCAAACUUAUUGCAUAUAUUUUUUCAAAAAUAAAUUUGCAAAAUACAAAAAUUGCAAUGAACAUUAUAAGCAAUAAUAAGAAAAAGUUAAAAAACUUCAAGGUUAUCAUAUUUGUUCAUGUUAUGCUUUCUACUCCUUGAAAAGUACUUUUACAAAAAGUAAUCAAACUAUUGCAAUUAAGAUAAUGCUAAAGUUUAUCAAAAGUAACACAAGCCAUUAAUUGAUGUUGAAUAAAUAUGCAAAAAUACUUCAAGUAUACGAGAUUAUUUGAUUAUGUGAUAGAGAGGCACUACAAAUGAACAUGCUUACAUUGAGCAUGAAUUUAUGUUGUUACGUAGUUUUCCUCUUAGAUAUUUUAUCAAGCACACGGUGUGAGAAAUCAUUUGUUAAAACAAUUAGUAUUCAAAAUUUUUUGAAGGCCAUAAGAAUGUUCCAAAAACUGCACAACAGAAAAGACGAGAAUAAUCUUCAUUUACCUUGAAAUUAUUAAUUCGAGGAGAAUAUUUUCAUAAUAUCAGGAAUGAUAAUGAAGUUUUAGAUGUUGUUAAUAUAAAUAUUGACUUUUAACAAUUACAUUUGACAAGGAAAAAUAACGAAAGGACAAAAAAUAAUAAAGGAAAAAAAAGUGGGUAGGUUCAGAGAGAGAAUCAGGGAAGAUAUUAAUUGGAAAAGAGAGAUAGUACGUGUCUCUAUCUCUAUCCUACCACAUAUGCAACCUAUGUGGAAAAAAAAGAAUUAUAAAGGUAAUAAAUUUUAAAAUUAGGUUACUUUGGGUAUAUGUUUCAAAAGAAGAGUUAUUUUGGCAAUAAACUCGCUGAAAACAUCAUCACAUAUUUGGAAAGAUUUACUUGUUGCUCUGGAUUUUAGGUUUGAUCUUUAUUUCAUAAAGCAUUUUGUUAGAUUUCAAUGGCUUAAAAAAAUGAUGACUUUUGUUAGAAUAUUGAGCUCUCAGACAUUCAGUGCAGGCCUAAUAUUUUUUUUUUAGUACUGAAUUUGUUUUGGAUACGUUAGUAUUUCUUGAAUUUUAGAAAAUGCUUCUCUUUAAUAAAUGUAAGUUCAUUUUAAUCUUGAUUCGCAAGCUUUUCUUGUAAAUGGUUUGCCAUUUCUUAUUAGUUGUUACAGUAAAUUUAGCAAGCAUAUAUGCUUUUUGUCAAAAUUCAAUCAUUUCAAAAUCUAGAAGGGAACUUCUAAAAUAUCUGCAUCCUCCUUUUCUUUUUUCUUUUUCCCCCUCUUGGCUUUGUAUUCAGAAUCAGAUUGUGUUCAAUUAGUUGGAAUUUGCCUUUGGAGUUAAAAGGGAUUUCCAUUUUUUCCUAGGUAUUCCACAGCUUGCAUACCAAAAGCACAGAGGCGGAAGAAAACCUAUGAUUAAAUCAUACAACAGGAUUGUAAGAAAAUGCCCACUCUGAAAAAAUGAAAAGUUGAAUUUCCUAUUUUCAAAUUUACAUGCAAAAAAUGAAAAAUGACAUGCAAGAAAUAGUCUACUAUUUCGCAAUUUUUGCUGUUAUGAGAAAUAUAUUACAAAUAAAUCCACAUAAAUGGUGGGAAUAAUAACUCAAAUAUGGUGGGACAAAUAAACAUAUAGGGUGACCCCUGCCAGCUGAGAUAACUAGCUGGUUUAUUUAAUUUAAUAGUUUGAAUACAAUAGUAAAUCAAUGCCAUAGCUCAGAUACUGACUAAAUUUUUCUCCCUGAAGAAUUCAACAGCAUCUUUUAGGCUGACCUCCAAAGGAGUGAAUCGAACUCCCAACCUUUUUGCCUUCUCAUUGGAGGCUCUGUAGUUUGGGCUGAUAAGGUUGGUAUUGUUUGACAUUCUGCUGUAUGCGGGACAAUACACAAUUAUGGCAAACAUAAAUAAAGCUUAGGUAAUGAAAAUGCAAGUGUAAAUUCAAAUGCUUGAAAAUCUACUGGACAAUUGCCUCAUAUCUACUGUAAAUUGUGCCUUUUUACGAAGUUUCAAAAGACCUUUUAAAAGAUAGCUUUAGUUGUGAUAUGAAUGAAAUUUAUUUUUUUAAAAAAAAAAACCUAAAACGGAAUUUCUAUUUUGGAGGCAAAGCCAAUUUGGUGCUAUAUCCUAGUCCAAAGAAGACCAUCUUCUAGAAAUCAACCUGAGAAAGAGCUCAUUUUAUGGAACAUGAGACCAAAAGAAAAAAAAAAGAAGGCAGAAAAUUUAGGAUUUAAUGUCCUUUAAAAGAGAGUAUAAAAAUAUGUGAUACAUUUUGGACCUAUACAAGGCCAUCAGCAAAAGCCUGUAAAGACCUAAACAAGGAAAACAAGACUUACUUAUCAGGAAAUUGGUGAGUUGCGUAAUGCUCAUGCAAAAUCUUGAUGAUCUGAGAGGCAUUUGCACAUCUUUCAACCAGACAAUAUCUUCCACUUGCAGAAGGGGUUUCAAGGGCAAGAACAUGUGCAUAGGCAACAUCUCUAACAUCAACCCAGCUACAUGUUGCCUUAGGAAAUGGUUCAACCCCUGCAUUUGGCACCUAAGAUCUUUAAACACAUUUUUUUUGCAGGCUCUUCAGCGAACAUAAGUGAAACUCUGCAUACAAUUAAAUACAAUGUUGUUUGCCAUGAAAAGAGUCAAAUUUAGAGGCCAUGGCCUGCCUUCCAGAAGAAAUGUGUGGUAUGUACUACUUUGUUCUGUUUUAGUAUCAGCAAAGCCACAGAGGGGAGGGAGAUGUGAGGAAUGAACUACUUGAGACAAUUCAGAUAAUUGGUGAAUAAUAAGAAAGAUUAAUCCCAACAAUCUUCUAGUUAAUCUGUCGAGUUAUUACCUGGAAUUUCUCAGAUUUAGAGUUAGGUUUCAAAGGAUAGUUUAUUUAUUUAUGUGAGGAAUAAACAAGCUUUAGCAAGUCUGAACAACAUAAACAGUGACUACUCCUAACAAAUUUUUCCUCACAAUUACCACCAAAAAAUUUCUUUUCCUUCCUGUUAAUCACAUAGAACGUCAAUGUUGUUGAAAGGAAGAUGCACACAACGUGAAUUUCAGAUGAAAGAUUGUACUGCAAACCUUUAAAACAUCAUAAGCUGGUCAGAGUUUAUAGCUUGAUAUAUCAGUUCACAUUCUGAUCUAUGUCUGUCAAUCAUGUGAUUAGCCAGCAGUGCCUUGAAAUGUUAUUAGUCAUAAGUUUUUUGUUCUACUGUAACAAAGAAAGUUGUGGUGCAUAAUAAAGCUAUAACUAACAUAGAUGGAAGAGUCAGUUAGACAAUGAUUACUAAGGUGAUUCAAUAAAUUUUGAAACAAACCCUUUAAUAGGUUGAGGAACAAAACGGCGCUCGAAUUAAUAGAUGGCUGCAAGAGAGGACCAAUGACCAAUCCUGGAUGAAUUGUGAUUGUGUGUCAAUGCCAUGCUCCUUUGCAAAUUUCAAUGCAGCAUUCUCGGCCAUGGUUUUUGAAAGUUCAUACCAAGACUAUCAACACCAAAAAAUCAGUAAAUGUUGGUAAGAUGGUAGCAGAAAGUAAUUAGAUUUGUAAACUUUAAGAAGUAACAUUAUAAAUUUAUACAAAUUUGACAAAACCAGUAGCUAACAACAGUUGGAACUAUUAUUGCUGUGGCUACAGACCACAGAGUGAAAGUAUCCACAUUUCCUAGGACAAGCUAUGCUCUAAGUGAAUAAGUAGAUUUCUCAAGGAUCCUAGCAAUGGUGUAAACUUUUUAUAUUCAAGGAAUGAUGCAAAGCACCAGAGUGUCGACAUAUCCUGAUCAUCUGAUCUCUUAAUCCACAAGUUAACAGCAAAACUACAAGGGACCUUGACACUUGAACACAUAGAGCCAUAUUCAUGAUAUUAUAGCAGAAGUUCCCUUUCAACCGACCAACCAAAUAUUGCUCAUCUAGGUGUGUAUUCUCAGACAAUAAUAUAGAGUUUGAUAAUGCAAGAGAUGCAUAAUUGAGUAGGAAAACUUUCAUAUUGCUCUUUCCUCGACUAUUCCACACUACAUUAUUAAUUUUUCGUUAAAGUUAAGUUGUUACUUAGAUAGAAGGAAAGAAAUGGACUGACCAUUCUGGUUACAAAAAUAUCCUUCUUUUUGCCUAUUAAAGUACCACCAAGUCAUGAAGAUCCUAACUUAAUUAUCUCCACAGCUGGGCUAACUCCUCAUAUGUGUUCCAAUAACAAGUUAAAACUAAAGAAUUCCAGCAUUCCGUAUUAGAUUUUGCUGGAAGAAGACGGACAAUAUAUGUACCUUUUGGUCCUCACAGUAUGAUGGAUCGGAAAACCAACUUUCAUCAACUACCACAUCCUCCUUUAAUUCUCUGUUUUUUGAAACUACAACCAUAGAGGAUGUUAUAACUACUCUUUUGACAGAAGAAGAAUUUGCACAUGACCGCAGCACAUUCAGUGUUCCGCUUACUGCAGGUUCCAGUAGUUCUGCUUAUGAAAUCAAACCAAGUUAAAAAGGAAGUCAUUACCAGUCAUAAGUAAGACUAUGCUUUUAACCUGCAAAAAACUUAUCAUUCGGGUAUUAUGUUUGAGAAUUUCACCACAAAUGCUGUAAACCUACAGCUUUAGUUACUUAGCUAAAGGAUGCAUAUAGUUGUCUUAUCUCCUCUUGCUGCUAAAAUAAGGUCUCAGGUCCUUUAUUGUUGUUUUUUCCCGAAUUUUUUGAGCUUUCACUGGGUGACAGGAACUUGAGACCAAUAGAGGAACAACUGAAAUAAGUCUCAGAUGUGGUCACCAAUUAAACCGUUUGCUACCAAAUAUCAGCCAAUGAAAUUCUGUUCUGGCUUGAACAGGACAGACAGAGAAAAUAGAAAAGGAGUAGCUCCCAUAAAUCCUGCGAACAGAUUUUAGCGUGAACACAUAAUGCAUGUUGCAAUUUCUUUUAGUGUCUGUGAGUCAACCUUGUUCAUUGAAAUGACUAAAAUCAAAGUUCUACGAAGUUACUUAAAUAAAAAUCCAUAAACACAAUUAGAGAAACAGACAAGGAUAGGUGUACUACGUAAAAUUUUAAGGCACAAUCAUUAAUAGAAGUUAAUCAACUUACAAAUGAAGAUACAUUUAUUUUGCAGAUGCUCGAACAUAUAUUGUAGUUUCUAUAGGCUUCUUAUUCAUGGUGAUAUCGGCACCCAAAAACUAUGGCUCUAUACUGACUGAAUAAUUAGUUGGUCAAAGCAGCGAUUCAUUUGCUCCAGGACAAGCUUGUAGCUUGCUCUAUAACCUUACCCUGACUGACCCACCCCAAUGUUUCGAAAACUGGAUCGGAUCGAUCGGUUCGAUCGAUUCAAUCGCGAACCGAUCAUGUCUCCGAUCCGGUUCAAUUACAAAGCUAAAGAAUUAAUUGAACCAGUCAAAACCGAUCAAGAACUUAAAAAAAUCGAAGGUUCAAUCGAUUUUUAUUAAGUAUUUAUUUUCUAAAAUAAAUAUUUUAGUUUUAUUCAAAAAUUUUAAUACUAAAAUGAAUAAAAAAUUAUUAAAACUUUGAACCGGAGUUGAAUCGGUUGAAUCGAUUGAACCGUGAACCGAAAGAUUUUUCGGUUCACUCUCCGGUCCGGGUUUAAAAACAUUGACUUACCCAGGAAAAUAGUUAGUCGACCCAAUCUACGGCCCAAUUGUGGACCAUUUGCUAUGUUUAUGGCUCUUAAUGUUUUUAUUCCAUAACGUUGCACCCUUUGAAUUGUUUCUCUGAAGUACCAACAGAGAAACAUCAUUUCCUAAGGCAAAUGUUUUAAACAUCAUUUGAUCAUUUUAUAGAAACAUCAUGUAAACUGAUUAAAGAGAGACAAAAGCACAUAACACACGACAGUCUUUUUGUGAAUGACCUGCAGGAACAGAAUAGUUUUGUAUGUACCAAAUGUAAAGAAAUAUUCUUCAGGUGUUAGACCUGCUUGCUUCAUUAAUCUCUUCCAUUUGGUUAAUAUAAGAAUAAGUAGAGCUGUAGAAUUGGAAACAUUUGAUUCUAACUCUUUUUUAUUUUACAGUUGUAACAUUGUCAUAAAUCAUAUAUAGAGGAAUAGACUAUAACCCAAAAAAGCCAGUAAAAAUGCAACAGAGGAAGAUACUAAAAGAAGUCGUACAAUUAUAAAUCAGAAAAUAUGCUACGAUUUUCAAACUUCACUAGAUAAAUAGCAGAUUUUGUAGACAGUAGAGAAUUUUCAAUCUUGUAAAGCAAAUGUACCUCUGGAUUGCUAAAUGAAAGUUUGAUUGAAGAUGCAGUAUGGAAAACCCCUUCACAUCCCUCGACUAUUGGAUCAAACGAUCCCUCUUCUAGUAAGUUUGCCGAGUACAACUGAAGCCUUUCUUUAGCUCCAUCAAGUGAUGUCAAAUGUUGUGUCCUUUCCGGAUCAUCUGUGUCAUGACUGCAUCAGUAGAAUGUUCAGACAGCUAUAAUCAAAACCAUGCCGCCAACAGGAGACCGCCUUGGUUUUCACUAUGGUCAAAACUCAAGAAGAAAUGGACUUAAGAGUAAUAAUAAACGAAUCUCAAAGCAAUGUUAAAUUUGACUAGCUAAAGGCAAGCGGGGAAAAGCGAAAAGAAAUUGACGGGCAACAUAAUAUGACCACAAUAAUAUCAUAGCCCUAUGAUUUCUGGUUUUGAGAUGCGUACAUUUGUAACUUUCUUGAUAACAAUUAAUUCUUGAGAUAAUUAUCAGAGGGACAAUUGUAUGCCAUCUACCACUAUUUUUAUAACAAACUCAGUCCUUCAGAAGAAGGAUAUAGAUUCGAUAGGGUAAAGAUUUUUUAGUAUAACUUGAUCUUUGUAUCUGGAGCAUGAAACAUUACUGUUAAGGUAUACAUUAUAUAGUUUCAGCUACUCAAAUAUCAAUUAGGUUGGUCCACAUCAAUUUUUUUUUUUUUUUUGCAAGUGAUUUUUUUUUUUUGAGCAAACAGAACUUGGGGAGCAUUUACUAGCAGUUGUUGCAAGAAUAUCAUCUGGAGCUACAAAACAAUUUCACACUGCAGAGUUGAAUAAAAAUGUUGGGCAAAUUACAUAUAAUGCUCCUGUGGCUUUGUUUGUUGCCACAUGACCCUUCUAACAUUUUAAAAUAUCCAAUUCACCCACUAUGAUUUAUGUAAAGCGGAAACUUGAUGGAGAAUAUCCUAUGUAAUGUCGUUAAUUGAAAUACCAUUAGCAUUUUUACUUAAAUGCUAAAUCAAUCGACGAUUUAAUUACCUUAUAUAAAAGUAUAAGGGGAUUAUGUGGAUAAAUAUAAAAAUCACAGGAGGGAUAAAGUAGGCAUUUAUACAAACUAUAAGGGAAUUACAUUGAAAUUAAGACUUUAUCACACACGCUUUUAGAGCGUGUUUGGUAUAAAUGUCGUAACUAAUUGUGCAUUCCAUCAUUUUCCGCUUUACAUAUAACUAUGGGGGGUUAUGUGACUAUUUUGAAAUCUUAAGGGGACCAUCUAGCAUUAUAUAAAAUCACCCUAAAAUAUUGUUAUAAGUAAUUUACCCUAAAAUGUUAGAUUCCAGGAGCAAUUAAACAACAAUCAGAACAGGGCAUCAAAAACUGCACAAGCCACUUAGAUAGUUGAUCAAGAAUAAAAACUGGACUAACUGGCAUCUCGAACAGAACCUUUAACAGUAUAACCGCGCUCGAGCAGCAGCUUCACCAGCCAUGAAACUGUGUAACCCGAAGCUCCCGUCACACACACCAUUUUCCCUUCUCCUGCUCCACUCAUUUUGUUAUAAUAUUUUUGUGUGUGAAUCUGUCACCUGUUUGCCUUACUUCUGGACUAAUAAUAAUGGAGGGAGGCCUAUAUGGUGUACAUAUAGCUAUGGUGAAGAAGACGAAAGAUUGGAUAUGAGAUUACUGGGAGACUGGGGAGAUCCAUAUCUAUUCUUGCAAUUUGCAUGGAUCAUCGCUGACAUACGUAUGGUAUAAUCGCGUCACGUCCCAUUUUAUCAAGGUCAAUUGAUCAGUGUAAAUAGAAAUGAGCAAUAAAUACGAGGAUAAAUUACCUUUUACAUCUUAUGCUUUGAUGUUUUAUCACAUAAUCCCCUAUGAUUUAAAAAUCUAUAUACGACUCUCUCAUAGUUUGGAUUAUUGUAUAAGUAAAAAGUCAAAUUCAAACUUAACAAAUUCACUGUUUCACUACUUUUUUUUUGUUUUUUUUUCUUGUUUUCCUUUUCUUUCUCUUUUUUUUUUGGAAAGAGUACAAAUGAUUUUGAAAACCUAUAUUUUGGCUUACAAAACCUUAAUUUUUUACAAAUACAAAAGAGACAGAAGGGAAAUAAAAAAUAAAAUCAAUAAGAAACGAAAAAUAUGGAAGGUAAAGAUAAAACAAAAAAAUAAGAAACAAAAAAAUACCAAAUCUUUUUUUACUAUAAAUAUCAUUAUAAGCUUUUAAACCAAAUCUUUUAUGGUAUUUUCUAGUUCUUAUUUAUCUAUUUUUUAUUCAAUUUCUUCCUUUUUAUGUUUGGAGGAAAAAAAGAAGUAAUGAAGGGAUAAAUUUGUCAAUUUAUCAGUUUGACUUUUUAAUAUUGACUAUUAGUUUUAAUGAAAAAACUAAUAAUGACACAUUAACCCAAAUCAUGAGAGGGUUAUAUAUAGUUUUUAAACCAUGGGGGUUUACGUGGUAAAACACCAAACUAUAGAGGUUAAAUGCAAUUUAGCCUAAAUCCAAAAUCAGGCGGUUGCAUAUGAACAAAUACCAAGGUUCUUGACUUUGUUCAAUACAAUCCCAAGGCUAGAGACACAAAUUUUAAAUUCACUACCAAGAUAAACCAUUCUCUUGUUUAUUUUUCAUUUUUUCGGGUCAAAAAGUACAAACUACUUGAACUAGAAACUAAUCCCGACAAAGUUUGUGGGUUUUUUUGCAAGAGUUUUAGUUAAAUAUUGGUUACUUCGCCUAAUUUGCACCUAUUUUAUCAUGCAAAUGCAUGCACACUUUUAAAAAAAUAAUGCAUGCACUUAUAUUAUUGCCUUUCUUACAUUUAAAUACUUUUUUCAAUUUAAUUUUACUUUUCUGGCAAAACUAAAUCUGAAGCCCAUUUCAAGAAAUAUCCACCGAAUACCAGGUAAACAAACCUCCUUCGUAAUAAAGAAUGAAAAGGACCAAAAAAUUUUUUUGUCUUUAAGGAUUAAAUUUAUAACCAGUCCUAAGAUAACACGCAGCAGUCUUUUUGCAUCUAACAAAGUUUUUGAUUGACUAGAAAUCCUUCUCUGAUUGAGAAAUGGGAAUUGGCUUGAUGAUAGCUGUACGCGAUAAAAGUUAAAGUUUUCAGAAACAAGAAAUAUACACGACAAAUAUGUGAUAUAUAAAUUUAAGAAAAAUAUGUGAGCACAAUCUCUGAGGUUUUCUCGAACUCGUAGAGAGUUUCCCUCGAUUCUCCUCCUUGAAUGCCAAUUCAAGGGCUUCGCAGUUUGUUCUUGGAUCCACCACCGAUUCCUUCAAAUCUUGAUAUAGAAGAUUUGAAGAAUUUUAGAAGAUAUUUGAAGACUCAAGUCUUGAUAUAUGGGAGACUUUGAGAGCUUGAAGAUCCAGACCUUUGUAGCUUGGAGCUUCAAUGCUUUGAGCGAAUGAGAUGCCUCUUGGUGUCUCUGUGUGUGACUUGGUAGAGAAACCCCUAUUUAUAGCUGUAGCAAAAGGUAGAGGCUGAAGACUUGUGUACCACUUUACUUGUCUUGCAAGACGUGCAGUCAUAUUAGGACUGUGCUAGUCAAAUAUUAUCUCUUCAUUUUAUAUUUAUUAAUAAAGAGAUAAGUAAUUCAUCGAUUGGCCAAACUCGUGGGGACACGUGACGUGGCGCCGUUUGACUGGCCAAGCUAUUGCAGUAUAUAAGAAAUAUACUUGGAUUAAACAACUCUAAAUGUUAUCCCUUUAAUAAGAAAUAAAUAUUUAGAUAUUUAUCUAAUAGACAUGUGACAUGAUAUGAUUUGGUUGGUGGAGAUAUCCCUGCAAUUUGAAUUGAUUCGGAAUACCUCAACUUGACACGUGGCGAAAUAUAAUUGGUCAUUUAAUAACUAAUCUUUCCAGGUGUAUAUGCCAUAUGGCAAUAUUCAAUUGGAUAAAAAUACUUUAUAGACCAAUGGUAAUUUUUGGAAUUUAAUUAAAAUUUCAUUGUCUACAAAUGCCCCCUCAAAACCUGUUUGCGAAGAGUACAACUUAAACGGACAAGUUUUGACUUUCUUUAAUUCGCUUAAGAGCCUUUCUUGCCAAAUUGGACUUCGAAACUUUGUGAAUCAAGUCACCUAAGUAGGAAGCCAGCCGCACAAAGACUUCAAUGACCAAAUAGGCACAUAAGUGAUUAAUCAAACUUCAUGGAAUUCAAUCUCGUAAGUGAUUGAUCAAGCACUAGUGCACCAGUGCACCUUACAUGCAAAACACCUUUUCAUUGGCCUAGGAAGUUACCAACUCCAAUUAUAAGACAAGUGCAUUGUUCCUUGAUCAAUCAUGAAUUCCACCGCUUCACAAGAUUCAAGGUUUGAACCAGUCGGCUUCUUGGCGAAAUUCUAAGAUUUGUAUCCUUGAUGAACUUAAACAUUUGAGUUCCUUUUUGUUUUCCUUCUUUUUGUGAUAAAGCCGAAGCUUGAAGAGUAACCCAACACAAUUCUUCAAGGAAUUAAUCAGCCUAUAGAAGUUGGUUGUGAAAAUAAUUCCUUCCAAGGCCAACAUGAAUUGAAGCUUUGUCCUUUAUAAUCCUAUGGAAGAGCAAGCCCCCGAAACCAGCUUAGAAUUCACUUUCUUUUAGAUGUUCAGCCUGCCAACCGAUUUAAUUGCUAGGAACCUCCAGAGCGAAGGUAUUCCCUAGACAAUUUAGGUGAACUAGGAAGCCAAUUACACUUGAACUCACCUUCCUCUCCGAAUUUGUAGUAGAAAUCCUUUCUAUAAAUCCCCAAGUCCAAAGCCGUUAAUGUAUGAAGCUCCUUGAAACUAGUCGUGGCUCUUAAUUGAUAACAUAGAAUGAUGAUAGCAUGUACUAGUGCUCUCAAUUUCCCGAGGCCGGAUCAUCUUACGUAGUAGCUUCAUGUUUGCUAUUUCAGACCAAUUCUAUUCUUUGUGGUAUUCCAUUUCUUGAAGCCAGGAUUUGCAUCAUUGUUGACUAAUCAAUUAACUUCUCCACUGAACAUAUUUGAAACUCAAGGAGCCGUCUGACACCAAUGUUGAGACCCAACUCGCAGAGGAAGUCGAUUGCGAGAACAAUUCUUCUCCAAAACCAUCUUGAGUCAGAGCUCCAUGUCUCUUUCUUCCCUCUUCGUCCCACUAUACUAAACAGGAGGAAACCAACUUCUUUCGCUAGUCAACUUCCUCGGCUUGACAAAUUAACCCGCUAAGCCACAAAUAAUGAACCCUUUGUCAUCUCAAGCUGAAACACCUUUGACCAGAAUCCUUCUUGAAUAUGGAACGCAUAUCUGCUAUAUAUACUCGAAGGUUUGAGGCAUUAGUUUUCCCACAAUCCAAAGGCAAACUCUCCCUCGUUUUUUUUCGCUAAUGUUAUCGAACUGCCGCUACGUCUUUAUUUGCUAGUGCCGUUGUUUAUUAUUUGCUGGUUUGCUUGGCUUUGCUAGCCUUUUCGACUAAUAGAAUCAACUUGAAGUCGGUCAUCACUGCUGCCGAGCUAUUAUUUCAAGGUACGCACUACUUUUCCCAAGCUAUGGAUGAAUUUCUUCCUUGCUAGAGUUCAAAACCCUUUUUUUUUCUUUUUUAUCUAUGUAUAACUAACCCGCGGGCUCUCAAAUUAUCCCACCCGAAAUAACUUUCAUGCAGUGAUCUAAUAUGCCUCUUGAGUUUACAGUAGAACCCAUACGGAUUAACCGAUGAAUGACUUGACGCUCUCAUUACCACCCUGCUUGUGUUUCUUUUUUUUUCUUUUUACUACCUUGCAUGGAACAAUUGCUGAUUUUUGUAGUCUGUGCACAGAUAGAUUCAGGGACAAUAUUUUCUUUGCCGAUGUUGCCAGAACACCUGACCCAAUGUGCUUUACAUUUAUUUCCCAUGCAAGAUGCUAAGUACCUUAUGAAUUAUUGUCUUUGUUGGCCUCGCAUGAAACUUCCCAUCAUGAAUUGGUUAGAACAUUAUGUCCGCCAAUCAUGCUUUAAGAUGAAAAGUUGAUGCACUAUGAGCGGUCAUAUAGAAAUAUUUGACGGUUGCUUCAACCAAAUUGGUGCCACCCGCUAUCCACAUCCUGUCGAUGCCAUUUUUUAUGCCAUUUUUUUCGUGUUUAUGACAAAUUGGCACCUAGGAUUUUGCUUUCCCGUACUUAAUUGCUAAACGGAACUUCAGCAAUAGACUUUGCGUGUUUAUUUUGAUGCAUCCUUGAUGUCUCGGAUGUGAUUAGCACUUGAAAUUCGUAUGCCUACUUGUCUUGUGUUUUAAACUUGUAGAAUUGCAUCCGCAUGUGUCAUAAGAUGGCCUUAAUUUUCACACAGGUCCAUAUCAAUAUCUCAACCUUACUAACUUGCUCUCUUGUAGAUAACCAACCUCGUGCUUGAAAAGAAGCUUGAAACAAUUUCGGGGAUUUGAAAAAAGCAACCAAUUAGGUAAUUUAGUUACCAAACUUUUGUAAGAAGUUCCCUUCAUCAUCUAAUACUUUCUUUUACAAAAUUCUAGCAAACAUACAAAUUAAGGACUACGCCACGCCAUUACCACAUAUUUCAUUGACGGACGAACGGGGUGGACCUCAAUCAAAGAGCUUGUCACUACAUAUUCAUAAACCCGCAAUCAGCCCGUUCGCUGAAUCUUUCAUACCCCUUGAAGAAUGCCUUCAUCUCGAAAAUUGGACUAGCAAGUGGGCUAAGGAAGUGGUGGCACCCUCGACUUUCUCCACUACAUCGAGGGAAGAAGAAGUGGUCGUAUUAAAUUCGUCACUUCACAACAGAGAUCCAGAAAUAGCCAAAUUCACGCUUCUGUUCGUGGGAUUCAAUAUUGACAAAACUACAUGGAAGAUCCUUUCGUCCUUCUUUGGCGAGGCGUGCUUCACUUCUCAUUAUUGGGAAUGGGUUGAGGACAUCCUCGGAAGGUAUAAAGAGGUACUCAUACGUACUGGCAUAUUUGAAGCUGUCUACGCGUCGAGCUACUCCUACGAUCGCUAUGAAAAUUCUUGCGAGCCUUCUUCAAAUAUUGGUGUCCCUCGACAAAUACACUUCAUACACCCGUUGGGGAGUUGUCCAUCACACUUUGGGACCUUUAUCGACUUGGUGGCCUUUCGAUCGAUGGCUCGUUCUUUGAUGAAGUUAUUAUUUCGGCGCAGGAGCUUCUCACUCGUGACAAAGAAGGGAAGCCACUUCUCCCUGAAAGUUGCAGGCACAUCUUUUCCGUUUACUACCACCUUUGGACUAAUGACCAAGGGAUAUGGAUGAAAGACUGGAUUCGCUUCUGGUUCAAAGAAGAGGCUAGGUAUAGGGUUCCUCCAAAUAGAGCGAAUAGAAGAAAGACCACAUCUAAACCGAAAAUGACUUACAGCCUUUCUAGAAGCUUAGAGCCACACGACCUUGCUGAUACGAAGGACUUCAACAUCCCUUUCGACACACUGGAUAUCCCAGGGUCUUUAAGAAAGGAAACCUAUAUUGCGGCAUUCAUAACUUGCUGGAUUUACAAGUUCCUUUUGCCAAGCAAAAAGGUCGAUCGUGUUCGCCCAAGUGCCUUCAAGGUUGCAUGCUUAAUGGCCACAGGGAAAAGAUUUUGCCUUGCAAUUCUCGUUCUUACGAGCAUAUAUCAUGGGUUGAGGGAGAUAUUCCACACCCCUAACCUUGGAGAAUAUGGGGUAAUUUUUCCAAUCUAUUACGUCUAUGCUUAGAUUGGCCAAUACUUCGAUGUAUAUUAUGAAAACAAUCAAGUGAGUAGCCACCACGCGCGCAUGACAAGAUUUAGUUGUGAGAAAAUGACAAUAUUUUAUGGCCGAUCAGAAGUUGAGAAAAUCUUCAAAGAAGUGAAUCCUUUGAUGCUUCCCAAAUUGUGUUGGACUGAAAAUGAAGAAAAGGUGUUGAUCGACAAUGGAUCCUUAUCAUCAAGACUUAUGAGCUACUUCAUUAGUCAACGCUCUUGCCAUUUAACUCUACGUAAGGACAAUACUUUCAUUGUUGAAAAAUAUAAUCCUUGCAGGUUUAGCAGACAAUUCGGCUUCUGUCAAGAGACCCCCAACAACUUGAAAGAGAUCACUCAUACUUAUACUUUGGGUGAGACUAUUCAACUAUGGGAUUCCUCAGUUCGCACGCAGACGCGAUCUCGAAUGACUAUACCCAUGCACAAGAAGCAUCCAUUGAUCACAAAAGACUAUGACGCCUGGUGGUCGACUCGGUCAAACAGUGUCUCUUCAAUUUCCUUUAAAUUCACCGUUAAGAUCCCUCAGCAAUCAUCGAAGAAGGGUAAGGUUACUUCCGCCAACGAGUCAGUGUAUCAUAAUGGAGCUAUAGAGAUUGUAACGGGUCUUACCUCAUCCACCUUGUGGAAGAACAAAAUUACUAGCAGUCCCUCGAAAAAUAUUGUCACAAAAAAUAAGUCUUCCAAGGACUCUCGACAGGUCAUCAAAGAGGCGCAACCAGUGAUUCCAGCACAGAAGACACCGCCCAAAGUUUUAAAAUCCUUAUCGGUGACUCACACAGAAGAAGAUGUCGAAAUCGAAACGGUGGACGAUCGUGAUUCUAUCGAAGCUAUAGAAAAGGAAGGGAUUCAAGUUCAGGGCAUCGGAUCUACCCAAGGAGGAGCCCAUUCAUUGGCGAGUGGUAGUAGUAGUCAAGACCGUCACUGGAACCGAUCAAAGAAGAGGACAUCUUCUGAUUUGGAGGAGGUUUCCUUUACACCACCAUCGAUUGGAGUGUCGCCACUUAAGGUAAUCAUCUCGCUAUUUUUUUUUUUUUAAUAAUUUUUUUUGGUAACUUUUUUUCUUUUCAGCCCCCAUUUUUUGAAUUCCGUCAAGAAGAUGUUGGUAACAAUUCACAACCCAAACUGAUGAUGUAAUUUCAAAUAACAAAAGCGACAAAGUAGCUAUCAGUACUCCAAAAUAAUUUGCCCACAGUUGAGGUACCUUGCCAAUGCGUAAGAAGGAGUUAAUUGGUUUGCACGAGAUCCGAAAGAGAUCUAAACCAGCACUGAUUUCAGAAUUUUGCGAGAAAAAAUUGAUCCAAGCGCAUCGAAGGAGAUACUUGCAGAGUUUGUGGAUGGAUUUUACCGAGCAAAUUCUUAACACUCCUAUUGAACAGAUCUCUUCUUUAAAAGAGUGCGCAGAGGAAAUCAUUACGGAAAUCACAAGAACGGAUCCUACCAAUGGUCUCCCUUUAAAGGACUUCUUGAUAGAAUUGUUUGCCAAGGCGGAGGCAUAUGAUAUUUUGGCAUUUUCAUCAUGAAAAAAGAUAAGUAAAAAAACACAUGCAGAACUCCUUUCCAAAGUGACCGUCCAACUCGGGAGAACUAAGACGAAUGAAGAAGAACUAACUCGUCAUCUGCAAAGUCUUGAAGAAAAGUUGCAGUCUAUUGAAGACAGGAAGGAAGUUCUGUAACAGAAACUUAUCAAUUUGGGAAAAAAAGAUCUAGAAAUCAGGUCAACUAUCAAUCAAAAGUAUGAAACUUUCAAAGAGAUCCAGACUGAAAUAACCUGGGCACAUGAUGAGCUCUCUUCUAUUGAAAGUACCAGCAUCUUGACUGAUGACGCAGUGAAAGAAAUUGAAGACAUGAAGUCUACACUUGAAUCAUGCAAGAUAGCCGUAGUGGACUACAAAUUUGGCAUUUAGACUUUUCACCAUGUCUUUUUUCUGAAUCUGUUUCAUUUUUUUUUCUUUUUCCAUGUAAUGAAUUUUUUCCCAUUUUUUUAUGAAUAAUAAAAUGCUUUCUGUUCCUUAUCUCUUGUUUUUUUUUUAAGAUACAAGAACUCAAAUGGAGUAUUUUAUUUAUUUCAUAUAUUUUUUUUGGAAAGAGAAGAUUCUUUUUUUUUUUUGCAAGGAACAAGGAUUUGAUUUGGAGUGGUGUGACUGAACCUAGAAGUUGCCCUCCAAACUGCUUACGUAUUCCAAAAAGGGAAUCAAGUCACACGUAGUUCCUGCUGUUCACAUUUUAAGUUCAUGCGGGCCAAGAGUAUCUAUUUGUUUACCACCUUAGACUUGGUGGAGUGUUUCACCAGUUUAACCACAUACUACACUAUUGGUGAUUGCCAUCCACAGUUUUAGCUUAUACGGGACAGGAGUAUCUAUUUGUUUACCACCUUGAAUUUGGUGGAGUGUUUUAGCAGUUUAACCACAUACUACACUAUUGGUGGUUGCCAUCCACAGCUUUAACUCAUGCGGGCCAGGAGCAUCGCGUGGUUCCGAUUACGCAUAGUACCUUUUUAAGUACUUGCCAUUGAUGGGACCAACCCUUAAUCCAUUCUCAGCAACUAACUUGUAUGAGCCAUUUGUAUACACUUCUCGAACAACAUAUGGACCAUCCCACUUAGGAGUAAACUUUCUUUGUCCGCCAUGAGUGAAAAUGAUCGGUCUCCGAAUAGCGAGUACUAACUCUCCAAUCUGGAAAGAGCGUGGCCGGAUAUGCUUAUUAAAUGCUUUUGAAAGGCGUGCUUGAUAGCACUCAAUUCGUUGUUGAGUUUCCAAUCUCUUUCGUCGAGUGCUUCUAACUCUUCGAGGCGAAGACAAAUAUUAUCUUCUUCACUGAACCCUUCUUGAAUCGCAAUUCUUAGCGAAGGUAUUUGACAUUCAAGUGGAAGAACAGUUUCAACACCGUAAACAAGCGCAUAUGGGGUCGCUUGCGUGGGAGUUCGAAAAGUAGUUCGGUAUGCCCAAAGUGCUUCUCCAAUUCGAAGAUGCCAAUCCCUUUUCGAUUUAUCCGCGAUUUUUUUCAACAGAUUACAUAAGGUCUUGUUAAAUGCUUCAACGAGUCCAUUUGCGGCAGCGUAGUACAUGGACGAAUUGCAUUGUUUGAAAUGAAACUUUUCACAAAAUUUGUUCAUUGCUACAUUGCAAAAAGGCUUACCAUUAUCGGUGAGAUAUAAUGCGGGACCUCAUAUCGAUAAAUGAUGUGCGAGCAAAUGAAAUCUACUACAUUCUCCUUUUUGACCUCUCUUAGAGGAACCGUUUCGACCCACUUUGAGAAAUAAUCCGUUGCCGCCAAAAUAAAAAUGUGUCCUCCAGAAGAUUUUGGGAGCUGUCCAACUAUAUUCAAACCCCAAGUAUCGAACGGUCAAGAAGCCACAGUUGGAUGCAAUGGUUCGGGAGGUUGACGGAUGAAAUUGCCAUGAAAUUGACAAGCUUGACAUCUUCUAACAAAAUCGCUAUAGUCUUUUACCAUCGUUGGUCAGUAGUAUCCCAUUCUCUUAAUGGGAAAGUGUAAUUUCGGACCAAAUUAGUGAGCACCACAUAUCCCAGAGUGAGCCUCCUCCAUUGCUUGCAUGGCCUCAUCUUCUCCAAGACAUCGUAGAGACACCCCAUCGAAUGAUUUUCGGUAAAGCGUCCCUUUAUAGUAAAUGAAAUGUGGCGUUCGACGACGUACAUCAACCCUUUUCCUGGGAUCUUCAUGUAAUUUCCCAUGAUUAAGGUAAUCAAUGAUGAGGUGACGCCAAUCCUUCUUUUCAAUCUCAUGGACAAAAAUAUGAUAAGUUUUUUCUUCUCCACCAUCAUCUUCUUCAUCGAACAUCGGAGGUAUGACCCAAUUUUGACAUAUUAAAAUUUGAUUUUGAUGAGAAGGUAGAGUGAUCAUGGACGCCACCCUUGCCAAAGAGUCAGCUUGUUGGUUAAAAUUUCUAGAGAUAUAUUCUAUAGUGAUAUUAUCUAAAUAUCCCAUUAGUUGUCUUGCAUACUUAUAAUAUGAGAUCAAUUCAGGUUUCUUGACAUCAUAAAUAUCAAGAAGUUGAUUUAUCACUAAUUUUGAAUCACCAUAGAUUCUAAGAUACAACUACUUCAUGUCUAUAGCCGUUUCAAGACCGAGAAUUAACGCCUGAUAUUCGGUCACAUUGUUUGAACACCGGCGUGUUAAAAUGAAAGAGUACUGCAAUAUAUCUGCUUUAGGAGUAUAAAAGACAACUCCCACACUAGCUCCAUCACGGUGAGCAACCCCAUCGAAAUACAUCGACCACGAGGAUUCGACCAUAAACACUUCUUCAUCGGGGAGUUCAUCAGUCAAUUCCUACUAGGCAGGUAUGGGAUGAUCGGCUAAAAAGUCUGCCAAUAUUUGUCCUUUGACAGCCUUUGCAGGUACAUAAAUAAUUUAGAAUUGUUGAAACUGGAAGUACCAUCUCGCGAGCCAAUCAGAUAGUACAGGUUUCGCCAUGACAUAUUUAAUGGGAUUAGACUUAGAUAUGAGUCGAAUAGUGUGUGCUUGAAAAUAAUGUUUCAACUUCUGAAUGACAAAUAUAAGUACCAAAUACAAUUUCUCAAUGGGUAAGUAAUUCAGCUCAUUAGAUGUCAUCAUCCGACUCAAGUAAUACAGCGCAUUCUCUUUACCUUCAUCAUUUUCUUGAGCAAGUAAGGCCCCAACCGACCGUUCUUGAGCGAAAAUAUAGAGAAUCAAUGAUUUUCCUGGAAUGGGCGCAGCCAACACUGAGGGAUUCAUGAGGUACAUUUUGAUGCUUGUAAAAGCAUUUCUACACGAUUCAUCCCACUCGAAUGGCAUCCUUUCUUCAUCAGUCGACUGAAGGGUUGGCAUCGUCCGACCAAAUUAGAAAUAAACCUCUGAAUAUAUGCCAACUUCCCUUGAAGGUUCUUCAAUUCAUGAAUAUUUCGCGGUUCAGGCAUGUUCACAAUGGUAUCAAUUUUAGAUCGAUCGACCUCUAUUCCCAUUGAUGAACGAUGAAACCGAGAAACUUGUCAGAAGUGACUCCGAAUGCACACUUCAAAGGAUUCAUCUUCAGUUGGUAUCUCCGAAAGCGUUGAAAAACUCUUCGAAGGUCUUGAAUAUGAUCCUCUCGCUUCUUUGAUUUCAUCACAAGGUCAUCAACGUAGCAUUCCACAUUCCUAUGGAGCAUAUCAUCAAAAAUUCUUUGCAUUGCCCUUUGAUAUGUCGCUCCAGUGUUUUUCAAGCCAAACAGCAUCACUUUAUAGCAAUAAAUUCUCUUGGGGGUGCGGAAGGCAGUGACCUCCUCAUCCUCGGGCACCAUGCAUAUUUGAUUGUAGCCAGGCGAUCCAUUGAGAAAAGAUAGUGCUUCAUGCCCGGUUGUAGCAUCUACCGUCAAUUCUGUGAUGGGGAGCGAAAAAUCAUCUUUGGGGCAAGUCUCAUUUAAAUCUCGAAAAUCAACACAAAUUCGAAUUUGCCCAUUCUUCUUCCUCACAGGAACAAUGCUUGAAAUCCAUGUUGGAUAUUUCACUUCCCGUAUGAACCCAACUUCAAUCAAUCUAUUUAUCUCAUUUUCUAUCAGAGAAAUCAAUUUGGGCCGAAAGCGCCUUUGAGUUUGCUUGACAGGUUUUGUUCCUCGCUUGAUAGACAAAUUAUGAACGGCGAUCCUUGGAUCUAAACCAGGCAUUUUUGAGUAAUUCCAGGCAAAGACGUCCCUGAACUCGAGCAGCAAAUCAACAUACUCUUUCUCUUCUUCAGAAGUCAUAUAAGAGCUUAUGUAAAUUGGGCGAGAAUCGUCGCUUGUGUCAAGGUUAAUCUCCUUUAGCAUAUCGACUGUAUUUUUUACCCCUUGUUCAAGUUCAGUGGGAGCGUUAUCCGCAUCUUCUUCUUCUUCUUCGGGAUCACUGAUCGUAAUAUGAUGACAGGAAACCAUAUUUUCUUGACAUUGUUCUUAAAAAAUGGUUUCAAUUCUUAUAUUGAAUAAGUCUCCAUAGUGCAUGAAGAAACUGGAGACUCGCUUUCUUAGUCCGUUCUUUUUUAUUGGAGUAAGAGUUUCUUCUUUGUCAACUUGGUACUCUUACUUUUUACUGCCUAAUCUUUCAUAGACGGGCGGUUUCAAAAUUUUCGGCUGUGAGCCAAAUCUGUCAAACACAAAAGUACGCUUUGACUUAUUUCCCAACCUAUCGAACACAGAUCUGUUUCGGCUUGUGACCUCCAUUUCUUCGUUCACGUAGUUAUAACUUGCCCUUUUGAUCAUUAUACGCACUGGAGAAGGCGAUUGAUAACCAAGACCCAUCGAUGAACUUUCAACAUUAUAGCCUUUUUCUUUCAAUAUUUUCUGCGUAGGUGUUAAUCCAUGAGUCUUCUCUCCAGUUACCUCAGGAGGGAGUUUGCCCAAUGCAUGCUUCUCAUUUGGGUUAUAACCGGCCUUAGCAAGAAGUCUAUAUGCGUUUGGAUCAAAACCUUCUUGAGUCCGAUUAAUUGGUAGUAAAUAGUAUUCUACUGUCGGUUCUUCUUUGGAACGAACACAUCCUGGCAAGCUCGCUUUCUCACCUUUAACAGGUUCUAUUUUGGUGAGCGGAACAUUUAAUGUAUCAUUCCUGAUAAAAGAAGACGACCUUCUUCUCUCUUUGAUCUUGGAAUAUACCGCAAAAUGGGUACUUUGAAAUCUUGACUUUCUUCCUUUACUGAUUCUUUUCUUUUUACUUUUUUCUGAAGGUAAAAUUUGGCAUCGACAAAGUGAGCCUCGGCCUCAGUGAAAGGUUUAUCAUUGAGAACAACCUUCUUAACUAUACCGUCUCGAUACUAUUUGAAAUAUUGAUGCAGAGUAAACGGUAUAAUUUCAUUCUCGUAAAUCCAGGGUCAUCCCAAGAGCAUAUUAUAAGAGGUUUUGGUUUCAAUGAUAUGAAAUAACGCACUUGAAGACAACUCAUCAAUGAGCAAUUCAAGCCUUAUAAGACCAAUUAUUUUUUGCCCCCAUGAUUAAAUUCUUGGAUCAUGAGGCGGCUUUGGGAGAGUUCAUCGUUUGAGAUUUCUAAUUCUUUCAUAGCGCGUACAGACAUAAUAUUGACAGCAGAUCCCCCAUCAAUGAGUAUCCGAGUCAUCUUCUGUUCUCGGACAUACGCACUAACAAACAAAGGUCGAUUGUAGGUCUUGAACUCAACAGUUAAAUCGUCAUCAUAAAAAAUAAUAGUCGUUGCACAAUCCACUGGUGGUUAUCAUCGAUUUUGAGUUUUUUCUCAAAUUUAGUGCUAAUUUGUGUGAUUUGAGGAUUUUCAACUUUGACGACAUUACAAGAAAUGGAAUUAUCAGCAUCGUCACUUAAAUACCCCUUGGGUAUAAAUCUCUCAGUGUCACGGGCUGUCGAAUCUCUUGAAGGAGCUGAAAAUCUGAAGGAAUUGGCAUUGUGGCCACUCCUUUUUAUUUCUUUGUUGCAUUUCAUUGUUUCAUUGUCAUUUUAGGCUUUGUCGAAUGAAUGCUUUUCGAAAAGAUGUACUUCUUUAUUUUUGGCUUGCAAGUUCUCUUUCGAGUGACUAAAGUCCAUCUUUCGUUGUCAUCUUCAAUAACGUAUUCAAUUGAAAAUUUUUCAAACUCCUUAGACAAAGCAUUGCUUGAUGUGGAUAAAACUUCUAUCGGACAACACAUAGACCCAAACAUUAUUGUUGUUUGGUUUGUCGAUACUUUAUCUUCUUCGAGAAGGAUUUUUUCUUGACGGGCCAAUUCCAUAAUUUUGUCCUUAAAGACAAAACAUUUUGUGAGAGGGUGGCCUAUCAGGCGAUGAUAACAGCAAUAAUUUGGAUCAGUGACUCAAUCGGCUUCCUCUGGGCGUUUCAUUUCGGGAAGUUCAAGGAGUUUCUCCUUGAAAAGAUCAUCAAACAUCCCUUGUAAAUCAGAUUCAAGGAAUAGGUUUCUUUUUCUUGCAUCUCUUUCAAAGUGGGUCUUCUUACCUACCUAUUUUGAGGGGAGUCUACCUUUUCGGUGACCUUUCGGCUCACCUUAGUAGCAAUUUUCAUGGGAGCUGUGUUUAUUGCCAUAGAUUCCUUAUUAUUGAAUCUUGAAAGAGGCUUGUCCCCUUUUUUAUUUUCUUGUCUUUCAUUGCUUUGACGAGGCGGCUGCACUCGUGGAGCUUGAAUAGGAAGCCCAUCAGUUGCAUUGGCCAUGAUGCUUAACUCUAUAUCAUGAGCACGAGUAGCUAAUUUUUCCAAUGUGUUUGGACGUAUACCCUGUAGAAUAUAGCUUAGGCUCCAAUGCAUUCCUCGGAUGCACAUUUCUAUGGCAGAGGGUUCAGACAGUCUGUCCUUGCAGUUAAGACUCAGACUUCUCCACCUAUCAAUGUAAUUGAUCAUAGGUUCAUCCUUCCAUUGACGAGUAUUAAUCAACUCCAGCAUACUGACGGUUCUUCUAGUGCUGUAGAAGCGAUUCAAGAACUCUUUUCCCAACUGUUCCCAACUAUCGAUGGAUCCCGGAGUGAGAUCAGUAUACCAAUCAAACGCGUUGCCCUUCAAGGAUCGGACAAACUGUUUGACUAGCAGGUCACCAUAGGUUCCAGCGUUAUUGCAGGUUUCGACAAAAUGGGUCACAUAUUGUUUUGGACUACCUUUCCCAUCGAACUGUUGAAAUUUAGGUUGUUGAUAUCCAACAGGCAUUGCUAGGUUGUCAAUUCUAGCAGUGCAAGGCUUGCAGUAGGUAAAACUUGACUUUGAACCACCCUCCUUUUUAUCUUUGAUCACGCCUUCAACAAGUUCCUUUAGUUGUUCAACAGGGAUAGUUUCAUCGGCAGUCACAUAUAUUUUCUUCACCUUGUCUUUACCUUUAGAUGAGGAAAUUUCAAACUCUUGGUGCUCCUUAGGGUUCGCAUGGCUUCUUUCAAGAGCGUGAUCUUUUUAGGUGAGUAGUUGAGCGAUAAGAGCAUCUUGGUCCUUGAUGUGUUUCGUCAUGGUCUCCAUCAUUUUGGACAUGUUCAAAACUUGUUCUUCGAGACUUAAAGUAUUUGUUAUCAUAGCAGGCAUUGCAGCAGAAGAAGCAGCAAAAUCUUCAAUAGAAAAUCUUGAUUGAAGAGUUUCAUGUGAAGAGGCUGAUCCAGUGCUUGAUGAAUCAUCAUCAUGCUUAGAAAAUUUGGAUUCGGAUCCAAAUUCGAGAAUAGCAAGAGCCUUCUCAAUCGAGGCAGGAACGUCUUGGAUUCCCAUCGUGAAGGAAUAGCUCAUUGGUGAUGUUGAACUGAAGACAGGAGUUGGUGCCGAUGAAGCUUCCAUGCUACUUUGGGUGGAAGUUCUCGUCAUGCUCCUUGUCACAAGACCAAUAACGCGAGUAUUGGUGGCAACAUGUGCAGUUUCCUGAACAGGUUUGACAUUAGCAGCGUUGGAACGAGCAGUCAUGGACUUGUUGUUCUUUGGUGCCAUUGGUGAUAUACGUAGUUGAUAUACUUGCAGUAUAUAAGAAAUAUAUUUGGAUUAAAUAACUCUAAAUAUUAUCCCUUUAAUAAGAAAUAAAUAUUUAGAUAUUUAUCCAAUAGACAUGUGACAUCAUAUGAUAUGGUUGGUGGAGAUAUCCCUGCAAUUUGAAUUGAUUCGGAACACCUCAACUUGACACGUGGCGAAAUAUAAUUGGCCAUUUAAUAACCAAUCUUUCCAGGUGUACAUGCCAUAUGGCAAUAUUCAAUUGGAUAAAAAUAAGUUAUAAAAAUAUUUUAUAGACCAAUGGUAAUUUUUGGAAUUUAAUUAAAAUUUCAUUGUCUACAAUAGCAACUCCAUUUAGAAAACUGGUCCACACCCUUGAAUGUGGUUUAAAUUUAAUAACACCAUUUCAUCAUUUCUGACGACUGCUUUUUCCACACCCUUGGGUGACAACUGCACAAGAAUAUUUUAACUUUACUUGGUAUGUUGAGUUUCUACAAGCGGAGCCAAAUAUCAUCCACAGAACUAUUACUCCUACUAGAAAAGCUCUUGAAGUAAAUCAUAUUUCCAUUUCCUGCUAUUUUCAUCAAUUAAACAAUCUAUAGUGGAGUCUUCCAGUAGCACAUCAAAAUGAGAUAUAAUUUUGAAAGUAGAAGGACGUGGAAUCUAUCUAUCUUUCCAAAUUUUGAUAUGAUUUCCGUUUCCAACUCGCCAUCAACUACCAAAAACACCUUUGACUGAUAAUUAAAUAGUUAAAAAAAAACUAUAUCUACCUAAUUUGUUUACUCAAUAUUUAUGUGCACUUAAACAUAAAAAGAAAAGGUCAAUCCAUAUAUUAGUGUUAUAUUUGUAAUAUUAGUUCCCUAUAUAGUAGGUUGCUGAGUUGGAUGUAUUUAUAUUCUACUGAGUAAAUGCCCAAUCUUUUCAAAACGUGGCAAAAAAAUUGUGUUUGUUUUUUUGGAAGAUUUCAUUCUUUUUCUUUUUUGGUAACAAUUAAUUUACUCUUCCUUUUCAAUUCAUUAUUUAUAGUAAAUUUCAAUCAAUCAUCAAUUACUUACCUUAUAUGCAUUUCUAUUAAUUAUACCUCUAUUUUUUUUCAAUCAACUCAUAGCUUUCCUUUUUAAUCAGGCACUCGUUAAUAUAUAUCUUAGGUGUUAAAUUAUUAGAAAUAUAAGAUUAAUUAGGGAAUUAUUUAGAAAAAAUAUAUAAAUACAAGAGAAAGUAGUAAUUGUUGUAUAUAUACAUAGUAGGUUGGGUGAAAUGUAAGUGUGUUAACGAUUGCCCAUAGGGCACCUAUUAGAAAAACUCAUCAAAAUUUGGAUGAAUUUUUAUUUUGCCUAUCAUUGCAAUCAUUACUACCAUUUUUCCUAUCAUUUAUUACUAUACCUUCAUGUUUUCUAAAUUCCAAUCAAUGUAUUACUCUCUUAUUUUUUAUAUGAUUGUGCUAAUUACAGCUUUCCUUUUACUUAAUCAAUUAGUCAAUCAAUCAAUCAACCCAUGAUUUUAAUUUUCUUUUUCAAUCACAAGAUUCUUUCUUUUAUCCAUCAUUAGGGAGAUUUACAAUUAGUCACAUUUUUUCUAUUUUGUACUUCCAUUACUUGACCUGAUUAUUAAUUCAAUCCACAUAUCUUGUAAUGUGUACAAGAAUAUGCAAUCAUAAGCACAAAUAAAUGCAAUUCUAAUAAUUUUGCAUAUAUGCUUUCAUAUUGUAUUGCAACACAUUUAAUAAUUCAUUAUAUGGUUACAAAAGAAAAAAAAAUCUAGUAUUACCUAGACCUUAGCUAGUUCCCAAUGUAUACGCUGAUACUAUACGAAAAGAUUUAAAAUCUGCUAAUGUAUAUACUGAUUGCAUAUGAAGAUUCAUCCCUAGUUUAGACCUCUUAGAUAGUUUCCAAGCAUUAUAUUCCCUUUUUUCAAUUUCUUAUUUAGUUUAAUUCCUAAAGUUAAUGAAAUGGUUUUUAAAUCUCCCCUAUAAGUGUACCUUAUUACCAUUUAUGAUUUUUUUUUUAAAUUUAAGCAACAUCUUCCAAUAUUUUAUCACCAUUUUAAAUUAGUUCAUUUUUAGGAGAUAGUAGUAUAAGUGUGGCAUUUUGUCCAAAUAACUUUGAAUAUGCAUAGACAACCCAAAAAUAAAAUGUGUUUAUCUUUGUUCGUACCUUUUGAUGAUUACAAAACAAGUGGAUAAAACUAAUAUUUUCCAAGUUUGUUUUUGGUCAGAAAAUGGAGCAAGAUAGGUUCAAAGGCCAAGCAUCUGCUAAAACAUCUGUCGGACGCACAAAUACAUCCUAUCGGCCGUCCGAUAACCAUUGUGUGAGAGCCCGUAAAUUUUCUUAUUUUCUAGGCUUUACUUUAUUUAAUUGCACGCCUUUUAUGCAUUUUCUUUAUUAGGAAAAUUUUCCAGAUAAUUUUUAUGAGCAAAUAGAGUUUUCAAGUUAUUUUUCUAGUAUAAAUGAGUUCAUGAGAAUUUUGGAGCGUAUACCGGACGUGCGACCCGCUAGUGUGGAGAAAGUUCGGUAAAAUUCGGCCAAUUGGGUUAAGUUUUGUAUACAGGGUUUAAUUUACUAGGUGCUAAGAGAUAAUUAGAGGAUACCAUAUGGAUGAGAGUUGAGGAAACAAAGGGAUAUUCAUGCAUUAAAUAGGGUGACAAGUGUCACCAUAUGAUUAAAUCUUGCAUUUUGACCACUAUUCAUUACCUUUACUAAAUACCAAAAUUUGACCACAAAUCAUCUUCAAUUUCUUGUGUCUUGGCCGAACCUUGGAGGGAAGAAAGAAGAAAAAAAAACUUCAUCUUGCACCAUUCUUUCUUGCUUCAAUCUUGGAUUCCAACCAUAAAUCUUGCAAACCUCUCCAUAUAAGUUGCUCUUUGGGUUAGAUUAAAGAUUGUGGUGGAGUGAUUUUUGGAGAAGAAAACCUAAGCUAUCAUCUUUCCUCAAGUUUCAAGGUAUAUUCCCUAGAACUUUCCUUUUACUCUUGAUAAUUGUCGAUUAAUGGAUUGGAAAGGUUAAAGGUGUAGUUUUGUGGAUAAGUUUAUGGUUUUAAGUAGGGUUAUGGUGAAUUUCAGUUUUUAUAGUAAAAUUUCUGUCCUCAUAUGAUGAUUAAUGUUUGGGCAUGAUUUGGUAGUUGUUAUGAGCAAUUUUGAGCUUGAGAAUGCUAGUUUUGCUUGCCUUCAAAGAAUUUCAGCUUGUAUAGAAAAAUUUCUAGAUUAGGAUUUAUAAUUUUCCCCAUUCUGGCUGGCACUGUUUCUCCUAUUUAGAGGCCGAAUUAGCCUUGGGUUAAAACAUGAAAGUUGUAGAGAAUGAUGUUUUAUAGUUUCCUUCAAAGUUUUAGCUCAAUCGGAGCAACGUAGCUUGUGAAAAAGACCGAAAUACCCUUGCUGCCCUGUUUCUAUCCGAACAUGCUAAUCAGCUUCUGUAAUUGGUUGUUUUGACCAGGAAUACUACUGAUUUGGUUGCCAAUGUCUUUUUAACAUUUAUACCCUUGUAUCUUAGCUUUCAAAGGGCUUUGGAAUCACUUGAAUUGGAGUUGUGUAUGAUGAGAUAUGACUGAAUGAAUCAGAACUGCCACAGUAAACUUCGAAUUGGAAAAUCUGGGGUUAUUUUGAUAACUUUUACCUAGAUACAUUGCAAACUGGACUGAGUGGCCUUCUUCAACAUUGUAGCCUUUUCUCUUAGCUUCGAAACGGCGUAAAUUUCACCCCAAUUCGAUAAGUGUAGCUCCAGUUGUGUCCAUUCCGUUAAAUGACGUCAAAACUGUCUUUUGGUUUUAAGGUUUAUAAUUGGGGCUUUUCUAGGGUUCCUUUGUUGAGCUACCAUUUGGUUGUUUUGAAAGGUAUUGUGGCUCUAAUUAAAGGUAUUUGAUAGUUCGUGAUUGGGUGUUGAUGCUUGGUUGGAAAAGUAAAGAAAGACAAGGGGAAGUGCUGUCCAAAUGUUUGCAGGAGCUUCGGUGCAAUCUCGGGAGAUUUGCUAUAUCUUGAUGUAGAAAUGUCGGAAUUGAGUUCUGUUUAUUGUAUUUUAAACUAGAUUCAUAGGGUUAUAAACCGUGUAAAUUUUAGAUCCUGUUUCUAUCUGUCCAAUUUAUGGUGAUUUUUCAAAUUUGACAGAAAUCUUGUACCUGUUCUGUCCUCCACUGGAUAAAGCAGCAACUUACGACUUGAAUUCGACUGACUUACGUUCUGAAUCUUACAAUAGUGUUUUCUGGAAAGUUAUAGCCCUUUGAAUGUAUUUUCCAACGGUAUAACUUUUAUUAAUUUUGGACUUACAAAACUUGAGAUAUGAUUUUUCAUAUAAGGUCGCGCGAAACUAGAAAAAUUCUAUUUUCCUAGUAUUGAUCUUGCUUUCAUUAUCUACUUCAAAUUUGGAAUUGGUCAGUCAUUGUAGGAAGGGUUUUGAGGUUGUUCAUGCUUUUAAGACUGCUUGUUACCUUUUCACUCCGAAGUCACCUCUUUGCUUUGCAUUAAUGGUUCUUUUGACUAGGCAUAUGGCUCGUAACCGAGUCUCACUUGCGAAUUCCAUAUUCGGUCUUGGAGUCGAGUCUUAAGUGUUUGCCUUGAUUGUUCUGGGAGGUAACGACGAGUAAAGCCACACUUGGGAAGGAAACUUUUGACAUUAUCCUUGUUUGAUCAGGUGAGUGCACCACUCCCCUGAGUUAUUGUUAAACUGGUUUUCUGUACUUGCAACAUGCUAUUUGAAUAUCUUUCCUGACUGUUUAUCUUGUAUGAGACGAGGGUGUAGUUUAUCACACUCGUUCUCUUGCCUGUACUGAACAAACUGGAAUCUAUUACUUGUACUUGUUAUGUAUUUGAACUUGUUACUUGCACUUGUUAUGCGAUCGUUUGAAAGUGUGUCCACGAUCGUCCUGUUAAACCUGAGCUCAACCUCAUGGGGAGUUAAUUAAAUCGAGCCAUGCAAGGGCUUGGUCGAGAAAAUUGACAAUCCGUGGGUGCCUGUUUUUAUGGAAUCUUUGAGUAUUGAGACUCUUGAUUCCGGUAUACUCGAGUAUUACCAUUCCUGUUUCUAUUUGGCGUUCGGACCCGGUAAGGGGGUAUGAAUGGUGAACGGGAUUCGGCGUUAAAGCGGUGUUCUACUGGACUGGUUUUCUUUAGUUGAAAGUUGACGGAGGGUCAACGUAGUCGGAUGAAGUACUGUAACGGGAAAUUGGCUCCUGAGAGCCAUCUGUAUCCUUUCUAUCUAAGUUGUUUACAUAUCUCCUUAUUUGGUACACUUAUGUGAUUAAUUGAGCAUGAAGUUCCUUGGUCCUUGACUGUUAUUAUUUUUGGUACCUCAUUGAGCUUAUAGCUCACCCCGUUUUGUUAUCAUUGUUUUCCUUACAGGAAAAUCUUUUGGGAACAAUGAUGUUUGGAAGCAUGAGUUGAGCUAGAUAUAUAUUCUUUUGUAUAGCUCCUCAAUAGAUAGAAACCUUGAAUGUAUUUCGAUCCAACAACUCCCUUUUGAUUUGUAAAUUUGCAAUCAUGUAUUUAUAUAAUAUAUAAAAGUGUUUAAUCAUGUACAUGUGUUACCCCGCUCGAAUGUGUUCAUUCUUUAUGGCUACGUGGAGUUUAAUGAAAUUACUGAGGUUUCGGACGAGUAUAGUAUCCAAGUGUGAAAAGGAAAAAAAAAAUCGGCAGGGAUUUCGACAAUAUUAUGGGUUGGCAAGUUACAUUUAACUUGGAGGUUUCCCAAUCGUUCGUUUUCUUUGGUUUCUAUCACGCGUGCUAUAGAGUUGGGAGUGAUUUGACCCCGUAGUCCCGGCGAGAGUUGGGCAGGCGGUCCACCGAACCCUUUGGUUCGCCUUAGGGGGAGGUGGGGCUGUCACAGGUGGUAUCAGAGCUGCUUCGCGUGGUCUCUGCGCGGAGUGAGUUUGACCAAGUGGUGUUAUGGUCCCUAUUCCGUGAAUGUGUACGAAUGUUUAAGUGCUCUUUUGAGCAUAACCUUUGGAUCAUGAAAUGUUAUAGGUUUUAAACCUUUAUCAUGGUACUUGGAGACAAUAGAUCUGUAGGUCUGGUAAGAAUCUCGAUUGUAGAUGAAUUACUCUUGGGACUGGCCAGCCCGAGUUGUGAAUUAUCUUAUUUUGGGAUUCUUGUGCCCGACUACUAAAUAAAUGACUUGGGCGGACUAGAAAUUCGAUUCUAUGGAACGUCAUGUGAUGUGUUAGGGUUUCAUUACGAAUGAUUAACCAUGACUAAGAUAUAAAUUCUAUAUAACCGUUUUUAGUUGGUUACUCUUGUACCAUUGGCUUAGUUAGUAUCACGAAGGAUGUUUCCUUUUGCUUGUAUCUAAUUGACUGCUACUGUGUGAUCUGUUUGUGUUAGAUGUGUUAUAUGUAUAUUGCCUACUUUUAUCACUUGCACCUGCAUACUUUGGUUUUAAUACCGUAUUCGUGGUCCAACCCUAGAUUGGUUAAGCCAUAUGGAAGGCACCCGUAGUGGACGUGGUCGUGAUCGCUGAAUUAGGCAACCCACGACUGAAGGAGAUAUUAGGGGAACUACGUCUGAACCAAACUCUGAACCUAGGGUUGAUCCGAACGUACAAGUGGCCGCAGCCAUUCAACGAAUGACCGACCUUUUGGCUCACAUAGUAGAACAUCAAGGUCAACAUCCUAUUCAUCAGCCGAAAAAUCCUGGUAAUCAUACCGAGGGUGAGGAUAGAGCCCUCGAACGAUUUCAGAAGUUCUCCCCACCGCAAUUUCUUGGAGGACCAGACCCCGACGUGGGCGAGAGGUGGUUAGAGAAGUUGAUUGAUAUCUUUGCUGCGCUACACUGCACUGAGGAGCGACAGGUGACAUUUGUCGUCUUCUAACUGGAGGGAGCGGCCCGAUCUUGGUGGAACAUCAUAAGACUGAAAUGGGAAAGAGAACAAACCCCAAGGACGUGGGUGAAUUUCAUGAGAGAAUUCAACACGAAGUAUAUUCCACCCCUGAUCCAGGAAAAGAAGGAAGAUGAGUUUAUUCGAUUUCGCCAGGGAACUCAAACCGUUGCCGAAUAUGAAAACCAGUUCACCAGGUUGUCCAAGUUCGCUCCCGAGCUAAUCGUGACUGAGCAAAGGAGGAUAAGGCGUUUCGUCCAAAGAUUAAACGUUGAGAUUCAGAAGGACUUGGCCGUGGCCCAACUUAAUACUUUUAGUGAUGCGGUGGAGAAAGCUCAACGAGUUGAAAGUGCGAGGUUACAAGUUAAGAAUUUUCAAGUCAAGAAAAGGGGAUUUCCUGGAAGCCAUUCGGAGCAAGGAGAUAAAAGUACGCCUCCUAAGAUUGGAAGGGAAAAUGGAGGAGUACAACUACCUGGGAUGUCAAGUGGUGCCUCACAAAAAGGCUCAGUCUCCGCUUCCCGUAGUCCGUGCGGGUACUGUGGGAAGCCAAAUCACACGGAGGAUGUCUGCUGGAAGAAAGGAAGAAAAUGUCUGCGUUGUGGGAGCGCAGAUCAUCAAAUUGCAAAUUGCUCAGGCCAAACUCGAGAAGGGAGUAGGAGGCAACAGCCAACCACGACCAACCCUGACCAGUCGAAGGAGGAAAAGAAUGGAUCGAAAGUGUCAGUUCGGGUGUACUCCUUAGAACAACAUCAAGUUUCUGACCCAUUUGAGGACGUGGAAGAUAAGAUUCUGGUAUUCCACCGUUUGCUCACUGUUUGCAAUUUGGGAAGGAAGAAUUCAAUGAACAUGAAGGGAUACUGAUUGCGAUUGGUUAGCUAAGUAUGAUACUCAAUUUGACUGCGAGAAGGAAGUAGUAAAUUUUUGUAUCCCGAAUAAGGCAAUGAGAAGGAAUUUCGAGGACGAAAUUCUUUUAAGAGGGAGAGAGUGUGAGAGCCCGUAAAUUUUCUUAUUUUCUAGGCUUUACUUUAUUUAAUUGCACGCCUUUUAUGCAUUUUCUUUAUUAGAAAAAUUUUUCAGAUAAUUUUUAUGAGCAAAUAGAGUUUUCAAGUUAUUUUUCUAGUAUAAAUGAGUUCAUGAGAAUUUUGGAGCGUAUACCGGACGUGGGACCCGCUAGUUUGGAAAGUUCGGUAAAAAUUCGGCCAAUUGGGUUAAGUUUUGUAUACAGGGUUUAAUUUACUAGGUGCUAAGAGAUAAUUAGAGGAUACCAUAUGGAUGAGAGUUGAGGAAACAAAGGGAUAUUCAUGCAUUAAAUAGGGUGACAAGUGUCACCAUAUGAUUAAAUCUUGCAUUUUGACCACUAUUCAUUACCUUUACUAAAUACCAAAAUUUGACCACAAAUCAUCUUCAAUUUCUUGUGUCUUGGCCGAACCUUGGAAGGAAGAAAGAAGAAAAAAAAAAACUUCAUCUUGCACCAUUCUUUCUUGCUUCAAUCUUGGAUUCCAACCAUAAAUCUUGCAAACCUCUCCAUAUAAGUUGCUCUUUGGGGUAGAUUCAAGAUUGUGGUGGAGUGAUUUUUGGAGAAGAAAACCUAAGUUAUCAUCUUUCCUCAAGUUUCAAGGUAAAUUCCCUAAAACUUUCCUUUUACUCUUGAUAAUUGUCAAUUAAUGGAUUGGAAAGGUUAAAGGUGUAGUUUUGUGGAUAAGUUUAUGGUUUUAAGUAGGGUUAUGGUGAAUUUCAGUUUUUAUAGUAAAAUUUCUGUCCUCGUAUGAUGAUUAACGUUUGGGCAUGAUUUGGUAGUUGUUAUGAGCAAUUUUGAGCUUGAGAAUGCUAGUUUUGCUUGCCUUCAAAGAAUUUCAGCUUGUAUAGAAAAAUUUCUAGAUUAGGAUUUACAAUUUUCUCCAUUCUAGCUGGCACUGUUUCUCAUAUUUAGAGGCCGAAUUAGCCUUGGGUUAAAACAUGAAAGUUGUAGAGAAUGAUGUUUUAUAGUUUCCUUCAAAGUUUUAGCUCAAUCGGAGCAACGUAGCUUGUGAAAAAGACCAAAAUACCCUUGCUGCCCUGUUUCUAUCCGAACAUGCUAAUCAGCUUCUGUAAUUGGUUGUUUUGACCAGGAAUACUACUGAUUUGGUUGCCAAUGUCUUUUUAACAUUUAUACCCUUGUAUCUUAGCUUUCAAAGGGCUUUGGAAUCACUUGAAUUGGAGUUGUGUAUGAUGAGAUAUGACUGAAUGAAUCAGAACUGCCACAGUAAACUUCGAAUUGGAAAAUCUGGGGUUAUUUUGAUAACGUUUACCUAGAUACAUUGCAAACUGGACUGAGUGGCCUUCUUCAACAUUGUAGCCUUUUCUCUUAGCUUCGAAAUGGUGUAAAUUUCACCCCAAUCCGAUAAGUGUAGCUCCAGUUUUGUCCAUUCCGUUAAAUGACGUCAAAACUAUCUUUUGGUUUUAAGGUUUAUAAUUGGGGCUUUUCUAGGGUUCCUUUGUUGAGCUACCAUUUGGUUGUUUUGAAAGGUAUUGUGGCUCUAAUUAAAGGUAUUUGAUAGUUCGUGAUUGGGUGUUGAUGCUUGGUUGGAAAAGUAAAGAAAGACAAGGGGAAGUGCUGUCCAAAUGUUUGCAGGAGCUUCGGUGCAAUCUCGGGAGAUUUGCUAUAUCUUGAUGUAGAAAUGUCGGAAUUGAGUUCUGUUUAUUGCAUUUUAAACUAGAUUCAUAGGGUUAUAAACCAUGUAAAUUUUAGAUCCUGUUUCUGUCUGUCCAAUUUAUGGUGAUUUUUCAAAUUUGACAGAAAUCUUGUACCUGUUCUGUCCUCCACUGGAUAAAGCAGCAACUUGCGACUUGAAUUCGACUGACUUACGUUCUGAAUCUUACAAUAGUGUUUUCUGGAAAUUUAUAGCCCUUUGAAUGUAUUUUCCAACGGUAUAACUUUUAUUACUUUUGGACUUACAAAACUUGAGAUAUGAUUUUUCAUAUAAGGUCGCGCGGAACUGGAAAAAUUCUGUUUUCCUAGUAUUGAUCUUGCUUUCAUUAUCUACUUCAAAUUUGGAAUUGGUCAGUCAUUGUAGGAAGGGCUUUGAGGUUGUUCAUGCUUUUAAGACUACUUGUUACCUUUUCACUCCGAAGUCACCUCUUUGCUUUGCAUUAAUGAUUCUUUUGACUAGGCAUAUGGCUCGUAACCGAGUCUCACUUGCGAAUUCCAUACUCGGUCUUGGAGUCGAGUUUUAAGUGUUUGCCUUGAUUGUUCUAGGAGGUAACGACGAGUAAAGCCACACUUGGGAAGGAAACUUUUGACAUUAUCCUUGUUUGAUCAGGUGAGUGCACCACUCCCCUGAGUUACUGCUAAACUGGUUUUCUGUACUUGCAACAUGCUAUUUGAAUAUCUUUCCUGACUGUUUAUCUUGUAUGAGACGAGAGUGUAGUUUAUCACACUCGUUCUCUUGCCUGUACUGAACAAACUAGAAUCUAUUAUUUGUACUUGUUAUGUACUUGAACUUGUUACUUGCACUUGUUAUGGGAUCGUUUGGAAGUGUGUACACGAUCGUCCUGUUAAACUUGAUCGUCCUGUUAAACCUGAGCUCAACCUCAUGGGGAGUUAAUUAAAUCGAGCCAUGCAAGGGUUUGGUCGAGAAAAUUGAUAAUCCGUGGGUGCCUGUUUUUAUGGAAUCUUUGAGUAUUGAGACUCUUGAUUCCGGUAUACUCGAGUAUUACCAUUCCUGUUUCUAUUUGGUGUUCGGGUCCGGUAAGGGGGUAUGAAUGGUGAACGGGAUUCGGCGUUAAAGCGGUGUUCUACUGGACUAGUUUUCUUUAGUUGAAAGUUGACGGAGGGUCAACGUAGUCGGAUCAAGUACUGCAACGGGAAAUUGGCUCUUGAGAGCCAUCUGUAUCCUUUCUAUCUAAGUUGUUUACAUAUCUCCUUAUUUGGUACACUUAUAUGAUUAAUUGAGCAUGAAGUUCCUUGGUCCUUGACUGUUAUUAUUUUUGGUAUCUCAUUGAGCUUAUAACUCACCCCGUUUUGUUAUCAUUGUUUUCCUUACAGGAAAAUCUUUUGGGAACAAUGAUGUUUGGAAGCAUGAGUUGAGCUAGAUAUAUAUUCUUUUGUAUAGCUCCUCAAUAGAUAGAAACCUUGAAUGUAUUUCGAUCCAACAACUCCCUUUUGAUUUGUAAAUUUGCAAUCAUGUAUUUAUAUAUAUAUAUAUAAAAGUGUUUAAUCAUGUACAUGUGUUACCCCGCUCGAAUGUGUUCAUUCUUUAUGGCUACGUGGAGUUUAAUGAAAUUCUGAGGUUUCGGACGAGUAUAGUAUCCAAGUGUGAAAAGAAAAAAAAAAUCGGCAGGGAUUUCGACAAUAUUUUGGGUUGGCAAGUUACAUUUAACUUGGAGGUUUCCCAAUCGUUCAUUUUCUUUGGUUUCUAUCACGCGUGCUAUAGAGUUGGGAGUGAUUUGACCCCGUAGUCCCGGCGAGAGUUGGGCAAGCGAUCCGCCGAACCCUUUGGUUCGCCUUAGGGGGAGGUGGGGCUGUCACACGUUGAGUAUCUUCGGACGCGCAAAAAACCUAUCCUCGGACGUCCGACACUGAUAAGUCAGUACUUCUAAGAUCUCUAACCUCGAUCGGAAGCACAAUACCUGAGCACCGGACGUCCAACAAUCGUUGCAACACUUCGGACGACAAGCAUUAGAAGCACCGGACGUCCGAAAGAAUUAAUGAAGGAUUCCAAGUUUUACAUCAUAUGGUCGGACGCAUAUUCUGAUGCUGCCGGACGUCUUAAAGAUUUCAAGAAAAUUUCUUGAACUCACUACCUGCGUUCGGACGCACAAAACCAGCCUACCGGACGUUUUUACACUUCUAACGGCUAGUUGACUCUUCAGCUGCCUUGUGUCCGUUAGUGGCAUUAAUUGAAGAUGUUUUUGGUCUAUUAUAAAUAAGAUAAAAGUCAACCGCCAAAAGUAUUGAUACACAUUAAGUCUACAUCAGAUCUUGAGUGAUUCAAGCAUAAGAAUACUCCAAAAAGAAGAUUUGUACUCUUAGUUGUGUGAUCUUCAUUUAACUUUUCAAGUGUGAUUCAAUUUUUUCAAUAGUGUAACUUUGUGAGGGUUAUUCGAGUGAUUGUAAAACUUCCUUGCUUGAUCAAGUGUAUCUUGAGGCAAGGAGGAAGUGAUCCUUCCCGUGUACACAAGAGAUUGGUUGUAUGUUGAAUUAACUUGAAGGAGCUUACAAUAUAAAGGGAUAUUCAAACUCUAGUCGAGUUUGAGAUUUGGUUUGCUAUUCCAUCUUUUUAUUCACUGUUUUCCAACAUUAACUGUUUAUCUCUUCUGUUCUAAAUUACUUUCACUUUAUCAUAAAUUGUUCCUUGGUCUCGUUCUUUAGAAAAAUAGGGCUAGUUCAGAAAAAAAGUGAUUUAUAUUUUGGCUAGCUUUUAAAUCACCUAAUUCACCCCCCUCUUAGGUUGUUUUCGAUCCUUAUAAUUGAUAUCAGAGCUUGGUUUCCUUAAGAUUAAGCUCAAUCGGCUUAGGAGUAAAUAUGACAACCAACAAUGCCAUGUUCUUUGAGGGACAAUCAGUAACUAGACCUCCUAUAUUCAAUGGUUCAAACUAUGUGAGUUGGAAGGAAAUGAUGAUUAUUUUCUUACAAUCUAUUGAUAUUGAGCUAUGGUUUAUUGUCAAUGAAAGUCCGUUUGAUGCCUCUACUAUUGAUGCAAAUACAAACAGGCCGAGACCAAAAACAAGAAGGAAACUAAUUGCUGAAGAUAGAACUCAUCUCACUCUGAAUGCCAAGGCGAUGAAUGUACUGUACAGUGCUUUAGACUCAAACAAAUCUGUUAGAGUCAAGGGUUGCAAAUCUGCAAAAGAAAUCUGGGAUAAAUUUUGAGAAAUACACGAAAGAAGUGAAAAUAUGAGAGAACAGAAGAAGUCCAUUCUGGUCACGAAGUAUGAAUCCUUUAAGAUGGAACCUCACGAAAACAUCGAUAAGAUGUAUUGCAGAUUCAAUGAUCUUAUUAAGGAUCUACAAGUUCUUGAGAAAGAUUACUCUCUAGGUGAGAAAAACAGAAAAAUUCUGAAUGCUCUAUCAAAGGAUUGAGAGAGUAAAGUGACUGCCAUUGAGGAAGCCAAAGAUCUGAACACUUUAUCUAUUGAAUCCCUUAUAAAUUCACUAACCUCUUAUGAGCUAAAACUCAAGUCUAAGGUGCAGGAAGAAGAAAACACAAGAGUUAGAAAGAGCAUUGCUCUGAAAACUUCACAAGAAGAAGAUGAUACAAUCUCUCUGGAUGGAGAUGACAUGGAAGGUGAUGAUAGUGACAUUGCACUCAUCACAUGAGGCUUCAAAAGAAUACUCAACAAGAGAAGAUUCAGAAAAGGAGGACAUAGCAAUUCCUUUCCAAAUCAGUCCAACAACUUCAGAAAUAAAGGAAAGCUGGAAUUCAACAAAAAGCAAACUGAUAAGUGCUUUGAAUGCUGCCAACUUGGUCAUUAUGCAAAUGAAUGUCCAAUGAAGAAAAAGAAGGAGAACAAGAGUGAACGAAAACCAAAAUUCAACAAUUUCCAAAUCACCUGGAAUGACUGUCGCGCCCCACUUUUCGAUUGAAUUGCGUGAGUGAUGUGUUGUGUGUGUGAGUAGUGGAAUGUGAACGUGUGUAAAUGAAAAGUAAAAGGCCAUGGGACUUUGGAAAGCGACGAUUUGGCCAAAUGAAAUUUAAAAAGGGUUUUUAAAUAUAAAAACGGAGUCGCCACUUGGUAUAGAUUUGGGGUGUACCAAGUCACCCAAAAAGUGUUUUUUAAAGACAAAGUAGUAAAACCCUUUUUAAAACGACUCCUAGUCCACGUAAGCCAAAGAAAAAGGUUCGGGGGUCACGUUUGACAAAGGGGAAGGCAAGGAUAGAAUCCAAGGCACCCCUUUGACCUAGGCAAGGCUAGUUGCGCGACUUAACCCUACCUUUCCUAAUUUUCUACCCAAUAUAUGUUCGCACGUUGGAUAUGACUAUAUGAAUGCAAAACGGAAAGAAAAAUGCAAUCCUAAGUUCUACGAUGUCUCUCGUGAGGCUUUUGGUCCCAAACCACAUGAAUUGUGGCGGCCAACAAAGGAAAACCCCAUAGAGGUCGAUUAAUGCAAAUGAGACUCAAGUGUGCAAGUGUGAAAGUGUAUGAAAGAAAUUAAAAAUCCAAGUGUUUGUGUGCAAGUGUAUGAAAAGGUGCACGUGUGCAAUUGUAUGAAAAUUCCAAGUGUUCGUGUGCAAGUGUAUGAAAUAUAGUGAUAAGUGCAUAUAGGUGUGAGUGAAUGCAAUUUUGUGAAGUAGAAAAAAAAAUGAACAAUAAGGAAAGGAAAAUGUGAAUUGAAAAGAAUGAGUGAGUGAUAAAUGAGAAUGAAUGAACCUAAGGGAAUGCAUCAGGUCGGGUAUGGGAAUGACUCCUAACUUGUCGACUUCGAUUUUCCCUUUGAUUAGAAGGCAAAACUAGCGUGCUAAGGCUAUCGAGUAGCCACACUCGCUCGUUUCCCUUAUCAGAAGGGGACCCUCAAGCAAAUGGACCCUACAACUAUCAUGAUAUGCAAAAAUCCUAAAAUGAAGGGAAAGGGGGUUCGAGGAGCAUGCCAAGUGAUAAAACUAAGAAAAAUGCAUGAUAUGUGGUGAACAAGCAAAAGAUAUGCUAAUGAGGGGAAAUCCCUAAGGGUCUAGCGUUGGACUAGCCCAUUCUAUGAAUUCCGACUAGCGUUGGACUAGCGGAAACGUACAUUCAUCCAUUCCAUUCAUUCAUGGCUAUGAAAGCAAGUAGACAUGCCAAAAUAUUCGUAAACACAUAGCACAUAGCAUUUAGCAUGCUCGACUAGAUGCAAGAGCCUAAUAAAGCAAUUAAACAUGUAGCAACAAAAACAAGCAACCAGGGGGAAGGGGAAAUGGACCAGAUGCUCUCCGAGCACUAUCUAUUACAAGCCAAGAGGUGUACACAUACCCCAUAAAAGCAUAAAAGGGAAAGGGUGAAUGGACCAGAUGCUCUCCGAGCACUAUCUAUUACAAGCCAAGAGGUGUACACAUACCCCAUAAAAACUUAAAUAAAAGUAAAAAGCAAGUAAAUGCACGCAGGGAGGUAAGGAAAGCGAAGUAGACAUGCAUAUUCACAUAACACGUAGGAGCACGUAGGGUCAAAUGAAGUGCAAAUGAGGGAUAGAGUGUACCUCCCUUGAAGCGACGCCCUAACGUAGUGAAAUUACUAAUUUACCCUCCAAAAUAAUAAACAGGUCAAGGUACCACUUAAAUUAUCGAAUAAUCACACGAAACAACCAUUAAACACAAACAAAUGGAAAUUGAGCAUGAAACGAAAAUUAAAUAUGGAAUAGACCAUGCAUGUGCAAGCAAAACUCGGUCUCAAAUAAAAAGCCUCAAGAAUCUAAAAUGGAGUGCUAAAUUGAAAUGCUGUGAGUGGAAUCUAUCGCCAUCAAGUGCAAAAAAUCACGAAAGGAAGAAAUGGAAAAUUAUUAAAGUUUUAGAAACAAGAUUAACUAAGCAGAAUUUAAAUCAAACAAAAUCAAGACCACCAAUGCUUCCAAGCUACCAAACUUUCAUGAUUUGAUCCUAGAAUUCUAUUAGCAUUGUCCACAAUUCACAUGAAAAAACAUAUCAAGGCAUAAUUACACAAAAGAGAUCCAAUUGCGAAAAUUAAUCAACCAUGCAAGCCCAAUCAAAAUGUUCAAGGAAUUUUAAAAGGUCAAAUAGCAAAGAAAAAGUCAAGCCAUGGUUCCAAUUGCAACUAUCCUAGGAUCUAAUUGCAAGAAAUUUGAAUGUAAUUGGGCCUUAGUAGACCAAGAGGAGAUUUGGGGGAUCAAAGUCCAAUUUGUAGAAAUUACUUCAUGCAUAAGCAUGCAAUCACGUUGCUUUCUUUUUUAAACAAUGCUUCUGCAAUUCUCUUCGCUAAUCUUUGCAAUCUGCUAUGCCUUAUUACCAAAACGUUACCAACAAAAACAGCCACACUUUUGAGUCAAAUGAUCAUAGUCAUCCCCCCAUUCAUCAACCAAACCACAUACCAUGCUUUUAUGACAGAAUCAAGGCAGAAAAAACUGGAAUGAUAGCUGCCAAAAACCAAAGAGAUAACAGCAAAAAGAAAGAAACAAAGUGCAGCAAGAGUCUUCAGCCACCUUAAGGUUCGCUAGCAGCCUGGAGAACUUACGAUGGACUCCAGAAAACCACCCUAACAUCAUGAAUUAAACAUGCAAGCCAAUAACCUAUUCAAAGUUCAUUCCAGAUUCAUUCGAGAUUCCCUACUGCAAUCUUCUGGUUUCAUUAUGCAAGCCAAAUCAGCAAGUUACCAAGGUUUCAACUACUUGUUGCGGGUUUGAAGCCAAGCAUCUAAGUUAACCCAACAGCAAACGAAAGGGAAGAAAUGCAGCAAGGAACGCCAGAGGUUUCAUGCAAACGAAACUGAUCAUCAACGAUAUAAGCAAACAGCAAAACAGCAAUAGAGGAAAAGGAAAAAUGUGUCGCGAGUUUCUGCAAUUUUUUUUAGCCGCGGCUUUCCUUCCCUUUCAUCAUGCAAGUGAGUUCAACUUCCAAAAUUUUAACUACUGACUAAAUGAAACGCAGACCCUUGUUGCAGAAUUGAAACCAAACAUUUAAAUGGCCCAAUAGCAAAAGAAAAAGGAAUUUUUCAUGCAAGUUUCAUGCAAAGAAUGAGCUUCCUGCAACCGAGAGAUGCUGCAAUUUUUAUUCUGUUAAACCACUAUUCCAUCAGCAAAUUACACUCAAUUCAAAACUCCACCUUGACCUUAACAACAAAAUCACCAAACUCAAAGUCCAAAUAAACUAAACGACUUAGCAAGAGGAUAGGCAAUUCCAGAAAUUUCUGCUAUCGCUGUCAUGAACAACAAAGCAUCAUUUUUUGAUCACAAAUGCAAACACAACCCAUUUAAACAUGGUAGAAUGUGCACUAGACAUUCAAUGAAAGAACAUCAGCCACAAAUGGCCAACUACAUUAUCUGAAUAUGCGCUUGCAAACAUAAAAGACAGCCAAAGCAACGUGAGGAUUUACAGCAAUGUACUUCGCUAGGAGCUAAGUGCAAAGAAACAACCAAAGCUGUAAACUUUCUGCAAUUUUUCCUUUCGGCUAAGACACAGUCACGCAAGACACCAAUUCAUUAACCAAACUUCAGAAUUUUCAUUACCCAAAUAAGAACCAUCAAUCAUAUUGAAUCCAAAACAGAACCAGUAAACAGCAGAGGAAUGCAAACAACCGACUAAAGCAAGCAGCUUUCAACUAUAAAAAGGUGAAUACAAUACCUUGACCAAAGAAUGGAACGUGUGAUGACCAAGAAAAGGCUCAAAUGAUUCUUUUGGAUGCUCGAAAGAAAUGUCAGACGAUGCUGAAUGGAAGCCCAGUCGAUUCCUUCCUGCAACUUCCAGCCGAGGAUCCUUCUUGCUCCUUCCCAGUUUUCUCUUUCUUUUCCCGUAAGAUUUUUCUAUCCCAGCCGAAGAUCCCUCUUGCUUUCUCUACAUAGCUUUCUUGUUCUGUUCUCCUUCUAUUCUCCUUCUACCUAGCCCAGCCGCCAACUCUAUUCCCCCUCCACAACUUUCCAGCCGUCCGAAACCUCCCUCUCUCUCGCUUCAGUUCUUCUUUCACCUCCUCCGAGAGCCUCUCCCUUUUUUCCCUUUAAUCAGCCGCCCCCUCACUCUUCUGUAUGCCCCCUCUCUUUCAGUCUUUCUUUCACUCCUUCUCAACCUCUCCAAACCCCUAGCCGUUUCUUUUCUGGUUCCUUUCUACCUCUUAAGCCGCCGCCAACUUUCCCUUGGUAGGUUUCUUUUCUUUUGCUUGUGUUUCUCUCUUCCGAAUCUCCCCUGUUUGCGGCUGCCAAUCCCUUCUAUUUAUAUCAAGCACUCAACCCUAAAAACCUCAGCCACUUCCUCUGAAAUUUGCAGCUAAGGAGCUCCCCAAAGUUCACUUGCAAGCUGCGGCAAAAACGCAGCCUUCAUGCUGCGCGUUUUCACUUUUCCUUUUUUUUUUUUAACUUUCAACUUAAUAAAUACAGAAAUGAUAAAAUAUAAAUAAUAAUAAAAACAAAUUGACAAAAACCAAGUAAUAAUAAUAAUAAUAAUAAUGAAAAUAAUUUAAAAAACUAAACAACUAAAAACAACAAAAAUGGCCAUUUUUCCAUCUUUUUUGUUUCAUUUUUCAUUUUUUCAUUUUUUCCAAGAAAGCAUUGAAUUUAAAUUACAAACGACUAAAUCAUAUUUUUUGAAUGCUUUUUCUUUUCCCUUUUCAACAAAUUCUAUGAUAAAACUUAAAAAUAAAAAAUAAAACUGGAAACUAAAAACUAAAAAAUGAACACGACAAAUAAAAAACUAAAAAAUGAAAUUACACCAAAAAUUUGGUGUCUACAAUGACUGCAAUUCAGAAGGAGAAGUAGAGGAAGAAGAGGAAUCCGCCCAAGUGGCUUUCAUGGGCAUUGAAGAUGAAGAGGUAACCCAAUGUAACUCUCAAACUGAUAGUGAUAGUGAGUAUGAUGUUGAUAUUAAUUCUUUCCUAAAAAAAAUGCAUAACAGCUUAAAAGAAUUCUAUGUUAGAAACAAGGAAUUAAAACAGAAAAUUAGUUUUCUAAUACAAGAUAAUGCAAAUCUUUUUCGACAAAACAAGUGUCUUACGCAUGAAAAUGAGAACCUGAAAAGGAUUGAAACUGAUGUGCUUGCUGAACUUAACAAAAAGACAAAUCUCUGUGACAUGCUCAGAAGUGAACAAUGCAGCCUAAAAAAAAGGAUGGAUGAUUUAUGUCAAUUGUUACAACAUAUGAAACAGAACCGCCUUCAAAAGAAUGACACUGAACCUCACCUUAACACUCAUCGAAAAGAUUGAAUUAUAGUAAAAAUGAGUUUACUGUCUACAAGAGAAGGCAAGUCAGAUUCAUUAAACCUGUUCAUUUGAUUGAUCCAAUGACUGUAUGCAACUUUUAUUGUCAAUUUGGUCACAUGAAUAGCAACUGUUAUGUUAAGAAAAACAUGAGAAAUGGAAUGAGAUGCAUGUGGGUUGUUAGACAUAAUGCUAACCAUGAAGGACCCAAAAAGUAAUGGGUACCAAACAUUAUAUUGUGGACUACUGUGUAGGUGAACCUGGUGAACAUUGUUAAAGAAUCAAAAUGGUUCAUAGAUAGUGGAUGCUCAAGACAUAUGACUGGUGAUGCAUCACAGUUCAUCAAGCUCAAGCCAAAAACAAGUGGAAAGGUUACUUUUGGAGAUGAUAAUAAAGCCAAAACUGUUGGAAUUGGUGAUGUUGGUAAGAAUGGUCAAACUUUUGUUCAUAAUGUUCUUUUAGUCGACAACCUGAGUUACAAUUUGUUGAGUGUUAGUCAAUUAUGUGAUAGGAACCUGCUCGUGUUAUUUAAGAAACAUCAAUGCCUUGUUCUUGACUCAAAGUUUAACAUUAUUUUCAAAGGAAAAAGAGUUAAUGAUAUUUAUGUGGUGAUUCUUGAAAAAGUUGAUGCUUCCAGCCUUAGUUGUCUCAAAGUAGCAAAUGAGGAUCCCUGGUUAUGGCACAGAAGGCUUUGUCACUUCAAUAUGGAUUUGCUAAAAGAGGUUUCCAAAAAGGACCUGGUUAGAGGGAUUCCAAAACUCAAUUUUUGUAAAGAUCGCAUCUGUGAUGCUUGCCAAUUUGAAAAACAAGUCAAGGUAUCUUUUAAACCAAAAAAAUGUGUUUCUAUCUCAAAACCCUUAGAACUCCUACAUCUUAAUCUUUUUGGUCCAACUCAAACCACAAGCCUUGGUGGCAAGAGAUUCUGUUUUGUUGUUGUUGAUGACUAUUCUAGAUACACUUGGGUGAUGUUUCUUGCACAUAAAGAUGAUGAUUUCAAAAACUUUGUUUCCCUAUUUGCCAAGGUUCAAAAUCUGAUUGGUUUGAAAAUCAUAAAAAUAAGAAGUGACAAUGGCACAAAAUUUCAUUUUUGUGAAUUUCCAGAAUUUUGUGACAACAAUGGCAUUACACAUGAGUUUUCUAUUGCUAGAGUACUUCAGCAAAAUGGAGUGGUUGAGAGGAAAAAUAGAACUCUUCAAGAAGCUGCUAAAACCAUGCUUAGUGAAUGCAAUUUACCAAAGUACUUUUGGGCUGAAACUAUAAACACUGCAUGCUAUACCAUGAAUAGAGUUCUCUUAAGACCAAUCUUGAACAAGACUUCAUAUGAGCUGUUUUUGGUUGCAAAUGCUUCAUUCUGAACAUCAAGGAGCAUCUUGGUAAGUUUGAUAAAAAAUCUGAUGAGGGGAUCUUCUUGGGAUAUUGUGAAAAUAAGAGAGGCUUUAGAGUUUAUAAUCGUAGAACUCUGGUUAUAGAAGAAGCUAUACAUAUCACUUUUGAUGAAUCUAAUGGUGACACUUCCAUGAGUUGUGGUGAAGAUGAUGAUGCAGGUGUUCGAGAAGAAUUAAAGAAGCUAACAAUUAGCAAUCAAGGCACAGCUCCAUCAGAAAAUGAUUCAAAGGAAGAUGAAAAUCAAGACAGUCCUACUAGAGAAGACAAUGACAGUGACACUGCGAUUCCUAAUGAUCUUCCAAGAGUCUGAAAAUUCGUCCAAAAUCAUCCUAAGGAACUUAUCAUUGGGGAUCCAUCUGAAAAUGUCAGAACACGUUCCUCCUCUAGACAAUUAAUAGAUAACUUUGCAUUGGUCUCACAUUUUGAGCCCAAAAAUGUUGUUGAUGCAUUGAAUGAUGAGAGCUGGAUUUUGGCAAUGGAAGAGGAGUUAAAUCAAUUUGAAAGAAAUAAGGUUUGGACAUUAGUUGCUAGACCACAAGAUCAUCCUAUUAUUGGCACUAAAUGGGUUUUUAGAAACAAAAUGAAUGACAAAGUUGAGAUAGUUAGAAAUAAGGCCAGAUUGGUAGUUAAGGGUUACACUCAAGAAGAAGGAAUAGAUUUUGAUGAAUCAUUUGCACCCGUAGCUAGGUUAGAAUCUGUUAGAAUGUUUUUAGCUUUUGCAUGUUUCAAAAAUUUUAAAUUAUUUCAAAUGGAUGUUAAAAGUGUUUUCCUAAAUGGUUUUAUAGAUCAAGAAGUUUAUGUUGAUCAGCCCCCUGGUUUUGAAAAUGAGAAUUAUCCAAACCAUAUUUUUAAACUCUCAAAAGCUUUAUAUGGAUUAAAACAAGCUCCAAGAGCAUGAUAUGAACGCUUGAGUGGUUUUUUGAUUGAAAAUGGGUUCAAAAGAGGCAUAGUAGAUAUUACUCUUUUCACUAAACAAAAUUCACGUGAUCUUCUAAUUGUUCAAAUAUAUGUGGAUGAUAUUAUUUUUGGUGCUACUAAUGAGAAUUUGUGCAAGGAAUUUUUCAAAAUUAUGCAAAAAGAGUUUGAAAUGAGCAUGAUGGGAGAAUUAAAUUUCUUCCUUGGACUCCAAGUGGUUUAAACCAGAGAAGGAACGUUUAUCAAUCAAACAAAAUACACCAAAGAGCUGCUCAAAAGAUUUGGAAUGAAGGACUCAAAGUAGGUUGGAACACCUAUGUGCACAUCUACCAACCUCGACAAAGAUGAAGAAGGUACAAAAGUUGAUGAAAAGAAGUAUAGAGAUAUGAUUGGUAGUCUGCUUUAUUUAACUGCUAGUAGACCAGAUAUCAUGUUUGUUGUAUGCUUGUGUGCUCGUUUUCAGUCCUGUCCAAAGGAAUCACAUUUGAAUGCAGUAAAAAGAAUUCUUAGAUAUCUAAAAGGAACCUUGAAUUUUGGUCUUUGGUAUCCUAAGUGUAAUGAACUCCCAUUGAGUGGAUUCUCUGAUGCUGAUUUUGGUGGUUGUAGAGUUGAUAGAAAAAGUACAUCAGGAAUAUGUAGUUUUCUUGGAAACUGCUUAGUAUCUUGGUUCAGCAAGAAACAAAAUGCUAUUUCUCUUUCUACAACUGAAACAGAAUAUAUUGCUGCUGGUGCUUGUUGUGCUCAACUGUUAUGAAUGAAAAACACAUUGAAUGAUUUCGGACUAAUAUAUGAAUGUGUGCCUAUGUAUUAUGAUAAUACUAGUGCCAUAAAUUUAACAAAAAAUCCCAUUCAGCACUCUAGAACAAAGCAUAUAGACAUAAAGCAUCACUUCAUUCGUGAUCUUGUCCAAAAGAGAGAAAUCUGCGUUCAGUAUGUGUGUUCAAAAAAUCAAAUUGCUGAUAUUUUCACAAAAUCCCUUCCACUGGACCAAUUUGUGUAUCUUAGAACAAAACUGGGCGUCUGUGAAAAAGUUCUCUAAAAACUUCCAUCGGACGUCCGAUGUGUUAGAACGGACGUCCGACAGUGUUCUUCAUCAGUUUCCCCAGGAAAUUUUUGUUCGGACGAUUGUGUCGGACGCUUCAUUUUGUUCGGCCGUCCGACACUCAAUUUACUGCGUCUUAUAAAGAAGUCAUCCACUUCAUUCAGUUCAGUUACCUCCUUAGACUCGGACGCAACCCUUCGGUUCUCCUUCAAAUACAAAAUUCAAAUCAAUCUCUCCAGUAUUCAAGUUCCAAGGAAUUGAUCCAACCAUCUUCAUUACACCUCCAUUGACCGUUUUACUUCACUCAUAACACCCCAUAACUCCCAACUGCCUCAUAAUUCCCAAUUCAUACUAGAAACCCUAAUUUUUCCAAAUCCACUACCUGUAAUCAUCUCAAGCAUCCUCUGCAGUUCUUAACGCACUAGUAGUCAAUUUGACACGCAUCUGCACUACACUGCAUCUCAAAAAUCAACUGCAUUACAUCAUGGUGAGAGUUAGAGGCGGUUCAGCAAGUGCCAGACGCACAUUUAGACUCAGGGAUGAAGAUGUUGAGAUCGUAGAACCUUCCACCAGGGUAUCCAAAAAGAGGACAGGGACUCGUGGUGGAAAGGCAAAGCAACCUGCAAAGAAGAUACAGGAUGCUCCAACUGCUGAUCCAUCUCCUGUACAAGUGGAAGCACAUCAAACUGAGGAACAAAUUGCUGAGGAACAGCAAACACCUGAACCCUCUACCAGAAAAUCACCGAGGACAAGGUCUGAUGCUCAGACUACUGGGUCAUCUGCCAAACAAAGUACAAAAAGGAAACGCACUUCAAAGGAACCAGCGGCUCAGCCUGUCAAAGAACCUACAUCCCUGCCAAAGUUCAUUGAUGACGAGGCCAGAGAUAGAUUUGAGUUAAUCUCUCAAAAAGGAUUCAUUAUUCAGAGGUCUGUCAUCCCAUAUGAAUUUUGUAAGAUUGAUUUAAAACCUGUGCUUAAGCUUUUUGAGUCCCAAAAAUGGACUCACCUCCUGACUAUCCCACACACCUUCUACCCUGACAUGCUUUACCAGUUUUUUGCAAAUCUUAGGAAAGGAAACUCACACACCGAGCUUAUCUCUAGAGUCAAUUCUGUUGAUAUCACUUUAACUCCUGAUGUCAUUAACUCUGUUUUAAAAACUAAGAUUGAAGAUGGUUUCAGAGGAAAAAUUACAAAUUUCUUUUCAUAUGAAGAAUUCCCCUCUACUUACCAUCAUAUUCACAUCUCCAAAUUAAUGACUUACUUUCGCACUCACUUCAACACUCCUGCUGAGGCGAGAUUAGAGGAUCUCAAUCUUCAGAACUUGAUUAUCUUCACAAUUGUUUCCAAUUUGUUGGUAUCCACUGAUGGUCACAGAAUCGAUGCAAACAAAAUGAAAUUGUAUCUGUUUUACUAUUUUGUGGAAAAGAUCAGAAUCGAUUUUGGUUUUGUGAUGUGCAAAUUCCUGCUUAAGAUUAGUACCGACAGUCGUAGGAAGCUUUCCUAUGGAAAAUUCCUGACUCCCAUCUUUGCUCACAUUGAAAUUCCCUUCACUGGAAAGUCUCCUAGAGAUAGUGCCUCAACUGUUUUCUCAAAGGCCUAUUUUGAACGAAAAACUUUGAAGUUUUUUGAGGGUCACUGGUGUCACAAGGAACCUUUGACAGAGUUCAGAAGAAAGAGCCUUCACGAAACUCCAGUCACUCCUAGGACCUCUCGGGAUCAAUCCAUGUAUAUCUCUCCUUUCACCAUUCACCCUAGAAAAUCAGCCAACAAGUCCUUUGUAUACAACUUUGAGGUCAUCACGUUGCUUGAAGACCUCAAGCAACAUGUUAUGCUCAUUGAAGAUGGUCUAAUGUCGACCAUGACACCUGACCGGCAGGCUUCCUUCAUUGAGAAAUGAAAUCUUCUUGUGCCUCCCAUUCCUGUGAACAAUGAACAUGCUCAUCAAAAAGAGCCCAGAAUUGAGCCUACUGAGCACACUCCUGGUACUGAAGCUACUCCAGAAGCUCAUGCCUCCAGUUCUCAACCCAAGAAUAAAGGAAAAGCUCCCAUCUCUGAAGAGGCGACUGAAGUUGAUGCUGAAGAUACUGAAGAGGAAGAUCAUGUGGAUCCUGAGCAAUUUCGUCUGACUAGGAGAAGGCCUGGAUCAUCCAAGAUCACCAUAUAGGCACUACUAGGCCACUGCACUUCAUUAGUAGUUCUCAAUAAUUCUCUUUUGCAUAUUUUGCUUUUAAAAGACAUCUGGUGUGUUUGUUAAUUUUAAGGAGUUUACUCCUCUACUGGUCUGUAAAAAUAUUUAGCUAUCCGUUGUUGGAAGAUGUUUCUAUAUUUUGGUUGUGUCUCUCUUGUCAUAAAUGGAUGUUGUCUCUCUUGUCUUAAAUGGAUGUCUUAAAUCCGUUGUUAGCUAUCUCUCUUGUCUGUGUAUGUUAGUUCUUGUUGAUUGCUGUCAUUUGUUACUGCUCUGAUCUUAGUUCUGAUUGAUUUUGGUUCUGAUAUGGAUAUUGCUGUUAUGAUGACAAAAAGGGGGAGAAACAUGGAUGGAAUCAGGAUAUGAAUCUAAUCUAUAUGUGAGGGGGAGUCAAGUAAAUUUUUCUGUGGGGUAUGGAAAAUUUUCUGAGGGGGAGUCACUGAAGGGAUGUGGAUAUCAUUCUGAGGGGGAGUUGUAAAUACUCCAAGGCCUCUCUAAGAAAAGGGAAACUAUAUCAAAAUUCCCUCACUUCAUCCAUUGUUUUGUCAUCAUCAAAAAGGGGGAGAUUGUUUAUCUUUGUUCAUACCUUUUGAUGAUUACAAAACAAGUGGAUAAAACUAAUGUUUUCCAAGCUUGUUUUUGGUCAGAAAAUGGAGCAAGACAGGUUCAAAGGCCAAGCAUCUGCUAAAACAUCUGUCGGACGCACAAAUACAUCCUAUCGGCCAUCCGAUAACCGUUGAGUAUCUUCGGACGCGCAAAGAACCUAUCCUCGGACGUCCGAAGCUGAUAAGUCAGUACUUCUAAGAUCUCUAACCUCGAUCAGACGCACAAUACCUGAGCACCGGACGUCCGACAAUCGUUGCAACACUUCGGACGACAAGCAUUAGAAGCAUCGGACGUCCGAAAGAAUUAAUGAAGGAUUCCAAGUUUUACAUCAUAUGGUCGGACGCAUAUUCUGAUGCUGCCGGACGUCCUAAAGAUUUCAAGAAAAUUUCUUGAACCCACUACCUGCGUUCGGACGCACAAAACCAGCCUACCGGACGUCCGACACUACUAACGACUAGUUGACUCUUCAUCUGCCUUGUGUCCGUUAGUGGCAUUAAUUGAAGAUGUUUUUGGUCUAUUAUAAAUAGGAUAAAAGUCAACCACCAAAAGUAUUGAUACACAUUAAGUCUACAUCAGAUCUUGAGUGAUUCAAGCAUAAGAAUACUCCAAAAAGAAGAUUUGUACUCUUAGUUGUGUGAUCUUCAUUUAGCUUUUCAAGUAUGAAUCAAUUUCUUCAAUAAUGUAGCUUUGUGAGGGUUAUUCGAGUGAUUGUAAAACUUCCUUGCUUGAUCAAAUGUAUCUUGAGGCAAGGAGGAAGUGAUCCUUUCCGUGUACACAAGAGAUUGGUUGUAUGUUGAAUCAACUUGAAGGAGCUUACAAUAUAAAGAGAUAUUCAAACUCUAGUCGAGUUUGAGAUUUGGUUUGCUAUUCCAUCUUCUUAUUCACUGUUUUGCAACAUUAACUGUUUAUCUCUUCUGCUCUAAAUUACUUCCGCUUUAUCAUAAAUUGUUCCUUGGUCUAGUUCUUUAGAAAAAGAGGGCUAGUUCAGAAAAAAAGUGAUUUAUAUUUUGGUUAGCUUUUAAACCACCUAAUUCACCCCCCUUCUUAGGUUGUCUUCGAUCCUUACAAAAUGAUAGUUGUUUAUAUUCUUAUCACUCAAUGAUGAGAGUGGUCUAUAAUUUAAAUGAUUGAGAUAUAUAGCCAUCCAAAUAUAAAUUUAAUACGAGGGUAUGAUACCUAAAAGUGACUAUAGAAUCUCCCUAAAUGAUAAAUAAUGUGAAUUAGAUAUUCCCUCAAAAACUUGUAAAGUACUUAAUGUAUAUACGGGUAAAUUCUUGCAAUAGUGAAAGGAAAAUAUCGUACUAGCCUUGAAUUUUUGGCUAUGUAUUGACUUUUGUUAGCUAAAUUAAACUAUCCUGGAGUGAAGACAUAAAAUCUGCUACAAAUAUUGAAAGAAUUGUGAACAUAGCUAACUUAUCUAGCAUACAAAUUUUUUCUCGAGUUUGAGUUCUCUCACUUAUACUAUAAAAACAAAAAAACUAUCGUACAUUUAACUUCCAACUAACAACGAUGUAUAGAUAACAAAUUAUAUGCAUGGGAUAUUCCCAUAAAUAAAUGAAAUAUAUUUAAGUGAGAAAGAGUAAAUUCUUAAAUUAAGAAGAAAUAAUAUUAUAGUACCUGUCAAUUUGAUUAUAUGACUUUUUGGUUUGUCUUUACUCAUGAUAGCCAAUUAUAUAUGUUAUUUUGAUGUAAAAAUAUCCAAAAAUGGUUAAAUACAAUGAGGGACAUUAUUAUUAUUACUCGGAUUAAGCAUGUCAAUGGGUAGGGUCUGGUUUGGAUCCCUUUGAUCCAGAUCCAAACCCAUUUAAUUUAGUUAGAUUCAGACCUAAAUCUAUACCUUUUUUGGUUUAGAAAGGUAAGGCCAUACCUAGACCCUUAUGGAUCUGGAUAUCCAAUGGACAUCCAUGAAUAUUUUUGAACAUACUAAAGUAAAAAUGUAUUUAAAAUAUAUAGAGUUCAUAAAUAAUAUAAAUACUAUUCAAUUUUUGUUUUCAAAUAAAACAUUAACAUUUGACAAGUUGAAUGCAAUAUUGUGAACUCAAAGAAAGAAUUAUUAUUGACUAUUUUUAUAUAUUUUCAAAGAUUCAACUGCAUCCAUACCUAAUAUUUUAUUUGUUUGCCUUUACUUUUUCUCCUUUUCUUGAAAAGUUUGAACAAAUUACAAUGACAACCAGGAUUAGUUUUUAAAAAAAGAAAACAACCAUAACAUAUAUAAAUAUUUAAUCUCAUUAAAAAAAUGUAAUUUUGUACCUCUUAUUCUUAUUUAAACUUCAAUAUUGGUAUAUGUCUCGCAAUCCAGCACUAAAAUAGUGAAUGAGAUAAAAAUCAUUUGACUAAGGACCUAACAAAUAAAUAUUAGAAUAAGAAGAUUUACAAAUACUUAUUAAUUUUUUGGGUAAAAUACCAAAAAACUCCUUGUGGUUUACUAAAUGUUUAAUUUAACUCUCUUUGGUUUGGAAACCUACACUAUAACUCCCAGUGAUUUUAACUAAUUUGAAAAUUGGACGGAAAACAUCCAAUCUAAUGGUUAUACGUGAAAUGUCAAUAUUGCCCCUAUAUAAAUGAACUCCCUAUGGUUUGUCAAAUGGUCAAUUUAACACCCUCUAGUUUGAAAAAUUACACUAUAACUCCCUGUGGUUUCGACUAAAUUGAAAAUUGAAUGGAAGCAUCUUACAUAUAGUAAGGACAAUAUUGAAAUUUCACACACAACCGUUAGAUUGGAUGCUUUCUGUCCAAUUUUCAAUUUAGUCAACAUCACAGGGAGUUAUAGUGUAGGUUUCCAAACUAGAGGGAGUUAGAUUGAAUUUUUAUCAAAUCACAAGGAGUUUUUUGGUAUUUUACCCUAAUUUUCUUUGAUUCAAUUCAAUCAUCACUAGUCACUAAUGUUUCAACCAUGUCUAGAAGCAGUUUGACAUGAGUCUCUUCAAUCACCAAACCAUCAAUACUAAAUGUAGAUUCUAAUACCAUAAUAUCUUACUAUAUUCGAUCCAAUAACCAUAAAAUAUUAGAUUAUUUUAUAAAUUUACUAAUAUAUAUAUUAUUUAAUUAAAUAUAUAUAUGGAUUUGGGUAAAGUUUGGUAUGAGUUUGGAUUUGGAUAUGGAUUCUAUAAAACUAGACCUUACCUAGACCCACGACUCUUUCACAGGGUCUGGGUCUGGGUAUGAGUAGGGUCUAGAUUUGAGAAAUUAAAUCCAAACCCUACCCAAAUAUAGUGGGUCUGGGUUGGAUCUGGAUAAGAUUCGACCCAUUGACAUGCCUAACUCCAGAUACCUCAAUAUUUAUAAAAUUUGUUAAAUUGGAAUCCAUUUGGAUUUGACAGUAUUUUGAAAAAUUAUUUUUGUUUUUUAGGUUUACAGUAAUAAAUUUUACAAACAACCUUAAAAACAAUUCAAAAAAUGCAACAUAUUUCAAAUACAUUAAAAAAUAAUUAAAAAAUUCCCUCAUUCUUCUUCCCCACACUACCCACUACAACCACCACCACCACCACCCAUUACUCUCCACUACCACAGCCAUCCCCACACCCAGGACCCUCCUUCCUCUCUCCCCUCUCCUCUCUCUCUCUCUCUCUCUCUCUCUUUCUCUCUCUCUCCCCCUACUAAUUCUCCUUCUCUUUUCUUCUUCCUCCUCUCCCUUGUCCUUCCUCCCUUCUCCCUUUCCUUUCCCCCCCCCCAAUCCCAUCUCCCGUCUACUGACCGCAACCUUCCCGGUCGUGACUAGAAAGGUCGCUAGAAGCUGCGACUGGUGGCUUCCGGCCACAACCAAGAAGGUUGUGGCUGGAGUCUCAGAUGGAGUCGCAACCACCAGGGGAGACUCAGGUGGAGUCUCAGGGGAGAGGGGUUUGGGGGCGGGAGAGGAGAAGGAAAGGAGGGAGUAGAAGAGGAAAGAGGAGCGAGAAGGAAGAGGAAGGGGAGGAAAGAGAGGGAGGGAAAAAGAGAGAUAGAGGGGAGGAGUAGGAAGGGAGUGGCGGCAGCGGGUGGUGGUGAUAGGUGAUGUAAAAUUUUUAAAAAAUACCCCAUAAAGUUGUUGCAAAAUAUAUUUUAAAAAUAUUCCAAAAUAUAUUUUGAAAAGCCCUGAAAAUACUUUUAAAAACACCUCAAAAAACAUCUAUAGUAAAAGUUUUUUUUAUAUAUAGUUGCAGUAAACUUUUUGAAAGACACCCCCAGAAACAGCUAGUCCAAACAGAGUCUUGAGUUUUGAGAUUAAGGUGCAAUGAUUGACUACUUUUAGGUCAAAACAAAGCUUGGCCGAAAGUUUAGUGGGUUAAAAUAUAAUUUUAAAAAUUAAUCAUUUUCCCUAAUCCUCACAGCUGCAAUGGGGACACUGGUCGCCCAUCUUCAACCACCACCAACACUGCUUUUCAAGAUCAAUUCUUGUCCAACACUCAUUUUAUUCGCUUGAGUCAUGAUUAUGGCAUCAUUUUUCAUCAAUUUAAACCCUUUGACGAUACAAAAACAAGGUCACAAUUGAAAUUUUGAUUUGAAAAUUUGAAACUUUCGGGAUUGCCUCCUGCUAUGGGCUUGUCUCAGACUCGGGCAUAUGCCCAAACAAAUUCAUCAACCAACUCUCACUCUGCCAAGGCACUCAAUCAACCCCUUUAAAACAAUUUUGAAGACACUCAAUACUAGGGUUGGACAAAAAUACCCGUUUACUCAAAAAUCCAUCAUAUUCGAUUCGAUUCGAUUCGAUUCAACAAAUAGGGUAUCCGAUGUGCAUUAUUUGAUUAGGUCAAAAGAGGGUUAGGUAAUUACUUAUAUGCGAUGUAAGGUAGGGUUACAUGAUUAAGAAUCCGUGGGUAUCCAACGCGUCACACAAAUAUAUAUUUUAUUUUUUAUUUUUAUACACAUAUUACAAAAUAAUACUUUUGGAGCUAAAUAAGUAAUUUUAUUGAAGAAGCUAUAUUAUAAAUAUGAAAAUUAUAGUUUGUUUAUAAGAUUCAUUUAUAGAGGUCGUGAUCUUUUUUUCUUUUAGGAAAGAGUUUAAUUAAUGUAGAAUAUAUACUUUUAAAAAGGUACUAUUUAGUUGAAAUUUUCAUUGAUUUUGAAUUAUUUUAAUUAUUUUCUUUUUCUUGUAUUCUCUUCGCAUAUUUGUUUUUUGGUAGGAGACUUUUUUUGAGAAAAAAAUCUUUAUUAAGUCUUAGAUAAAUAUUCAAAAUACAAAAUUAAAUUACUAUAAAUUAUCUUUUUUUAAAACUAAAUGAUAACCAAGGCGACGCAGGUACCUGUUAAGCCGACCCUACCUUAACAAAUAUCCGUUCGUAUGCGGAAUGGGUAAGGGUCAAAAAACAACUGACCUGCAAGGUGCAGGUCUAGUCAGCCAAAUAAUGCAUAGAACAUGUACUACUCAACCCAUACUCACCCCUACCCAAAACAAAUCUUAAUAAUCAUAAAAUAGCAACCAGAACAUGCAAAAUCCAAUUUUCAAAUUUCUCCUCAAGAUUUAGCAUCAAAUUUUACAAAAAUUACACAAAAAAAUCCAAUCAACAAAUAAAUACUCAAGCACUGAAUUGGCAUUAUACUGUAUUUGUGCAGCACCGAAUUGACAUUAUCUGACUUGUAUGUAUGGCGAAAGAGAGGAACUAUGGAGAGGAGGGGGAGGAGGGAGAAGGAUGUUGAGAGUAAGGGAGGAGAUGAAUCAGAAAAUUUAGAUAUUUUUUCUUUUUAUUUUUCUAUAUUUUCUUUUAACCGUAUUUGUAGGUA
rnacentral:lncRNA from 1 species